rnacentral:lncRNA from 1 species
GAGCUUUAAGGUCUCGUAGUGGUAAUCGGCGUUUGAUUUGAAGGUUCCGACGGGGCGGACGACGAUUCCGGGGAACUCGGUGUCCAUGGCGACGUAAGGGAAGUCGUCGACGACUUCGCGGAUCAGAUCCAUUUCCUCCUGGAGGUUAUCGCUCCAGACUUCGCGGAUUUGAAUCGAGUCGUCUUUUAGAAACAGAGACAUGGUGGGAGGGAGAAUCUAGAGAAAAAAACCUAGAACGGAUCUAGAGGUAGACCCGAUCCGGUUUCAUCAAAUCUGCGAUUAAUCCAAUACAAUCAAACAUUUCAAUUUCUAACAGAUAAAUCGAAAAAUCGAAGGAGGAGGUGGUACGGGGGGAAUCGAACCUGGUAGAUGGAAGAGUAGGCGGCGAUUGGAUUGGUGGUGGGCUAGGGUUUCAGAGGAUGUGGGUGGUGGUGGUGGUGGUUUAUCGAAAGGGGUAAUUGGUAGGAGAAGAAGUGAUAUUUAUUAUUAUUAAAUCAAACUUUUCUUCAUUUUUCUUUUUAUUUAUUCUUUUACUUUUUUUUUGUUUUCCUGCUAUUCUGAAUCCGAUUUUCUUUUUGUUUCUCAAAAAGUUUUGUUGUUUCUGUUUUCUUAAUUAGGAUCGCUGCUCAUUUCAAGUCGCAUUUUUAUCAUCUUUCUGCAUUAUUUGCUAAAACAAUAUUUACCGAAAUUCAUAUUUAUAGGAGAUGAAUAUAAUUAACCGCUAGGAUUUUUACAAACCGUAGUUAAAUACACACACAAAAGUCACCGCGAAAGUCUAAAAACUUCGGCUAAAUUGUCAAUAUAACAUAAUUAAACGGUUAAAUCAUAAAAAGUUAAAAGACUAAUGACCACAUUUAUCUUCUUCCUUGAGCAUCUGCUUCCUGUAGCACAAGAACACGACCAAUUGAUUUCAUUUAUAUUAUUUACAAGUCCAUUGAUGCAAUGCAAACAAGACCAAAGAGCAAACCAGCUGACAAAAUUCACUUAUUGAAGUUAUAAUAAGAGACCACAACAUAAGUCUUACAAUGCUUGCAAACUCGAUAAUUAAAAUAGUGAAGUUUGCUUAGAGAAGUUUUAAAUAAUUAUCGAAAAUAAUACCUAUUGCGAAGAAUUAUGCUUGAACAAUCUCAAGAAGAAAAAAAGUUCAAAACAUGAAAGAUUGCUGCUAAGACUUCCUAUUAACACGCAUGCAGUAAGGUUAGUCAGCCUAAACCAAUCUCAACUGGAAACUGACGCAAGAGACUCAUAUUAUUGGUAUUAUCCCAUAGUUUGUUUUCAUAUAUUUAUUUCCCUUCUUCACUGGUUUUCACAACGAGGAACUGAAUCUUCUCUCGAAGUGGAACAAGUAGCUCUGUUAAUGUUUUCUCCCUUCCAGCUACAUAGUCCCAAGGCUUCAGUUGCACUCCUGUUCGUGUACGUUCUUGUGACUCAGUCCAUGCUAUCUUAAUAGCUUUGUAAAGCUCAUCACCAUAUUUCUCUCUGAGGUCCAGCAGAUCCUGCGCCUCCGCUUGUACCCAGUCGUCUUCUCCUUCUCCUUGUUCUGGACCCUCAAUGUAAAGCUCCCAAACUCCAUUACUGGUUUUGCUUCUCCACUCAUUGCACAGAGUUUCAGCCUCAAGUAAUGCUCUAUCCUUCCUCAUUAUUUCCUUCUCACGACCAUCAGAUGGGUUAUUGAGACACGCUGCUUCAAACAUCUUUGGGUCUAGGUAGCCUGGGACUCUUACUAUGUCAACCAAUGGGCCUUUCUCUGGAGUAUUUAGUUCUGGUAGAGCCUACAAGUUUUAAGAGGGAAAAAAGUGAAACAUGAUGAGUUUAUCUUAAAAUGUGUAUAUAUAUAGAUACCUGCAAUAUUGUGAACUUUGCACGUAUGAUCUCUUGAUCCCUCUGGAAAAGAUCAUCCUCAAGACGACUAGUCUUUCGUUUGUAAUGCAUUAUUUUCCUCUGCAAUUCAUGAACAGCAUCCAUCUUCUUCUUGGUUUUUUAUUUUACUCCUGAAAAAGGCAAGCCAACGGUGUAAAAGCUAAGACUCCCAGAAAGAUCAUAAGCUAAUGGAGAAUCCGAAACUAUAGGUUCCUGAGAAAGUUCUACGCCGGAAACUGAGAGAAUCAGUCAUUGGUGAUCGUAACAUCAAUGGCCAUACACACACCCAAGAAAAGCAAGAUCGUAAAUCCAAGAAACACUAGCAAUCUUAAGCCUUAGCUUACGAGUUUAAGCACAUAUCAACUAACUAAGGCUUGAGAACUUUCAGGGGAAACCAACAUAAUCGAGACGUAAGGAAAGUUUACGAAGGAAAGACGAAACGCUAAGACUUGUGUGACACGGGAAUGGGAGAACUACGGCAUAAUGGAGUCGAGAAUGAGCAAGUUGUAUUGCCGGAAAGAAACAAAGAAGGAUCAAAAACUUACGUGACACGGGAAAGAGAGAAUCUUGGUGUGCAGAGAGCGAACCGUGAAAGAUAGAUUCCCUCUUUAAAACUCUACAACAAAAAAUGAAACCUCUAAGUUGCUUGGGAACCAAGUCUUUGAGAGAGGCAGGGGAGGAAAAACAGAGUAAAGCAUUUACCUUAAGCCUGUUCUUGCUAUUUGACCAUCUGGCUAAUAGUGUAUAAUGCUCUCAUGAACAUACACUAUUUAUAGAUCAAGCCACUCAACUUACUUAAAUAGCCAAACAGUUCUAAAUUACAAACAAGUUUUCAGUUAUUUGAAGUGAAAAUGAGUUAUAUGUCUAUAAACAGUUAUCAAUUAUUUAACCUUUGGAUAUAUAAUGCAUUAACGUAUCAAUCCUAUUAAAGAAACAUAAAAACAAAGAAGAAAUAGUGAGAAAAAGCUUAAAAUGGGUUUUGGUAAAAGGCAAAAUCUCUCUCUAUUCUAAGAACUAGCAACAGUUGGAUCAACUCUCACUUCACUUUUGAUCUUCUUCAUCUCACUACUCAGUACUUCCUUCACUCUCCUCUUUAGCUGCAAGCCAUGUAGAGCACUCAAAACACACACACUUCAUUUUAUUUAGUCAAAUAUUUCUGGAAGGGUUAAUUACAUACCUCACUGAGACCUUGUUCUGUUUUCACUGAGACAUGAAUUGAUCCAUCAGGUCCUGUUUCCCUGUACCUAAUGGUUUCUGCUUCAUCAUUACUUGCAUCUUCUUUGGCGUAAAUCACCGGAGAGCCGCCUCCCAGCAGAUCGCAUUUGGACACAACAUCAAUCCACAGGUAAUCCUCAAACCUUUCUUUUAUUUCUUUAUAAAUUCGAAACUGCAAUGCCCUCAAAACAAAUAUAUAUAACAUAAUCAGACCCCAACUAUUUGGCUCACACACAUGUUUUGUCUUCUUCAGAUCAUUUCAAAUAAUAUAACCAUAUGCACAUUAAUACACUGAAGCCAUAAACAAAUGAUUACCUGAUCAGAAGGAGAAGUCCCACAUUCACCAGUUAAAUCAUGAACAUAUAGAACCGCGGUUGGAAGAUGAGUGAGUACAGCAAGAGUUAGCUUCUCUAGAUUAUUCCUAUCCUCUGCACCAACCCCAAUAAAAACAAUCAAAACUUGAUCAAAUAUCAUAAAACCAUGCAUCCACAAGAGAACUAGAUUUUACCAUCACAUCUCCUGAGAAGCCCAGGGGUGUCUGUCACCUGCAAUACGUAGAUACUUAACAAUAAAAAUCAUGAGGAAUGUGAUUUGACGAAGCAAAGCAAGUAACAUUACCUGAAAUCGUUGGUAGUUCAAAAUGACGUGACCCAUCAGAAUUCCUCUGGUGGUGAAAGGAUAAUUGCAAAUCUGACAACCAAAAAAAAAUCAUAUAAGGAAUAGACACAGUGCAAGUUAUUAUCAAAAUAUAUAUGAAGAUUGGGAUAAUAAGGCAAACCUCAGGCUUCCCUGUUGAAAGAAUGCGCACCAAAGAUGACUUGCCAACGUUUGGUGCUCCAACAAGGCAAAGAGUUGGCAUUUCCAAAUCAACAACUGGCAUCGCUCUCAAUACCUACAAGAUGCUUAACUCUCUUCAUACAACUCUAACGAUUAAGUCAAAGAGAUCAAACCACUGGAAGAGAAAAAAAAAAAAAAAAAAAAAAAAGACAAACUUUAGCUAUGCUUAACAAUUCAUCAACAGCUAUUCCUUGUUGCUGGAAAACCAGUUCAAGCUUCUCCACACCUUCGCUCAACCGGUCCUCUGCUUCUCGCUUUGACAACGCCUGCAAACAAAACAGAAGAUCUCAUUCCUAAAGUGAUAUAUGAUAGAAUAAGAUGGAGCAAUGGAAUUGUUAAGAAGCUUGUAACGCCUUUAGUAUUGAAGUACCAGUUACAACCUAUGUGAGAUAAACUAAACAUGAAAAAUACAAUUAGCUAUUUCUGACAGAUAGAACUGAGGAUUCUUUACCUUAGCACAGAGGGAAGCAUGUUCCUUUCCAACAGAUUGUACCUUCUUCCUCAGAGCAUCAACUUUUCCUAACACCUAAGAACAACUAAAAUUAUAAACCAAUGCGCUUGAAUCAGUUGCAGGGUAAUGCGUCUUAGAGGGCAUGCAUAAUAAAGAUACCUCCUCGUACUUUCCAUCACCAAGAGUCAACUCAAUAAGAGACCGCUCAUAUGGAUGCAAGAGUCUCCUCCUUGGAAAACUUUCCAUAUAUCCUUUUAAAGGUAGAGCCAGUUCCUUAAACAAGAUAGCAAUUUCUGAUUUGGUAAGACAACAAUCGUUUCAGAAUUUCAAUGGAACACAGGGAAGGAUGCAAAAUGAAGUUACUUUCAUGAGUGCAUCAAGCUGUUUAGCACCUCUAUUCCUUUCUCGCUUUGCAAUAUUAGCAAUGCCUGCCAAAAUGGAUACAAGCUCAGCUCAAGGGUCUGGAACGAAUGAAUCUGUGAACAAAGGAAUCAAGUUACAACCUUUAGUAGGUUGGACUCUUUUGGACUUCCUGAGAGCAGAAGAAUACAAAUCAAUAGAUGGCAUCACCAUGGGGAGUUUUUGAAAAGCUCCCAAACUUUCCUGCACUGGUGGCCCUUGCUUUUCCUGCACAAAAACCAAAACUCUCUUGGUUGGUUAAGUCCCCACAAAAAUUGGAACCCAAAGCUCCAUACUUGCAUUCAAAGGUGGGAACUUUACCGGGGAGGUAGGGGUUUCAAUCUGCUUCUGAGUGAUGUAGGAAGUGGGCAAGUAGCUUGAAGUGACGACUGGAGAAACAGCUGUCUGAAGAUUCCGACACUGACGCAAGGUUGGAGACCAGAAAGUGGGAGACUUUGGAGUGGAGGAGGCUGAAACAAGAGUGAGAGAAUAGAGAAGAGGUAACCGGAACGAAACCCAGGGGGGAUGAAACAAAUCAAGCAUUUAUUUACCUGUGGAGAAAACGAAAGCUUGUAGAUAAAGCUGCGGUGGUGAUGCUAAGAGACGCCAUUGAUUCGGAAACAACAAGCUCGACGCCAAUUUCAUCGUGCUGAUGAUUCAGUUGGACAAAAUAUCUUUGUAGGAUUCACGAAAUCGAGAUUGUCCGUGUACGUCUCAUCGUGACUGCUGAGCAUCACUUCGAUUCAAGCUUAGCUGCUUGUUUUCAUAUCCUGGAAAGCUUCGGUUUGGUUAAGAACUUGACCCGGCCCACUAAACCUAAACGAUGCAUUGGGCUUACGAAAUAUGUGAAUUAAUGGUCCUUCUAUUAAUACACUAGAUUAAACCUUACUUAAUGACUACCGUUCUUAAUUGUUUCAGUUUCUUGGUAAUUAAUUAACUAGGCGGUGCAAUAAUAUUUAAAAAAAAACGUUAAUUUUUUUUUGAAAACGAAAAUAAUAAUCAGGAAAAGAACGAUACGACUUCUUAUCGCUUUACAUGCAGAGGUUCCAUUAAUUAAAAACUUUGUGUGCUUUGAAAAUCACAGUUUUAGCUGUCAGACUUUAAAGCAGGGAAGAUGAAGCAACCAAGAACAUACUAAAAAAUGACUUAAAUGAAAGCUCAUAAGAUGAAAUAUCUAAAAACGUUUUUGAAGAGAUGGAGAAAAUGAGUGAGGAGCUGUUAAAAGCAAUGGAGGUGAAGGACGAAGAGUUCAAGAAAAUACUCAAUGAGAAGAAUGAAGAGUUGGAAGGAUUAUAGAGGCUAUGAACUCGGCACUCUGCAUUAAAGAACAGCAAAGCAAUAUUGAGAUUCAAGAAGCAUACAAAGAAUUGAUUAGCGUAAUAAAAUAAAUCUUUUCAUGUUCUUGAGUGAUAUAUAUAUAUAUAUAUAUAUAUAUAUAUAUAUAUGUUUUUAUAUUUAUGUUUUUAUUGGAUUUCCACAUGUAAUUCUCUUCUCUUUUUUUUUCUGCAGGGAAUGAGAGAUUUAUCCGGUGGUAGAUAACGAUAGGAGUAAAGAUGAUUGGCCAAGUUGAUGAUAAGUCAUUCGUUAAAUCAUUCGAAAAGAUAUUCAGUGAUAAAGUCAUUCUGUUGGAACAAGCUGCUGGGCUUGUCUCCAAAUGGCAGGAAGAAGUCUAUAAUGCAGCAUGGUACCCAUUCAAAUUCGUUGGGACUGGAGAUGGAAUGAAGGCUUUCUAUGUCACUUGCUCCAUUCAUAUUAUUUCAUAGUAUUCAUUUUGUACAUGUCUUUUUUUGGUUAUUGGUAACAUGUGGGUCAUUUUGCAGGAAAUAGUGGAUGAUGAAGAUGAGAAACUGAAGAAUUUGAGCGAAGAGUUUGGAGAAGACGUGAAGAACUCAGUGAAGAUAGCACUCAAGGAACUGAAUGAGUUUAACCCAAGUGGCCGGUAUGCAGUUCCAACGCUUUGGAAUUUUGCACAUGGAAGAGAAGCCACACUCAAAGAAGGAAUUAAAUGGUAUGUACAAUAUCAGACAUCUCAAACUCAGACGAACUUAAAUGGUAUGUACAAUAUCUUUUGCAAAUUAUUCUGUUAAUCACACAUAAAUUUAGGGAUGUGUUAUUUUCAUCUUUUUUAGCGUUGCAUAUUUUCACAUAACUGAUGUUAUUACUCUGCUGGCUUGUUCUUGUCUUACAUGAGUCAGGAUGAUCAAUGAAUGAUGGAAUUGAGAAGGAAGGAUUGUCAAGGCUUGUUAUUCAAUAUUUCUCAAUUUGUUUUCAAGUAACAUAAGGACUAUUAAUCCAUCGGUUGUCCUCUCUUGAAUUUUAUGUUAAACUUAUUUCUUAUCGUUUAAGCUCAUUGUUUUGGUAAUAUGUUUUUCUUUGUGACUUACUAACGAAAAUGUUCGUUAGGCAUAUAAAUAUAAUAGCGCAACUAGAUUUUGACCCGCGCUUUCAAAGCGCGGGUUUAUUUUUGUUUUUUUUUUCAAUUGACAAAUAUUUAGUAAACACAAAUUAAUUUGGUAUAACUCUGAUAAAUUAAUUUUAUUAUGGGGUUAAUAUUUUAAUUAAAAAAUUAUAUACUUUUAAUAAAAAUUUAUACUUUUCAAUAAAAAAAAUCAAUUAUUUUUAUGAAUGCUUAAAUUAUAUUAAGAAAAGAAAAAAAUAAUAAUUAAGAAUAGUUGAAAAAAAAUUAUUUGAACUUGGACUCAAUGGUCCAAAGGAAAAAAAAAGGUGAGAAUUGAAUCUAAUUUUUUAAUAGGCCCAAAUGGCCCAAGAGAGAUUUGAUUUGGGCUGGAUCCAAAAAUAAUGACCCAAUAUAGAUUUGUUAUUAAUAUUACUUAAUUGCCCUUAAUGAAACAUGCAACACAGUUAUAUAUCAAGUCUUUUCACUGAGCCGAAUCUUUUUGAUCUCCUUCUUCUUCACUCUUUGUGUGAAGUUUUUUUCACACUCUAUGAAGUUGUUUAGUUUUUCGCUUGUAAGAUAUUGCCUUCUUCUGUCAUCUUUAUUAUCAUAGAAUUUAUUUUCGAUUAGCAAUAAACAAGUGUUAAAAGAAACAAACGUAUUCCUUGGAGGAAAAACUUUUUUGUUGCAUGCAUCAAAUAUUUAUCCAAAAAGAUUAAAAAAGAAGGAAAAAAGAGUCGAUUAUGACAAUGAAAGGUUAGGAACCAUCGCUUUUAUAAUCAUUCUCUUUGCUAAACAACUUACAGCCACACACAAACACCCAAGUAUUCGAUUCUCAUGGUGAAUAACAAUGUUAAGCAAAUAAUGCAUGUUCAGAGAGAAAGCGAUCUACAAUGAUUCAUUCAUGCUUAAAGCUUCUUUAACACAUUACGAUACAUGUAUCAUGUACGUAGAGAUAUAAAAAAACAUGGUACACGACCCAUUCUCAUAAAGAUAGCAACAUUUCAUGUUAUGCUGAGAGUCUUUCUUAAGACACAUGGAUUAAAAUUGAGGAGUACCAACCCACUCACUCACUCCAAACCAAAAAAAAAAAAUCAUCUCUUUUGGAUCCCUUCACUCAUAAGUCAACUCUCAUAUAUUAUAUUUUCUCCUAUAAAUAGCCUGCGCAUCCUCUUCAUCCCUAUACCACACACAACAAUAAAAAAAAAAGAAAAAACAAUCUAUAUCCUCAAACAUCCUAUCUCUCCAUCUCUCUCUUUCUCUCCAAUAUGGAUCACGAGGAAAUACCAUCAAUGCCCUCAACACCGGCGACAACGCCGGGAACUCCAGGAGCACCGCUCUUUGGAGGUUUUGAAGGAAAGAGGAAUGGACAUAAUGGUAAAUACACACCAAAGUCAAUUCUAAAAAGCUGCAAAUGCUUCAAUGUUGACAAUGAAUGGGCACUUGAAGAUGGAAGACUCCCUCCAGUCUCUUGCGCUCUCCCUCCUCCUAACGUCUCCCUCUACCGUAAGGUACAUGUUCAUACAAACUAAACUUGUUACCCUUCCAUAUAUAAGCACAUCAAUUAAAGAUGCAUUCAUUUUACUAAUAUGCAUAUGUUUACAGUUGGGAGCAGAGUUUGUUGGGACAUUGAUACUGAUCUUCGCCGGAACAGCCACGGCGAUUGUCAAUCAGAAGACAGAUGGAGCGGUCACGCUUAUAGGAUGUGCUGCCUCGGCUGGUCUUGCCGUUAUGAUCGUUAUAUUAUCGACCGGUCACAUCUCCGGGGCACAUCUCAACCCGGCUAUCACCAUUGCAUUUGCUGCUCUUAAACACUUCCCUUGGAAACAUGUCAGUUACUUUUUCUUUACUUCUUUUACUACAUUUUUUGGAUGUUACUGACAAAACGUCAGUUACUUCAAUUUAAUUUCUUUUAUAAAAUUUUGGAUGUUACUGAGAAACACGUGAGCAUGCACAUGCACACGCAACACAUAUGGGUUAAUUAAGAUAUACUAUAAAAUUUGAUAAUUCAAAGCGAUUUGUUAUUUUUAGUUAUUUGGAAUGUUAUUUGUUAGUGACUAAAGUAAUUAAAUGUGUAAAAAAAAAAUAGGUGCCGGUGUAUAUCGGAGCGCAGGUGAUGGCGUCGUUGUGUGCGGCGUUUGCACUGAAAGCAGUGUUUGAACCAACGAUGAGCGGUGGCGUAACGGUGCCAACGGUGGGUCUCAGCCAAGCUUUCGCUUUGGAGUUCAUAAUCAGCUUCAACCUUAUGUUUGUUGUCACUGCCGUGGCCACCGACACUAGAGCUGUAAAUAUACACUAAACACUAAAAUCUUAAAAGAACAAAACAGUUGAAACACGUCUGAAAAUCAAAAAUAUAAAAUGACAGGUGGGAGAGUUGGCGGGAAUAGCCGUAGGAGCAACGGUCAUGCUUAACAUACUCAUAGCUGGGUAAAAUCACUCAGUAGACGGAUCUAAGUCACAUUUGUCUUCUUGUUUCUUACAUAGAUAUAUGAUUAUGUUUUGUUGAUCAUGAUAAACAGACCAGCAACUUCUGCGUCAAUGAAUCCAGUAAGAACACUAGGUCCAGCCAUUGCAGCAAACAAUUACAGAGCCAUUUGGGUUUACCUUACUGCCCCAAUUCUUGGAGCGUUGAUCGGAGCAGGAACAUACACGAUCGUGAAGCUGCCAGAGGAAGAUGAAGCACCCAAAGAGAAGCGGAGCUUCAGGAGAUGAUCCAUUAUAAAUAUUCAAAUCCCAUUCGCCAUGUGUUCUCUGUUUGCAUCACUAUGUGUAUAAUAUAAUCUCUGACAGCAGAGAAUAUAUCAUUAUAAUAUAACCUCUGAAUCCAAAAAUAUUGCGAAUGCUUUUUCUUUAUAAAUCAAAAUUGCAAUAUUGUUUGCCUCAUACAUAUACCAAAGUAGCUUGCAAUUAUAUCGAUUUCUCCUGACUGCUUCUAGUUCAUUUUGCUGAUGAGAUCAUUGGUCUUGUCUUCGCGGUUUCCAGUAUCUCCUCUGUCGUUGAAAACUUGUUUCUUACCAUGCAAGACACCAGCCUUGGGCUUGUUGAAAGGGUCCCUAGAAUCACAUAACUUCUCUGAAAUGAUCAUCAACCGUUGCUAUCUCAUUCACAAGAUGUUCUAUGCAAAAGAUAAUAUUGUGUUCUCCUAGUGCCUAGGGUGAAAACAGAAGCUGGAAUAAUUAAGAACACCAUGGAGUAAGCUCUCUUGUACAUUGAAUAGGAAACAAGAGGAACAGGAUUGCUGAUCUAGGCCUAACUCACACCCAAAAACUAGCUCAAGAGUGGAGGAUUGCUACAUCACAUAUAUAUUUCCCAAGGAUGCACAUCUUAAACGAUGUGGGACAUCUAAUACCCUCUAUUCUUGUGUGUCCCUUUUUGAAUAUGAGGUCCUUAACGUUCUUUUCAUUCGGGUAUAUAUCUACAAGAAUGGCAAAACAUUGGCUAAACUCAGAGCUCAUAACGGAGUAAAUAAUGUCAAAACAAAGGUUAGACUCAAAGGUCAUUACAGAUUCAAUCAAGCAAUAGCAUGGAAAAUAUAAUGUUUCACUAUUGAAAGAUGAUUAUCUUUCACUUUGAGAAGCUUUUGAAACAAACAGUCAGUUGCUCUGGCAAAGACACCUGUAAACGUGUUUCUUUGUUGCAAACUGUUAAGAACCUUCGUGGUCUUUGGGUGUAUAUUCUUCUUGCUGGGAAGAGGGAGGGAUCAUGAGGACACUUUCAGAGAUGAAACAAGAGUAAAAAAGACCAAGUGAAGUGGAAAAGGAAAACCAUUGGAGGAUAUCAAUCGCCCUUGCGUGCGUAUGAUGAAAACGAGGUUUGAAUUAAUCGGUGGAGGAGGUGACUUUGGCCUCUUAAUCCUUAGCUUCAUCCGGCAAAGAUCUAGUUCCUAAAGGCAAAGUAUGAUAUAACUGUAACUUAGUUUCUAAGAUGUAGAAACAGUCUUAUAGAAGCAGAAUCAGAGCUUGGAGUUUAUAUAAAUGGACAAGGACACCCAAAAAUGUUAAAAAGGUUUUUGAAUGAGAGUAGCCCAUUUGCCUUUGAAUGACUUGUGCAAAACCAUAUAUGAACUUAUGGCUCAUUUGCCUUUGAAUGAGAGAGUAGCCCAUUGUUUCGUGAUAUAGGAACAGGGAGGGAUGAUGGGCUUAUAUAAAUGUUAAAAAGGUCAAUCAUAUGAAGAAGAAAAACUAUUAGACUGUUUUGAUUACUAAGUAUGCAGUUUUAGACAAACUAUGCUUCUAUUAAACAUGGAUGUUCUUUCUUUCUUUUUUUCUUUUUCCUUUUUCUUGGGGAUAAUAAAGAAUGAGAGGGUGGUCCAUAUAUCUUUGGGGUGUGGAGGUUGGACCGACAAGGUAAUCUAGGAGGAGAUAUACUGUCUAAAUUGAUUAGACGAAGCAAACAUAAAAACAAAAUACAUCACCUCACAAGUCACUAUGAUGAAACAAAAGAUGUACUUUUGUAACUAAAGCUGGAUGGUUUCUAUUUUCCAGCAGAUGAAUGUUUUUUAUUUUAAAAAGAAAUCAGUAAAUAGAUGUUGGGGAAUCAUAUGUUGGUGAUAAGAUCACAUUUUAAUGCACUGUCGAUUGAACCGGUAUGACCAGUUCGUAACUUGAUUGUCUUACUAUGUCUAAAGAUCGCACUUACUUGUUGUUUCUACUAACAAUGAACUCGUAAUAUUAUUUACUGCAGAACAAAGCUUUAAGAUUUCAAAUGUAUAUUAUAUCAUCAACUGAGAUUGUCUUUAAUGUUAGUAUAAAUCUACGUAUGUAUAUAAACCAUCAAUAUUUUAAUUUAUUAAUUAGUACAUUACUACAGUUAAAAACAAUCAUAUAUCUCAAGAAAUAGAUUUUUUUUUAAUACUAAAAAUGUAGGUAUCGUAAGUAAAAAAUAAAAAGUUCAGAUGUUCCAUAUCAUAAUCAUAAUUUGCUUAACCUAGAAUGAGUGGUUUCAUGGUAAAAAGACAACAAAAAAAAACAAGCAAUUUAUACGUUAUCAACAUCUUCGCACUGAAGCAUACGGUAUUACGAUGUGAAGCAGUGGUGAUAAAGAACUUGAAAUUUCGAAAGACAAAAAAGUCUUGAAAGGUUCGAUAGGAUAGUUACUGGAAGAAAGCAAUUCAGAAGUCAUUUCAUCCAGUAGCUAGAUUAAAGGGCAUUUACAAUAGAGAACUAAGAGAAGCUCGAUUAAAGACAUUCUCCAACAUCUAUGAAUCGAAUCUCAUAUCAUUUGUUCUUUUUGUUAGAUUAACCUUGGUGGAUGGUUCUGUAAGUUAACGAGAACGAAUGUAUGAUAUAAUAUAAACAAUGAUUAAUGACAUUUUUAUGUGAUUUUGAUGUGCGUGUUUUUUGGUUUUGGACAUUCGACCGAAAACGGGAGAAUGGGUUAAAAUAUUUGAGACGAAAGUGAUUGUCGGGGAAAUCUGAUUGGCUUCAUAAUCCUUGUCCAAAGUGCUAACUUACCUAACACUUAAACAAAUAAAGACAGCUUCUUCAUUUGGGUUUUUGAAUCAAACGUCUCACCUAAACCCUAGAUGAAUGGAACUACCUACGUACAUACUGUAUAGUGUUUAUAUAUGUUUAUGAUUCUAAAAAGAAACGUUUUAUAACGAACAAAAAAUAUAAGAAAAUUAGAAAAAGAAAGAGAGAAACAAGAUGGCAACUGUCAACAAAGACAAACUCAUUUGAUAAAGAUAGAGCUACUUAUGGUAUUUAUUACAAUAGGUAUAACAUGAAAUCAUGAACACUCAUUAUUCAUGUUCCCAAAUAUAUCAAUAAUUUCAAAUUAUUACAACAUUAAUUUUUUCUAGUGUCUACUACUAUACGGUUACAUGUGCGGCUCUGUAGCUCUAGGUCAGAUUGCACACAUCAAAAGUGUCCUCUUUUCUUUAAACAUCAUUCACUUUUUAAAAAAGGUCACAUGUCCCUCCAGUUCCAUAAAUAGAACUCACACUUCACUUCCCACGACCACAUCACUUAGCAUAACAUCUAUAUCAAACUUUUAUUUUCCUUCUCUUUAUAUACUAUCUGUAGGCUAUACACACAAAGUAUACAUGGAUCCUUCCAUCAAAGGAGAUCAAGAAAUGUUAAAAAUCAAGAAACGAUGUUAUCAAGAUCUUGAGUUAGGUUUGACCCUUUUGCCACGUGGUACGACUUCAUCAGAACUCAAUCUCAUCGAUUCUUUCAAAACCAGCUCAUCAUCGACUUCUCAUCAUCAUCCUAACCGUCACGAACAUUUGGAAGAUCCAAGAACGUUCUCGUGCAAUUAUUGUCAAAGAAAGUUCUAUAGCUCACAAGCACUAGGCGGCCACCAAAACGCUCAUAAACGCGAACGUACCUUAGCCAAACGCGGACACUACUACAAGAUGAGUCUCUCCUCCUCCUACUCCUCCUCAUCCUCAUCCUCUCCUUCUUCAGCGUUUGCGUUUGGCCACGGUUCAGUCAGCAGAUUCGCGAGCAUGGCAUCGUUACCGUUACAUGGCUCGCCGAGUAACAGAUCAACGCUAGGGAUUCAUGCUCAUUCAACGAUCCAUAAUCCUUAUCUAGGAAGACAAACAGCGAGUUUAAGCCAUGUUUUCAAACAGAGCGUUCACCAGAAACCAGACAUGGGAAAGGUGAUGCCGGAGAAAUUUCACAUUGAAGUCGCCAACAGUAACAUUGAAUAUUUCAAGAGCAAGCAAGAAGAUCAUAAUCAGUUUAACAAGAUUGACUUGACCCUUAAGCUAUGAUCUAUUAAUUGUCAUCUUGUUUUAGUCUUUAUUAUAACUUUUCGGUUUUUUACUAUCUUUUGAUUAUUACCUUUGUUUGAUAUAAUGAUUGACUGCAGGAUGUGGUAGAGUUUCAUCAAUUAAGCUGUGCCUUUUUUACUUGAUAUAUUGUUGUGUAGUUCAAUAUUUGAGGUCUAUUUUAAGCCUAUGUAGUACAAUACUCAAAACUUGUAUUAAUUUGUAUUACGGAGAAAGUGAUAGCCAUUCCACAUAUAUUAUUAGACUGGUGUAACUAUCAUAGUAAGAAAAUAUGUAUAAUCAUAUUCAUAGUGAAGAAUAUGUCAUCUUUUAAGUUCAAGUGAGAGUAACCCUACAUAAUAAAGUGUGUAUCCAAAAUGAGAAUUACAAAAAAAAUUGUGGAGUAUGUCACCGAAAGAACCAAAACAUGUCCUACGUUAUACGCAUUAUUGCCCACUAAAUUGUCACCAAUUUAUUAGGCGUGAACUGACUUUAGUCAAUCAACUGAUAGAAUGCAAUAUGAAAUAGUAUAUAUAUAUAUAUAUAUAAUGUAUACAAUAAACUAUAGUAUAGUGGAUUAUUUUAUAUGGUAUUAAUAGACAAUAUGGCUCUUAAUGGUAACAGCGGGUUGAGUGGUGCGGGACAAACGGAUUGGUUAGUGCGGUGCGGUUUAAGUGUGGUUUGUGUUAGAAAAACGCAUACUGCGGGACAAGUGCGGUUUGUCUAAAAUAAGCGGUUAAAAUAAAGUAUGAAUGGUGACAUGUAUGAUAAAUAAUGUAACUGCGGGAUACAUAUAAUAUUUUUAUAUUUUACAAACUAAAAUAUCAGUGAUAAUAAUAUAAUUUUUAAAAAUACAAAUUUUAUUUAAAAGUUAUUUUAUAUAUCUCAAAUAUGAAAUUCAAUAUACUAUUAUUAAAAUUUAUAACCAAUUAUUUUAUUUAAAAAAUUAUAAUUGCGCUAGUUGUCUUUAGACAAAAUUAAUUAAGAUAUCUGAAAAUAUAUAUAUAUAUAUAUAUUUUUUGUCAUCAACAUAAAUAGAGUCAUGAAGACUUUGCAAACCAAGCUUUAAGAUAUCAGUGAUUUUAAAUUAGGAAUAUGAAACUUUUUAUUUAAUUUAUAGAUUUUUUUUAAUUAUCUGAAAAACUUUACAAAAUCAUUUUUACUUAUUUUCUCAUCUAAAAUAUUGUAUUUACAAAAUCAUUUUUACUUAUUUUCUCAUCUAAAAUAUUGUAUUUUCAAAUUUCAAAACUUUAGCUAAGUCUGGACAUAUUUAUCUGGAACCAAACCUAAUCAACCAUAAAGCAAGGCUAGGUUUGGAUCAUGUUAGUUAUACUGGAUUCUAUAUCUUUAGAACCGGAAUGCCGACCGAACCAAAAACCGAAUAGGUACAUAAAUUUUUAUGAUAUAGUCUAUAUUUAUAAAUAUUAACUAUAUUUGGUUUUAAAAUAAUCAAAAUCAUUUAAAAAUAUUAUUUAUAAGUAGAAAUAGCUAAAAACUCUAGAAUACUUUUUAUCCAAAAAAAUUAAAAUUAUCCGAACAAUUUGAGUUUUUAUUUGAGUCUAGAUUAGUUAAUCAUAUGAGUAUAAGUAUAUUUUAACAUUUUAAUGAAAUAUUUUGGUCUUUUUGACUUUUAUGUGAUAUAUUUAUGAUAAAGCUUUUUGAUGUUAUUCUAAAUUUUUUUGCUUAAAAUAAUUUAAUAGAAAAUGUACAAAACUAACUUAAAACAUCUUUCUAAAGUUAAAAGAAAGAAUUUAUAAUCCUUAUUUUUUUUACCAUAGCUCUUUUAAAACAAAUAUGUAAAAAAAAUUCCAAAGCUUGUUUCCCCUUUUUGUUGCUCACCCAAAAUAGGUGUGAGAAGACAUUACACAAUCAUGUGUAAAUAUGACAUAGAAAAAUAUAAUAUAUUUUUUAUUUGUUUUAAAAAUUAGAUUCGAUUAAGUAAACACAUGUACAGUACAUAGACCACACCUUUUUUCCUUCUACUGCGUUUGAUGUGCGUUCCACUUCCCGCACUCUUGCUUUAUGUAUUAUUACAUAUUUUAUAUUUAUUUUUUAUAUACAAUUUAUCAACUCAAAAUUGUGUUGAAUGGAAACACAUAUUUGGACCGCUACGUGCGUAUUGGUGAUCCGCAGUUAACAUUCAUAGCCUAUAUCAGCAAAACAAGAUUUUACGUUUUUGUAAAAAAUAUAGUGGAUGCACUGUGACUAUCGAAGAGAGGUCCUACAUGUAGUUAAAAGAAACAGACAUUAAUCCACAAGUGAAGAGUUGUUCGUCAGAGGUUGUUGUUUUCAUCGCCAUGUGACUAUUAAAGUUAAAUUUAAAUUGUCCUUUUUAAUCUAAUCUAGUCACAUCGCUAUUAUUAUUUCACAAUUCUAUCACCAUUUUAACCAAUAAUCUAAUCUAAUCUAAUCUAUUACAACUCUCAAGAAAAUUAUCUGCACUAAUGCAUAUACUAAUUUAACACUUGUUACUUGAUAUUUUAUUUUGUAUGAUAUGUGACCAUGUGGGCGAGAGGGAUCUAUUAUGAAAAUUGAUUAUUAUCUUGGAUUUACUGAAUUAUAACCCAAAGAUUCUGUGAAGUCUGCUUUGGGUGGGGUAUGUAUCAAGUUGAUGUUUACAUUAAAGUGAUAAUAAUCAUAUAAUAAAGCUAAUCAUUGCAAUUAACAAUCAACAUUUCCCACAAAUCAUGAUAUUAACGAUGCAGAAAUCAUGUUGUUACGCACAAUAAUUACCUUUACUAAUCCCUCAGAUUAUCCUAAUCCCUCAUUAUCCUAAUCCCUCAGAUUAUCCUAAUCCGUCAUAUCGAUUAAGAUUUGUAUGUAGAUACCACACAAUCAUGUUUCAUAGUGGAAAAAGAUCCAAAGUUCUGUAGAAAAUGACAGUUUUCAUAAUCAAAAGCUUAUUAGAUACCAAAUCAAAUUCAAAAGAGAAUAUAGUAAUUGCAUCAUACUAUAUCUCCUAAUAUUUUGUAUAAAGCAAACCGAAUUAACACACAUCUAACUAUAGUAUAUUGCAUUCAGCUGGCUUGUCCCUUUAACUUCUGGUGUUUUACAGUGAAUCCACACUAGGGAAUAAAAAAAGAAGUAAAGAACACAUCCAUGGAGUUGCUCCUCUGUUAAGGAACACUAAGAAUUGGUUCGGAAGUCACCAAAGUCGAACACAAGUGUUAGCUAGCAAGUUCCCUAAGGGGGAAAAUUAAACUUACCCGAGAAGUCAUCAUUCUACAAACUUAACUUUAAAGCACUUUCAAUGCAAACAAGAAACACCACGAUUCCAUUCUCACUAACAUGUAAAAAUGAAACAGUCUUGAUCUGUCCAUGCUAAUAAUUAUGCAUCAGGGAGUAGUUUUUACACAACCUGUAAGCUAAGAACCCAGCCAACAACAAAAAAAAACUGCAACUGAAUUUAUUAGUUGGAGAAUAUCCAAAUCAAAGAGAGUCAAGUACUCUCACAUACAGACUGCAUUUAUGAGGAACCAAGCAGUAGAAAGCCAAAGAGACUAAUGUCUAAUUCUUCUCGACAUAAGAUUUAACGCUUUCCAUCCAUCUAACGUACUCGAAUUUACUUUUGUUCUUCAUAUAACGAUGCAAGAAAACAGCAAGCUCGUCGCUUAUACCUCUUUCCUCUAAAAACUGAUAAAGAGCGUCUUGAAGCUCAUCAUCCAGUUCCCUGUAACAACCAAAAACAAACACACAAUCACUUCAUCUUUUUGCAUAGUAGUCCUAUAUCUCUUUUUUUUUUGUUAUGUUAAAGAAAAGAAUGAGGUCAGCGUACUCAAACUCAGGUCCACCGUAGGAAGACGGCGAACUGUUGAUGCCUUUACGAAUACAGAGCUUUGAUAUCUCAAUGUUAUCUGGCCAAGCAGAACACAUGAUCUCCAAGGAUUCACCAGAAAUGCCCUUAGAGAUGUUGACAACGAAAGUGAUGUGAAGAAUAAACUCAGGUUCAGUUCUGGUGGACUUUGAAGUCGGAACUGAUCUAUCAAACAUGGUCGCCUCAACUUUAAUGUCUUCUUUCUCCCCAUACUUCCUCUUCAAGCUAAUCCACUGCUCUCCAGGCCGUUCCUCCACAGUGAAUGGACCAUAACUGCUCGGAGACUGCAAACAUAUCCAAUCAAAGUGAUCAAUCCCCAAACUGGAGAGGGCACUGUAUCAACCUAAGUAUUGCAUAUCACAUGUACAUAACUCUUAUACCAAACUCAGAUUCCAGGAAGGCUAAAGUAUCUACCUUUCUGCCACCGAAAUGGAAUAAUUAAGAUUGAAAGCUUAAAGUAUCAAGCUUUAUUGGGCAUUACCUGAAGAGGAGGCGAGUGAUUGAGUUCGUAAUCGAUCUCAUUACGGAUGAGUCGGCAGAUGUUUCCUUGGAAAGCUGAUUUCUGCAUUUCUGAGACGUAACUCCCCGAGCUUAGACAUCUCCCUCCGAUCAAAAAGUUCCGAUUUUGAAUCGUGGGUAAACCGAUUUUAGGGUUCCGGUACGCAAUCGAAGGGGACGAAUCGGAGAAGACGGAUCUUCUCAGACAUCUGACGAAUCGAGCCAUUGACAGAGAGAUGAGAGGAGAAAUGACGACGAUUCGUAGGGUUUAACAGUUUUUAAGAGAUUUAAUCGUACGGCUAAUAUCGCGCGUUAUAGUUUGGGAGAAAGUAAUCUACACCGUCGAUUGAGAUUAAUAACAGUCAAAACAGAGGUUCCAUCGUACGGCCAGUAUCGUGUGUUCUAGUUCGGAGAAAGUAAUCUGAACCGUCAAAAUAAUGACAUUUUCGUAAAAUUAAGAAAAUAAUUUUUUUUUGGCGGUAAAAUGCGAUUCUCCCGCCCAUCUCCGACCAAUCAGGGAUCUUAGCUAAUCAUUGCAAUUAACAAUCAACAUUUCCCACAAAUCAUGAUAUUAACGAUGCAGAAAUCAUGUUGUUACGCACAAUAAUUACCUUUACUAAUCCCUCAGAUUAUCCUAAUCCCUCAUUAUCCUAAUCCCUCAGAUUAUCCUAAUCCGUCAUAUCGAUUAAGAUUUGUAUGUAGAUACCACACAAUCAUGUUUCAUAGUGGAAAAAGAUCCAAAGUUCUGUAGAAAAUGACAGUUUUCAUAAUCAAAAGCUUAUUAGAUACCAAAUCAAAUUCAAAAGAGAAUAUAGUAAUUGCAUCAUACUAUAUCUCCUAAUAUUUUGUAUAAAGCAAACCGAAUUAACACACAUCUAACUAUAGUAUAUUGCAUUCAGCUGGCUUGUCCCUUUAACUUCUGGUGUUUUACAGUGAAUCCACACUAGGGAAUAAAAAAAGAAGUAAAGAACACAUCCAUGGAGUUGCUCCUCUGUUAAGGAACACUAAGAAUUGGUUCGGAAGUCACCAAAGUCGAACACAAGUGUUAGCUAGCAAGUUCCCUAAGGGGGAAAAUUAAACUUACCCGAGAAGUCAUCAUUCUACAAACUUAACUUUAAAGCACUUUCAAUGCAAACAAGAAACACCACGAUUCCAUUCUCACUAACAUGUAAAAAUGAAACAGUCUUGAUCUGUCCAUGCUAAUAAUUAUGCAUCAGGGAGUAGUUUUUACACAACCUGUAAGCUAAGAACCCAGCCAACAACAAAAAAAAACUGCAACUGAAUUUAUUAGUUGGAGAAUAUCCAAAUCAAAGAGAGUCAAGUACUCUCACAUACAGACUGCAUUUAUGAGGAACCAAGCAGUAGAAAGCCAAAGAGACUAAUGUCUAAUUCUUCUCGACAUAAGAUUUAACGCUUUCCAUCCAUCUAACGUACUCGAAUUUACUUUUGUUCUUCAUAUAACGAUGCAAGAAAACAGCAAGCUCGUCGCUUAUACCUCUUUCCUCUAAAAACUGAUAAAGAGCGUCUUGAAGCUCAUCAUCCAGUUCCCUGUAACAACCAAAAACAAACACACAAUCACUUCAUCUUUUUGCAUAGUAGUCCUAUAUCUCUUUUUUUUUUGUUAUGUUAAAGAAAAGAAUGAGGUCAGCGUACUCAAACUCAGGUCCACCGUAGGAAGACGGCGAACUGUUGAUGCCUUUACGAAUACAGAGCUUUGAUAUCUCAAUGUUAUCUGGCCAAGCAGAACACAUGAUCUCCAAGGAUUCACCAGAAAUGCCCUUAGAGAUGUUGACAACGAAAGUGAUGUGAAGAAUAAACUCAGGUUCAGUUCUGGUGGACUUUGAAGUCGGAACUGAUCUAUCAAACAUGGUCGCCUCAACUUUAAUGUCUUCUUUCUCCCCAUACUUCCUCUUCAAGCUAAUCCACUGCUCUCCAGGCCGUUCCUCCACAGUGAAUGGACCAUAACUGCUCGGAGACUGCAAACAUAUCCAAUCAAAGUGAUCAAUCCCCAAACUGGAGAGGGCACUGUAUCAACCUAAGUAUUGCAUAUCACAUGUACAUAACUCUUAUACCAAACUCAGAUUCCAGGAAGGCUAAAGUAUCUACCUUUCUGCCACCGAAAUGGAAUAAUUAAGAUUGAAAGCUUAAAGUAUCAAGCUUUAUUGGGCAUUACCUGAAGAGGAGGCGAGUGAUUGAGUUCGUAAUCGAUCUCAUUACGGAUGAGUCGGCAGAUGUUUCCUUGGAAAGCUGAUUUCUGCAUUUCUGAGACGUAACUCCCCGAGCUUAGACAUCUCCCUCCGAUCAAAAAGUUCCGAUUUUGAAUCGUGGGUAAACCGAUUUUAGGGUUCCGGUACGCAAUCGAAGGGGACGAAUCGGAGAAGACGGAUCUUCUCAGACAUCUGACGAAUCGAGCCAUUGACAGAGAGAUGAGAGGAGAAAUGACGACGAUUCGUAGGGUUUAACAGUUUUUAAGAGAUUUAAUCGUACGGCUAAUAUCGCGCGUUAUAGUUUGGGAGAAAGUAAUCUACACCGUCGAUUGAGAUUAAUAACAGUCAAAACAGAGAUUCCAUCGUACGGCCAGUAUCGUGUGUUCUAGUUCGGAGAAAGUAAUCUGAACCGUCAAAAUAAUGACAUUUUCGUAAAAUUAAGAAAAUAAUUUUUUUUUGGCGGUAAAAUGCGAUUCUCCCGCCCAUCUCCGACCAAUCAGGGAUCUUCUUGUUUGAUUGCUUUUCUUCUAGGGCUUUCAGGUUUAGUCCGAAGUUGCUUUUUUCCCUCUCUCUCUCUCUCUCUCUCUCUCUGCCUCACGGUGAUUCAAUGGCGACGGAGUACGAGCGGAAACGAUUGGAGAACAUCAGACGGAACGAUGAGAUGAUGGCGGCGCUCAACGUCCGAGCCAAAGCUUCUCUUCUCACCGCCGCAACCAAACGCCCUCGAGAGGAAUCUACUAAAUCGUAUAAGAAGAAGGAGAAGCCUGAAACACCGAUUGUUAUGCGGAAGUCUCUACGCACCAGAGGAUUGGAUCCAGAUUCGGUCGGUUUACCCAAUUGGUUCUCGGAUUUUCCCAAACGUAUUACUUCUCCUCCUUCCCAGUACUCGUCGGCGCCUCUGCAGAAAUCAUCGGCUCGUUUGUUGGCUCCUCUGCCCUUUGAUAAGGCUUAUGAUGGAGAGGGGUCUUGUAAGAAAUUGAUCGAGACUAUGUUGCGUUCUGCGAGUAAGUCUAUUGAUGAUUCUCCUAUAGAUAGUAGCAGCACUAGGAGGAGAUCUUCUCGCCUGUCUAAUGCUGUUGUUCAAAAGGAAGAGUUAGUUUCAUCUAGUUGUUUUGUGAAGAAGGUAGCUUUUGCCAAAAAGUCUUGUCGAGGAAAGAUGGUUACUAAGGAUGAGAAUGAUGAUUCUCCUAUGAGUUCUGGUAAUGAUUGUUUGAAGAAGGAAGUUGUUAAGCCUGAGAAGAUUGAGUUUGAUGGGGAGCCGUUGAGUUUAGAGCCGCAUAACGUAGCACGUGUUGUUCCUGGGAGGAUUUUGGUUGUAAAGUUAAUACCUUGCCAGAAUGUUAAGCUUGUUGCUGCUGGGGACAAACUUGGGAAUGUUGGGUUUUGGAAUUUGGAUUGCCAGGGUGAGGAAGAUGAUGAUGAUGGGAUCUAUCUGUUCCGUCCUCACACUGCCCCAGUUUCAUCUCUUGUGUUUCAGCAAAACUCUCUCUCAAAGGUACAUUUUUUUAUUUGUCUUGAAACUUUGGUUGGAGAAAGCUAUCUCUUUUAUUAUUCCUAAGCUCUUUUUCGUUGGCGCAGGUUAUUAGCAGCAGCUAUGAUGGUCUCAUACGGUUGAUGGAUGUUGAGAAGUCGGUUUUUGAUCUGGUUUAUUCGAGCGAUGAUGCUAUAUUUUCCCUCUCGCAGAGACCUAAUGAUGAGCAAAGCUUGUACUUUAGUGCGGGAUAUGGAAUGUUGAAUGUAUGGGACCUCCGAGCAGGAAAGUCAGUUUUCAAUUGGGAUGAUUUACAUGAACACAGGAUAAACUCUAUAGAUUUCAGCUCGCAAAAUCCCCAUGUCAUGGCUACAAGCUCCACAGAUGGGAAUGCUUGCCUUUGGGACUUGAGAAGCAUAGGAGCUACAACACCGAAAACAUUAAAGACUGUGAACCAUUCUAGGGCGGUGCACUCUGCUUAUUUCUCUCCUUCUGGUCUUUCACUUGCAACUACAAGGUAAUUUUAUUUUACUAAUCAGAUGAUGUUUGUUUCGUUUGAAACAUUAAGAUAUGCUCCACACUUGUUAAGGUUCAUUAUCUCUCUGCGUUUUGGUAUAUAAGUUGCACACUGCACUUGAGUGUUUAAAAUCAAUUACUCAUAAAGAAAUCCUUGAUGGUUACUAAUCUCGUAAAGCUUACCGACAACUUAGAGGAGGUCAAACAUGUGUAUUGUGAAACUGAUUUUAUGUAGCUCCCUUGUGUGUGUAUACUUCUUUUCAGCAUCGGUUAAAUGUGGAAUGCUAAUGUUUGUUACGCUCUUGCCUUGUUUUCCUUGUAGCGUUGACAACUAUAUUGGUUUACUAAGUGGCACCAAUUUUGAGGAUAUCUCCAUGAUAUCUCACGACAAUGCCACCAACAGGUGGAUCUCUACUUUCAGGUAUUGCUCCACACCCUAAUAAGCUCUCAGUUCCAGUACACCUAUGAGUAUUGAGACACUCAUUUUCCACAUUUAUGAGAAAAUGAAAAGUGGGCAUUGCUCUCAUCGUCUGUUUUUUUUUUAUUUGCAGGGGAGUAUGGGGAUGGGAUGACUCAUACAUCUUUGUGGGCAAUCGUCCUUCAAAAGGAAUAGAUGUGAUCUCAACGAAACUAAAGAGAACAGUGAAGGAACUGCAAGACCCUCUAAUGAAAGCUAUUCCUUGCAGAAUCCAUUGCCAUCCUCUUAGUGUUGGGGUGCUUGCAGGAUCCACAGCUGGAGGACAGGUCUAUGUUUGGACACCAAAGUAACCAUAUUUUUCAAUCAGCAUGAGUUGUUAGUGUGUUAUUUGUUUGGAACUGGUUUACUACUGUAGAUGUAAUAACUUUUGAAGUUAAAUAUCUCGAGCGUUCUAGUUUCGGAGAAAGUAAAUCUGGACCGUCCAAAAUAAUGAAAAUUUAGUAAUUUAAACAAUAACAAUAAAAUAAUUUUUUUAUUGGCGGCAAAUGCGAUUCUUCAGCCCCUUCCUUCUCCGACCAAUCAGGAGUGUUGUUGUUAGGUCUUUAAAGCUCGAGUGCGAAGAGACACUUUCUUUGACGCUUGAAUGGCGACGGAGUUCGAGCGGAAGAGAUUGGAGAACAUCAGGCGGAACGAUGAGAUGUUGGCGGCUCUCAACGUCCGUGCGAAAGCUUCUCUUCUCACCGCCGCAACGAAACGACCUCGAGACGAAUCUACUAAGUCUUUGAAGAAGAAGGAGAAGCCUAUUGUUAUACGGAAGUCUCUACGCACCAGAGGUUUGAAUCCAGAUUCCGUUGGCUUACCCUAUCGGUUCUCAGGUGAUCCCAAACGUAUGGCUCCUCCUCCUCAGAAAUUAAAGGCUCGUCUUCCCUUUGAUAAGGCUUAUGGUGGAGAGGGCUCUUAUAAGAAGUUCGUUGAGACUGUGUUGGGCACAACUGCGAGUAACUCUAUGGUUAAGGAUGAUUCUCCUAUAGAUUGUAGCAGCACUAGGAGAAGAUCUUCUCGCCUGUCUAAUGUUAACAAGGCAGAGUCAGUUUCAUCUAGUGAUUAUGUGAAGAAGGAAGCUUUUGUCAAGAAGCCUUGUGGAGGAAAAUUAAUUACUAAGGAUGAGAGUGAUGAUUGUUUGAACAAGGAAGCUUCUGGGGUUAUGACUGAGAGCAUUGAGUUUGAGGAGGGUGGUUCUGGCACGGGACCGUUGAGUUUAGAAUCGAAUAACGUAGCACGUGUUGUUCCUGGGAGGGUUUUUGUUGUAAAGUUCAUGCCUUGCCAGAACGUUAAGCUGGUUGCUGCAGGGGACAAACUUGGCAAUGUUGGCUUUUGGAAUUUGGAUGGGGAGGAUGAUGGGAUCUAUCUGUUCCAUCCUCACACUGCCCCAGUUUCAUCUCUAGUGUUCCAUCAAAACUCUUUCUCAAAGGCGAGUUUUGUCUUGAUUGAAACUUUGGUUGGAGAAAGUUAUCUCUUUUGUUAUUACUUAGCUUUUUUUUUCCGUUGAUGCAGGUUAUUAGUAGCAGCUAUGAUGGUCUCAUACGUUUGAUGGAUGUUGGAAAGUCGGUUUUUGAUCUGGUUUAUUCGAGCGAUGAUGCUAUAUAUUCCCUCUCCCAGAGGCCUAAUGAUGAGCAAAGCUUGUACUUCUCUGAGGGACAUGGAAUGUUGAAUGUAUGGGACCUCCGAGCAGGAAAGUCAGUUUUCAAUUGGGGUUUGCAUGAACACAGGAUAAACACUAUAGACUUCAACCCGCAAAAUCCUCAUGUCAUGGCUACAAGUUCCAAAGAUGGGACUGCUUGCCUUUGGGACUUGAGAAGCAUGGGAGCUACAAAACCAAAAACAUUAAGGACUGUGACUCAUUCCAAAACUGUGCACUCUGCUUAUUUCUCACCCACUGGCCUUUCACUUGCAACUACAAGGUAUCUUGUCGUUUUUUUCUCCUCAGUCUGCUCAAUACAUUUACUUUGUGGAACUACAAACAUCGGUUUUACUUGUUUAUAAGAAAUCACAUAAAGAUGUUGUUUGUUUUGUUGAAACAUUAGUAUAUACUCCACACUUGUUGAGGUUCAUUAACUCUCUGCGUUUUGGUAAAAUGUGGAAUGCUAGUGGCUGUUUUACGUUCCCUGUCUGGUGUUUGAUUGUGAAACUCUUGCCUUGUUUCCUUUGUAGCGUUGACAACUAUAUUGGUAUUCUAAGUGGCGCCAAUUUUGAGGAUACUUCCAUGAUCUAUCACGAUAAUUGUAAUACUACCAACAAGUGGAUCUCCACUUUCAGGUAUUGCACUAUUCCUGUGACCACUGGCACACUUGCUAUUUUUAUGGGAAAAUGAAACGUAGGCAUUGCUCUCAUCGACUGUUUAUAAUUUGCAGGGGAGUGUGGGGUUGGGAUGAUUCAUACAUCUUUGUGGGCAACCGUCCUUCAAAAGGAAUUGAUGUGAUCUCUACUAAACUAAAGAGAACAGUGAAGGAACUGCAUGACCCACUUAUGAAAGUUCUUCCUUGCAGAAUCCAUUGUCAUCCUCUUAGUGUUGGGGUGCUUGCAGGAUCCACUGCUGCAGGGCAGGUCUAUGUUUGGACACCAAAGUAACCAUUUUCAAUAGGCGUGAGUUGUUAGUGUGGUUUUUGUUGUGUCAGCACCCAAAUGUUAUUAUCUGUUUGGUUCUAAUAACUUAAAGUAAAUUAACUCCUUGCGUUUACGUAAUCAUCCUGAAGCGAGCAAGCAAAAUAAGAGAAUUGCAUUGACUAAUGCUUUAGUUCCAAAAGCAAACAAAACCACCCACAUAAGAGUAUAAUCCUUCUUCAUCUACCAACUAAGUUUCCUUUCUAAUAAUCUCACUGAGGCCUAGGAGAAUCGACAUUUGUUUGAUUCUCAACAGGCUUAUGUACAUUGCCCUUCUGUUCCACAUUAUUCGGUUUUGAUUCUUCUUUUGGUGGGGGUUUAGUAGAUUGGUCUCCUUGUGUUUUGGUUGGAGCAUUCCCUGAAGGUUUCUUUGCUUCCGAAACAAUCUCUUUUAUUGUCUCUUCGAUUUUUCCCAGUCUCUGUUUCAUCUCCAUUAGCUCAUCCUGAGACUUGGUUGCUGCUGCUUCUUCUAAGGCCUUCUUUUCAGCUUCUUCCUUCUCUUUCUUUUCAUCUUCUUUACUCUUCUUCUCCCCAAGUUCCUGAACAUACAAGCAACAUUGGCCAGGAUAAUGACAUGGAGGACAGAAACCAUUAAAACAUAGAUAUCUCUCAGGAUAUCAGUUUGGUAAUGAACAAGAAAUGAAAACUGACAGCGUCCAUGAUCUUCAUUUUACGGCGAGCAUAUUGAGCAACCAGAUACACAGCUGUUACAAGGAAAACAAAGCAACAUUGAGAUCCUUAACACUUAGGAGAGAUACUUAAGGGGGUGAACUGAGAGAUACCUAGAGAGGGCAAGCAGACGAUAAUGAAUUGCACCACAUGCCAGUCAAGCCUAACACACGAGUAAAACCCAUAUGAACUAACCAGCACAAGAACUCUAACUUACUCUAAGAGAUAGUUUCAGAACCUCAGCCUAAAGAAGCUAACUUUUUUACACAGUUCUAAAGUUGUGAGCUUUAAGGCAGAGAAAGUACCCAAAUUUAUUCUUCUUGGGUGGUUCAGUGAACAAGAUCUUCGCAGCUGUCACGAAAUCGAGCUUAUCCAGUUUCUUGUACGUCUCAUCGUAGCGAGAAACAACAACAUUAGAUUCAGUCUCGCUGUGCUGAGCAACAACACUAGAUUCCGUCUUCUUCCCACCGUUCUCUCCUUUAGUGCAGAGACGUCGGAUCCUGUAGUGUCUCAACCGGGUCGCCAAUCCGACCCACGAGCCUCUGCCGCGAAGCAUCCUAAUUUCUCCCCGGCGACUACAGCUCCACUACGACGACUCUGCAACUCGAAUAGAACCGGGUCUCAAGUCACGGGUUGAUUCACUUAUACCAACCGGUUCCGAUACGAUUUUUAAAAAUAUAAACCGGUUAGAUCUUAAUGAAGCUGUGAUCUGGGAUCUAAUCAAAACCAGUAUCUUUGUCAAUAUUUUUUUCCAAUAGUCUCUUUCACUUUGCCUUGUUUUUUCCAGCUUUGGUGACUGUUUGUUAGCUAUGAUGUGGACCUCUUUUUAUCAAAUUAUUUUUCUAACUAUUAAUUUUAAACUUUUAUAUUAUGAUGCCUUAGGGAAACGUAUUAUCUUGGAUUUAACCAAGGCAAAUUAGUGGCAUGCCUCAACACAUUUCAUUUUUUUUUGCAAGAUAGAGAAAAGUUGAACUUUUCAUACAUCACUUUGGUUUAGAGUAUUUAAAACAUCUUACAUUUUAUUAUAUAACUUUAUAUACUUAAAAGAAUAUGGUUUGCUUCAGAAAAUAGCAAAUGCUUUAAACAGAAAAUUGAUUGCCUAAAGAAUAUAAAGAAAAGGAAGAUUAUUGGUUUUGGUGGAUAAAUACACAUAGAUUCAUGAUUAGGAGUAUCAUUUAUUUUUCCACAAAUCGUUUAUUUGUGUACUAUCACAUACUUUUGCACCAUAAUUAGCCGCACUACUUAAUUUAAAAUGAUUACUCAAUUUCAAGUCAAUUUGAAAGGAAAAAAAAGGGUGGUCUCUAGACAAAAGUUGAGCCAAAGAUAACGAAUAUUAAGCUUUAUAUUGGACCCCAUAAUAGACUGUAAAUUAUUAAAGCAUCAUACCGCCAAAUAUUAAUUUAGGUUUUUUAGGCAAACCAUUAAAUAAAACGAUUCUGGUAACUGAGCCGUAUAUGUAUUUAAUAUGAAAUAAAUAAUCAUAACAUGGCAAGGGAAAAUAAAGUAAAUAACAAUAAACAAAACGUAUUCAUUUAUGGAAGUAAAUAUGAUUAGGCAUUGUUUAAUCAAUAAUCUCAAGACUAAUUAAUAAUGCUCCUUCUCCUUCCUUUAACUUCUUAAUCGAAAAGUGUAAACAUAAUUAGCAUUGGAAAUCUCAAAAGACGAGUCAUUGGCAUUUUGUGUAAUUACGUUAAAGUGGAAAGGGUAAAUAAAUUGUCAUCAACUCAGACAGUUUAUAUAGAACCAAGUCUUCUUCUUCCACCUCAAGAACUCCCGUCCGGCUGCUCUCUGCCGCCGGCAAUACUCUCUCUCUCCGGUGGUCAAAGAAGUUUGAGUAAUGGCGUUGAAUCUUUAGUGGUAAGCGUUAAACCUUGAAAAGAAAGAGAGGGAAGAAAUUGAAAAUGCUGUGCCGGAAAAACUCAAGCGUGGUGGAUAGAGGAAACGUUCCGGUUUAUCUCAAUGUCUACGAUCUAACUCCCAUCAAUGGCUAUGCUUACUGGUUUGGUCUUGGCGUUUACCAUUCUGGUGUUGAAGGUUAGUCUUUUUUUUGGUUCCUGAGUUUUAGAAUCUUUUUUAAACUUCAUCUUUAGAUCUAAAUAAUGCUCUUAAUAUUACAUAGAAUAUCAUUUUAGAUCGAAGUUUCUUGGGAUUUGAAGUUAAUUCGUCGUUUAAAUUCAAAAGUGUUGGCUUUCAAUUUUCAAGAACUUGACUUUCGAAUUAUCUAAAAAUAUUAUUUGUUUUUUUUUUUUUGGGUAGUUCAUGGUAUAGAGUAUGCAUAUGGAGCUCAUGAAUAUCCAAGUACGGGCAUUUUCGAAGGGGAACCGAAGCAAUGCGAAGGGUUUACGUUUAGGAAAUCGAUUUUGAUUGGUAAAACGGAUCUUGGGCCUUUGGAAGUGAGAGCUACGAUGGAGGAGCUUUCGGAGAUUUACAAAGGAAGCUCUUACAACCUCAUCACCAAGAACUGCAACCACUUCUGCGAUGAGAUUUGUAUUAAGUUAACCGGGAAUCCAAUUCCUAGUUGGGUUAACCGGCUUGCAAGAAUCGGUAAACUCUCUGGUAACACUCCCUUCAAUCUUUACGGUUUAGUUUCUUUCUUACUGAAGACGUCAGUACAGUAGUGGCCUACUUUUAAAGUCUUAGCCUUUGGUUACAAUGUAGACUAAAAUAUGAACUAAGUUUUUGCUUGAAAUGUUCGAUCUUUAUGCUUAAGAUCCAAGUUUAGCUUCUGGGUUUAUUGAUAAAUACGUUUUCUGAUUGAUAAGAAGAGCUUGGAAGCUAAGACAUGACUUUGGGUUAGGCUUAAAGUUUCCAUUUUUAGGGAAAAGGACUCUGUUUUCUGUGCUCUGAAGUUGAAUUGCUCUGUUUUAAAAUGGUAGGAUUCAUGUGCAACUGUGUGCUUCCUGCGACCAUAAACGCGACCAAGCUCGGUAAUAACCGAAUCAAUCAAGACAAGUCAUGUGAAGCAGAGACUGAGAAGAAGAAACUGACGGGUGGAUCGAGCAGAGAGAGCUCUACGACGAUUGAUACUCCGUCGUCGUCAUCUUCGUCUCCAUCAGUUCAAGUUCGUGGUCGAAGCAGGAAAAGGCGUCCUCGUGCUAUGCAUCCUUCAUCGCCAGUGAUUCUCGGAUCUUCCACCGUUUGAUUUGCUUUGUUGUUAUACAAAAUCUUCUCUGUUUUUUUCUUUCACCUAAUUGCGAUUGUGCUUUGUAAUCUUGUUAAUAUGCAAAGAACCCUUAUUUUUCUGUAAUCUUAUUUACACUUUCAGUUUUUGGAUACAAUUUUUUACACAAUUAUAUUUAUAUAUCAAAUUCAAGUCUCAGUAAUCAGAGACAUGGAAUGAUAAAGUGAAGAAGCAUCAAUCUAUGGACUUGUUUUUUAUGAAAUUAAAUGAGAAUAUAUUCCAUACACUUUUUUAGAUUGAUUAAUAUAUUACUUUCGGCAGUAUCUAUUUAAGAACUAAUGAAAAGCAAAUAUGCCUGAUAAUAGAACAUGAGGAGCCAACACCAAACUUAAGAAUAAGAGCAGAAAGUUUUAAUACAGAACACAUAUUUAUGUAGGAAGCAUUAUUUGUUCACAAGGGUAACAAUAAAUCAUAUUUUGAAGGGUAACAGCUUAAGACUCAGACCUGACAGAAGCAAUUCGCAUAUUUCUUCUGCCAUCUUUUUGAGUAUGCCAUCAAACAAGCAAGAGAGCUUGUGUAAGUUUAGUUGUGUCCUUGUUAACCAGUGAUAAUGAGUUUAGUGCUUCUCAUUUGAUCCUGAUAAUGAGUUCAACCCAAAUUUAAGUGGUCAGCUCGCUCUUUCCUACAACUUAAAUUUAGUAACAGUGACCGCAACAGCCUUGUUAAAGGCGUCGCCAAGGUUUGGAGCUUCCAAGAAACUAGAAGUUACCAGUAAUAUAUUCACAUAAGAUAUAAUUGCCAACUAAAGAGAUUCUUAAACAAAGUAAGAAAUCACAGUUUACAGAAUACUAAAUGUCAAAAUAGAACAAAUUGUCAUACUUGAACCAAGAUAAUAAAAGAGAAUUACAAAGACUAAACAUAGAUGAUCAGAUGAGGAGGCACUGAAGAUGUUUUUGCUAUUUUGUAAGAGUUUCAGAAGCUGAGGGCAAUACCCAAUCCAAUCCUAGGCAAAUAGGCAGGUCUGAACUCUCCCAACACCCUCAUGAAAUACCACUGAAAAAUGGCACUAACUUGUCCAGUGUUGUCAGCUCGAGCCUUCAACCAAAGGUGUGGAUCAAGUCUAUGUUCCACACCCAAGGUAAGAACAGGUACUUGGUCGAUGAAGGAGUACCUAAACUGAGCCCCAAAAGACGUGUCGGAGUUGACCAAUUGAUGAUACGAUGCCACUAACACAUGCGCCAUUUCAUUCCUAAGGAAUGGAUAUAAACAGAAGGAAAAAAUUAAAACAAACAAUAUGUAAAGGAAAUAAACAAAAAAUGGGCAGAUUUUUCUUACAUAGCAAUAGACGACGUCCUCCUUUCUGCGGUCGUAUAUGCAAAAGCUCCAUCAAACUUUGUGACAUUAAGGUUGUUUGUAUGGAGUAGCAAAUCUAAUCCCAAGGAAAGAUUCUUCGUGCCAAUUACCGAAGAAACACCGAUAUUGGUGUCAUGAAAUAAUCCUCCAAUGCUAGCUUUAAAGCUAGCAUAAUCGUGCAUGAAUUGCACUUGUAACUGUUAAAAAUAAUUAAACAUUUUCAAACACAGAGAAAAUAUAUCAAAAUCUCAACAGAGUUUUUCUUAUUGCUUAAAGACAUUGCAGAGACAGAGUAUAUUAAAUAGAACGAGACUUGCUAGACCCUACCGAUAGGACUAAGAAGUACUAACCAAUUUACAAAACCAGUUACUAGAAGCAAAGAUCUGUUUUAUUGACAAGAAACAGAGGGAUAAAUGGACAAUGUACCUUGCCAGAAUUAGCAAUUGCAGUGUCAAAUUCUGAUACUGCGGACAAACCGGGAAGAACUCUGAAGGCAAUUUGAUUAAUUGUGGAUUUGAAAGCCAGCUGCAAAACAAGCAAAACUAAAUCAUUAAUAUCAAAUCAUAUUUUACAGAGUGAGAAAAUUGAAAACCGACUCACAGUAGAGUUAGUACGAAUGGUGAAUUCAUUAGUCACACUUUUGACAGACCAAGAAAAUCGCCCUUCCCCAAGAAAUAUGUCAUUUGGACUGAUAGCAAGCAAAUCAUUUUGAUGGGUCAAAUAGGCAGAGAAAGGGUGCUUAUCUAGACGAAAUUUACUGCACACAGGAAAGUCUUCAAACAGAAGAUCUGCAUUUACACAAACACAAAAUGACAAAUCGAACUAUAACAAACCAGGGUAAGCAAAGGGAUUAUUAGCAUAUACCUCUUGCUUUUCUGCCAAUAUCAGAGUAGCACCCAGGUUGAGAGUCCCUUGGAAAGUAAUGAUCCAUGAACUCUCAUAUGGGUACAGAGAUGUGUACUCACCAAAUUUCCAAUGCGAAAUCAAAGCACCCGAUGAAACAAGAGUCAAUGGACACAGGGAUUUGAGCAAAAAAUCUGUGAUUUUCUUUCUUCUUAAGAAGAUUAUCCUGGUAGGGGGAUUCAGCGACAUUGAUACCUCAAGAGUUCAUCAAAAUAGGAAUAAAACUUUCUGAAUUAGAGCUUAUCGAUAAUAAUAAUAAUAAUAAAAGGAUGUAGACUAAAGAUAACACGAAUUAGGGUACCGCUCGUCUAUCUCCAAGGUCUCGGUAACGGAUUUCGACCUGGCAGAGUCAAGGUACUCCGGCGUGACUGAACUGAGGAACGCCCUCUUGGGCUUUAUCAUUCAUGUUAAUGAAAUCAAAACAAUCUUGGACCUAUCUAAACAUUGUAAUGCCCUCUUGGGCUAUUCACGUAAUUUAUCAAUAGCCACAUCUGUAAUUCUGAUAUAUAUGAGAACACAACACACUAUUUCUAAACGAUCAAGUAGAUAAAUCUAUUGAGAUAGAUGGAAAAUAAAACUGCUAACAUAAAAAAAGAUCCAUAAACAUAUUAUCAAUUGUUACAUAAAAUGUAAAAUGAUAAGCACCAUAAGAUCUAUGAAAACAUAUAAGCCAAUAGGCACAUAUAUAAAUGAGACAAAACUAAAACUUAUAUUAUCAAUAGGGUAAACAUAGAUCAUGGACCUUGUACAAAAAAAAAAAAUUGAAACAUCAAAAUCGGAUCAAAUAAUCAUGUUGACUAAGAACAUAUGAUAAAUAGUUUCAUAAUCAUUAGUAACAUAUAUGUAAAAUGACAAGAACCAUAAGAUCUAUAAAAACAUACAAGCAAUAAUAAAUGAUAUGCUUUAAUUAGCUACCACUGAUGCAUUAGGAUUUGUUCGCAAAUACUAUUUGUAUCCCAUCUAUCAUUAUUAACCUAAUGAAAUUAACAUACUUAUCAAAAAAAAAAAAAAAAAAAAAAAAAAAAAAAGAAAAAAAAAAAAAAAAAAAAAAAAAAAAAAAAAAAAAAAAAAAAAAAAAAAAAAAAAAAAAAAAAAAAAAAAAAAAAAAAAAAAAAAAAAAAAAAAAAAAAAAAAAAAAAAAGUAAAGGAUAUAAAUGAAAAAGGAAGAACUCAAAUUCAUUGAUAUACAUAAGCAAUUAAAAUUUGAAAAUGAUAUAGAUGAUAACCCUUGAGAUAUAGAACAGAAAAUUGCAACAUCAAAAUCAGAUCAAAUACAUUAUAUCUACUAGGAUCCGCAAACAAUUAAAAUUUGGAAAGUCAGAUCGGAUCAAAUUCAUCAUAUCCACUGAGAUCCAUGAACAAGAACAAUUGCAGGCACAAUCGGAUCAAACUGAUCAGAUCCAUAGUUGAUCAAAGAAUAAAAAAAUCGCAUAUGAUAGAAAAAAUGUGAAAAAGCUAAUAAAGAAAUCUCCGAUAUAUAAAACAUAUAUACAUAUAUGUGAAAACAUUGAAGAACAGAAACUGCAUAGCUUAGUAAAUAUCUGAACAUGUAUGAAUAUGUACAUAAUCUUAUCAUACAUCUAUCAACAACAAAUAAAAGUUUAUGAAGUAAACAGAGAAUUUUUAGAUUUGACUUUAGAAGAGAUUAGAUCCCUAAGACAGAACACAAAAAAAAAAAAAAAAAGUUUAUGACGUAAACAGAGAAUUUGUAGAUUUGACUUUAAAGAGAUUAGAUCUCUGAGACAGAACUCCCAGAGGCUCACAUUCCAAGGCGAAGUACACCUAUAUAUAGCAAUCAGUCAAGAUAGGGUUUUCGUUUAACAAAAUGUGGGAUAUAGUUUUAUAUGGGCUUCAACAAUCGGCCCGGCCCAGCUUACAUUUUUAAAAAGAAUUUUGACAUUAUAAUUCUUAUCUCAGGGAAGAGACUCGGCCCGAGUAAAUCGAAGUUGAGCUUGCAGCCUGAAAUUAUCAAAACAUAAUAAUAUUCUAAAAAAGAACGUAGCCCAACGCAAAAAGACCGUAUUGUUGUCGAGAUAAAGAUGGCAAAUCAGAGGAAAGGAAAGGAAAGGAAAGGAAAGUCUAGCCCUAAUUUUCGAUCAUGCAGGCAAAUCUUAGAUCCGUGCUUGCUCAGAUAAGUCGGGGAGGGAGAGAUGUUGGGUCUCACCGUAGUUUCCGUUCAUACCUUGGAAACAGUGGUAAGUAUCUCUUAUUCCCUAGCGUCUAUUUGUAUUUGUGAUUCUUCUUCCAAUUGCCCAGAGACUAAGGGAGGCAGAAGAAGAUUUGUCACCGGCGGCGGUUCGCAGAUUAAUGAGAAGCUUUAUUGGUUUGGCAGAUAUAUGACCUAUGGAUAUUGUGCUGUCACUAGUUGGGGUGAGAUUAAUCUUAUUUUGCAUUAUAUUGAGAUUUAUCCUUAUUACGAAACGUGAUUGCUUUGCGUUUUUUUUUGUUCAUACACCAGCAAUUAUCCAGAUGUUUGAACACCGUCGAACGAUCGAAAUAGAUUUGGCUGAAAGACGUGGCUCGGUAUGCUUCUUUUUCUUUUUAAAACUUUGGGAUAUAAAGAUUUGGAAUUGGAACAUUACAAGAAAAAAUCUAAAACUACAUUCAUAUGUCUUCUCUUACAGAAACCAAAGACGAGCUUCCGUGAUGUCCUUCGUUGGUUCGGUGCUUGAUCCUGUGAACAAUUAAUAUUCUGUUUGAUGCUUGUUGUGUUUAGUUCGUUUUAUGCUGUGUAAACAAAACAAAAAAAUCAUAAUCUAUGGGCAUUACGUUGUAUUUAAUAUUGUUCGUUCGGGCUUUUAUGUCUACUGUUUGUUCGAGUUGUAUUUAAUAUUAUUCGUUCGUUGCAUUUUCAUGUUGUCCAGGCAAGUUUAACUAGUCAAACUUAUCGCAUUAACGGCUUAUUAACUAAAACGAGUUUAACAUUACACAUGAUGUAGUGGGCAUGUAUGAAUCGGCAAAAGAUAUGUAUCUAAAGUCGUUUGAACUCUGGUCUAAGAAAUAGCGAAUCAGUAUCAGUGGAAGACGUUCUUAACGUAACAAGACUUUCAAGCAAAGAAAGUUCUUUCAUUAUGUCUUUAAGGCUGUUUGGCUUAUGGAAGAUUCUUUUGUGAAUGAUGAUCAAGGUGAAAUUGUGAUGUCUCAAAAAGAUUCAAAUAUGGCAACCAGUUCACUGGGAUGAACAACUUGCCCCAUUCAUAUUAUCAAUGACUUGGCCCCUCCUUUCAAGAGUUCGACUGGAUUAUAUGUGCAGCAUAUAUAUUUGGGAGUUUUUUUCUUAACUUGUAAGAGAGUGUAAAAUCAUUAAAACUAUGUUAAAUAUUCAAAAAUAAUCACGUGAACAAUAAGUUAAACUUUCAUGUUUGUUCAGAUAAUCAGGUUCUCUUCCAAUCACAGAUGCUCACACCAUACAUAUAUAAAAAAAAAGCACAGACAAUUAGGAUACAAAGCCAAGCUUGACAAUAAUUAUGAUCUUUGGUCGAAACCAAACUUCUCCCUUAGAUCAGACCACAUGCUUUCCAAAUUUACUCCACUAAGUUCAGACAACAAUUUCUUCUCGAGGUCAGAAAACACCUUUACUAACUUAGUAUCAGACCACAUCUUCUCCCUUAAGUCUUCUAUUUUUUCAGAGUGACCCAUAGCAUUCCUCAUAGCCUGAACAGACAAAAAAAGACACAAGGGAUGAUUAUACGAUGAGAUAAAAUAGCAUCACAAUAUCAAUCAUUCGCUUUUGCGUUUACCUUUUGCCGUUUCUCCUCGAGUUCUGGUAUCCAGUGUCCAGUUAACUUAUAACCUUUGCAAAAUCACAAAUUGGUUUAUUAGACUCGUCAAUGCAAAAUCAGAGAAUUAAAAUAUACGGCACUCUCUCCAUACCAAAGUAACAACCCAGAGUGGCUCCUGCACCUCGAGUUAAGACAUCUGCGAUUCCUAUUCUUGUUCGCUUCGACUCUACAAUCACAAAACCAAACCAAUACAAGUGUUGAUUUCUUUUAAUUAUAAGACUACACUGAAUCCACAAGAUUGCUUGUGAAUUUGACAGAUUUCAUGACAACUUUACCAUAGCUUCUGCGGUACGAAGAGAAAUUGCGGGCAACAGAUCUCCCCCCGCGAGUUAUCUGCGCAAAAUUGAUGAAUAUAUCAAAUUCCUGCCUUCAGAAAGUAUAAUCAUAACCAAACCUUCCAAUUACCUGCGCAAAAUUGACGGAUCUCAGAAUCGGCGCCAUGAUCGGGAAACUAGGGUUCGCUCUGCUUCUCAAGUUUGUUAUUUUCUUCGAGACGAUGGUGGGCUCGUGUCUUAUUAUUUUUUUUUUUUAUCAAGCUCGUGUCUUAUUUAUCCGAGUACUGUAUACUCUUUGUCCUUUUUUCUACAAAAAUUAAUUUCAGUUUUUUUCUGAUUUUUCUUUGUCCACCAAUUUUUUCUUCUUAUUACUUCGCCGAUUCUCCUUUGUCAAUACUCUAUUCUAUUAAAAUAGAAUCACUAUUGUUAUAUAUUCUCGAGUCUUGACAAAUUAUAUUAAAAGUAUUUAGUUAAUUAGUUAAUAUGAUAUAUUUGAUUAUUUACACUAAUCAAUCAAUUUUAUAUUAUUUCUAUAAAAUAUUUAUAAUCAAUAAGAAUAUUAAUAAUAAAAUAAUUUAAAUAUAAAUUUAAACUUUAUUUUAGUUAUCACAAAAUCUGUUGAGAAAAAAAUCUAACAAACUAUUACUAAAAAAAUUGAAAUAUUUUUAAUACAAUAAUGCAUCAAUUAAGUUAUCUAAUAUUAAAAAUGUUAAUCUCAUAACAAAAAUCAAAAGACUUAAUAUCAUAAUACCCAAAAUAUUAUAUAUUGAUAAAAUUUACCAAAAAUAAUAUGAUAGAUUCUACGAUGUAUAAAAUUUAAUAAAAUAAUAGAGCUAUAUUCUUUAAAUGGAACAAUGAAUUUACUUAUACAAUCUCGUAAAAUACUAAAAUGAUAGAUGUUAAUAUAUAUUUUUUUAACACACAUAGAAAUAUAAAUUAUCCUAACCAAAUAUUCUUUAUGCAGUAUAACUAAAUAAAAUUUUAAAACGUAUUGUAUGGAAACUAUAACAAUUAAAAAAAAUUGAGAGAUAUUUUCUAUUUGAUUAUUUCAGAUUACAAAUUUAUUGUAUAUUUUUGAAAAACUAGAUAGAAAGACAUUGUAGAUAUACCUUGCCUGAAUUUGGAACUAUAGAAUCAAAGAGAGAGAGAGAGAAAUGAUAGACCAUGCGUAAGUCCCAAAUCACUUAUUUUUAUAGUGGACUAGCCAACAAAACAAGCAAACAAAUGCAUUACUGAAUUUCUAGCUUUCAUUUGUCACACUCUUGUAAAUCCAUUGGUAGUUCAAUUUCCCCAAAGUAAUGCCAUUGAGAUGAGCAUGAGUCAAAGAAAUAGAGAAGUGUAUUUAUCCAAAGAGAUUUUACUGGAAACCGUAUAGUCCUCGGACAACAAAUCUGCGAUUGUAAUUUCCAAGUUAUUAAAAAAAAAAAAUCAAUUAGAGUACUUAGAACGAUUUCUUAUCUUUUUAAAAAAGAAAAAAUAUGGUAGACUAACUGAUCUUCCUAUCAGUUAAUGAAAUAUUCCAAUGCAAAAAAAAAAACUUCUAUAGGGAGAUAUUUUUCUUGGAAAUCAGAGGAUUAAUAGGAAUAAUGAAAUAUUCCAAUGCAAAAAAAAAAACUUCUAUAGGGAGAUAUUUUUCUAUGAAAUCAGAGGAUUAAUAGGAUAAAACCUUAAAGAAGUAUAGUGAGAUAAGACCUCAAAAGUUAAUACCAUAAGAUACAAUCCAUCGUAUGUCAAAAGAGAAAUUGGUCAAAGGGAUUUGAGUAAUUCAUCAGUAAUCUUCAAUGGAAGAAAGUGUUUCUUCUUAUUUCUUGUGUUUAUCCUUAGUGGUGAAAUCAACAACAUUUUUUUUCUAAUUCAUGGAGUGGUUUAAUUGUGUUAGAGUUUAUCAUAACGAGAAGAAGAACAAAGCACGAUUUAACCAACUGGAGUAUCAAUCUAAUUUCUCUUCAACAAAAUAAAAAUGAUAUGGCCAGUAAAUUGGGUUUGGAAAUGAAAAUUGAAUAGGAAGGAGCUAAACUAGAAUGUCAAGAACUAAUUCAAAAUAUAACAAAACCAAAAAGCAAUAGAUAAAAAGAAUUAAAUCUAUAGUACAAUUCAUGUACUGAAUUGCUACAAUCAGAUCUAUGAAUACAUAUGAUCAACAUAAUAAAAUAUUAUGUUCAAUGAUAUAAAUGAGACCAAUAACUCAACUUCAUUAUUUAUAUAGGAUCACUUGAGAUCCAUGAACAAAGAAUUUGCAACCUCAAAUCGGAUCAAAUACAUCCACUGUAGAUAUUGUCGAUAGUAGAAAAAUAGAAAGAUAUGGUAGAUUACGUUGCCAGAAUUUGGAACACCCGAAUCAAAGAGAGACACACACGAUAAACCAGCAAACAACUAAAUAAAGCAAGCAAAUUUAUUAUUUAUUAUUGAAUUUCUAAUGAAAUCAUUUAAAAACUGCUUACAGAAGAAUUGGUGCUAAGUGUGACAUCGGUGGAAACACUCUUGUAAAUCGAAUGGAAGUUCAUUUUUUCCAAGAUAGUGUCAUUGGGCUGAACAUGAGUCAAGGAUGCAUAUAAAGGAUAUUUAUCCAAAGAGAUUUUACUGCAAGUUGUAUAAUCUUCAAACAACAAAUCUGAAAGUGUAAUUUCCACCAAGAAAGAGUUAGUAACUGCACAAAGAUUUCACUACAUGUAAAUUGGGCUCUUCAUCUCUUGGGAUAUAUUUCUUCAUGAAAUCGAAGGGAUAAAAAGAUAAAAUCCCAAAGAGGAAUAAUAAGAUAAAACUUUAGGAGUUAAUCCCCUAAGAUACAAUCCACCAUAUGUAAAAAAAGAAAUUAGCCAGAGCGAUUUAAUUAAUCCAUCAGUAAUCUUCAAUGGAAGAAAGUGUUUCUCUUUCUUUCUGUGCUUAUCCUUAGUGGUGUAAUCCACAACAUAUUUUUUUUGAAUUCGUGGAGUGGUUUGAUUGAGUUUAUCGUAAUGAAAAAGAACAAAACGAGGUUUAACCAACUGAACUGUCAAUCUAAUUUAUCUUUGAGAACAGUAAAUUGGGUUUGAAAAUAAAAAUUAAAUCAGAAAGAGCUAAACCAUAACGUCAAGGACCAAAUCCAAAUAUAGCAAAACCAAAACGCAAUAGAUAAUGGAAUUGCAUCAACACUACAAAUCAUGUACCGAAUUAGUACAAUCAGAUCUAUGAAUGCAUAUGAUCAACAUAAUCAAAUAUUAUGUAAAAUGACAUAUAUGAGACGAAUAACUCAAAUCAUUAUUUCUAUACUAUCCCUUGAGAUCCAUGAAUAAAAAACUUGCAGUUGCAACCUCAAAUCGGAUCAAAUAUAUCCACCCAGUGAGAUCCAUGAACAAAGACAAUAUGCAAGCACAAUCAGAUCAACUUCAUGGGCCCGGUUUGGGUUAUGAUCCGCUAGUUACCCGACCCGGCUUCAAAUCGAAUAAGCAAAAUAUUAGGCCAUAAAAUAAGUCCAAUUAUAGGCCCAUUAUGUUUUCCUUUUUCUUAAAGUUGAGCGUCUGAUUAUAUGUGCAAACAUCAUAUAUAUUUGGGAGAUAUAUUUUAACAACUUGCUACGUGUGUAAAUCAUUAAAAUUAUGUUAAAUAUCAAAAGAGAAUCACGUGAACUAAGCUAGGCUUCCAUCAUUAUUCACAUAAGCAGGUUCUCUUACAAUCAGAUCUUUGCUCACACCAUACAUUUAAACAAAAAUCACAGACGAUUACAUAAUUUAUUAUGAUUGACUGCUACUAUACAAUGACAAGGAUACAAACUUACUCCAAGCUUGACAAUAAUUAAGAUCUUCAAUCUUCUCCAUUAGAUCAAUCCACAUCCUUUUCAAACUUACACCACUAAGUUGAGACAACAUCUUCUUCUGGAGAUCAGAAAACAUCUUUAUUAACUUGGCAUCAGACCACAUCUUCUCCGUUAGAUCUUCGAUUUUUACAGAGCGACCUAAAGCAUCCCUCUUAGUCUGACCAGAAUGAAACACAAGAAAUGAUGGAAAAUGAGAUAAAAUAGCAAUCGAUCAAUAAUCUUCAAUAGAAGAAAGUGUUUCUUCUUAUUUCUUAUGAUUAUCCUUAGUGGUGGAAUUAACAACAUUUUUUUCCGAAUUCAUGAAAUGGUUUAAUUGUGUUAGAGUUUAUCAUAACGAGAAGAAGAACAAAGCAAGAUUUAACCAACUGGUGUAUCAAUAUAAUUUCUCUUAAAAAAAUAAAAAUGAUAUGGCCAGUAAAUUGGGUUUGAAAAUGAAAAUUGAAUAGAAAGGAGCUAAACCAGAACACGUCAAAACCAAUUCAAAAUGUAACAAAACCAAAAAGAAAAUAUUAAAUGAAUAAAUGCAUAAUCAUGAACAUAAUUAGUACAUUCAGAUGUAUGAAAUACAUAUGAUCAACAUGAUCAAAUAUUACGUAAAAUGAAUAUAUGAGACCAAUAACUCAAAUUCAUUAUUUCGGAUCCCUUUUGCAAACUUAAAUCCGAUCAAGAACAAGGAUAACUGCAAGCACAAUCAGAUUAAUUUCAUGGGUCGGUUUGGGUGAUCCGCUUCCUAACCGACCCGACCGGCUUCAAAUCGGAUAAGCAAAAUAUUAGGCCAUAAAAUAAGCUCAAUAAUAGGCCCAUUAUGUUUUUUUUUUAAUUAAACUUGAGCGUCCAAUAAACGCUUAGCCGGACGUCCGACUGACGCAGGAGGAGACCUUCGUAAAUAAGGAUCCUUGUAGCCUUCCUUCUCAGACUCACUUCGAUUUCCCCCUCCUCUUCUGCGUGAUAAUGGCUACCUUUGGUGCGGCGGCGAACGCGAACACGAACCCUAAUAAAUCCUAUGAGGUAAUGAAUGGCGGUUUAUUAUUCUGUCUUGCCCAGCUGGUAUUAUUUUACGGCUGAGAUUCGAAAGGGUUUUUUAGUCACUUAUCUAGAAACCCAAAUUGGAUUCUCAGAAAGUCUUAAUCUUUUGUUAGCGUCUUGUUUUGUAGCUUUAACAACCGUUUAGCGUUGUAGUAUCCUACUACUCAAAGGAAUCGUUUGUUUGCUUCCUUGUGGAUGUCUACGUUUAGCUUAUCUAUAUUAAAGGUAUGUCAAGUUCAAAUUUUCACACAAAAGGUUUCCCUGCAGGUUACUCCAUCACCCGCAGAUUCUAUCUCCAGCUUAAGUUUUAGUCCAAGAGCUGAUAUUCUUGUCGCCACUUCUUGGGACAAUCAGGUUUUUACUCUUCCUUUCUCUUUUUCCCCUAAUACGGUGGGUUCUUAUUUAACUUGUUUGUCUCAGAUUCGUCUCUCAGUUUGUAAUGUUUGAGUUGGCUUCGUGUGUGUUAUUACAGGUGAGAUGUUGGGAAAUAUCUCGUAGUGGAACCUCUCUAGCUAGUGCUCCUAAAGCAUCUAUAUCCCAUGAUCAGCCGGUAAUAUGUUGUGCUUUUUUUUUUUUUUUUUUUUUUUUUUUAAAUUGUGCUUUUUUUUUUUUUUUUUUGCUUAGAAUCUGAUGAUUUUCUUGUGAUGAAGGUCUUAUGUUCUGCUUGGAAAGAUGAUGGAAGCACAGUCUUUAGUGGAGGAUGUGAUAAGCAAGCCAAAAUGUGGCCCUUGUUGUCUGGUGGUCAACCUGUAACUGUUGCUAUACACGAUGCUCCUAUUGUGGACAUGGCCUGGAUCCCCGGAAUGAAUCUCCUCGUCACUGGAAGCUGGGAUAAGACAUUGAAGUGAGAAUGGGCUGUUCAUUAUAUGCUUGACUGAUAAAACUAAUCUAUGUGCGUAAAGUUUAGUUAACAAUGUGUAUUGGUUUUCCUUCCAGAUAUUGGGAUACAAGGCAGCAAACUCCUGUGCAUACUCAACAGCUUCCAGAUAAAUGCUAUUCAUUGUCUGUGAAACAUCCGCUCUUGGUUGUCGGAACUGCAGAUAGGAAUCUCAUUGUCUUCAACUUGCAAAAUCCCCAGGUACGAUUUUCCCCUUGUUUUCUAUUUUUAUGACUUGUGUAAUGAACUUUUUUAUUAAAUUGAUAAACUGCAGACCGAGUUCAAGAGAAUCGUGUCACCGCUGAAGUACCAGACGAGGUGUGUUACUGCCUUCCCUGAUCAGCAAGGCUUUUUGGUAUGUUGUUUGCUGAUGCUAAUAUUUCUCUGCUCUCACGCGCUUUUAUUUCUACAAAUGUUGUCCUUUUCAAUGUUAUUUUAGUGACAAAUAAAGUGUGAUACCGUUGGAAGUUGGUUUAUUAGCCACAUCUUAUCUUGAUCCAAUGCUCUCUGUAUAUCUAUAGGUUGGUUCAAUUGAGGGGCGGGUUGGUGUUCAUCAUCUGGAUGAUUCUCAACAAAACAAAAACUUCACAUUCAAAUGCCACAGAGAUGGGAAUGAGAUCUAUUCUGUUAACGCUCUGAACUUCCACCCGGUAAGCUCUCAUUUUAUGGAUAUAUAUGUAGUCUCAAGCAGCAUCAAACUAGUAGAUGGAACAAACCGUGAUUUGUUUGAGUUGUGUAAUGUUAAGGUACAUGGCACUUUUGCCACUGCUGGCUCAGAUGGGGCCUUCAAUUUCUGGGACAAGGAUAGUAAGCAAAGACUCAAGGUAUUAUCAUGCUGCAUCUUUGCGUUUCAUUAAAUGCUUUUCUUAAUAUAUAAUAUCUAACAGUUGUUCUCCCACACGAAUGGCAGGCCAUGUCAAGGUGCAGUCAGCCAAUUCCUUGCAGUUCGUUUAAUCACGAUGGAUCUAUAUACGCAUAUGCGGUAAGGCUACAUCUUCUGAUAAUUUUUUUUUUGGUAUUAUUAUACAAAGACGUUUGGAGAAGAUGGAGUAAAAGGAUGUUUGUUGUUAUUGUAGUCGUGCUAUGACUGGAACAAAGGUGCAGAGAAUCACAACCCGGCAACGGCGAAAAGCAGCAUUUUCUUGCACAUGCCACAGGUGCGUAGUGACUCACUCAUAGUAGUGUUGACCAGACAUGUGUUUGUAAACAGUAUUGUUAGCAGUGUGUAUUUAUUAAUCGAUGAUGGCAUUUGUGUUUGCAGGAAAGCGAGGUUAAGGCGAAGCCAAGAGUAGCAGGCGGCAGAAAAUGAGAUUUGCUAAUUGAUUUUUAGUGUGUUUCUUCUUCUUCUUCUUCCCUUGAGUGGAUGAUUCUUUUAGACCCUUCUCUUUCUUUCCCCUCAAGUAAAUCAAAAUCCUCCGGCUGUCUUAGAUGUUUCCGGUUUGGAAUUAUUUUUGUCUAAGUACUCUCUAAUACAAUGAAAUUUUUUUCUACAAUGCCUCUUAAUAUAUUCCUUUUAUUAUAGCCAUUUUGCUUCGAAAUUACAAAGACAUUUUUGAGUUAAAUAAAAAAUUUAUCCUCAAACGGAAAGUUAUCAAUCAUGGGAGUAUCAUAAAAACGAUAAAAUAAUAGUUAAUGCUUUGUUAAAUUCACUCGGUGAGCAAAUGAACAAAGAGAGACAGAGAGAAGGACAGGUGGGAGUUGAUUAGCGGAAGCAGGAGAAGAAAGCGGGGGAGUGAAGCGAAGGACCUGGACUUUCCCCUAUGCUAGCUAAUCAUGUCCAUGUCUCUCUCUCUCUCUCUCCCUCAACACCUUAUAUAAACACCGCAACUUCAACAUCACUUUCCUUCAUUCUUAUAUAAAAUAAUUUCAUAUAAAAAAUACAUAAAUUUUCUUUGUUUCUGUUUUUCUCCCUUUUGUUUCUUCUGUUUCGUUAAAAUAACAACAGAAAAAGAAAAAACCGAGAGAAAAUUUAUCAGUUUGAAAACACACACAAAAACUGCAAGAGAAACUUUGAAAACAUCUGUCAAGAAAGAGAUUUAAAAAGAAAAGUUUAUAAGAGAAAACAACCCACUGUUUCUGAAAAAAAACAAGAUGGCAGCGGGGAAAGAUUCAAGCUGGGACGAUAUCAAGAACGAGGGCAUCGAUCUCGUUAGUAUCUCUUUCUUCUCCAUCUUAGCUUACGUUUCCGAUAUCUUUUAUACCACGCUAACUUUGUGUUGCUUCAACAGGAGAAAAUACCUAUCGAGGAGGUGUUUACGCAGCUCAGAUGUACAAGGGAAGGACUGACAAGCGACGAAGGCCACACUCGGCUCGAGAUCUUCGGUCCCAACAAGCUCGAAGAGAAAAAGGCAAAACACCUUUUGACAAAAACCUUUUUAUCAUUUUAUAUCUGUUUCUUGUCUCCCAAGAAAACCUAUUUUUAACAUGUUUCAAUCUCACAGGAAAGCAAGAUUCUGAAGUUCUUGGGGUUUAUGUGGAACCCUCUCUCGUGGGUCAUGGAGUUGGCUGCUAUCAUGGCUAUCGCCUUGGCCAACGGAGGAGUAAUAUCACACCUUAACUAUCCAUCAUCUUUCUCACUUUCAAACACAUUUUGAAAACCAACUUGUGAAAUCUGCAGGGAAGGCCACCGGAUUGGCAAGAUUUCGUGGGUAUCACGGUUCUUCUAAUCAUUAACUCCACCAUUAGCUUCAUUGAAGAAAACAACGCCGGUAACGCCGCAGCCGCUUUGAUGGCCGGUCUAGCUCCCAAAACCAAAGUAAGUUAGUACCAAAACAUUGCUAAAAUAUGUACAAGCAGAUGAUUAAUUAAAUGCAUAUAUCACAGCUUCUGAGAGAUGGCAAGUGGAGCGAGCAAGAGGCAGCUAUAUUAGUCCCCGGAGACAUCAUCAGCAUCAAACUGGGCGACAUUGUUCCAGCAGAUGGUCGUCUCCUGGAAGGUGAUCCUCUCAAGAUUGACCAAUCUGCUCUCACCGGUGAGUCUUUACCAGUAACCAAGAACCCUGGCCAAGAAGUUUACUCAGGCUCCACCUGCAAGCAAGGAGAGCUAGAAGCCGUUGUGAUCGCCACUGGUGUCCACACUUUCUUCGGCAAAGCAGCUCAUCUAGUAGACAGCACAAACCAAGAAGGACAUUUCCAGAAAGUGCUGACCGCUAUUGGAAACUUCUGCAUCUGCUCCAUCGCCAUAGGUAUGAUCAUUGAGAUCGUCGUCAUGUAUCCUAUCCAGCACCGUGCGUAUAGAGACGGUAUAGACAAUCUUCUUGUGCUUCUCAUCGGAGGGAUCCCUAUUGCAAUGCCAACUGUUUUGUCAGUCACCAUGGCUAUUGGUUCUCACCGUCUCUCCCAGCAAGGAGCCAUCACAAAGAGGAUGACAGCUAUUGAAGAGAUGGCUGGGAUGGAUGUUUUGUGCAGCGACAAGACUGGGACUCUUACACUCAACAAGCUUACAGUUGACAAGAGCAUGGUUGAGGUUUUUGUCAAAGACUUGGACAAGGAGCAGCUUAUGGUGAAUGCAGCGAGAGCCUCUAGAGUUGAGAACCAGGAUGCUAUUGAUGCUUGCAUUGUGGGAAUGCUUGGAGAUCCAAGUGAAGCAAGACAAGGCAUCACUGAAGUCCAUUUCUUUCCUUUUAACCCUGUGGACAAGCGUACUGCUAUCACUUACAUUGAUUCUAGUGGAAACUGGCACCGUGUCAGCAAAGGCGCUCCUGAGCAAGUAAGAAAAAUGCAUUUUCUAGAGAGUUUUUAAAGUUCUUUUCACACUGAUUUUUGGUCUCUGUAAUGUGUAGAUCAUUGAGCUAUGUAACCUAAGAGAGGAUACAAAGAAGAGAGCUCAUGACAUCAUUGACAAGUUUGCUGACAGAGGACUUCGUUCUCUUGCUGUUGGCAGACAGGUACAAAAGCUUUUAGUGCUGAUCCCAAAUGUUUUGAGACAAUCUCUUUAUUAAAUAUUAUUUUGGAUUUUAUUAGACUGUCUCUGAGAAAGACAAGAACAGCCCUGGAGAGCCAUGGCAGUUUCUUGGUUUGUUACCGCUCUUUGAUCCUCCAAGACAUGACAGUGCAGAGACAAUCAGGCGAGCCCUUGACCUCGGUGUCAAUGUCAAGAUGAUCACUGGGGACCAGCUCGCCAUUGGUAAGGAAACUGGUCGUAGGCUCGGUAUGGGCACCAACAUGUAUCCUUCUUCUGCUCUACUUGGACAGGACAAGGAUGAGUCUAUAUCUAGCAUUCCUGUUGAUGAACUCAUCGAGAUGGCUGAUGGAUUCGCCGGUGUCUUCCCUGGUAAUGAAAACAUUUUCAAUUAAUGGAUUCAUGUAGUCACUAAUGGAAUCUGUCUUGAUGAUUAGAACACAAGUAUGAGAUUGUGAAGAGGCUACAGGAGAUGAAGCACAUCUGUGGCAUGACUGGUGACGGUGUAAACGAUGCUCCGGCUCUCAAGAGAGCUGACAUUGGAAUAGCUGUCGCUGACGCGACCGAUGCAGCGAGAAGUGCAUCUGACAUUGUACUAACCGAGCCAGGUCUCAGCGUCAUAGUCAGUGCUGUCUUGACGAGCAGAGCCAUCUUUCAAAGAAUGAAGAACUACACGAUCUAUGCAGUCUCCAUCACCAUCCGUGUGGUCAUGGGGUUUAUGCUUCUUGCACUCAUAUGGAAGUUCGACUUCUCACCGUUCAUGGUGUUGGUGAUCGCUAUCCUGAAUGAUGGAACUAUCAUGACCAUAUCAAAGGAUAGAGUGAAGCCUUCUCCGCUUCCUGAUUCGUGGAAACUCAAAGAGAUUUUUGCCACUGGUGUUGUUCUUGGCACUUACCUUGCAGUCAUGACUGUUGUUUUCUUUUGGGCUGUAGAGAGCACUGACUUCUUCACGGUAAGAGAACUCUUUCACUUACUACGAGUACAUACCUUACUUAAUAAGGCAAGUAAGUGUGUUUGAUCAUGAGUUUGUUGCUGGUGCAGGCAAAGUUUGGGGUGAGACCUAUCAGUGGCAAUCCGCACGAGCUUACAUCAGCUAUAUACCUCCAAGUGAGUAUCAUUAGCCAGGCGCUUAUCUUUGUGACAAGGUCACGUAGCUGGUCGUAUGCUGAACGUCCUGGCUUCUGGUUGAUCGCUGCCUUUUUCUUAGCUCAGCUGGUGAGUUUAAAAGCUAGCUUUUGGUCUUCUUUCAAUACAAAGAUUCAAUGUAUUACUGACAGUGUUCUUGUUUUUUCUCUUUUUACAUAAAAAGAUUGCUACUCUCAUUGCUGUGUAUGCAAACUGGGACUUUGCAAGAAUCAGAGGCACUGGGUGGGGAUGGGCAGGAGUUAUCUGGCUGUACAGUAUAGUUACUUACAUCCCACUGGAUAUCCUCAAGUUUAUCAUCAGAUAUUCACUAAGUGGUAGAGCUUGGGAUAAUGUCAUUGAGAACAAGGUGAGAUUAAGAACAUUAGUCCUUUUGUUGCAGUAGUACUGUUUCUAACUUUUGUUUCCUUUUGUGUUUCAGACCGCUUUCACGUCAAAGAAAGACUAUGGAAAAGGAGAGAGGGAAGCACAAUGGGCACAAGCUCAACGUACACUCCACGGAUUGCAGCCUGCUCAGCCCUCAGAGAUGUUUAACGAUAAGAGCACUUACAGAGAACUUUCAGAGAUAGCAGAUCAGGCCAAGAGACGGGCUGAAGUCGCAAGGUAACGUUCUCAAUCUCAAGCAUCUGAUUAGUCCAUAGCAUUAUGCUCCCUCAGAAUAUGGUAUUGACACUUUUCUUGUCUUGUAAUUGUUGCAGGUUAAGAGAGCAUCAUACAUUGAAAGGUCACGUGGAAUCAGUAGUGAAGCAGAAGGGACUUGACAUAGAGGCAAUCCAGCAACACUACACCCUGUGAUUGAUUUUCAGAAACAAAAGUGUUUCUCAGUUUAGUUUUAGAACCAAAACCCACAAGAGUAUUGAAUAAUAAACCACCACCUUUCAUCAUUAGAAAAAUACUGCGAAAAAGAAAAAGAAGAAAAUGGUUAAAUUUCUUUUCAUAGCAGUGGCUGUUGGCUGCUUUAUUUGUUUUGAGAUAUUCUUGUUUUUAUUGCCCUUUACAAAGCUAAUAAGAUAUAUUACAUACAGUUGCUUAGAAAUUCUUGUUCCAACAUUAGAGUUUCUUCAACUCUUAAGCCUGCCAAAAGGGAAAUUGCAUCAAAUGAAUAGUAAGAAUGCAUAGUUCUUCACUUCAAAUGAGAAGAUCAGUACCAAUCAAAUCUUGUACAAUGUGUCUGUGUUGAAUCUGCAAUUCCUAAUAAGCAAGACUAAUAAAUUUAUCAAAUAGCACAAGAGGUAGAGAAACUUUUAAUCAUUAAACCAUGUACUAAGUGUAAAUUCUGAUAAGGUUUGAGGACAAACAAACAAAAACUCUGGUAACAGAUCAGCAAAUGUACAACCUCAGAAAAGUAUAAAGACUCUACUAAACUCUCCGGUUACUUCAUCUGAGUAGAUGAUGCAGUUUUGUCUGAUUUCCCUUGAACAUGGUCAAGAUACCAGAGCGCUGCUUCUGCUGCAUGCUCAGCCGCAGCUUUCUUCUUGCGUUUGGGAUCACCAAAACAUUCCAAAACAGUUGUUGUUCCUGAAGAAUCUUUAAUCUCAACCACAACUUUGUAUGUAAAGCUGAAACCAAACCAAAAAAAAAAACACCAAGGUUGUGAUUUCAAAGUAGGAAGGUAAGUUAUGUUUCGCUUACAGUCUCAAAUGACAAGGUCCAUCGACACUGCAGCAAUCAUAAACAGGAGGUUUCCAUCGCUUGGAAGUGCACAUUUCGUGUAACAACGACUUUGCUGACCCUUUCUUACAUUCAUCUGGAACCCCCCCGAUGGAACAAAUAUCAGUAUGAGAAUAGGUGAAAACGUAACCUAUAUUAGUUAUGAGACCUUUAGAUAAUGAUGUGGAGUCUUCUUCUACAUGGGGUUUAGGAAGAGGGUGAUUCAAUCCUUGUGUGCUGUUAGGAUCAAUCUGAAUGAUUUAAAACACACAUGAUUUAUAUCUGUUUUUUUCAGACAAAUGAGCAAAAACACAAAACCAAUUUACCAGAGAGGAGGAGUUUCUAUCUCUGGGGAUAGAUGAAGGAACCAAAGGAGGAAUGUCUUUGAGGCUGAUGUUGAUAUUCGAUCUUCUUCUUCUUCUUCUUAUCUGCUUCGUCUCCUCCUCCUGAUCCUCCCCCCCUCAUCAUUUCAUAUUCUACUUAAUUCGUCAAGUUUCUCGUUCCUUCGGGAAUCAUGAAAAAUGCAUGAACAAAAAAAAGUUUAAUUCAUUCUCUCAUACAGUGGUUUUGUCUUAAUCUGUUUGGUCACAAAUUAAAAAAAAAAAACUAUUCUUUUUACUAAAAGCUUAAUUAGUUGUACUUUACUCGGUACUCAGUGUAAUUAAUGAUCUAUAUAGGCUUAUCCAUUUAUGUAGACUCACUAGUAUCAAAAGAAAAAAAAAAACAGAACAAAGUGGAAUUUGCACAAGAACCAAACAAGAUUCAAAUGAAAAAGAAAAGAUUACAAUUAAGGAAAUGAAAAUGUGUGUUUACAAAAUCCGCAAAGAUCCGCCGAGUUCUAGGGGUAGAAGAGGGAUGAGUGAGUGCAAGACAUCGGUUAUAAGUGGUCUGUAACUUGGCUCUGGCUGCACACACAGCACUGCCACCGCUGCUACCUGAUAAAGAUGCUUCAAAUCCAUGCUUCCUUUUAUUGCCGGAUCCAAUAUGUUUGGAAGAUUGGCCCUGUCACUUAGCUUUGGUACCCAAGUGACAACUGAUUCUGGUUCGGUUGUUGAUGGUUUCUCUACUGAUUUCUUCCCCAGGAGUAGUUCUAGGAGAAUCACCCCAAAAGAGUAUACAUCAUUCUUGUCUGUUACUUUCCCUGUAAACACACACAUAAACAAAAAACCUUAAAAAGAUCCAAACCUGUGAGAAUCAUUGUGCUUGCUACUACUAUAUAUAAACUUAUUACCAUCAACAAUAUAUUCGGAAGCUCUGUUUCCUAAAGUUCCAUUAAGCUUCAGAUUCUUGCCCUGAGUCAUCGACACAGCGGCAUACCCAAAAUCUGAUAUCUGAACAGAGAAACAACAGUUCCUUACAAACUCAUUAACUCUCUCUCUCUCUCUCUAUAAGAAUUAUAUUUUUACUUAAUAUUCUCUCCUCUUACCUUUGCGUUGAAAUGGGAGUCUAGAAGGAUGUUAGAGGAUUUCAAAUCUCUGUGAACUACCGGAGGAUGGCAGUGCUCGUGAAGAUACUCUAAUCCUCUUUAUUGUCAAAAAAAAAAAAAAAAGUCUGUAAGCAUACAAAUGUGCUUGGAGAUCAAAGGAAUCUACUAAAAUAUUUGAAAGUGUGGACUAUACCGUGCUAUAUCAACUGCGAUUUUCAUCCUAAGCUGCCAAGUUAAACCUGAACCUUGACUAGGCCCUUCAAGUGUAUGUCCAAAAGAAGUAGAAUCAAAAAUCAGAAGAUGUCAAAAAUAUUGAACAAAAUGGUGGAACAUCUCCUUUACCAUGCAACUGACUCUCUAAAGAUCCAUUCUGCAUCAUCUCAUAGACAAUACAUCUCGUUUGGCGAUAGACGCUAAACCCCAACAUGGAGAUUAUGUUCUGAUGCUUGAUCUUAGCCAACCAAUCUACCUCAUUCUGCAUUAUAGUUUAACAACAACAACAACAAAAAAAAAGAAAGAGUUAUGGUUUAUCGAAUGGUUCAAUACUGUGGAAGGAAUCAUUGUGGUUCAAACUGAUCAAAACCUCAAACUGUUUUUCAAUAAUGUCAGUAUCCCCACCACCAUCAAGUCUCUUCACAGUGACAGAGGACUUUUCAUCGAGACAAGCUUUGUAAAGACAUCCACGACCACCUCGGCUCAACACAUUGCUCUCGCUAAACUUGUUUGUUGCAGUCUCCAGCAGUUGAUAUUCAUAGACAGGGAUAGUUCCUUUCGUCACAGAGUCAAUUUUGUGUGCAAUCGGCUUCGUGGACACACUACUCCUCACAGAAUCUUCAUAUAAUAAGCAAAGAAGCAAAGAUAAGCAGCAACAAAACCCAAUAUAAUUUUAAUUACAUUGUAAUAAAAGAUAAUAAUAAGAAGAGUUAUUACCAGGAUGAUGAUUUGGGUUGAUCCCGGUGAAGCUGUUCUUCAUAUAACUGUACCUCCAAAGCAAGAGGUAGAGAAGCAACAUGACUGUGACACAGAGGAGUGUUGAUGAGGCUAUGAGAGCAAUAAGAAUCUUCUUGUUCAAGUCCUGACGAAGCACCACUUUAACAAUGGGAGGCCCUGAGAAACAAAAUAAACAGCAAAAAACUCCAAUCUGAUUCAGAAAGUUUUCAUUUGUUCUUCGGGAAAUAGUAACUAAUUCAAGUAAAUGCGAUUCCUUUUAGGCUUCCUCUGUUAAUGAAUAACAUGGAGGAAGAUUAAAAACUGAUACUUUUUACCUGGGGACUGAGCUCGCACUGGCGGAGAAUAAGCCUGAGAAAUAGGGAUUUCUUGGGAAGUAGAUGAAACGAAAACAGCGAGCGAGAAGAAGGAGAAACAGAGAACCCAAAUGGGUACCGAAGACCUCAACAUUUCUUGCUUCUUCUUCUACUUUCGUCUUGUUUUAUGGAGAUUAAAGGAAAUCUUGUGUGGAGAUGGAGACAAGAGAGGAGGACACUGUUGGGUUUGAGAAACAGAGAGACAAGGACAAAUGUAUUACUAGUUUUGUCUUCAUGUGGCAGUUAUGAAAGGGUGUGGAACCAUAAGAAUAAAGAGAGUGCCCUCAAACCCGAACGUGGGGUGAUAUGACGUGGAAUUGUAACCUUUUGUUUAAUCUUUUUUGAGUUAUUCUUGGGUUCACCCCCUAGGGUGAACCUUUAGGUUCACCAACCAAUAGAAAAUUAUCAUUUUAAAUCUAGUAUCUUUUAAUUAAGGAAACCAAAUAACUUGGCAAAUUAUAUUAUUUUUUCAAAAUAAAAUUUAAAAAUAAAAAAAAAUAAUAUAUAAAAACGAAUUCAAAAAAAAAAAAAUGUUGUCAACAAAACACUAAACCCUAAACUCUAAUACUAAACCCUAAACUCAAAUCCUAAACCCUAAAUCCUUGGGUAAACCCUAAAUCCUUGGGUAAACCCCUAAACCCUUGGAAAAACACUAAACAUGUUGUCAACAAAACACUAAACCCUAAACUCUAAUCCUAAACCCUAAACCCUUGGGAAAACCUUAAACCCUUGGGUAAACCCUAAACCCUUGGGUAAACCCUAAACCCUUAGGUAAACCCUAAACCCUUGGAAAAACACUAAACAUUUGGAUAAAUUCUAAAUUAUAAAUCUUAAACACUAAACUCUAAAUCUUAAAAAUAAAUAUUUUUUUUAAAUAAUCUUUUUUAAGAACUAUUGUUAUUUUUAUUUAUUUAAUUUUUUAUUUUUUUAUUUUAAAAGCAUAAUAUAAUUUGGCAAGUUAUUUUGUUUCCUUAAUUAAAAGAUACUAGAUCUAAAAUGACAACUUUCUAUUGGUUGGUGAACCUAAAGGUUCACCCUAGGGGUGAACCCAAGAAAAAGUCAUCUUUUUUUCUUCAGGAUUACGAAAGAUUUAACAUCCCCAUGUAACUGUAAGAAUUAAGAUGAUGCAACUAUGCCGCCUGAUAAUAUAAAUAUUUUUUUUUUACCAAUGUGUCAUCUUUCAUACGUAAAGCUACAAAAGAAAGAUCAGUUCUGUAAGUAACUUUUUAAUAAAGUAUGAUCUGAUAUAUACAGAAGAAGAAGAAAAAAGGAAUAUAGUAAUAGAUUAUGUAAUCUCUAUAGAUUUGUUUGCAUCGAGGCACAUUAAUCCAAAAUGAUUCGAUUGGGAUCAGAAGGACAAGUCCUAGUUGAAGUGUAAAUCCAACAAAAUAAUUUUAUUUUCUAACUUUUGUUUUAAAGAAAGCUCCAAAAAGUUCUGACUUCUGAGCAUUUUUUCAUGUGAACUUUCUACGUCAACUUUCAUUACCGACACAAGGUAGUGGGACCAGUCAACCACAAAAAUGGACUACCAGCGGGCCUUCAAAGUGCACUAUACAAUUGUAUUGGGCCAUAAAAAGGCUCAAAUAUUUAAAAUUAUUUCGUAAUUUCUGAAAGGAAACGUGGGACCCAGUGAUCAUUUGAGCUUAGGAGAUACUUUCUCCUUUGCUUUUUAUCUUCUCCGAUCAAAAUCUGGAGAGGGAGUGGAGUGAGGAAAAUGGAUCUACCUGAAGAAUGUUGGGAGCUGAUCUUUCGAUUCAUCGACGAAGACGACGACCAUCGAUCCCUCGAAUCUCUCUCCCUCGUAUCCACCUCAUUCCUCUCCAUCGCCAACCGCGUUCGCUCCACCUUCACCAUCACCGAUCGCACUCUCCCCUUUCUCAACCGCCACCUCCUUCGCUUCCACAACCUGAAGCGAGUCAGGUUCCACGACUUCCACGGAGAUAUAAACUCGAUCCUCCUGCAGAUUUCCCUUUCCGGUUUAGAUUUGGAAUCGCUCGAUAUCUCAGGAAUGCAGUACUUUCCAGAUUUGAAGAAGAAGAUGAGCAGCAACAUGAAGGAUUUUAGCUGCUCUGGAGUCUUGGAGCUCCGAGAAAACGACCUCGUUUCGAUCGGAGUGUGCUUCCCGUCUCUCCAGAGGCUGGACAUAAGCUACCCUGAAUCUCUUCCUUGCCCCGUCUUUGAUUCCGCGAUCAUCAGCCUCUCUUCCAAUCUCAAGAACCUCUUGAAGAUCGACGUCUCUGGUAACAACCUCAUCACGGAUAAGUCUUUGCUGUCUCUAUCGGAGAACUGUGUCCUUUUAAGAGAAAUCAUCUUCCGUGAUUGUGAUUUCGUUUCGUCCCGCUGCAUCGAGUUCGUUCUGCGUAAUUCUCGUUACUUGGAGUCUCUUGCGAUCAACGGAAUCGGAUGGAGGCCGAGGGAAAGUUUCUCCAAGGACGCCUUCUUGUUGUGCCGUUGUUUGUCUGAGCUUGAUCUCUCCGAUUCGUUUCUCUCCGAUGAGUUGCUUCGUUUGAUUGCUGACGCCAAGCUUCCUUUAAAGAAGCUUGUUCUCUCCAAUUGUCAGUGUCUCACUUUUGAUGGGGUUUUGUAUUUGCUCACCAAGUACCAGACUUUAGCUUACUUGAAUCUUGAAGGAUCUAGCUUCCUCUCUGAUGAGAUGGUCAUGGAAUUGGUGGUGUUCCUUGGGAGAUUAACCUUUGCGAACUUCAGUUUCUGUGCCAAGUUAACCGGUGUGUCAUUCUUCAACAUCGUUGAAAGAUGUGUUUCCCUCCAGUGCAUGAGAAUGGAAGGGACGAAUUUUGGAGUUGAAGACUAUUCCAAGGAACUGGGUGUCCUCAAGUCAAGGAUCAAGUGUUUGUACAUAUCUGGAAACCACAACUUGAGAGACGAGUGUCUCCUCAAGAUAUCACGCCAUUGCCCUUUUGUGGAAACCCUUGAAGUCGAUCACUGUCCUGCCAUCACUGGAGAUGGGGUGAUUGAAGUUUUGAGGAAUUGUGGCGAGCUAAAAUCUUUGGAUAUCAGCGGAUGCACUGGGAUAAAGAGUCUUGAUGCACUAGACUUUGAGCUUCCAAAGCUGGAGUCUUUAAGAGCAUGUGGAACUUGGAUCGACAACCAAGCCCUAGGUUUUAUCAGCAAAAGAUGUCCAAGGUUGUUGCGUCUUCAUCUGAAAGGAUGCUUCAACGUGACAUCAAGAGGUGUGAAGGAAAUUGUGCAGAGCUGCACACGUUUAAGAGAAAUAAACCUUUCCAACUGUCAAGUUGAUGAUGGAAUUUUCAUUUGGAUGGUUUGUGCUAAUCCAUCUCUUAGAAAAAUUGUGCCUCCAUGUUGGUUUUCUCCAACUAAAGAACUCCACAAAUUCUUGCUACGCCAUGGAUGUGCCAUCUGCCAAGAGAUUCCAUAGCAAACCCCUGCCAAUAGAAGAAUCUGCAAAAUGGUCUAAAUGAACAUAUAUAUAUAUCUCACUUUCCAUGUUUAAGUAGUUGAUUUUUAUUCAAAUGUUCAGCCUUUAUUCUUAUGUUUAUCGAUGAUGGAAGUAAAACAUCACAACAUUGCAAAUCAAAGCCAGAAAAGUCGUAACAAAAAGUUAAGAACAGAGUCAAACGUAAAAAAAAUACAUAUAAAAGCAAGUUUGAAGUGGAAGACAAUAAAGUUCCCACAAUGUUAUCAAAUUUUAACUUUAUUAUCAAACUUCCCACAAUGUUAAGACUCUUUGCCUAAACAGCAUGCAACAUUAACUGUAGUAGAACAACUUUCCUCUGCCAAAAUGAUGGACAAGAGACAUUAUCUCUUUUGACAAAAUGAAGAGAACAAAAAGAGUGUUUUACUGUGAGGUCACACGAUUCAUUAUGUCUCUUGCAUCAAGAAGUUUAAAACUUGUAAUCUGGGUUGUCACGAAGUCCGAGCUUUGACAGUGAAAGGCAGUAAGAAUCCCAGUCUGUUCGCCUCAUAUACUUGAGCAGUUUCUUCCGUCUAUGCACCAUUGCUAUCAGUCCCUUCUUCGAAUGUUUGUCCUAGAUUACGUUACAUAGGACAUGCGAUUACGUUACACUAUAAAAACUGCCACUAGUAGCUUCAGAAGAGAAUAAAAGAUGAUUAUAAGCUUACCUUUUUAUGUAGAACAGAGGACAGAUGCUUGAUCUUAGUAGUCAGUUGUGCCACUACACAGAAAAAAAAAUAGAGAUUACUAAACAAUAAUGUGACAAAGGAAAUGACAUCUGAUCAACCGAUUAGGUUAGCCUUGUGAAUGUAAAAUCGUCUCUGAUAACUUAAUGCAAACAUUGAUCGAAACUCAUUUAGAAGGAUUCAAUAUACCUUGAACACGUGCAGAACCACAAUCAGAUUCCGACAUCUUGAACUCUUCUCUGACCUUUGCAAGCUCGAUUUUCAUCUUCUCCGCAGAUGACAUGUUAUCCGGGUGGAAAUACUGCGAUUGUUUUUGCGCAUGCAGAACAUAGUCAAUGUCAUAACAUUCUGUAGAAAAAAAAAAAAAAGCUCUUAAAGAUUCAAGAACUAAGAAGAAAAGGAAGACUUACAGUUUGAACUAGCUCAUCUUUCGGAGGCUCAAGCAAAUACUUUGGGGUGCCAUUUAAAACGCUGAAAAAAUCCAAGUUCUGAACUGCAAGCAAAUUAACCUUCAUUUUAAAAUCACAAUCAAUGAGCAACAAACCAAAACCAAGAACUAAGCAACGACAUCAAGCCACAAGCUUCUUUGUUGUCACAUAGUAGUUCACAAGUAAGAGAUGGACCGGUAUAGCAUAAAAAAGCAACACUUUAGCUGCCGCACAGUAGUUCACCAAGUACGAGAUAGAGAGGUUACAUCAUAAUCAACAUAAGAAUUCUCCAAUCCUAUUACUUGAAAGGAACUUAAGUCUAAACAUUCUAACAGCUAAAGUCUAAAACACUGUCACAGAGGGGGAAGUAAGAGAGAGUUUGUAGAACGUACAGGCUUGUGAUUUUCUAGCUUGUUGAAUCUCAGACCUGAGAUCAUCGAAGGCAAUCCCCUUCCUGGCUCCCUGCGCUGCAGCCUCUUCCACCUCUCUCAGCUUAACAAGCCUCUGGUUGAGCUCCUGCAACGAGAACCAACCUUCUUCUCUCUUCCCCUCUGGUCUGUGCUGUCUUAGAAUCUCCCCCAGUUCUUUAGUGUUGUAGCUCUUGAUAAACUCCGACUUCAUCUCCUCUGAAGCAUCUCCCAUCUUCUUCCUUUCUUCUAUCUCCUCCCCGAACACUGAAAUGGGCAACCCCUCUCCCCCACCGAACACGUUGGAACGGACAUUACCACUGUCUUUUGCCUUCAUAAUGCUCUGGAGGCUUGAUAGGUUUGACCAUCUGGUCUCUUGUGGCCUCAUCUGCCUCAAGUUUUUCUUUAGGUUUUCAAAGGGAGAACCUUCGACCUUACCAGCCCCCAAAUCUCCCGGCUUUGAUAGCACGUUUUGCUUGUAAAGAUCCUGCAAAUCCCUCGCCGGAGGAGCUGCUGCUCUGCGUCGGAACUCGUUUAGAUUCCUCCUGACAUCCUGAAAAUCUCCGCCGGAACCGGAAAAGGAGGGAGCUUUGGGAUCGAAUCCGGCUAAUUGUCUCCUCCCGUCUUGAGCCUGAUGCUGGGGUUGCUGUUUCAAGCUGCUUUUGAUGCCACUGAAGUAGGAAGAUAUUUUGAAAUCCGACGGUGACUGAGAAGGUUGUUGUUCGCCAGAUUCGUUCCCGUCUUGAGGAGAUGAGGAGGUUGAGAAGAGAUGAAUCAGAGAUGGGUUAGAAUGGAGCCUUUGUUUGCGUCUGGCGAGAUGAAACGCCAUUGAAACUGAUCUUUGACGGCUCUGAAAUGCUUUCCUUAGGGUUUUAAGUGUGUAGUGUAGUCGUUGAUGAAAAAUGAUGAACUCAGUCCGGUUAUCUACAAACCGAAAUUGGCCACGUGAUUUUUAAAACCCGGGUUAGGAGGAAACUUUCGGUAAAAGUAAAGGUCAAAUCUAACCCAUCAUCAUAGCUACUGACUUUGGAGAAGUCAGAUACUUUGGAAGAUUUUUUAUUAGCUAGGUCUGGUUUUUUUACUAGCUAUGUCAGGUUUUUUUGUACAUUAAAUUAGAUUACAAUAUCAACAGGAUAACAUGUUCUUUCAGAUCUAACAUGUCAUUCAGAUUUAAAUAUAGUGAGACUGAAAUGGUUUCAUUGAAAAAAGGAUUAGAGAUGAAUUUCAAGCCUCUAGUAUAUAUGAAUUAUGAAGUACAGUAUAUGAUAAGAUAAUGUUUGUUGUAUACUUGUAAUUUCUCUACCGUGCUGACAAAAAAUGUAAUGAUAGAAUCCAAGUGCUCCUCUCUCGUAUCAGUCAUUCAUUCGGUCCCUACUCCUACUACUACAGUUCAAACACACGAAGAAUAAGAACCUUGCUACAAAUGGUCUAUGCCACGCAUGUACUUAAAGCGGGUCCCACACUUAUCAAGAAAAAUAGAAAUAUAAAAAAAUAUAGUUCCAAAGUAGUACUAUAAUAUUAUAUAACAAAAAUCCACCCAUUAAAUUUGCCACAGAGCUGCUUCCUUCCUACUUUUUCGCCACCAUCUCUCUCCAAAGCUGUUGAAGAUUCCGACUAUGUUGUCCGCCGAAAACUGGACUCGAGUGGCCAUGUCUGACGAUUCUCUGGUAGCCGACGCGCUGCUUCAGCUCCGCCACUCGAAACCCCCACCAUCUCCUGUCAAGCUGAAAUGGAGCGUGCGUCAACGGAGAUCGAAAAAAGGAGACCAACCGCGAGCUAGCCCUACCAGCCCUUUAACCUGGAGCGGUGGUGGUGGUGCUACCACUGUGGACGGCCUUGAGGAGUCCAGCGUCGCCGUAAAACCCUCUGAGACCUUUGGAUCUAAGGUUUGUCGGAUCUUUUAUUUGGUUUUCUCGAUUUUAAAACUCCGUGGUGGCCGUAGAGUCGUAUGUACUGUUUCGUGCGUCUGUCACGAAUAUAAUAUAUCCCUCGUGAAGCGGCGUUUUAGUGGUUUUCUUUUCUGCGUUUUUUCUCUUCACGUAAUUAUUAAGAGUUUCCUUGUUGUUUGGGCUGGUCUAUUACCAAUUAGUCCCUUGGCUUUACGCACGACCAGACUUUUUAGUUGUUCACUUGUGGGUAGCCUUACUCUUUGAUCAUCAUGUAGGUACACCGACUUUUUGUUGACCCAAAUAUCCCCACUGUGGACUCAAACUUUAGCUGCUUUCUUUCUUUUCCAAGAAACUAAACCCAUCUUUCUCGUUAGAUUUAGUUGUCUUCUUGGAAACACUUCUCGAUUUUAGUUUAAAAACUGAUAAUAUUCGGUGAUCUCUGCUUUUUUGCAAACAAAGAGCCACGUUUCCUUACUUUUUUGAUGAAUCCCAGUCAUCUCUCUUUCUGCUUUUGUGGAAGGACCAGAAAGCCCUCAAAGCAUGGGAGGUGUUUGCGGUAAAAGUCACCGAUGCAGACUUCAAGUGCUAACGAGUAGAAUAAAAAAAUACAUUCAUUCCUUACCAUUCUAUUGAGUCCGAAACUACCUAUUGGCAUGAGUGGAUUAGAUGCGUGUGUGGUAGGGUUUAGUGGGGAGGGUUGUUAUCAGAUAGUAACCAAGUAUGGACACACUGCCAGCGAUCAAAGUUACAAGUGAUUGUUGUUCUUGUGAUUCGUCCGCCAAGUUUAUAUUGAAGACAGUACCAUUUAGUUAAGCAUGACGUGUGAACGUGACGACCAUACGCGUCUCUCAUUAGUCACGAUCCACUCACGUGAUACUAUUUUAAAAAAUAAAAAAUAUCUAUUUUUUUGUUCUUUUUUUUUUUUCUUUUUGAGGGUAUUAUAAGUUGUUGACCAAAAAAGAUUCUGUAUUCACUUUAGAAGUUUAAAUGGUAACUAGAGUUGAUUCGUUUAUUUCCACCUUAUGGUGCCUCUAAUGUGUGUGGUCUUGAAUGGUAGGUGUGUGGUCUUGAAUGUUAGGUGUGUGGUUUCUUUAUAUACUUAUAAACAAAACUUAAUUGUUUUUAUGGUGUAAUUUUGGUGUGAUAGUUAAUUGAAUAUUUGAUUUUUGAGCUGCCUUUAUCUGGUGUUGUCGUAAGUCGUAACCCAUAAUCCGAAUUUUGGGUUUGGUUGUCCAGGUUUUUCAAACGAGUGCAAUAACAACAACAACAACUCUGUUUAAGAGAUCAAGGAAGAAAAAGGUAAAAACCGAAAAGCAUGUCUCUCUAUUUACUGGCACUACUGUACUAAUGAAUCUUAUCUUUCUAAUUCUAGAUAGAUAUCAUUACAUAUUGACUGAUUUCUCUAAUAUUGCUGUGUACAGACUUUGGGUGAGCUUAAAGAUGAGGAAGUCAUGCUCCAGAAGGAAAGUAAAGCCCUGAAAAAUGUACAAACCUUCUUUUGGCCCGCUUCUUAUGUCUCUAUGUAUUAGGUCUGUGUGAUAAUCUUAGAAUUGGUUAUUCUUUGUUUUUUUCUCGAAUCAGGAAUUAGCAAGUAUGCGUGAUUUGGUGGAACAGCAAAGAGCAAGAAACAAUGCUCUUAAGAAGAUGAAGGUGAGCCUAUCUUUGUCUCUCUCUAGACAAACACCAUUUUUUGUUUGUUUCCUUGCUCUCUAGACAUUAUCAACAUGUAACUAAUCAAGUUAGAUCAUAUUCAUAUGUAUGCAGGCUGAAUCACAAUCUGCCUUGUCCUGCAAACGCGCCUUGGAACAAGGUUCCUCCUUCUUGCUCCCUGACCUAAACAUGCCACUAGAUACCGAAACAAGCCCUGAAGUUAUUUCCUGAACGACGAGCCAUAAGCAAUAAUAUUAUUCUUUUGUUUUUCCCAUCACACCCAAAUAACUUUACCACCUUCCACAAACCUCUUUUUAACAGUUACAAUAUGAAGAAAGAUAGAUUGUCCCUGUAUAUCCUCAUCCGUUGGCCAUUUCCCGGGGCCGUAGUAGAAGAUUCGGCCUCAAGGGGGGGAGAGUGUUUCGAGUUUAUGUAUCUUGACAUAUCUUCUUCUUCUCUAGCCGUUAGUAUGUUUUUUUGUUUGCUCUGCCAAGUGAUUCUUAUCUCUCACAUGAUCUACAUAGAUAUACACUUUUCUUAUUAUCUUUGUUAAGAUAUAUUGCAAUGUAUCAAAUAUGUAACUUCCAAAACGUUUUAUUAACUUGUAAUUUGAUUAAUGGAUUAUAUUAAAUGCUAAAUGAUGUUUCUCUCUACAGUCUCGAGGUUUGGAGUGUUAAAUUACAACUAUCAGUCCUAAAUUGUAAUUAUGAAGAAGUAUAGGGUCAUUACCACUUGUUGGUUUUAAAGCUAAAGCCCUAGAGCUAACUAUAGUUCCAGCUUCACUGUCUUUUAACGACUCUUUACUGUUCUUUCUCCGACCAAAAGCGAAAAAAAAAACACACGAAAUGGCGUCGCUUGGCCAAAUCACCCUCCCGCGGGCGCCGUCGUUGGAGAUUAGCCUCCUACGCCUUCGAUUUGAUCGACCCAUCAGAACCCGAAUUGGAUUCAAUGGCCGGAUCGUGAGCGAGCAGGCGCAGGUUUCGGUGAAAGCGAGCGUGAGCCAGAAGGUGAUUGAAGAGGAGGCGAGAGUCCUCGUAGGCACGUACGCGCGUGCUCCAGUGGUGCUAUCGAGUGGGAAAGGUUGUAAAUUGAUGGACGCGGAAGGGAAAGAGUAUCUGGAUUGCGCAUCUGGAAUCGCUGGGAAUGCUCUGGGCCAUGGAGAUCCUGAUUGGCUUCAAGCCGUCACCGACCAAGCUGCUGUUCUUGCCCACGUCAGCAAUGUCUAUUACACCAUUCCUCAGGUAUAAUCUCAGUGUCUGAAAAUGAUUUGGCCAAAGAUUGGAACUUUAGCUGAUUUGAUCCUCUCUAUGCGAUUAAAGCUAUGGCCUUUUUGAUUAUGGUUACUUUCAAGCUCAUGUAUUUCUGAAAUGUAUUAAAACUUGUCUGCAGAUUGAAUUAGCUAAACGACUUGUGGCAAGUUCAUUCGCAGACCGUGUAUUCUUCUGUAACUCUGGAACAGAAGCCAACGAAGCAGCCAUCAAGUUUUCUAGAAAGUUCCAGAGAUUCACCCAUCCUCAAGACAAAGAUGUCGCCACAGGCUUCAUAGCCUUUACGAAUAGUUUCCACGGUCGAACCUUAGGAGCUCUCGCCUUGACGAGCAAAGAACAGUACAGAACUCCUUUCGAACCCAUCAUGCCUGGCGUCACGUUCUUGGAGUACGGUAACGUUCAAGCCGCCACUGAUCUUAUCAGCUCGGGUAAAAUAGCUGCAGUGUUUGUGGAGCCUAUCCAAGGAGAAGGCGGGGUUUACUCUGCUACAAAGGAGUUUCUCCAGUCUCUUCGCUCUGCUUGUGAUGCUUCAGGUUCUCUUCUCGUCUUCGAUGAGGUUCAGUGUGGUUUGGGGCGAACCGGUAACCUUUGGGCGUAUGAAGCAUUCGGUGUAACGCCUGACAUAAUGACAGUUGCAAAGCCUUUAGCCGGUGGGUUACCAAUUGGAGCGGUGCUUGUGACUGAAAAGGUUGCUGAGACCAUCAAGUAUGGAGAUCAUGGAAGCACGUUCGCAGGGAACCCUCUUGUGUGCAGUGCAGCCAUCGCUGUUGUUGAUAAAGUAUCCAAACCCUCUUUCUUGGCCAGUGUCUCGGGCAAAGGUUUAUACUUUAAGGAACUGUUGGUGAAGAAACUAGGAGGGAACUCGCACGUGAAGGAAGUGAGAGGAGAAGGGCUGAUCAUUGGAGUGGAGCUUGAUGUGCCAGCGAGUCCACUGGUGGAUGCUUGCCGUGAUUCAGGUCUUCUGAUCUUGACUGCAGGGAAAGGGAAUGUCGUCAGGAUUGUUCCACCGUUGAUUAUAUCGGAAGAGGAGAUCGAACGUGCCGUUGAGAUUAUGUUCCAAAAUUUAACUGCCCUUGGUUGAAGGUUGAGCUUGAGUACAAGAACAAACAAAAUGUGUAUCGACAUUGAUGCGUCUUUUUAAAUAUCUUUACUUUUCUUGAUUAAGCUCAAGUGUUGUACUAUUGCCUGCUUGAAAAAUCUACUCUUACACGGCAUUAACUUCAAAGAAAAAGCUUUCAAUGUGAUCAAAUACGUCCCGUUAAUAAACAUACUAUCACAGACAUUGUGGCUGAUGAAGCUGAUACUCUCUUUGCGUACAAACACUUAUUGUUGGAAAAAAAAUCUCUCUUCAAAGUUAUACAAAUGACUAAACAGAAGCAUGAACUUGGGAGUCCACUGACUUCAGAACCUCCUCUCCCAUCUCCUUGCACCCCACCAGUUUCUGAUUAAACACCAUUCAAAAAGAUGAACAUAAGUAUUGUUUACUAUUUGCCUGCUCGCUUUUCAAACUAUGAUAGAACAGGAAACAUUGUAAUAAGAAUGGUUCAAGAAAAGUACGGUUCCAUUGGAGUAGAUGUCUCCUGUUCUAAACCCUUUGUUCAGAGCACCCAACACCACGUCUUCGAUCCUCUUAGCUGCCUUUUCUUCUCCAAGUCCGUAUUUCAGAAGCAUUGCAGCGCUGAGGAUGGUUGCUAACGGGUUUGCUUUAUCCUGCAAAAUUCAAAGAAAAGUUUUGCUCUACAUUUUUGGCAUAUGUAGAAGUAGUUUUGAUAUUGGGGAAGAAAAGCUUUGUUUGUUUGAGGAAUAUAGAGUUAGGACCUGUCCAGCAAUAUCAGGUGCAGAACCAUGUAUUGGUUCAAAGAGUCCAGGUCCCUGUUAUAUACAUCACAUUUUUUUUUGGGUUCAGAAAUGAUCAUAUUGCUGCACACUCAAAGAUUAUAGAUUAAUUCAUAUUAAUACCGAGUCACUGAGACUAGCAGAAGGAAGCAUGCCGAUGCUCCCUGUGAUCAUUGAAGCUUCAUCGGAUAAUAUAUCACCAAAAAUGUUGUUUGUGACAAUGGUGUCAAACUGCAUUUUAAGAAACCAUUGUGAGGAUUUAUACAUUUGCCACAUCAAGGCGCUGACUGGAUGAUUUAUACCUGUUUAGGGUCACGAACAAGCUGCAUGGCAGCAUUGUCGACGUACAUAUGUGACAGUUCAACAUCAGGAUAUUCAGCGGCUAAUGCUGUUACUCGCCUCCUCCAUAAAAUCGAGGCCUAACAUUGCAUUAAAUUAUGUAUUCUCUGUGUCACAUUAGAAAAUAGGGGGGAGAGAGAGAGGAAGCAUACAUCCAAGACAUUAGCUUUGUCGACAGAACACAACUUGCCACGUCGCUUACGAGCAGUCUCGAAGGCAACACGAGCAAUUCUAUCAAUCUCGUGAGCAGCAUAGACCUCGGUAUUAAACCCAACUUCCUCACCAUUUUCAUUAGUCUUAAUGCCCCUUGGCUCUCCAAAGUAUAUACCUGUUGCCAUUAGAGAUCAUAACACAUUAUAAAGAUAGGGAANNNNNNNNNNNNNNNNNNNNNNNNNNNNNNNNNNNNNNNNNNNNNNNNNNNNNNNNNNNNNNNNNNNNNNNNNNNNNNNNNNNNNNNNNNNNGGGAAAGAGAAAUACAAGGAUUAAAGAUUAGUAUGGAAAUAGACCUCCAGUAAGCUCCCUUACAACCAUUAGAUCAACACCUUCAGCAACCUCUUUUUUCAAGGUCGAGGCAUCAACUAACUGAAAGAUAAUUUAAGUUCCACACAGGUAACAAAACUACAGGCUACCAAGAACUCCUGAUAUUAAGAAGAAGAAGAAGAGGGUAACCUGUGGAAGAACAGUAGCAGGUCUGAGAUUAGCAAAGACUUUAAGAGCGGCCCGAAGUUGAAGUAAACCAGUCUCAGGCUUCAGAUGUUUUUCAUUCUUAUCCCAUUUGUACCUGAAUUCACACCACCAACGUUGUAUUUUCCAAUCAAGACAUAAACAAAAAAAAAAAAAGAGUAGAGCCAACGUUAGUGGGAGAAUAGAGGAAAACAUACCCUCCGAUGGCUCCAAGAAGCACAGCAUCUGAAUCUUUAGCAGCGGAGAUGGUGUCCUCAGGCAAAGGCACUCCAACCAAAUCCAAAGCAGCUCCUCCUACAGGCAUCUCCCUAAAGCUAAACUCCACUCCUGAUUAACAACACAGACGCAAUCAAGUGACCAAGUUUAUCAAAAUAAAUCCUAAGCCCACGAAUCUUAUAUCUAAUCCCCAAUGAGAUAAACCUUCCAAGGAUCCAGCUUGCUGAAGCACAUUUUUAGCGAUGGAGAUAACCUCCGGACCGAUGCCGUCUCCGGGAAGGAGAGUGAUGUUGUAUCGCUUUUUCCCAGCGGAAUUAACAGCGCAGCAUCUUACUCUAAAGGGUGCCGGCGAUUGUUUGGUUAGAGCUCUUAACGUAGCCGGAAACUUGACCGGUCGGAUAUUCGCCUGCAGAGCCGCCGCCAUUUCAGGUGAUAAAACAAGGAUUCGUCAGGGUCGUCGUUUCGGAUAUUUUGAAACUAGUUGGGGUACAGACAGUGAGUGAGUGAUAUGAGACAGACACUCGAAGACUUUUAGUUAGGUCUUUGCAAUUAUCAGUCCUUGCUUUUGUAUUUUUCAUUCAAAUCGAUCCCACACUUCUUCAUAUUUGUGAUGAAUGCCAAUAUUCCCAAAGAAGUGGGUCAUAUGUGGGCCUACAAAUUAGCCCAAUUUAGCCAUGCGCAAAAUAACUGGAACCGAACCGAAAUACACGCUCAAAUAACCGAAUGAUUCAUAUAUUUUUUUUUAUAUCCUAAAUAACCGAACCGUGAACCAAACGGAUACCUGAAUAUAUAAAAAUAUUAAUUAUAUAUACAUAUAACAUAACUAAAUAUAUAUUUUUAAUUUAAAAUUCUAAUAUAAGUACAUGAAAAUAGUUGAGAAUAACUAAAUUAUUAUAAAGUAUCUGAAUUACCCGAAAGUAUCCGAAACUAUCCGGAUAAUUUUAUCCGAAAUAUCCAAUUUUUUAACUAAAUCAUCAUAAUUAUUUGAUAUUUUACCCUAAAUAACCGAUAUUUUAUCUAAAUUAUCUGAACUAUCCGAACUAUCUGAAUCCGAACCGGAUCCAAAUGAGAACCGAUUUUUUUUCCGGGUAUUUUCAGUUCCUACAUUUACUAUCCAAAAUGAACCAAACCCAAAACUAUCUUAACCGAACCGAAUCGAACCGAAAAUAUGUCUAGUAGUAAAUGGAUACUCUAGGUCUCUGUCCGAACUACUCCGAACCGAGCAUAUGUCCGAAAUGCCCCGGGCUAGCCCAAUUAAUCGGAAUAGCAGAAACUAAAAGUCCAAUAGGUAAUCGGGUCUGCGGACAUACCCAAUCGAAUACGGGUAAUCGGAUCCCAUCUGGAGAAACUGGUCAAAGAAAUAUCCCGGACAAACUAACCCUAAUUUUGAACGCUGCAUAGAGCGGCGGGAGAGAAAUGCUCUUGUCGAGACAUCUCCGGCGAUUCGAUCGCCUUCGAAUCGUUUCUUCACCCUCCGUUCGGCUUCUAUCUGCAAAACCCGUUUCCGACGAGAAGCUCCGAUGUCAGGUGGAAGAGUCCAGCUACGAUCAGAGAACAGUAUGCGAAGCCAUCACAGGCUACAGCAACGACUGGCAAAAGGCGUUGGAGUUUUUCAAUUGGGUCGAGAAGGAAUCCGGAUUCGAACACACCACCGAGACGUUCAACCGCAUGAUCGAUGUUCUCGGUAAGUACUUCGAGUUCGAUGCUUCCUGGUCUUUGGUUAACCGGAUGAAGGAGAACCCCGGUUCGAUUCCCAAUCACGUCACUUUCCGUAUAAUAUUCAAGCGUUACGUCACGGCUCAUCUUGUUCAGGAGGCUAUAGAUACUUACGAUAGGUUAGAUGAUUUCAAUUUGAGAGACGAGACGUCUUUUUGUAAUCUCGUGGAUGCGCUUUGCGAGCAUAAGCAUGUGGUUGAAGCAGAGGAGCUCUGUUUCGGGAAGAGUGUGGUUUGUGUGAGUAGUAACACUACUAAGAUUCAUAACUUGAUUCUUCGCGGGUGGUCGAAGCUGGGAUGGUGGGGGAAGUGCAAGGAGUAUUGGGAGAAGAUGGAUCACGAAGGCGUUGCUAAGGAUCUGUUUUCGUAUUCUAUUUACAUGGAUAUAAUGUGUAAGAGUGGGAAGCCUUGGAAAGCUGUGAACUUGUACAAGGAAAUGAAGAGGAAGAGGAUCAAACUCGAUGUUGUUGCGUACAACACUGUGAUUCGCGCCAUUGGAGCAUCGGAAGGUGUUGACUUUGGCGUUAGAGUGUUUAAGGAGAUGAAGGAGAGAGGCUGUGAGCCUAACGUUGCGACUCAUAACACGGUUAUUAAGCUUUUGUGUGAAGAAGGGAGGGUGAAGGAUGCGUAUGGGAUGCUUAACGAGAUGCCUAAGAGAGGUUGUCAGCCGGAUUCGAUUACUUAUAUGUGUUUCUUUGCCCGUAUGGAGAAAUCAAGCGAGAUCUUGGGUCUGUUUGGUAGGAUGAUAAGGAGUGGGGUUAGGCCUAGGAUGGAUACUUAUGUGAUGCUUAUGAGGAAGUUUGAGAGAUGGGGGUUUCUUCAGCCGGUUUUACACGUGUGGAAGACGAUGAAAGAGUCUGGGGAUACUCCUGAUUCGGCUGCGUAUAACGCUAUGAUUGACGCUUUGAUUCAGAAAGGGAUGUUGGAGAUGGCUAAGGAGUAUGAAGAUGAAAUGGUUGAAAGAGGGCUGUCUCCGAGGAGAAGGCCUGAGUUGGUAGACACGUCACUAGAAGAAACGCUAGUUUGUAGAUAAUAGAAAAGUCCGUUGAAGAAACUAUUGUUUGGUUAUUUGUUCAAAACGGACAAACAUGUCAAUGAAGCGAUCUUUGGUAUCAAGAAGCUUCCUGCGGUUGAAGAAAUCGCCCAAAGGUAAUCACAGUUGACUACAUUUGCAUUUAUUUGAUCGAGGAAUCUGGUUUCACUUGUGAUCAUUGAUUCUCUUGGAAGCUUGAAAGAGGGGUGGAUCAAGUGGGUGAGUGAAGAAACCGUGAGAGCAUGAGUCUUAAGCAAGUAAACCUCUUGGUCGAGAUUUAGUAUAAUGUAGUAUAUUCAUUUUGAAGUGUAGUUGCCUUUGUUGUAUUUGGUGAGGUGAUUUUUUUUGGUAAGGAUAUGGAAACGAUAUGAUUUGUAUAAUUGUAUCUUCAUGUAAACAUAAAAUCAUGAAGUCAAUCUUAAUGCAGUUUUCCGUUUCAAAAACGAUUGUGUAAAAUAAACGAUUUACUAAUUACUGUAUGUUGCAUCAUUUUCAAAAUUUAAUUGAUUGUAUAAUUAGUUUACAGGGGUACAUUAAUUCAUCAGAUUCUUUCCUAUAGCAAACUAAUGGAUAUCUGGGGAAGGCGAACCGCGUGAGAUUUUUCAUUUUGAGCGAAUAUUGUAGAUCACAGCCAAUGAGACCUUAACGAGUAACAAUUAAUAUAGGGAAAAAGAAUAACAAGGAUGGAGAAAAUUAUGGAAACAUAAAUUCCUAAAUAAGGGAGAUCAUAAAUAAUAAGCUAUUCGUUUCAUCUUCUUUCUCCUCGAUUUCCUGGAGACAUUUAAAAGAUUCUUGAUAUAUAGAAUACAUAAACCCUUUUCUAGAGAUUGAAACGUAACCAAACAAUCCAAACAAAAAGAGGGAGAGAGGAUAAUGCUUUGUAGCCCAACGCCGACGUUUCAUGAUCGCCGGCGUCUUCUUCUUAUAGGCGUUGCGAUCCUGGUCUCUUCCUGUUUGGUUUCUUUCUCUCAUGGAGUUUCUUCUUCUUGUCAUCAUCAUCCCUCCUCAACCUCAUUUCAAGGUUCUUCAUCAUAUUCUCUCUUUUUAUCUUUUGAUGUUUUCUAUUAAAAACUAAAAAAAUCUGAUAGAAGUUUUAUAUAUUUAAUUCAUUUUGAAGGAUUGAUGAGGAGGCAAAUUCUGGAAGGAGCAAAUGGGACAUUGGUGCUAGCGGCGGAGAGGACACGGCGGCCUGAUCCUCUCAACAAUUUCAAUAUAUAUACCGAUGGUUGGAACGUUACCAAUUCUCAUUACAUCGCCGUGAGUCUCCCACAUUAUAUUCAAACCAAUGCAUGUCUUUUUAGGAAUUAGGAACAUCCAUUAGUUUUGUUCUAUGCUCAACUUAGCUGCGUUAAGGCUAUGCAUUUAGGUUCUGUGUUAAAUCAUGUUAAUAAGGGAUGGUAUCUAGCCAAAAGUACAAAAUAAAAAAAAAAAAUAGAGAAAAAAAUAUGAGGCUGUAGCAAACUGCAUGUUAAAAUGUUAUAUGUUGGUUGGUAUCUAAAGGUGCGUUUAGACCACUAGGCUAGUUUCAGGACAACUCAAAGAGUAAUUGAUAAUAACUAAAACGUGAGUGUAAUGUUCUCUUUCAGUCUGUUGGAUUUUCCGCUGUUCCGUUCAUAGUAAUAGCAAUCGUGUGGUUCGUGUUUCUCGGACUCUUCCUCAUCUGCUCAUGCCUCUGUUGCUGUUGCUGCGGUUGCGGCCGCCGGCACUACGGUUACUCUCGCGUCUGCUACACUCUNNNNNNNNNNNNNNNNNNNNNNNNNNNNNNNNNNNNNNNNNNNNNNNNNNNNNNNNNNNNNNNNNNNNNNNNNNNNNNNNNNNNNNNACUCUUUCUCUCAUCUUCCUCCUCCUCUUCACCGUCGCCGCCGUGUAAACUUCCUCUUCCUUCACUAAAUAUACACAUCAAACCAUUUAAUUAAUUAUUGUUUUAGUUCUUGACUAAAAAAAUUCGAAACGAUGUUUUUUUUUCUUCAGGAUUGGGUCUACGAUGUUGUACACAGGGCAAAAGGAGUUUUACGGUAGCGUGGAGAAGACGUUUAUGUACAUUGUGAACCAAGCAACUAAAGUUUUGGGUAAGCUAACGAGCUUGUGGGACUCUAUUCAAUCUGCUAAAGACAUUCAGCUCGAUGGACACAACCUCUUUCCUCCUCAGUUUAGAGGUAACAUUGAUCAUUUCAACAACAUGAUCAAGAUGUCUAACAUCACUUACCCUGACCGUGUCGCUAACCAGACAAUCGGUUAUCUCACCGGAGUACUAAACCCUGUGUAAGCAUUAGUUACAUAAAUGACUUGCGUCACAAGUUAUAAGUAGAACCUCUGUUUGAUUAUUGGACUUUAUAAUGUUUCUUCAGGAGAUUAGUGUUAAACGUGAUUGCUGGUGUUAUGCUCGCAAUCGCAUUCCUUGGACUCUGUAAGUAGUAAAAUUAUUACGUUCUAACUUUCAAUCUGUUUCUAUGCAUUUGCCUCCAUAACAUGUUUAUGAUUCUUUACAGUGUUUUCCUUCUGUGGACUAAGAGUUCUUGUCUACCUGUGAGUCAUAGAAUUCUCUAUACAGUCGAUAUAAUAUAUUCUAUCAUAACCAAAUUAAAUGGUUACAAUUAAUGUUUAAUCCUCAGGUUAGUAAUCUUGGGUUGGAUUCUCGUCACAGCAACGAUCCUCCUAAGCGCAGUCUUCCUCGUCUUCCACAAGUAAUGACAUUAAUCAUCAUCACUUCAUUUAACUCAAGUUUGAUUUUGUUUUAUUUGAUUAUACUAAAGAUGUUACUUAAAAACAGUGUGGUUGCCGACACAUGCACGGCUAUGGACCAAUGGGUGCAUGAUCCAGCGGCAGAGUCGGCCUUGAGCCAGCUUCUUCCAUGUUUAGACGCUAAAACCAUUGGAGAUACAUUGGAUAUUACCAAGACGAUGACUUCUACGGCCGUUGACAUGACCAAUGCCUACACUGUCAAUGUCAGUAACCAUGAGUUCCCACCUAACGUCCCUUUCUACCAUAACCAGUCUGGUCCGCUCGUUCCUUUGCUCUGUAACCCGCUCGAUGAACAUCGUAAUCCACGUCCUUGUGCUCCUAACGAAAUCCUCCUCGCUAAUGCUUCUCAGGUACACAAUACAUAUAAUCAACCUUUUCUUUUAAAACAUAAAUAAAUGGUAUACAUGAUGCCUAUUAUGUCAUAUGUAUAGUAGCAUUACAAGAGUAAAAUAAUUUUAUUAGACCAUAAACUGUACUUAAAUAUUGUUAAUAUGUAUUUUCUUGGGUAAAUAGAUAUACAAAGGCUUUGUGUGCCAAGUGAACGCAGAAGGGAUCUGCAUUACACAGGGAAGGUUAACUCAAGCUUCAUACGACCAGAUGAUGGGUGCGAUCAACGUGGCGUUCACGUUAGACCAUUACAGCCCGUUCUUGGCUAGUAUUGCUGAUUGCUCCUUCGUUCGAGACACCUUCAGAGACAUAACCACCAAGAACUGCCCUGGACUCACCAUCACCAGCCAGUGGAUCUACGCAGGACUCGCGUCACUCUCUGGUGCAGUCAUGUUCUCGCUCAUCUUUUGGAUGAUUUUCGUUAGAGAAAGACGUCACCGGUCUCACACCAAGAAGUCUAUGGUCCAGAUGAAUAAGAUUUAAUCAUCGCAAACAGGACCAUUCAUUGAAUGAGUGAGAGGAUAAAUGUUAUUUAAGUUUUUUUUGUUGUUUUUGGUUAAAAACAUUAAUGAUUUGUUAUAAAAAAGAAACAGUUUAGAAACGAAUUCGUGUAAUCUCUUCUUAUAUACUCAAUAUUAAUCAGUUGUUCUUGUAGAAUCCAGGAACAUUUGUGUAAUAAAUCUAACAACAUACUCUGAACCAUCUAUGGUCGAGAGAUUGGUAGGUUUUGAAUAAAUCAAGCCAUUUAAUGACUUUGACACUGAAAUGUCGUCGGCUAGCCACAGAUUAAAUGUACUAGUAACUACGAGUGACAAGAAAUUCGUGUUUGAUUUCUAUAUGUAAACUCAAGGGUCAAGGCGGUGCAGAAUCGACGUGUUUUUGUCAUUUGAAUUAUCAAAUUAAUAUAUUUUUCCAUCGUAAUUGAAACAGGUAAGAUUUGUAUUACAGCACAAGUACCUUAUGUGAAAACAGAGAGACAUCAAACAGAGAAAGAGAGUAGUUUGGGCCUGGCCAAGCUAUCUAGAAAACAAAAGAGAAAGGGUAAAAUGUACCCGGAAGAUGAUCAGGCCCAAUGCAAUGAAGAGCCCAGCAAGCUUGAGUCUCAACGGUCAUCUGCGGUCAUUAAGACUAAAGAGCUACAGUCCAAGAAGAUAGCAAGUAGUACGGUAAAGCAGACUGCAAAAGAGAAGGUCUGCGGUCAUUAAGACUAAAAAGCUACAGUCCAAGAAGACAUCAAGUAGUACGGUAAAGCAGACUGCAAAAGAGAAGGUUGAGCUUAAGCUGUCCAAUCCAUUCUCAGCCCUUGAUGGCCUUGUUGCAAGCUGAUGAUGACACCUGUUUAGAAUGCUAGGGCUUUCACUAUUAUGUAUAAAUAAGACAUCUCUUGUAAUGUUGAAUUCUAAGAAAGAAAGUUCAGGAAAUAAACUUCAUCUUCAACCUAACCUUGUUUCUCUUCAUGGUAUCAGAGCUUCAGGGAUAGAUUCUCGGAUGCUAUGGCCAUGGAGGUGUACAAUCCCCCAACUUUGAGUAUAGAAAACAGUGUGACCGUCACUCUCAGUGAGCGCAAUUAUAUCCUCUGGAAAUCUCAGUUUGAAGCCUUCCUUAAUGGACAAGGCUUACUCGGCUUUGUGAACGGUCUUAGUCCAGAGCCCCCAACCACCGUGCGUGUUCCAGGUAUCAACGGCACCGAAACUGAAGUUCCCCACCCAGAACGAAGUCGUUGGUUCCAGACAGACCAGGUAGUAAAAUCUUGGCUACUUGGUUCCUUUUCAGAAGAUAUCCUUGGCGUUGUAGUCGAUUGUAAAACAUCCUAUGAAGUCUGGACAGCUCUUGCCCGCUACUACAACCGCUCAUCCUCGUCUCGUUUGUUUGAGCUUCAAAGAAAGCUUCAAACCGUCUCUAAGAUGGAGAAGACGAUGGACAUCUACCUCAAAGACAUAAAAAGCGUUUGUUCUCAACUCUCUUCUAUUGGAAGUCCAGUCUCUGAGAGGAUGAAAGUCUUUGCUGCUCUUCACGGCCUUGGUAAAGAAUAUGAGCCUAUCAAAACCACCAUUGAAAGCUCCAUGGACUCUCAUCCCCCACCAACGUUUGAAGAUGUUGUUCCUCGCCUUACUAGCUAUGAAGACAGACUACAAAGCUAUGUUAAUCAGAGCUCCGUAACUCCAAACCUUGCUUUUUACUCCAACAGAGGAAGGGGUAACUUUCAGCGAGGUGGAGGUCGCGGUCAGAACAGAGGUUACUCAACAAGAGGUCGAGGCUUUCAUCAACAUGUCUCACCAUCUUCUCUUUCCUCUGUCAGCUCCGACUCAGACUCACGCCCUAUCUGUCAGAUCUGUGGAAAGCCAGGGCAUCAAGCUCUUCGCUGUUGGCAUAAAUUUGAUAACGGUUAUCAAUCAGAGGAAAUGCCACAUGCUCUAGCAGCCCUCCCCAUCACAGACGUUACAAACAGUUCUGGCCAUGAGUGGUUCUCUGAUUCAGGUGCCACCACACACGUCACCAACUCACCAAGGCAUCUCCAACAGUCUCAGGCCUACACUGGUUCUGACUCGGUGAUGGUUGGAAAUGGAGAGUUCCUUCCCAUCACCCACACUGGCUCUACAUCUCUGUCAACUGCCUCAGGUAAUAUUCCUUUAAAUAAUGUUUUGGUUUGUCCUGAUAUGGCUAAGUCCCUUCUGUCAGUAUCACAAGCUACCUCAGACUAUCCAUGUGCUUUUGUCUUUGACUCUGAUGAUGUGCGUGUGUUUGAUAAGUCAACCAAGCAGCUUCUUCUUCAGGGAAGUCGCAGUAAAGGUCUCUACAAGCUCUCUGAUGCUCCGUCUCAAGUGUUCUACUCGUCAAGACAAGUUACAGCGUCUGAUGAUGUUUGGCACCAGAGGUUGGGGCAUCCAAAUCUCCAAGUUCUCCAACAACUAUCAUCAACUAAGUCUAUCUACAUCAAUAAACAUAUCAAAACCUUCUGUGAAACCUGUCAACUUGCAAAGAGCUCACGCCUUCCCUUUGCUGCUUCUACCUUUGUCGCCACAAGACCAUUGGAGAGGCUUCAUUGUGAUUUAUGGGGACCCUCACCUGUUAUGUCAGUUCAGGGGUUUAGAUAUUAUGUAGUCUUCAUAGACAACUACUCUAGAUUUUGUUGAUUUUUUCCUUUGAAGUAUAAAUCAGACUUCUUUGAUACCUUUGUCAAAUUUCAUUCAAUGGUUCAAAACCAGUUCAAUACCUCUAUUAGAACAUUUCAAUGUGAUGGGGGAGGGGCAUUCGUCAGCAAACCCUUCCUAAGCCAUCUCCAACAGAAUGGAAUUCGACAGUUCAUAUCCUGUCCCCACACACCCCAACAAAACGGGUUGUCUGAACGCAAGCAUCACCAGAUAACUGAGCUUGGUCUGUCACUUCUAUUCCACAGCAAAGUCCCACACAAGUAUUGGGUCGAGUCCUUCUUUACCGCAAACUUUUUAAGCAACCUCCUCCCUCAUACGACCCUUGAUGGCCCCAGAAGCCCAUUUGAACUUCUUCAUGGCAAGCCACCAGACUACAGAGCUCUCAGAGUCUUUGGCUGCGCAUGCUACCCAAUGCUCAGGGACUAUGCUUCGUCCAAACUGGACCCUAGAUCGUUGCAGUGUGUUUUCUUAGGAUAUAAUGAGCGAUACAAAGGAUACAGGUGCCUUCUCCCCACAACAGGUCGUGUCUAUAUCUCUAGGCAUGUCAUUUUUAAUGAACAAUCCUUUCCUUUCUCAAAAGAGUAUGCUCAUCUUCACCCACCUGCAACCUCACCAUUGAUGGAUGCUUGGUACAAGAGUUUCCAACAGACCGCUCCUGCUGUUGUCUCAGAUAAAACAACGCACCACCAACCUCCUAAGGUGGCUUCCUCCAAGAGGUCAACACCUCAACCUCCAAUGUUUACUCUUGAGGACUUUCCUCCUCUACCUUCUGUAACAAGCAACAGCUCUGCUCCUACUACUCCAGCACACCCACGAUCACCUGUUCCGUCAUCUCCUUCACUAGUGCUUGGCUCAGUUUGUUCUACUGCUAGUGGAGUGGAGAGUUCUGAGUGUACGCCAGGCUCCGAUCCUGUUUCUAUUGGCAACAGCUCUACCACACCACAAAGCAGGCCAGAACAAUCGCCUCUGCCUACACUUACAUCAGUUCACCCCAUGAUCACCAGAGCAAGAGAUGGAAUAUCUAAACCAAAUCCUCGGUACUGUCUCUUAACUCAAAAGGCAUCACACUCCCUACCUAGAACUGUCUCUGAGGCUCUCAUACACCCGGGUUGGAACGGUUCUAUGCAUGAAGAAAUUGAUAACUGUAAAGAGACAGGAACUUGGUCCUUAGUCCCUGUUACUCCCAACAUGAAUGUUUUGGGAUCAAGAUGGGUACAUCGAGUCAAACUCAAUGCAGAUGGCUCCUUCAAGUCACACCGAUCUCGACUUGUCGCAAAAGGAUAUGACCAGGAAGAAGGCGUCGACUACUUUGAAACAUACAGCCCAGUUGUCCGCUCUGCAACAGUCAGAACGGUUCUCCAUAUUGCUACAGUCAUGAAGUGGGAUAUCAAACAGAUGGACGUUAAAAACGCCUUCUUACAUGGUGAUCUCACUGAGGUUGUUUACAUGAAACAACUAGCUGGCUUCAUCAACAAAACAAAACCCGAUCAUGUAUGUCUUCUCCACAAAGCCUUAUAUGGCUUAAAACAGUCGCCUCGCGCCUGGUUUGACAAGUUCAGCUCCUACCUUCUUGAGUUUGGGUUUGUCUGCAGUCUUAAAGAUCCCUCUCUAUUCAUCUACUCUCGAGGCAAAGAUGUCAUCAUGCUUCUUCUCUACGUCGAUGACAUGCUUCUAACUGGAAACAGCUCUACUGCGAUGGUCUGUCUUCUCCAAUCUCUCAACCAGCAGUUCAAGAUGAAAGAUCUUGGCCAGAUGCACUACUUUCUCGGUAUCCAAGCUAUCUUUCAUGAAAAAGGAUUGUUUCUGAGUCAAGAACAGUAUGCAAAGGACAUACUCACUGUGGCUUCUAUGAGUGAUUGUUCCCCAAUUGCCAAUCCUCUGCCUCAACAGCUUAACAGAGGAAAAGAUCCACAACAGCCACCAGAACCUCUCUUUUCAAACCCAACAUACUUCAGAUGCUUGGCUGGCAAGUUACAAUAUCUCACCUUGACACGCCCUGACAUUCAGUUUGCCGUCAACUACGUGUGCCAAAAGAUGCAUGCUCCUUCCAUCUCAGACUUCACUCUACUAAAAAGGAUUCUGAGAUAUCUCAAAGGCACUUUGUCAAUGGGGAUCAACUUCACUGCGGAUACUGAUUUCACUCUAAGAGCUUAUAGUGAUAGUGACUGGGGUGGCUGCUCCUCCACUCGUCGUUCUACCGGAGGGUUCUGUACCUUCCUUGGCUCAAACAUCAUCUCAUGGGCUUCUCAUAAACAACCUACUGUCUCCUGUAGCUCCACUGAAGCUGAAUAUCGCUCUCUUACAGAAACAUCAAAGGAACUAUCUUGGAUAAGCUCUGUCUUACGUGAGCUUGGAGUGACUCAACUGGUGACUCCUGAGCUGUAUUGUGACAAUCUCUCCUCUGUCCACUUAACAGCGAACCCAACGUACCACAAAAGGUCAAAGCAUUUCGAGAUAGACUACCAUUAUAUCAGAGAACGAGUUGCUUUAGGUGCUGUAGUAGUAAAGCAUGUUCCGGCUCGCCUUCAGCUCGCUGACAUAUUCACUAAGUCCUUACCGGCUCAUGCUUUCUCCUCUUUACGCUACAAACUGGGUGUAGAUGUUCCACCAACACCAAGUUUGAGGGGGGCUAUUACAGCACAAGUACCUUCUGUGAAAACAGAGAAACAUCAAACAGAGAAAGAGAGUGGUUUGGGCCUGGCCAAGCUAUCUAGAGAACAAAAGGGAAAGGGUAAAAUGUACCCGGAAGAUGAUCAGGCCCAAUGCAAUGAAGAGCCCAGCAAGCUUGAGUCUCAACGGUCAUCUGCGGUCAUUAAGACUAAAGAGCUACAGUCCAAGAAGAUAGCAAGUAGUACGGUAAAGCAGACUGCAAAAGAGAAGGUUGAGCUUAAGCUGUUCAAUCCAUUCUCAGCCCUUGAUGGCUUUGUUGCAAGCUGAUGAUGACACCUGUUUAGAAUGCUAGGGUUUUCACUAUUAUGUAUAAAUAAGACAUCUCUUGUAAUGUUGAAUUCUAAGAAAAAAAGUUCAGGAAAUAAACUUCAUCUUCAACCUAACCUUGUUUCUCUUCAAUUUGUGCGUAUCCUCUUUGAUCUGUCUGUUUUUGACUCUAUGCAUUGCUUCUGUUAAUUAAAGACAAGAAAUGCUGUGUAAAUCUUCAUCCGAGGAAAUACUUAUAUAACUAAGCAUAUAAUAUACAUAAUUAAUUGAGUGUUCCAAAAAAAAGUACAUAAUUAAUUAAAUAUAAAAGUGGGAAGAUUAAUAAAGUGAUUGAGAGAUGAGAUCGUUAAGAACAAAGCCAAAGUCAUGCCUCGACCCACGCUGGACUGGACAAAUCAUAUACUCAAAUGAACUCACGUGUUGAGCACAAAACCUUCACAUGACAACAAGUUAUUCCGUUUUGCUUUAUGUAUUAGUAUAAUCAAAUAAAAUCAGACUAAGCAAAAUAUCCUACGUUUCCCGGAGUAUAUUCGUAUAAAUAAGUCUUGGAAAAAUUAAUAAAUAUAGGCUGUAAAUUGUCGACCGACCUGCAGAUAAUUACUAAAAACAAAUAUUUUAACAAGAUUAGUUGGAAAGUACUGUAAAAACCUCUCAAGAAUAAUGACAUUUGUUUUUUUGACAACGGAAUAAUGACAUUUGUUUUAUUUUUCAUCUGAAUAAUGACAUUUGUUAGAAAAAUAGAAUAUAUACAAAACAUACUUAUUUGUUAGUUAAAUAAUUUAAUUGAGUCAUUGCUGAUGACGGAAGAUAAGAAUUAGUUAAUAUUUAUAGAGAGAGAGAGUGUAGAAGGAAGACACACACCAAACUCGACUUUAAAGAGUUGUGCUGGUGCAUGUUACUUUUUUUUAAAAAAAGUGCAAAUCUAAGAAGAGACAGUGAUCGGUCGGAGAGAGAUGCCGAACCUAGUGGAGAAAACGGGAAGCCGACCACCGUGGGUGGGGUUAGCUGCCGCCGCUUGGGUUCAGAUAGCUGCUGGAACCAGUUCGACGUUCCCGCUGUACUCCGCCGCUCUCAAAUCGGUUCUGGGGUUUAACCAGCAACAGAUCACGAUCCUCGGAGUCGCUUGUGAUCUCGGUGAAAAUUUGGGACUACUUCCAGGCUACGUGAGUAACAAGCUUCCUCCAUGGGCGAUGCUUCUCAUCGGAUCCACCUCUUGUUUCCUCGGUUACAGCGUUCUCUGGAGCUCCGUCAACCAAAUCAUCCAUGGCUUGCCUUUCUGGCUGGUAACAAACAACCACACCCUUCUCUUUAUUUUUUCAUUUGAAUCAUAUGCUAUAACGCCGGUCCUGAGAUUUUGGGAGAAUGUUACAUCGAACUCAACUUUUUUUGUUAGUCAAGUGUACAUUUUUUUUUAGUCAAAGACCUAUUAAUUGAACUUACAUGAUUAGUAUCUUGGGUUUGGUAAUGUUGUUGACAGCUAUUCAUUGCUCUGUUUUUCGGCACCAAUAGUAGCUCAUGGUUCGGCACGGCAUCUCUGGUGACCAAUAUGAGGAACUUUCCUAUGAGCCGAGGCCCAGUUGCCGGACUCAUCAAAGGGUAUAUUGGGCUCAGUGGUGCAGCAUUCACCGUGAUUUUCAGCGUCUUGCUUCACCACUCAGCUACCAAUCUGCUCUUCUUUCUUAUGGUUGGCGUUCCCCUUUUAUGCUUAUCUCUCAUGUACUUCGUCCGCCCAUGUGUUCCUGCUACCGACAAUGACCCUUCUGAGCCUGUUUAUUUCGCUUUUCUCCUCGGCUCUAGUAUCCUCCUCGCUGCUUAUCUUGUUAUGACCACUGUGCUUAAUGAGGUGUUUACACUGCCUAGCAUCCUCAAAUAUAUUCUUCUGGGGGGCACGGUCUUAUUCUUGAUGGCGCCUCUUGCGAUCCCCAUCAAGAUGACACUAUUCCGUUCCAAGAGAUCUCUUCCGGACAAUCUAGCCAAAGAGGAAGGUGAGAAAGAACCGUUGCUGAUACCUUCUACAUCAGCUUCAAACAUGGGCACUCUCUUCGAAGGAGAGGGAGAUGGAGACGGUGCCUCGGAGAUGGAGAUACUUUUGGCUGAAGGAGAAGGUGCGGUUAAGAAGAAGAGGAAGCCAAGGAGAGGAGAGGACUUCAAGGUUCGCCAAGUCUUCGCCAAGGCAGACUUCUGGCUCCUUUGGUUUGCUUACUUCCUCGGCAUGGGUUCAGGCAUUACCGUCUCAAACAACUUGGCUCAGAUCGGUUUUGCUUUUGGUAUUAAAGGCACAACGAUACUCCUCUGUCUCUUUAGCUUCUUCAACUUCUGUGGCCGUCUUGCUUCAGGUGCCAUCUCUGAGCACUUUGUCAGGUCAAAGGCCCUUCCAAGAACGCUAUGGAUGGGAGCCGCGCAGCUGGUUAUGAUGUUCACGUUCCUCCUCUUCUCCAUGGCCAUCGACGGUACUAUCUACGUGGCGACCGCUCUUGUCGGGAUAGGCAUGGGGUUUCAGUACUUGUCAAUCUCCACCAUCUCCGAGCUCUUUGGUCUUAAGAAUUUUGGAAUCAACUUCAACUUCAUACUCUUGGGCAACCCCACAGGUGCGGCCAUUUUCUCGGCACUUAUGGCAGGACAUAUAUACGACAGGGAAGCGACUAAGCAAGGGAGUUCUACGUGCAUUGGUCCUGAUUGCUACAGGGUAACGUUCUUGGUUCUAGCCGGUCUUUGUGGACUUGGCACUCUGCUCUCUGUUAUUUUGACUGUGAGAAUUAGGCCGGUUUAUCAAGCUCUCUAUGCUUCUGGCUCUUUCCGGUUGCAGCCGCAGUCAAAUGGUCACUGAUAUUUCCAUGGGAAUUGCAAGAGAGACUGUUGAGAGUAUGAGAUGAUACAGUCAUAGAUAUGCUAUGUCUAUUUUUCAUCGUAUAAAGUUCCUAUUGUAUCUUGCGGCAUGUUUUUUUGAGGUGUGUAUCCUAAAAUUUGUAAAACUUUUGUUAUUCAGCUGUGAUGGGUGACUCAACCGGCCACAGAACCGGUUGGAAUAACCUUUUUUUUGUAAUUGGCUUCUUUUACCAUUGUAAUAUUUGCUGUAAUCUUGUUUGUAUUUGUUUGAUGUUUUGUAUCAUGAUUCUUGAUCGCCACAAUUUUUGAAAAAAACAAGAGAGGUAAUAAAGAUCAUGUUUCCUGAAUCUUUUCCUUACUUGUCAAGAGUCAACACAGGUUACUAAACAAUUCCAAAUCAAAAAAGGAAUGUCAUGCCAAGAACCGGAUCAAACAAUUUUGAGGAAUCAAGAACUGAAAACUUAACACUCGGAAAACAGAUCUUGUCAUAACAAAAAUGCAGACUAAACACAAAGAAGGUAGAGGAAUGUUGGUUACAUGAACACAAAGCUAUGUCCUCUAUUAUAUCAAUGUCUACAAAAAAAAAGCUAAUACCCCGAACAGACAAAAAAAAUGGGAAACAAGAAAGCCCAAAGUAAAUAAUACACAUCAAAUAACUUUGGUGUAAGAACCCUAAAAGUCAUCAUACAUAAUCUAUCUGAUUUCAAGUAGGUUUGAGAUUCUGAAACAUAGAAUCCCACUUAAUAAGAACCUCUGGUACAUUUUCUAGCUUAGGAUAAGGCGUUUCAAUCGUUCAUUUAACAACCACCUCUAGUAUUAUGUUCCACUGUUAUCAAGGUUCAUAGAAUAUUUGGGAAAUAAUAAUAAUCAAAUCAAAACUAUACUAAAAGCACAAUAUAAAACCCUCCACGUCGGAUAGAAAAAACGACCAAUAGUAAUGCAGCAAACAGCCACGUCAUCGUCGAGUUAACUUUGUUUGGGCCUGUAUGGUAUGAAUGUUUUUGAGCCCACGUUCUGGAGAAGAAAGACCGACGUGUUACGCGACCUGUCCUCUUUGUCUUUGUAGUAACCCUAAUUUUGUUCUUCACCCUCCUUUCGUCUUCCUGAUCUUCCAUCUCUCUCUUCUCUAAAUCCGUUUUCUUGAGUAACUUCACCACUAACUCCUGUAAUCAAACCUUGGUUUAACACAUUCAAUGGAUUCCUUUCGCCUUCCUCUUUAUUUUUCUAUUUAUAGAUCUGAUUUCUUAGCGUCCAGUUUGAUCAUAUUCGCGUCCCAGAGACUGACUGAUGUCAGCUUACUUUUGGUAGCUUUGUUCAAGAGUUUAGUUCAUCAGUGAAUUCAGAAUCUGCUUUCCAGGAAUCAUGCUCUUUAGAAGAACUUAGAGAAACUGAUCGUAGGUAAGUUGGUGUUAUUAUUUGUUUUUGUAAAUUUUGAAUAAAGUUUAAGAUCACCUUGCAUCUUUCCUUAAGUAAUUUGGUGAUAUUGUUUGCAGUUCGCCAGUUUCUUCUCCAGAGACUUUAACAGAUGGUCCGGGGAUAAGCCUAUUGAUAUUCUUGAUGAUCAUGUCAGAGUUUCUGAAUCUGACUCACGUGUAUCAGUGGCAUCUGAGCAACAGUUACCCGAAGAGAAGGAAGCUCACAGAUCUGACAAUUUGGAUGAGUACUCAGAAAUUCAAUUGUUCAAUAGGAACGGUCCACAUUAUACUCCUUUAGAGUUUGAAGAGCAGCAAAAUCCUCCUGAGUUGCAAAAAGCUCCUGUAAGGUUUCCUGCAAUUUGUACCUUUAGAAAAUCCAAGGCAUUAAGUUGUCUUCAGGCUUUUCUUUGAGCAGUUGGGCCUUACAUGUGUCAUGAUUAUCUUUCAUUUCAUUAGGCAAGAAAAACUAACGUAUCAUUUUGCUAAUGGAGCAGGUGUUAAGUACUCAAAUGGUGAACAAUGGCCCUUCAUCUACGAUUCCCAUGCUGCAGCAGCAACAACAACAACAGCAGGUGUCAAUGCAACAGAUGUACCCGCAGGUUCAAGUUGCACAUUUUCCCAAUCUGAUGCCUUAUCGUCAGUUUGUCUCCUAUGUUCCCCAGAUGCCCAUGCCAGGCUACUCAGGUAACCCAGCAGCGUAUGCACACCCUUCAAAUGGAAAUAGCUAUGUUCUGAUGCCUGGAGGUGGUUUUCAUCCUAGUUCAAAUGGUGUCAAGUAUGGCAUCCAGCAAUUCAAGCCAGUCCCAACAGGUGGUCCUACUGGUUUUGGGACUUACAACAACAACCCUAAUGCGUAUCAGAUUAAUACUCCCAAUGUAGUUGGAAACGCCAUGGGUCUUGAAGAUCCAUCUCGCAUGAAAUACAAAGAUGGAAAUAUCUACGUUCAAAACCCUCAGGUAAUAUUAACAAAGAUGGAACUUCCUCUUACCCCAACCACAGUUUUUUUUACCUUCUGUAUUUCUGAAUUGUGUUUCUUUAUAUGACGCAGCAGGCUGAGACUUCUGAUAUUUGGAUGCAGAAUCCAAGAGAUCUUUCAAGCCUUCAGUCUCCUCCAUAUUACAACAUAGCUGGUCAAACGCCUCAUGGUGCUUAUUUACCAUCCCAUACAUCACAUCCAUCCUUCAACGCCGCUGCACAAUCUACUCAAAUGCAGUUCCAGGGUCUCUUCCAUCCCCCACAACCUGGUGCAAUGGCGAAUCCACACCACAUGGAACCUGGGCUUGGUGGUAAUGUUGGGGUUGUACCGUCUCCUCCCUCUCAACUUGGUGCUUAUCAGCAAUCACAACUUGCUCAUCCAAAUUGGGGAGCAAACUUCUGAAUAAAGUUCUAACUUCUCUAUCUAAUGGAUCAUAAUAUAGCCGAAAGCAAAUGUAUUGAUUUUCUUUGUGAAACGGCCAAACUCUAUUUUAUUAUCUUCUUUAGUUAAUGAAUGCAUAAAAUGCUGCCCUAAUGAAUGGAUCAUAAAAAAUUUUGAUUUUUUUAACAUGUCUUAAAGAAUGUACAACUUUCAAAUAGCCAUAUUUAUAAAAAAAAUAGUAUAAAACAAUCUAGAAAAGGAAAAUACUAUCUUAAAUUAGUUGGUAUCUAUGCUAAAAUAUUUGAAGAAAUAACAUAAAAAUAUUUUUCAAUAUAUCAUAAAUUAUGCCAUACCAACAAAAUUGAAUAUAGCAAAGAAAAUAAUUGUUAUCAAUAUAAUUAGCCUGAUAAAAAUUGAAACAGAAAAAAAAGAUACAUGGAGAAAAUAUUUAAAAUAACACAAUAAAAACAUUAAAUUAUUUAAAAAAAAAUGAAAUACAAACUCUAUCAAUAUAAUGAUGUUUACAAAAAUCAUAAUGAAAUAUUUCAACUAUAAUCAUCUACAUUAUUCUUUUAAACAUUUUAAGCUAUCUAUUCUAUUAAAACUACUGUAUGACCAAUUGAUAUUUGUUUGGUCCAAUUAUUUAUAAACCACUUUCUUAAAAAUUUAACUGCCAUGACAUGUAUAUAUAUAUUAUAACCUCUUCUUUCCUUGGUAUUUUAUAACCUCCCGAUGAAAAAAAAAUAACCUCAUCUUCCCUUUACUUCCUAUCAUUUCGGGAUGCAUUACUUUGAGUGGAAAAAAUAUUCGACUACAAUCAUUGACAGCAACCAAUUCAUCUAUUAGAUGCUUUGAUUUUCGCAUGCAUGAUACCAUUUUGUAUAUACAUUAUCAAUAACAAUUAAUAGCAUUUAUAUUCAUAGUAUCAAUAACUAUGUUUACAAAUAAAUAAAUAAUUAUACCAGCUUUAAAUAUCGGACGGUUUGAAUAAAAAUAUCAAAUAAUUUAGAUAAUUUUAAAUUUAUGGAUAAAAAUAUUCGGGUAAUUUUGUUAAUAAAUAGUAUUUUUAGUAUAUUUAACUAUUUAAAAAUUAAGUAUAAUUAAUAUUUGUGGGUAUAUAAUUCCAUUUUAAAGUUUUGGAUACCUAUUUGGUUAGCGGUUUGGUUCCGUUCAAUUCAAUUUUUUGGUUCCAGAGAUAUAUGAUUCACUUGAUUAUUUAUGAAUUAGGUUUACAUUUGGUUUUAGUUUUUUGGUUCUGGAUAAAUGUGUCUAAACCUAUACAAUAUCUUAUACAGAAAUUAGGGGUGGUCGUUCGAGUACUCAUUCCGAUUUGGUUAGGAUCUAAUUCGGAUUUUGGGUUUUCGGAGUUUAAUAUUUUAGCCUCAUUCAAAUAUUUUUAAAUUUUAGUUCUGGUUCGAAUAACCCAUUGAAAUUAUUUUAAAAAUCUUAAAGUUCAUAUACUAAAUAAUAUUGAUAACUAAAUUGUAUAUUGAUAUGUUUGUUGCUUCCUACGAGCAAAACACAUACCUAUUUCAUUUAACUACUUUUUACAUUUAACUGAUUUUAUGAAUGUGAACAGGUGAUAUUCUUUUUUUUUGUUCAACCAGGAACGAGGUGAUAUUUAUUUUAAGCUAUAUAUAAAAAAUAUACCGAAAAACAAAACAAACAAUAUACCCGCGCUUUGUAGCGCGGGUCAAGAUCUAGUUUGCUCUUAAAUUAAUUCAAAAUAAUUUUAACUAUUCAAAUAAUUUAAAAAUUAAAAUUGUUAUAAUAUAUAAUCCGCGCGUAGCGCGGAGACGGACCUAGUCUAGUUUAAAAACAGCAUCAGAUAUUCUGUAAAACAGUUUAAAUUAGGAAUUUUUAAAAUUUAAAUUUAUGACAAAUAAUUAUUAAAAAAAAUAUAAGGGAUUUGCUCCGUGCGUAGCAAGCUAUGAUAGUAAUAUAAAUACACGACACACAACACGCGCGUAGAGAGAGAGAGGAAAACCCGAAUAUUUUUUCAAUUGCGGCCAAAGAGUUGGAAGAAGGAUGAUGAGGAUGUGCGAUCUUGGGGAGAAAUUGGUUGUGGAGAUAUUCAAGAUGGUUCCGAUAACAUCUCUGAAGGCGGUUCGAUCUACUUGCAAAACAUGGGAGGCUAUAACGAAAAGCUGGGUGGUUUUGGGUAAAAAAGCAGCAGAUGAGUUUCUUGUGGGGUUCGUGAAGAUGAAUAACAAGGUCUACUCUCUGAGGUACCAUCAAGGAGAUGUAUCGGUACAGCAGGUAGAUCUGCUUAAUCAGUUGGAGAUAUCCGCAGUAUAUCACUGCGAUGGGUUGGUGUUAUGCGUGGCUAAUGACCUUUCGAAGCUGGUGGUGUGGAACCCUUACCUGUGUCAAUCAAGGUGGAUCGGACCGAGAGGAGAAAGCUUCAAGGCAAGCGACAUUUACGCCAUCGGAUACUCGGAGGAUAAGAGUAAGAAGCGCGACCACAAAAUCCUGAGGUUGGUGGAUGACAACUGUGUCGCUGGACCAGUACUAAGCGUUUUCAGGUGCGAAAUCUAUGAAAUGAGCAGCUCUGAUUCAUCAUGGAGAGUCCUCGAAGAGGCGAAGCCCAAGUGGGAGAUAGAUGUGCAUCAGCGAGGGGCGUCUGUCAACGGUAACACCUACUUUUUUGCUCAUGACAGAGUUGAUGAUAUAGAGCCUGACGCUGACGGAUCGAUCCCAGUUGACGGGGUUGAAGAUUUCUUACUCUCUUUUGACUUUACCAAAGAGAGGUUUGGACCACGCCUCCCUCUUCCUUUUCACUCUUUCAAUGAAGACUGUGUCACCCUCUCAAGCUUCCUUAGAGGUGAUGAUGAGCAGCUUGCGGCCCUGUUUGGUGGUUGUGAAUCAAGCUUUUUUGAGAUUUGGCUCACCCUUACUCUGGUUGAGCCCGACCAUGUGUCCUGGACAAAGUUUUUGCUAGUGGAAACGGGGGGGCCUAUAUUCACUUCUUUACAUUUUCAGCUUGGUGGGAGCUUCUUUGUUGAUGAGGAAAACAAAGUUGCUGUGGUGUUUGAACUAGACUCAUAUAUAUCCAUCUCGGCUCCUCCUCCGAGUUAACACACCGCUUUUGUGUUUGGACAAGCCGGCUACAUCCAAUCUGUUAAUCUCGGACAGGCUCUCAAACUCCAACACCUUUCCCCCUAUUCCGGAAAGCACUGUCAAGCUCUUCUUCUCCCACUUGUUUGCUCUUCCUCUUUUCGUCCAACCUUAGUCCAAGUCAGUUGAGAAUUGCAAUUUCUCCGUUUCAUGGUUUUGACGUUUCGUUCUCUUGGUCCCUUGUUUACUGUUACUUAGUUAUUUUAAUGUAUUGACAUAUCAUGGUUUGAGAGUUUCCUUCUCUUCCUCAUUUUUCUAAGACAAAAACAACCAAUUGGUCAGACAAGUUUUUAUCUCUAAUCUUCGUCAAUACAAAAUCCCAAUCUUAAACCGUAUGAAAAAAUGUAACCGGUUGGAAGUACCACCCUUUGUAACAGCUUCUUUUACCAUGUUGAUUGUGUUUAUUUAUUGUUUGUGUCAUACUGCUAUUGAUAAGUUUUGAGUGUCACAUACGUAGACUAACUCCUCUGUUAUUAAAAGGUAGAGAAGUGUUUGGUAACAUGAACACAGAACUAACUCCUCUGUUAUUAAAAUGUCUACAAAAGCUAAUUACUCCGACCAAACAUAGAAACACACACACACACACUUGGAAGACAAGAAAGUUGGAAACUCAUUGAAUAACAUGGUGGAAGAACCCUUAAAACCACUAUUUUUAUCUGAUUGUUUCAAGUUGGUUUCAGAUUCUGGAACAUUGAAUCCCACUUUAUAAUAACCUCCUCCUCUUGUAAAUUUUUCCCACAAUAAACAUCAUCAUCAUUCGAACUGUUAUGAUCGAAACCCGUGUAACUGGAGAAGCUAUCCAGCCUACAUGGAGUCCCAUUCGUCAGAAGAAGUCUCUCUUCCUUUCCGUUGCUCUUGUUCCUAUUUGACCAUCUUCCUUUCACAACUACGAGAGCCUGAGACGAUUCCUCACGUCUCAUCAUGGCACGGACGUACUCGGACAAGCACUUCCCGGUCUUCCUAAUCGCGAUCAGCACUCUGGAAAUAGAACGAGACGGUUUAGUAUGUCGCCGAGCGAGCUUAAGUAUCUCGAGGCGGUGUUUGGCGAUGGAGAUACCCAUGCUCUGGAGAAACUCGUGGUUGAAGUAAGCAAUGUCUUCGUACUCGAGCUCGUUGUGUGAGAAGGAGAGACCGUACUCGUAUGUGAGCGAAUCUUCCAGAUUUGUUCUCGAUAGCCAUGAGAACCAAUCCAUUCUCAUGCGAUCAAAGAUGAUUGGUUUUUUGAUCUGUGGUUAGAAGAAGGACAAGAAACUUUGGUGAGAGUUUGGAAGGUGAAGUCGUUAGUAAAUAUAGAGGAGAGUGUUGGGUUUAGGAGGCUUUUUGACUAGUUUUAAAAGUAACGGGGCCUAACUUGGUAAGGUGGUUGAAUCAUGGACUCAACUGUAGACCAAAGUGCAACAGAAAUUGAUGGCCAUAUAGUAUUUUAUAAAUUAUCUUCCUUAUUUAAGCUAAACAAACAUGGUUAGUUUUAUUGACUUAACAAAUAACUAGACUUUGACCCGCGCACUCGCGCGGAUUGUAUUUUUCAAAAAUAUGUUUAUAUUUGUUUUUCAUGUCAAUAAUAUAAGGGCUAGGAAAAAUACUCGAAUCUGAAGAACCGAACCGAUCUCGAUCCGAAAAAAUAGUACCAAACCCAAGCCGAAAUUGAUUAAAUAUCCGAAUUAUUCAAAAUUUUGGUUUUUGGAGAACCGAAACCGAAUCCGACCCGAACCGAAGUAUUCCGGGUAUCCGAAUGUAUCCGAAAUAGAUUUAUAUAUUUAUAUAUAUUAAUUAUUUUUAGAUUUAAUAUAUAUAAAAACAUCUAGAAUAUAUAUGAUACUUUUAAGCUGGUUUAAAUACUUGAAAAUAUAUACAAAUAAUCAAUAGUAAAUAUAUAAAAUAUUAAAAGUAUACUUAAAACACGAAAAUACUUAAAAUAAUUAUUGAUUCUCUAUCCAAAUAUUUGAACUAAAAUAAUUUAUAUGUUAAGUUUAUGUAUUCUGAGAUAUGCUAUUCAAAUUUAUAUUUAAUAUAUUAUUUGUUUAUAGUUUUUGAGAAAUUUAAAGUAUAUAAAUAUAUAAUGAAUUUUAAAAUUUUAAAAGUAAUUUAAAUGAGUUAUCCGAACUCAAACGGAACCCGCAAAAAUCUGAAGCGAACCUGAACUGAAAUUUAGAAAUAUUAGAAUGAGACUGAAAUCUUUGACUCUGGAAAUCCGAAACCCAAACAUGCCUGAACCGAACCUGGUUAGGUACCAAAUAGAUAGUUUCUAAUAUAAUGAACUUCCAAUUUUAAAAAAAAUAUAAACUCAUUUUUUUUUUCUCUUAAUAUAUUGUUAUCUAUGUUUCCAAACAAACCUAUUUUUUUUUAAACUAUAAUCUAUGUUUCCAAACAAACCUUUUUUUUAAACUGCAAUCCAUGUUUUCAAACAAUUUUUUUUUUAACUAUAAUCUAUAUUUCCAAACAAACUUUUUUAAAAAUUGCUAUAAAUAUUUUUAAACAAACAUAAUUUGUACUUGAGUUUUAAUAAGGUAGAUUAUAAGAAGUGCUCUUCGUUACAGGUAAGAUGGAUUAAUUUAACUAAAUAUCUAGUAUUAUCUUCUUAGUUAGGUCAACUAACGAUAACCACAAAGAAAAAUACCACUACUAUAUAUGUAAAUUAAAAAUUACCUUCUAUAGCCAACUAAUAUUUUUCUCCAAUAUUUCGUGUAUAUAUAAUUUUAUUUCUUAGGUCAAAUUGAAAAGAAAAUUCAUAUAUUUAUGAGUAUCCUCAGCUUGGCUUUUUUGAAUGAAGGAGGAAGAUAAAAUCAUUGUUAAGCUUUUAAGAAAUUAUGCGAGCCAUUAUUAUCGAGUGAUGUGGUUACAAAUAUCUAACACAAGUGGAUGCAACUUGCAGAUAUUGAACCAUCACAAUCAGAAUAUUGUAUGAACAUAUCUACUGUUACAAACACCAAUACACCGACAUGAUUGGGAAUCACGCGUCAUGAGCAAAUUGAGCAUGUGAAAUUAUGAGUAAUGUGCAUAUGCACUACCAGUCACUAGCUAGCUCCCACUUCUGUAUCAUUAUGUUUUAAGUUCGCUGACUGAUAAUUUGCGUCUUAAUUACCAUAACAACCGCUGUCCACACACACAAAAAAAACUACAGACCAACUUCUCUUCUCGUUUGCUUGGGUUGCGGUUAAAGAUGCCAAUUGGGUACGAUGAUCAUGAGUUAGCCCAAUCCAAACUAAAAAGCUUUUGUUAUGGUCAACGUCCAAAAUUGAUAUAGUAUAAAUAUGGUAGAACUCAUUUUGUCCGAAAAUAUACGGGAUAAAACCAUUUGGACGUCCAAUAAACCUACAGAUCUAAAAUUUUCUUUUGGAAGAAAAUCAGAAACAUGAGAAACGAAAUUAAAAUUACUUAUUCCGGUUUAAAAUACAAAAUCACAUUUUUCGCCAAAUUGCAUUUAUAGGUGGUCGAUCUUCUUUGUUCAAAGUAGUAAUGAGCAAAAGUAAUAGCUUCAUCGAACUCGAGAAAUUCUUCUUGGUGGUUUCUUACCGUCAAUCUCUUAAAGAGUUUUCAUCCACCCUGAAUAUUCUUAGUCGUUGAUGAGAUUGGCGUGAAGAUCGUAGCGGAUCCACCCUACAACUUUUCUUUUAUAUUGAAAAUUAGAUCUGCAUUUCUAAAUCUGCUUUGUAUGCUUGUCAAUUCAGGCGUUCAUUGAUUCUUGUUGUGAUUGUCCAUUCGGAACAAUCUUUCAGUCUUUAGGAUAAUUGGCUGAGACUGAAAGAAAACCAAAAAUGCCGUCAAUUUGUUUGAUUCUCCUUUUAACAAAUUUUCAAAUACUAUUAUCUUGUGUCUAAAUUAAGUUUUUUUUCCACUAGAACAAGAAAUAUUCAGAUCAUUAGAAUCCGUAUAAUCCAUAUGAAUCAUGAUAAAAAAUCUAUUAAUUUCAAUUUAAUAGGAUAAAACAAAUGCACAAAUAUUAUCAUAUUUAUCAUGGAAAAAUAAGGAGAAACAAAGUAAUCUAAUGUAAAUGAUGAGUAUUGGUAAUCUCUAAUGUAGGAAGAAAUAAAUCAUAUGCACUAUUAGCAGAAAAUAACAAACCAAGAAGCUAAAAAAAUUGUUUUUUCUUUGUCCAUUUUAGAAUUUUUUUCUUACAGUUUUCAUCUACAAUUUUAUUUAAGAAAGUUUUUAUAUUUAUGUUGAGUUUGAUGUUUAGUUUUGGGGUUAAUUUAAAUUAAUAUUUUGAUAUGAUGUUACUUUCUCAUGUAGAGAAUUGGCAAGCUCAAGAUAAAUUAGGCAAAACAAUGAUAAUAAUGUUAGUUAAACCACAUAAAAUAAAUAUUAUGUCACAUCAUUGAUCAAAUCAUCAUCCAUGUCAUAGUUGACCAAACCCACGACCUUACUUGUAUGGAAAAAGAGUUAUCCAUCUUGAAUGUUAACUGAAUCAAAAUUGUGUGGGUUAUCAACUCGACACAACCCUUUCCGGUCAAAGUUGUGCGGAUUGCCAACUCAGCAUAACCCUUUUGAACUGCUUUAAAAGUGUCAUGAUAAUCACAAAAAUAUCUAUUCAUAUCAAUUUAUAGGAUAAAACAAAUGCACAAAACAUGAUCAUAUUUAUCAUGGAAAAAUAAGAUAAACAAAGUAAUUUAAUGUAAAUGAUGAGUAUUGGUAAUCUGAAAUGUAGGAAGAAAUAAAUCAUAUGCUUACUGUUAGCUGAAAACAACAAACCAAGGACCUAAAAAUUGUUUUUCUUCGUCUAUUUUAGAAUUUUUUUUCUUACGUUUUCAUCAGAAAUUUGAUUUUAAAAAAAAUUUUGUAUUUAUGUUGAGUUUGAUGUUAAGUUUUGAGGUUGAUUUGAGUUAAUAUUUUGAUAUGAUCCUUACUUUCCUAUAGAGAUCUUUUCCAUGUAAAUCAUUGGCAAGCUCAAGACAAAUUACACAAAAUAAUUAUAAUAAUGUUAAUUUAGCCACAUUAAAUAAACAUUAGGCAGCUAAAAGUUCUUUUAACUCUAAACAACAUUCAAUUAUUAGUUUAUAUAAUAGUCAUGAUCUAGUUGUGCUUAAGAUGCAAAAGUUUGAACCAAUCGAUUAUAUCAGAUACCUAGUCGAUUAAAAGCUGGUUUUUAAGUGUAACCAUCUCGAUUUGUGACUACAUUCACGAAACGAUCAAAGAUAACAGAAAAUAAAAAACAUUCAAUGAAGCAAAAAUAACAAAGGAGAACUAUAUAUAAAAACAGCAAAAUUGCGUGUAUAAAUAUUAAAAAAAUAUAUAUCAAUAAGAAUCUGGUCUGUAUACAUUGAAGUCAUGGGUAUGAUGAUAAUCUCGUAACCUGAAACAAUUCACAAACCGGACAUCGCUGGACUUGGCCUGAACAAAGGCCAUUUGAUCGAGAUCCUAAAGGUGCAUGUAGCAGUCACAAAAACUGAAGAUUUCCGGUUCUUCUGUAUUGGACUGAGAAUCUCUGAUUUGUAUAAUAAAAUCUACAAGAUCCUGUAAAAACCACUAAACAAGUUGUAACAUCAAUCUGAUUUGCUUCUGAUGCUGUAUAUGUUGCCAACGGUUCCCACAAUGCUAACCACCACCGCCAAGAUUAGCAUCAACCACGACACAGAUUUCUCCAAAAAGCUUAACGUAUUGCUCUGUUUCCCUAACCGUAACGCGAUGAGAGCAGGGAAGGUAAAACCAAGCGAAACCGCUGAUGUCGCCCCUGUGAAUUUGAAAGCAGUCCAUAUGUUUGGGAUCAUCGUCGAGCCGAUGUAAAUAAGAGCCAGCAAGAUCAAUGUAAGCCCCAGAGAUCUCUUCUUGCUUUCGGAGAGAGGAGGCGAGCCUUCAAACAACAAGGUAUUAACGGUUUCUCUCAAGGAGAAGUGGAUCACGGGGAAGACGAGAACUAGAUGGAGAAUGUAUCCGAUUCUGACAACGUAAUUCACGGCAGAGCUGAAACGGAUGCCGAGAUCUUGAUCAAAGUUGGUCAAUAUAUCAGCUUCUGUAGCCAGACCGAAGAGAAGAUAACCCGAUAUAGCAGUUGAAGCAUAGACAACAACGCAAAUAGCCGUCGUGAUUCUCCCAACUCGGUUCAUCUUAUGAGGCGAACGACCUUCGAGCUCGUUAUAUAUCGGCUGAACAUUGAAAUGGCACACGUAAGCGUUUGACAUUAUCGGAAUCACCACAAGAAGAUCCAAGAUGGCUUCCUUGGAGCUAAAAUCAGGACUCAUCCUCGGAGUAUCAAUAGUUCCUUCUACAAGCUUAAUCGCCGCGACAGCGAAACAGACGACAACGAACACAACAGCGAGAGCCACGGAAGCAGCUGAGGUGACGCUCAAGGAAUCAAUCUUGUUCAAAGCGCAGAGAGGAGCCAAGAAGACGACCAUAACAAUCAAAAUCAAAACUUUACGGUGGUCCCAGAACCCGUUCCCUAACCACUGAUCCAAAACACCAAUGUGAUGAAGCGAACCAGACAUGACGUCACCCAUGAUGAUGAGGUAAACAACGAGGACGCCACCGUUGUUGACGAUGAUACAAAUCUCAGACAAAACCCUAGCGGUUCUCCCCAUCGCGAACUGCACGACCUCGCCGUAAGAUCUGGACUUGUAGAGAACCGAGAAUCUAAUCAGAAGCUCGACGCUGAUCUCCGACAGAAUCGCCAUGAGGAUGAUCAGAACGAAGCCGAGAACCAAGCCGAGGACUUUCAUGGUGGCGGGCAAUGCCAUGAUCCCGGCGCCGAUGAUGGAUGUGGUGAGGUUGAAAACGGCGCCGUGGAUCCCAGAUCCUCCUUGACUCGAUUUUCCAUUAACGAGCGGAUAGUUAGAGAUGUCGAAGUCUAGAUCGUCGGCUUCUUGGUCGCCGACGACGCUGCGGGUAUCGUCGAAAUCGUUGACGAAGCUUUCUUCAUCGGAAGGAGGAAGCAACUUGGUGGUCUGUUUCUGUAGUUCGACGUUAGAGUUUUUGGAAAUGACAGAGUAACUGCUAUCCAUUCCCCUCCCCAGAUCUGAUCUGAUGUAAACUCUCUCUUUCUGAAAUCGCGAUUAGAGAGAAAGAAGAUUGAAAUGAUGAUCCGAGAUUGAAAAUGACGAAAGUUAGAUACUUUUUUUUUUUUCCGUUUUAGACUGAAGAGAGAGAGAGAGAGAAAAGAUAAAUGAAAGGAAGCUGGUGAAUUUGGGGUUUAGGGGUCUCAACAACGUCUCGAUUGGUCCUUCUUCCUCCCUCGUCGGCGAGAGAGAGAGAGAGGCUGAGAGAUAGUUUUGAUGGAGAAAUGUAAACUUCUACUCCACACGUGGCGUCCUUAAUUACAUUUUAUUUAAACAUUAAGGCAAUUUUUCCUAAUUUUAUUUAAGUUGUGCAUGUUAGGGUAAACAAAGAAAGCGGGUUUCAUUGGGUCAUUGGUGCAAAAACACGUUUUCGAAAAAAGCAAGGAAAUUUUUUCCUCUCAAGCGUCCCCGCGUGGGCUCCAGGUAUUACCCAGUGGUCUAAAAGGUGAAGAAAAUCAAUCAGUGCACUUUGGUUGGUAUAACACGUUUCUGAGCAAAAUUGUCAACCUUUUCUUUGUUUUUGAGGCUACUUUGGAUUCCUUUUCGAAAUUUCCUGCUGUUUUUCUCAACUGUUCUUCAAUUAUUAAGAACAAGGAGGAAAAGUGGUGAGAGUUUUUUUGAGAAAAGAAGAGUCGUUAAGCAAGAAAGCAUGUCUUUAGCUAUGGAUAAAGCGCUCAUGGCCCUGUCGCUGGAUGAAGAAGAUACUCCGUUCGCCAUGCCGGAGCUUCCAGAGUUCAGUUCGGCCGAGGACAACAAACUAAGCUUGAUUGGAAGGAUCCUCAACCCUCAGUGUCAGAAGAUAUCGACUCUGAUUAUGAGGAUGCCGCGAAAGUGGGAGAAGGAAGGUCGAGUGCGUGGGAUUGCCUUAUCUCAAGAAAGAUUUCAGUUCAUCUUUCAGAAUGAACAUGAUUUACUUGAUGUGCUGGAGAAAGGAGUUCACACAUUCAAUGAGUGGGUAAUAGCGGUGGAAAGGUGGGUUGAAAACCCUUCAGAAGACUAUCUGCAGUUUGUUCCGAUUUGGGUUCAAAUCAGUAAUAUCCCAGUCAAUUGUUACACGUAUGAAGCGCUGACAGCACUCGGUGAUUUGGUGGGAAAGACAAUGGUCGUGGCCUUUGACCCGACAAAGCCAAUAACCCAAGAUUUCAUUAGGGUCCAAGUGAAGUUCAACGUAGCAAAUCCCCUCAGGAGGUCUAAGGUGAUUACUAUCAAAGGAAAGCCGACAACGAUUCUCUUUCAUUAUGAAAGAGUUCAGAAAAGAUGCUUCCACUGUCAAAGGCUUAACCAUGAGAAAGAUCUCUGCCCUUUGGUGGUUAGACAGAGGCAAGAGGAAUCUAGAGUAAGAAGAGAAAAGAUGACAGAAAGUUUGAAAAAGAAGCAAAGUAUUUUAACUGAAGAUGAUAUUCUCUUUGGUAUCAUUGAUGAAUCCCUCGUGGGUACUGACCCUGCUACUGGUAGAUGCAAGAUCGCAAAGGAUAUUCUUGAGGAAAUGAGGAGGUACAUGAAGGCAGAUACUGGAGAUAGUCAUGCUGUUAAGGUAGACAGAGUUCAACAAUCCCUAAAGGAAACGUCUCAGGGGACUAUGUAUCAGAGAGCUACGCUUCGUUUGGAAGUUCCUCCAGUGCUUUCCUCUGAUUCUGCUGAGAGUCUUAAACCCCAUAUUUUGGACUAUUCUACGGUUUUCAGAGCUGGCUCACUGGCACCAUGCUCUUCCGGGAUAGCUAAGAAUACGGUUGGGGCUAGAAGAAGACCCCCGAAAGCUAUCAGAGAUCAGAGGAAGCGUGACAUUCCUAUUCAGGAACCAUUGCUAGAGCCUGACAGUAGAGAAGGGAAGCAGAUUGUGAACAGUAAAAAGAGAAAGUGUGUAGGGANNNNNNNNNNNNNNNNNNNNNNNNNNNNNNNNNNNNNNNNNNNNNNNNNNNNNNUGUAGGGAACGAGGAAGAGUCAAGUUCAACAACCAAGGCGGUUUGCCUAAAGGUAGUCCCAAAGGAGGGACUGCCCAAUGCCCAAUGAGCUUCAUGAGCUGGAAUUGUCAAGGCUUGGGGCGGCCUCAAGGCUUGACAAUCCAAAGACUACGGGAGAUGCGUCAAUACCAUUUCCCGGAGAUUUUAUUUUUAAUGGAAACAAAAAAAUGUCGGAAUGUAGUAGUAGAUCUUCAAGUAUGGUUAGGGUAUGAGCGUGUACACACUGUGAAUCCUAUUGGAUACAGUGGUGGUUUAGCUGUUAUGUGGAAAAAAAAUGUAAAAGUCCGCGUUAAGAGUUCAGACAAGAAUAUGGUGGAUCUUUUGGUGCAGUUUGGUGAUUUAGCUUUUUACUUAACCUGCGUGUAUGGGGAACCAGCCACCGAUGGGAGAAGUGGAGUUUGGGAACGAUUGAGAAGGUUAGGAUUGGGGAGAUCACAACCGUGGUGCAUGGUUGGUGAUUUCAACGAAAUUCUAAGUAAUGAAGAAAAAACGGGGGGACCGAUGAGGCCUGAAGAGUCCUUUAAAUACUUUGCUGACAUGUUAUCAGCUCGCAACAUGGAAGAACUGGUCAGUAAAGGAGAUAGAUUUACAUGGGGAGGUAUGAGGUGGAAGAAGUGGAUCCAAUGUUGUCUCGACAGAUGUUUUGGUAAUAAAGCUUGGCGUGAUACCUUCCCGGGCUCCAACCAAUCUUUCUUGGAGAAAAGGGGUUCUGAUCAUAGGCCCGUUUGGGUGAAUCUGUGCGCAAAUCCAGAGAUGCAAAGGGGCCAGUUUAAAUUUGACAAAAGAAUUCUGCACUAUCCGGACGCAAUGAGUGCAGUGAAAGGGGCUUGGAGCAGUGUAAGGGCAAAUGCAUCUGUUGCGGUCAAAAUAAGGAAAUGCAGGGGCAUAUUGAGUGCUUGGAGAAGGAAAAAAAGUUUUAACGCCAAGGAUAAGAUUAAUAAAUUGCAGAUAAGACUUGAGUGGUUUCAAUCCAAGUCAUAUCCUUGCUGGUUCGUAAUCAACACAAUCAAAAAAGAACUGAUGCAAGCAUACAAAGAGGAGGAGAUGUUCUGGCGCCAAAAAAGCAGAGAAAAAUGGUUAAGACUGGGUGAUAGGAACUCUAAGUUCUUUCAUCUCUCAGUCAAGGCUAAUAGAGCUCGAUUGUAUCUUCUUAAACUUAAAGAUAAAAGGGGCCAAGAUCAAUGGUCUGAUGCAGCAAAAGCAGAGGUGGCAGUGGAAUACUUUUCUGAGCUGUUCACUUCCUCAAACCCUCCCUCAUAUGAAGCAGUGUUUCAGAGCAUGAUACCUAAAGUAACCCCAGGUAUGAAUAGGUGUUUGACGGCGAAGGUUACCAAGGAAGAAGUAAGAGAGGCAAUCUUCUCCAUCAAGGCAGAUAGUGCGCCGGGACCUGAUGGUAUGACUGGUCACUUCUUCCAGAAGUUUUGGCCAACUAUUGGAGAAGAGGUUACCAAAGAGAUUCAGGAGGUGUUUGUGAAAGGUACUCUUCCGGAUGAUUGGAACUUUACAUAUCUAUGCUUGCUCCCAAAGAUUGCGAAUCCUGAAAACAUGACAGACCUAAGACCCAUAAGUCUCUGUUCUGUUUUGUACAAAGCGAUUUCCAGAAUUUUGGUGAAACGGUUGCAACCUUUUCUCAGUCAGAUUGUGUCAGUGAAUCAAUCUGCCUUCAUCUCCGAGCGGUUGAUACAAGAUAAUGUCCUUAUAGCUCAUGAAGCAGUACAUGCACUCAAAACUCACAGGGUGAUAGCUGCUGAGAGCGUGGCGAUCAAGACAGAUAUGUCAAAGGCUUAUGACAGGGUGGAGUGGAAAUAUUUAGAAGACUUGCUAAAGGCAUUAGGUUUUGCCGAGCAAUGGGUGGUUUGGAUUAUGAUGUGUGUAUCGUCAGUGUCUUUUGCAGUCUUAAUGAAUGACCAGCCGUUUGGCCUUAUCUCACCGAGUAGAGGGAUCAGACAAGGAGAUCCCUUAUCACCCUUCCUUUUCGUUCUCUGCACAGAAGGGCUGUCGCACUUACUGAAUGUUGCGGAAAGGAACGGUUUUCUGAAAGGCAUGAGUUUUGAUGUGUCCGGGCCAUCCGUUCAUCACAUUUUCUUCGCAGACGAUAGCUUAUUUCUCUGUCAAGCGUCUGCAUACCAAUGUCGUAAUCUAAAAAAGAUCCUAUGCUUUUAUGGUGAAGCUUCAGGACAGUGCAUCAAUUAUCAGAAAUCGGCGAUGACUUUUGGACACUUGGUAUCUGUGGAGGUGAAAAGUGAGCUGCAGAAUAUUAUGGGGAUUUAUAAUGAAGGAGGGAUGAGUAAAUACUUAGGACUCCCGGAAGAUUUCUCUGGCUCCAAGAUCAACGCGUUAUCGUACCUCAAAGAUAAAACGCAAGGCAGACUUGAGACUUGGUUUCUGAGGAAGCUGUCACAAGGUGGGAAAGAGAUACUUUUAAAAACUUCAGCCUCGGCUCUUCCGGUUUUCCCCAUGUCAUGUUUCCGAUUGCCAAAGACUGUGAUCAAGAGACUGGCAAGUAUGAUGGCCAAUUUUUGGUGGAACUCUCAUUCUCACAUGAAGAAGAUCCACUGGGUGGCCUGGGAUAAAAUGUGUCUUCCAAAAGAGCUUGGUGGAAUGGGGUUUAAAGAUUUGGAGAUCUUUAAUCAAGCACUGUUAGCAAAACAAGGAUGGAGGCUCAUUAACCAACCGGAGAGCCUGCUAGCAAGAUUCAUUAAAAGUAGAUACUAUCCUCACUCUGACUUUCUACAUGCUCCGGUUGGGUAUAGGCCCUCGUUUGCUUGGAGAAGCAUUCUUUUUGGCAGAGAGCUCCUGCAGAAAGGACUGAAAUGGCAGAUAGGAAACGGCCGUACUACAAGAGUGUGGUUGGAUAAGUGGGUGCACGACGCGGAGGUUGGGAUGAGAGCUCCUUGGAUCAAAAACAAUACAUUUGAUGUAAAUCUUAAGGUAAGCGCUAUGAUUGAUGGCGCGACUCGCAGAUGGAACCUGCAGGCACUAGAGGAGAUCUUUGUUCCUGGAGAUGUUCAGUUGAUUGCGGCUUCCCAGCCUAUUGUUUCUAGAGAGGAUUCCUUUACUUGGAAGUUUAACAGAAAUGGGCUGAUGUCGGUUCAUUCAGCUUAUGGUUUAGCUAGAGAAGAGACGAUCAAGGAAUGUCACAGUGAGGCGUUAGCUCUCCCUUCUCUCAACCCAAUAAAAGAGAGAAUUUGGAAGAUACCGACUGUGCCAAAAAUCAGGAUAUUCCUUUGGAAAGUCUUGAGUGAAGCUAUCCCGGUAGCUGAUCUGAUCUUAAAAAGAGGAAUGAAAGUUGAUGAAAGAUGUCAACUGUGUGGACUUGAAGGUGAGACGAUUCAACACGUGCUAUUUCAAUGUGCAGUAGCAAGACAGGUGUGGGCUCUGUCGGGUAUACCCCAACCUAUGUUUGAAAUGCAGGAAGGUCAUCUGUUUUCCAACAUCAACUAUCUGAUGAACCUAAAGGCACAGUCGUGGGGUUCUAUGGAGGAGAAAAGAGCUUGGCCUUGGGUUUUAUGGUUUCUAUGGAAGAGUAGAAAUGACUUUAUUUUUAAUGGAGCGAGAUGGAUGCCAAUGGAGAUUGUGGUGAAGGCAAAAAAUGAGGCUGAUGGUUGGUUUUUAGCGCAGGAAGUAGACAAAGAAGUGGAACUCGAAGUAACGCGGAAUGAUGUGCGACCCAAGAAACGAUGGUUGCCUCCAGAGGAGAGUUGGUUAAUGUGUAAUGUUGCUUUUGAGUGGAACAAGGAUACACAUAGUCUUGGAGGAGCAUGGGUUGUUCGAAAUCAUAGAGGAGUUGCAUUGACACACAGCAGACGAGCCUUUUCUCAGGUUGGAUCCUUGGAUGAUGCGAGAUUAAAGACGUUGUUAUGGGCGUUAGAGAGCAUGAUGAGCAUGCGCUAUGACAGAAUGGUCUUCGCCGGAGAUUUUAAAGAGCUUUUCCUUGCUUUCCAAAAUCCACAUAAAUGGCCGGCUCUUAGAUUUCAGGUAGAGGAGAUGAGGAUUUUGCUUUCAAGAAUGAAGGAGUUUCAAUUGAAGAAGGUAUCGAUAGAGGAAAACAGAGGGGCGUCGUUGAUUGCUCAAAGCAUAACAAGACAAAACAGAAGUCAAUCUUAUGUGGCCAUUGGUCAUCCUUCUUGGCUAGGUGAGCUUUUUGUUAAUGAAUGUCGGUCCCUCUAAGCAUCCUCUAAGUAUUGCUCGUGUUGCUGUUUAUGCCCUGAAUGGGUUUGUUUGUUCAGAUCUUUGCGGGAUCGAUAUGUUGUAGUCUCUGGAGAUGUUUGGUUUUUAAGAUUGUAGUAGUGUUUUACCUUGUGCAACAUUUUAAUGAAAUCUACUUGUCGGAAAAAAAAAAAAAAAAAAAAGGGUAAACAAAGAAAGCAGCUCUUCUAGCUAGGAACCCAAAAAAAACUAUGGCGGCUCCUCAACUAGUAUGAAUUUCUCUGAUUCUUUUUCUUUUCUUUCUACUUGUUUCUCAAAGCAUAUUGUCUAACAUUUCCUGUGUAAUUUUAAUGAAUAGACAUGUGUUUUACUUGUGGAAACUGAAUUCAAAGGUUGGCAAAAGACAUUACAUAAAAUAUUUGUGGGCAUUGAAGGUAAAGACAGCCUUUUGAGUCUUGAUCCAUCUUCUUCUUGUUAAUUAUAUUGAUUACUCAAGAGGAAGUAGAUAAGGUCUUAACUAUAACUGUAAUGUCGUUAAUUCUAGGUUUAGCGUUCUCCAUUGAUGCACCUGACUGGUGGCCACAUGGCGAAGGAGCUAAUCCUAUGAUGUUCACUAAGAAGUUGCUGUUUUUACGUGGCCAAGUUGAUCCUGUUGUCUUCAUUAAAAAGUUGUUUAAAGCCAAAAUUUACGCUAUGCUCUACAGGAUUGAUUAUGGACUUGAAGAGAAUCCACUAGGCAUCCGGAAACCUAAUAAUCAUUUUCUGGUUAUAUAUAUUUAUCUUCACUGCUUUCAACGCUUUUCAAUUGUUUUAGUUUCUUAAAACUGUGUUUUUUUUUUCUGCUGCAGAGAUUUAGAUUCGAGAUAGACAUGUUAGAAGGAAGUUGGUACAAGAAAAUCAUAGGAGCUUUAAAGACCAUCCAAGGUUUGCAAGUUUUCUCUAAUAUUUAUAGAUAUAUAAGAUUUGGUUUGGUGUUUUUUAAUUUAUUUGUGAGUUCGAUGUCAGGUGUAUCAUUUACCAUAGAUGCACCAAGUCAGAUGGUGUAUAUGUGUGGCAACAUUGAAGAAGGUUUGCUCUUGAAGAUGUUAACGAAGACGGGCAUUCAAAUUUUGGGAAUGGACUAUGGUAAUUUGAAGCCACCUCCCAAGAAAGUUGAGGCUCAAAUAUCAGAUGGAACCGAGACACAACCCAAGAAAGACACAGAGCCUCCUCCUCCUCCUCCUGAGAUUGUUGUUACGAAACACCAAGCCAAAAACAAGAAACCUCGUGGUUUUAGAAGUUUUUGUUGUUCAUGAAUCAUGUCAGUCAUUAGAACAUAGCGUCCUUGUUUUGGAGAACCAAGGAAACAAAAACACUUACUUUUAUCCCAAAGUUAAAAAAAAAAUUCACUUGGUUGAGCUGUGUUCUCUCGAAAAUGGCAUACAAUUCAGAAGAUUAGAUGCUAGAAUGAGUCUAACUGCAGGAAGAGACAGGGCUGCUGUUAAAGAAUUCAGCAAUGAUCCAGAUGUAAGUGAUAUGAAUAUCUUAGAUAUAUUUUCAAGCUCUCUUAACUUCCACUCAAUGUUUGAAUAAAUUUUUUUAUACAAAAUAUAAACAUCUUAUUAAGGGAAUUGAAGUUUCACGUUAGCUUAGGUCAGAAGUUCCAAUCGCGUAUUUAAGAAUCUGAUCACAACAGACAUUUACUAUUUUUGCGUUUUCUUCCAUUAGAUUCAAUUCCAAGUAAAUUCUUUCUUUCUGUGUGUUACUACCUCGAGAGGAGAGAGACUUGAUAACAACCAACCAAAAAAUGAAACUAUGGGUUUGGAUUGAAUGGAUUAUUUUUCUCACUAAAAAGAAUCUCAAACAUUAAAACAUUGCUUGGAAGUUAUGAAGAAGAGAACUCUAGCAUUUGAACAUAAACACAAUAACAAACAAUUGACUGCAACUUUGGGCUUUGGACCUUCACCAAACAGCAAGUCAGGAUCUCCGUGCUUCUCUACAGAUACUUUCUUGCAAGUGCACGCACCUUGGUGUCAAAAUGUGAGGAUGUAAUCCGAGAACCGGGCAGAUACAAGGGAUUCAGAAGAACCUGCAUGAACCAUCAUCAUGUCAUUUUAGACAAUAACAAUGUUACUACUGAAUUAGAUCAGCUCAAAGAAGAGCUACCUUAAUAUAAAGCUCAUGCACCUCCUGGAAGAAGCUCUUGAUGCCGUCUUCAUUGCGUGAAUCAUGAAGGAGCAUGAGUCGUGUAUGUGCGAUAUAAUUAAUCAAGGAGGAUACAAAUAUUUAAGACUUUGGAAAUGAAACUGUUAAAGCCAACCUACCACAAAUCUGACAAUGUACUUAGAUGAAUGAAUCAGGAGAAGGAAAAAAAAAUCAUUUCCACUUGAAUAUAAAUAGUUCCACGAAGAAGGAAGAAAAAACUAAAAAGGAUAUGGCCAGCGGUAACAUAGACGGAGACAACGAGAUCGUUAAACCUGUCAACUGACUUCAAGAACCUGAAGAGUAAUAAUAAAUGAAAAAAUGAGAUGAAUUAUAUGCCUUAAACAUAACCACCACAAGGAAGGAAGGGAGGUUACAGACAUGGCGCUUGUAGUCCAUGCAAGGUCUUGGACGACAUCUAAUGCAGCGUGUAGUAUAAACUGGUGCAACUGAGCAGCAUCUUCUCUCUGCCAAACGGAGCGAACAGAGUGAGAGACUAGUAGACAGAUUUUAAACAAAGGGAAAUAGCAAAACUUUUCAUAUCAACAGCUGAAGUGAACAACAGUGAUAAAAGCAAAGUAUAUUGGAUCCAACGAAUGUAGUUUAGAUCUAAAUGACUCAUGAGGAUGUGUAUCAAGAAAGAAAGAAAGAGUACUUUGGGAGCAGAACCAACUUCAGCUUCAUAGAUGGGAAUAUCAUUCCGACCCACUAUUAUAAAACACGCUGUGUUUGCCAUUCGAUCCCUCGACCUCUACAAAUAUAGAUUUAAAAAAUACAGAUCUUUUGUCUUUGUGUCUUCUGCAACAGCAAAAUCAAAAAAGAAAAAAUGGUGAAAUUGGAGUUUAGAUUUGGUAACAAUCAAUCAAAUCGUCUAGAUACGAGAGUAAUCUAGGUUAAUUUUAUUACUAUUAGAUCAGGGAUCAACAAUUAUAAUUCUCAAUCGACACACAAAAAAAAAAAAAAUUGGAGAAAACUCACGAAUGCAAGUGAACGAUGCGAAAUGCUGCAGGAAAUACAACCAAACAGUCCUCAAACGAGAUGAAUCACCCACCAAUUCUUCAGAAGAUGAAUCACCCACGGAGUUGAGAGAUUAAACAAGUCCAGGUGGUGGUGUCUCUGCUAGAGAGGGGAAAGAUCAGAGGAAUAACGACGACUACAAAGUGUAUAUUAGGCCCAUUUCAGUUUAUUAUUAGGCUGCAUGUAAAUUAUUGGGCUUAAAAGCCCUUCAACAAACCCAAUAGUGAUGGUAGUAACUAUCGACGCCGUCUUAACCCGAUUGGCGAAACCCCGGGUCGGUCAGUUUCCCCCGACUAUUUUACGAUUCCAGAGAGAGAGAGAGAGAGAGAGAGAGAGAGAGAUCUUGCUCCUGCUACUUGAUUAGGUUUUCGUUUCCAUCCCCUAUUGAAAGCAAGCAAGCGUGUGGAUUUCAAAUCAUGGAAUUAGACGAUGAUUACGUGGAGUAUGUUCCAGUUGCGAAGCGUAGAGCGAUGGAAGAGCAGAAGAUUCUCCAACGGAAGGGCAAAGUGUUGGAGGUGGAGGAAGAAGCUUCGGAGAAGGAGAAGCUCGCCGAAUCCAAACCUAGCUUGCUCGUCCAAGCAACUCAGCUCAAGCGAGACGUACCCGAAGUGAGUGCUACCGAGCAAAUCAUCCUACAAGAAAAGGAGAUGAUGGAGCACUUAUCUGAUAAGAAGACGCUCAUGUCCGUUCGCGAGUUAGCCAAAGGUAUCACUUACACAGAGCCUCUUUUAACAGGUUGGAAACCUCCUUUGCGUAUUAGGAAGAUGUCUAGGAAGCAGAUGGAUUUGAUCAGGAAGCAAUGGCAUAUCAUUGUUAGCGGUGAAGACAUUCCUCCUCCCAUCAAGAGCUUCCAGGAUAUGAAGUUUGAGAAACCUAUUUUGGAUACGCUCAGGGAGAAAGGGAUAGUGCAGCCGACUCCUAUUCAGGUUCAGGGUCUUCCUGUGAUUUUGUCUGGGAGAGAUAUGAUUGGGAUUGCCUUCACUGGCUCUGGGAAGACUAUGGUUUUCGUGCUUCCUAUGAUUAUGAUUGCUCUGCAGGAGGAGAUGAUGAUGCCUAUUGGUCCUGGAGAAGGUCCCAUUGGCCUUAUCGUUUGCCCUUCUAGAGAGCUUGCUAGGCAGACUUACGAGGUUGUUGAACAGUUUGUGGCUCCUCUGGUCCAGGCUGGAUACGCUCCUUUGAGGUCUUUGCUAUGCAUUGGAGGUGUGGAUAUGAGGUCCCAGUUGGAUGUUGUCAAGAGGGGUGUUCACAUCGUUGUUGCUACCCCUGGGAGGUUGAAGGAUUUGCUCGCCAAGAAAAAGAUGAACUUAGAUGCCUGCAGGUAACACCCACCCUAUGUAUCUAUGUUUGUUUGCACUUAUGCCUGGACUCUUGUUAUGCACUAGGCUAGGUUCGUUGGAGUAUCUGUUUAUUUGUGGUUUAUUGUGCCUGUUUUGUUGUCCCUUCUAGUUAAUGCCAGAGAUCGAUAGGGUUGUUUAGGUUCUGUCAGCUCUUUACUUUGUGAUUUAAUAUGGUUACUUUUCUCUGAAUGUAUCUUUCUUCUCUUGAGAGACCUAAGGCUGUGCCAUGUACCUUAAAAUCUAGAUAAUGUUAGUUGGACGGUGAUGUUUAACUUCUUCUUUUUUUCCUGAUAUAGGUACCUGACGCUGGAUGAGGCAGAUAGGUUGGUUGAUUUGGGUUUCGAAGAUGACAUUAGGGAAGUCUUUGACCAUUUCAAGUCUCAGCGUCAAACACUUCUCUUCUCUGCCACAAUGCCCACCAAAAUUCAAAUCUUUGCCAGAAGUGCUCUGGUGAAACCUGUGACAGUUAACGUAGGAAGAGCCGGAGCUGCGAAUCUCGAUGUCAUCCAGGAGGUUGAAUACGUCAAACAAGAAGCAAAGAUUGUUUACCUCCUCGAGUGCCUGCAGAAGACCUCUCCGCCGGUUUUAAUUUUCUGUGAGAACAAGGCUGAUGUUGAUGAUAUCCACGAGUACUUGUUACUGAAAGGAGUGGAAGCUGUUGCUAUACAUGGAGGUAAAGAUCAGGAGGACAGAGAGUACGCCAUCUCUUCGUUCAAAGCUGGGAAGAAAGACGUCUUGGUCGCUACUGACAUUGCUUCAAAAGGGUUAGACUUCCCUGAUAUUCAGCACGUCAUAAACUACGACAUGCCUGCGGAGAUUGAGAACUAUGUGCAUAGGAUAGGAAGAACAGGUCGGUGUGGGAAAACAGGGAUAGCAACUACGUUUAUAAACAAGAACCAAAGCGAGACCACGCUGCUUGAUCUGAAACACUUGUUGCAAGAAGCUAAACAGAGGAUUCCACCUGUCCUUGCUGAGCUGAAGGAUCCGAUGGAGGAAGCAGAGAAUAUUGCUAAUGCAAGUGGUGUCAAGGGUUGCGCUUACUGUGGGGGUCUGGGACAUCGUAUUAGAGACUGUCCAAAACUGGAGCAGCAGAAGAGUGUGGCCAUAUCUAACUCUAGAAAAGACUAUUUCGGCUCUGGUGGAUACAGAGGAGAGAUAUAAUCUGUGUCCAAUCUUCUUUCAAGAAUCCCUUUUGCAAGUUAGGUGACAAACGUUAUCAUUGUGUUUUUGGAAAAGUGAACCCUAUAAUGUUACAAGCUUACUAUUAUCUAUUUAUCUUCAUGCUGACAUUAUAUUUUUUUUCAUUUGCAUGGCAGUUAGGCUGUCACUUAAUGUCCCAUGCUAGAGAUGAUAAAAAAGUGAAAAUUUUAAAGAUAUGUAUGUCCAUACGGUAAAUUUAAACAGGUAAAAAGUAAAAAUAUUUAAAUACGCAUAAAUACUUUUGAACAAGAGUGACAAUAAAUAAAACAGAUGUGUUGGCAGUUGAAUCCGAAUGUAAAAUAAAUACCUCACAAGUUACUAAUUGAGUCCAAGCAUGGCAACAAUUAAAACUUUGACUAAUGCAUAACAACAAGAGUCACAAGAUAAAUAGAACCGAUGUAUUGGCAGUUGAAUCCGAAUGUAUUAAUACCUUACAAGUUACUAAUUGAGUCCAAGCGUGGCAACAAUUAAAAACUUUGACCAAUUCAUAUAAAUGCAUUUGAACAAGAAUUUUGACUAAUGUUAAAUUUUGACUGAUAAUUAACUGAAAGACAAUGUAUUCAUUGCAAUCUCGAAACUAUAAAUAGAGACUAUUGCAUCAUAAGUAACUCAAUUCAUAAACAUAAAGAAGAAGAAAAUGAAGGUAAUGACUAAUGAGCAUGGUGUGGAUAGUGAUGAUACUGGCUGUAAGGAGGUGAAGCAAAAUCGGAAAUAGAAUGCAGUAAGAUCUGCCGUCCCCACUGCCAGCGCUCAUCACCAGCGUCAGAAUGUGCAGCUUGUCGUACAGAAUGUUACAAGUUGCCACCGGUUGCAAUGAGAGGCAGGAACCGCCGCAUGGUUUCAGAAGACCCCAAACAACAAUAGAUCUUUCUUGUUUUGAUUUAUAUUAUAUACAAUAACAUAUGGUGACUACACAUGUAAGGAUCCAAACCUUAUAAUGCUUAUAUGCAACGGUUUAAUAAGAUGAGAUUGUUCUUUGUUCUUUUUUCUUUUUGUCAUGUUGAAUGAGAUUGUUCUUUUUUCAACAAUCAACAUGAGAUUGUUCUUUUUUCUUUUGGCAAAAGAACACAAGUAUAACAUCAUUUUGACUUUUCUUAAUGAAACCACUAAACAAAAAGUAAACCACCGCCACCGAAAACAAAAAGAUGUAAAAGAGAGUGAGAAAUAGGCUUUUAUAUAAUAUAAGUUAGCCUUCUACUUCACGAGAAGAUCCUGAAGAGGAAACCUCCAUGUGUGGCAAAGAAGGGAGCAAAGACGAGAGACUCAACAGCCAUUAGCUUUAUCAAUAUGUUAAGCGACGGUCCUGACGUAUCCUUCAAUGGGUCUCCUAUUGUGUCACCUAUCACUGCUGCCUUGUGUGGCUCUGACCCUUUUGGUCCUAAGCUCCUCGCGUGCUCUGAUGCCCCCGCCUGCACUCACAUCAUUUCACAAUCCUCAAACCUCUCUCUUCUGAUAUUUUUCUGAUAUUUUUUAUCACAAAUAUAAACUCUCUACACACAAAAAGAUUGCUUACCUCAAUGUACUUCUUGGCAUUGUCCCAGGCUCCACCAGUGUUAGAAGCUGAUAUUGCAACCUGAACUCCGGAGACAAGGGAGCCAGCGAGGACACCGGAGAGGGUCUCAACGCCGAAGAAGAAACCGACAAUGAGUGGAGUAAGCAUGACAAGGCAACCAGGAGGAAUCAUUUCCUUGAUGGAAGCAUCCGUUGAUAUCUUGACGCAUGUUGCAUAGUCUGGUUUCGCGGUACCUUCCAUGAGUCCGGGGAUGGUGUUGAACUGCCUCCUCACUUCUUCCACCAUCUUAAGAGCUGCACUUCCCACGCUCUUCAUCGUCAUUGCAGAGAACCAAUAAGGAAGCAUCGCUCCAACUAGCAGCCCUAUCACCACCUUUGGGGUCAACACAUCCACCGUCUGUACUCCUGCUCGGCUCACAAAUGCACCAAACAACGCCAACGACACAAGAGCAGCAGAACCAAUCGCAAAACCCUGAUGCACAAGAGCACUGUGAUUUCAUUUGUAUAAAACUGAUAAAAUAACAAAAGGAGACUAUGAUAUUACCUUUCCGAUAGCAGCAGUGGUGUUUCCAGCAGCAUCAAGAGCGUCAGUUCUUUCUCGGAUGCGAUGGCUCAUUCCAGCCAUCUCAGCAAUACCACCAGCAUUGUCACUGAUCGGACCAUAAGCAUCAAUCGCCAAACCAGUUGCAAUGGUACUCAGCAUUCCAAGAGCAGCAACCGCCACACCGUACAUUGCAGCAAAGCUGAAGCUAACGAAUAUACUGACAGCAAUCGCAAAGAUUGGAAUGAUGACGGAUUUGUAUCCAAGAGCAAGUCCGAAUAUAACGUUGGUUGCCGCUCCGGUCCUGCAUGAAUCUGCCACGUCUUGCACAGGGCUGCAAACCACACAACUGGUCAUAAAAGAAGCCACAGAGAAAGACAAAAUGGCACUCAAUAUUGAUCUAAACUAGGCUCUUUACCUGUAUGCAUUGCUUGUGUAGUAUUCAGUAACAAAGCCGAUAAUGAGUCCAGCCCAGAGACCAACAGCAACACACAGGAAUAGCUCCCUGCAUACCCCAAAUUUAAGUAAAAGGGUUCACAUAAAAAGAAAAUGCAACUAAUCAAAAGGAUCUUACCAGUUUUUCACAACUUUCUGUGUCCCGAAGUUGAAGAUGGUGAAGGAAGACGGUAACCCAAUCCAUGAUACUACAGCUAUUCCAGCAGUCAUGAUAACCGUAGAAAUAAUGAGCUGGUUUUUCAACGCAGGUUCGAUCUCCUUUACUGCCUUAAUCUCAGAGAUGUCUGUUGCAUAGAGGGUAGUGAUCAAACAAACCAAGAUUCCCACUGAACUGAUGAGCAAUGGGAACAACAUGGCAGUGAAGUCAUGGUUGAUUCCAAAGGAGGAGAUGGAAGCAACAACAAGCGCAGCACAAGAUGACUCCGCGUAUGAUCCAAACAGAUCAGAGCCCAUCCCAGCAAUGUCACCAACAUUGUCACCCACAUUAUCAGCAAUUACCUGAAACAUAACAACAAUAAGUCAACUGGUAACUAACAUAAAAGAAUGGUGUUAAUAAUAGUGCUUACAGCUGGGUUUCUUGGAUCAUCUUCCGGAAUAUUCCUUUCGACUUUUCCCACAAGGUCAGCACCAACAUCAGCAGCCUUAGUGUAGAUCCCACCACCAACUCUACCAAAAAGCGCCAUGGAAGAUCCACCAAGACCAUAACCAGUGAUGGACUCAAAAAGACCUUCCCAAUCAUCACCGUAGUAAAUCUUGAAGAGGUUGAUGGUAAUGUAAAGAACCAAGAGACCGUUCGCAGCGAGAAGGAAACCCAUCACAGCGCCAGACCUGAACGCAACGAUGAAGGCCUUUCCAACGCCUCUCCUCGCUUCAAGAGUGGUUCUAGCGUUGGCAUAAGUGGCGAUCUUCAUCCCGAGAAAGCCAGAGAGGACUGAGGUCACCGCGCCGAGGACGAAGGAGAUGGUGCUGAAGACGGCGGUGGCGAGAGCAGGCUUGCAUGUUGUGGUCUUGUCGUAAGUGCAAGGCUGGCUCUUGGUACUGAAACCUUGGACAGAGCCGAGGAAGAGAAAGAUGAUGGCGGCGAACAGAACCAUGAAGACGCCAACGUACUUGUACUCGGUGAACAGAAAUGAGGUUGCACCUGCGGACAAGAUCACAGAUUAUUUAACAAGACAACGAGUUACUUUGACCAAAUAUUCAGCUUCAGACAAGAGGAAGACUUCAAAAAGGUUCAAAAUUUCCAAAACAUAGUUUCACCAACUUUAAGACCAAAAAAAAUAAGGAAAUUAAAAAUUAAAACAGAGAAGAUCUAAAAAAAAAAAGAAGCAAAAUCAAACACGAGUUCUCAUCACCUUCGGAUAUAGCGGUCUGAAUCUCAGCGCAUUUGGCGACAACGCUCUGAUCAUUAACCCCUUCCUCUUCCUCUAUCAGAUAAUCCUCAUUUCCAUUCUUACCGUCUUCACUUUCCGAAGACGCGCCACGAUCGGCGGUGAGUUUCACGCCGGAGACAAUAUACCACUGGAACAGCGAGAAGGCGAUUCCCACCACGGCGCACACCGGCACCAGAAUCUCCGUCCAAAGUUCCGGUAACAACGCUUUCCCCGUCAUCUUUAUCUCUCUCUCUCUCCUUAAACACUGUAACACUUAUCAAUAGAGAGAGACUCGACUUUUGAUGCUUCGAGAGAGAUAUGAAAUGAAGCAACUCGGUGUGCUAUCGUGUCGUUUUAUAAGCAAGUAUAAAAUCAAAAAAGACAGUAGUAAUAUUCUACGCUUAUGUGCACGUAAAUUACUGUGCACCUACUUAUAUGAACCGUCUUCUAUCGAUCGGACGGCUGACUUCGAACGUGUUAGUCUAUGGAAAAUUAUUAAUUUACGCGGCGGAUAAGAUAGAUAACCACGUCACAUCCACGUGGCGUAGUAGACUCACGGAAUGUCUAUCAUCCUUGCCCUUCAUGCAAGACCCCACCUUAUGUGUAGUAACACGCUUUUAGCCGUUAGAUCUAACCAUUAUUAUGAUAAUUUAAUGGUGAUUGGAUAGUUUCACGUAUAGAUUCGAUUCGGUGAGGUUGAAUAUAAACUCAAAACACUGUAAGUCUAGUCAUCACUCUCAUCUUUCUCCAUCCUCACAUAUGGCUGGCUCCACGUCUACUUUCAUACGAUUUUCCUUACCUACGGACAUCGUAUAUACGUUUACUUCCUUACAGUGACAGUGCUUUAAUUAGUUUGCAUGGAUUGAUUCAAACAAUAUUAUAAUUGUUGCUUUAAUUGAUUUACACAUGCUAAACAUGCCCCACAUCCGAUUUAGUCUUCAUCCUCUUGUCCCUUUCUGCAUGAUAGACGUUACAAAAUCAAGGAAUCGUAACGUACGUAACAGAAAUCUUUUUCCUUCAUGUGGCUAACAUGAAGUGUAAGAAGAAAACGUCUUAUCAAUUUCUUUUGAAAAAUACUAAAUAGAUGUUUUCUAGUAAUCUGAGACUAGAAUCUGGGUCAAGCUCACGUUAAUAAUCAAGACAAGAGCUGAGAAAAUCCAAAGAAUAUAUUGUGGAAUUUCUAAAACCUCAUGCUAUGGUCACGAAUCAUUACUCUCGCGCAAAGGAAUUCAAUAAAUGAAAAUAAAGCUAAAAAUACCCAAAUCUAAUGAGGUUGCUAGGGAAGAAACUAGGCUUCUUGUUGUUAGUGUGCGUUUUUGGAAGACUUGAAAGUUUGAAGAAACUCUUUGGCCAUCUUCAACUCCUGCAUCUGCCUCGACUUGCCCCACUUGUGUUCACUCGCUAAUAUCUCCACCACACGUUUCAAAGCCUGCUCCGCUGCAUUGGUAUCUAAGAAGGCGAUUCUACACCUCCUGGCUAUGAAAUCCACUGCUGAUUCACAGUACUCGUUUCUUGCACAGUAAGCAACUUCUGCUUCGAGGAACGGAUGACCGUGUGCUAGUCUCUUCCCAAGACCCUCUUCCUGAGCAAUGGUGGCGACUCGGUCAGCCAUUGAUCCAUAUGCAUGUGACAAAUGCUUUGCGGCUGCUGUGUCCAUUGUCCCUGGAACCAUUUUACCACCGUGAGUUUUCUUCACGCGCACGUAUUGCUGCGCUAGAGCUGCGAAGGAAGAUGGGUCCCAUCCGUAAGAGCCCACAAGCUGUAGCUUCUGCGUUACGCAAUCGUUGCUAGGUUUCAGCUUUCCAGAUUUGAUUGCUGCGUCCACCGCGUCUUCCGCCAUGCUGAAAUGAAAUCACUCCAUGAGUAUUUUACUAACCACAUUAUUUAUACAAACAAACCCUUUGUACCUUCUGUAAGUUGUCCAUUUUCCACCUGUGAUUGUAACCAGACCAGGACAAUCCUCCAGAACAAUGUGGUCUCUGGACAUAUUCUCAGUGUUUUUUGCUGUUGGAUCCAUAGCCAAUGGACGAAUACCACUCCAAGCCGACAGAACAUCGGUACGUCGAACCUAGGAAGGUUUUCUUAUGAUAAUCAUAUUUAGGAAAACAAAAAGAUUUAGGUUUAACGUACGUACCUUGAUGUUAAGGUAGUCGGUGAUUGUGUCAAGUAUGAAUUGAAUCUCAUCUUCAUUAGGUUUUGGAAGCGAAGUGAUUGAAGUGGGAGAGUCUGUAGUGCCUGCUACGGUUUUCCCCAACCAAGGUAACAUAAACACAACGCGACCAUCCUUAGUCUUGGGGACUAUCAAGCCCAUCCCUUGAGGAGAAUAGUAGUCUGGCAACACAAUGUGUACGCCGCUGCUUGGACAUAUCAUCGGCUUUGACUCGCCAUCAGCCAUUUUCCUAACCGAAUCACAGAAUGGUCCAGCCGCAUUAACAACCACCUUCGCGUAGGUGUCAAACUCUUUGCCUGGUACUCAUAUAUGAAAUUAAGCAUGUUAUCAUUAGUUAAGUAUAUAGAGUUCAUGCUAAAAUAUUCAACAAAAAUGCUUUGACGACGUACCAGAGAGAUUGUUACGGAUCCGAGCACCAAUUACUCUCUGAGUAACACCAUCCCUGAUAAGGGAGACAACCUCUGCAUGGUUGAGAACUGAAGCACCAGCUAAAGCGGCAGUACAAGCCAAACCAACAUUGACUCGUGAAUCAUUCAUUUGCCCAUCGUAAUACACAACCGUGCCUGCCAAAGUAGUACUCUUGUUUUUCCCUUUACUCGCGAGGGUUGGGAAGAGCUCAACAGACUGUUUUGCGGAGUAAUAUCUGGAGAGAUGCAAUAGUCUUCGUCCAGCCACCAAGUCAUACAUUUUCAGUCCCAUCCAGAAGUAGACAACUUCGAACCAGCUGAAACAAGGUGUCAUGCAGGGGAGUGCGUGGCAGAGAUGCGGUGCGUUCUCGAUCAGUUGUUUACGCUCUUCGAGGGCGUGAAACACAAGCCGAAGCUGUCCGUAAUCAAGAUUGAAAACGGCUUUCUCCAAGUAACGAACCCCUAAUUAGAUCAUAUAUUAGACCAUUAAUUACCUAAUAUGUUCUGUAGUAACAAGCUAAAACUCUUAAUUUAUUUAUCUAUACUUAUCAUUCAACGAAGCAACUAAUUUCAUGCUUCUUGUCCGAAUUGCGUGUAGCUAACGCAACGCAUACGAAAUUAAAAUAUAAGAUUAGUUAUUACCUCCAUGAAUUAGUUUUGUUGAUCUCGAAGAGGUCCCUGAGGAGAAGUCAUCACGUUCGACGAGACCAACACGGAGGCCACGGGUGGCGGCGUCUAGUGCGACACCAGAACCGGUGGCUCCACCGCCGAUGACGAGGACAUCGAGCGGAUUUGACAAGCUGGCUCCACUCAGAACCGAUUCUUGAACGGAUCGAGACGGUACUGAAGCCGUAGGAUCACCAAUCGUACGCCUCCAUGACUCCACAAUCGUACGGUCUUUGUCGCUGGAGGCAAGCGACAAAACAGCGCCACCAGAUGCAGUGGCGAUGAAAGCGACGCCAGAGGCGAGACGGCGAAAAGAAGCGGCGUACAUGGAGAGCGAAGAGAGAAAGAGAGAGAUUGGAAAGUGAUGUGAUCAUAAUGAGAUGGGGAAGGAGUAGAAGAUGUGAACCAAGCCAAAUUUGGAAAUAUUCAUUAAAUGAUGAUUUCGUAAUCUUCAAGCUUACCAUUUAUAUACGCUUACGUCUAAGGAAGUUCCUAGCUUACCCAAUAUUAUAUUAGUUAUGUUUCUAGAAACGUAGUAUAUAUGAAAGGGUGUGAAACUUUUUUUUUUUUUUUUUUUUUUUCGUCGGGGAAAAAAAAAAAUUUUUUUUUUUUUUUUUUUUUUGACGUCGAGGGUGUGAAACCUAUAUGAAAUUGCUUUUGGAGAUUCUAGAUGAACCUUGGCUUAUAUUAUUUGAGAAAUGUACAUUUACAUGAUCAAGUGACUCAAUUUGUCAUAAUCCAAGCAUUUAGUGUCGAAUAAAAAGUUAGAGCUCCAGCAUAUUGGCUGUAUUCAUUCUUGCAAUCUUUGAAAGUACAUAAAAGAUGAGUGCUUAGAAACUUGAAAGUAAACCGAGAGAACUGCUUUUGGGUUAUAUAUUAAUUUUUGGUUGCAAAGAGAGAUGAGAAUGCUAGACAAAGCAAUAUAGCCAUUUCUAUGUGUUAAGUGCAGAGGUGGCUAUUGUUGCAACCAAAAAAGUCUUCAAGGAUGUUUGGUUUGUUGGCCCAUCUCUCAAAUGUUGCUGCAUGUAUAACUUGAGAGAUUGCAAAGAAACCCAAAAUAUUACAAGAUCAUUUGUAAUUAAUAGAAACUGGAUAAUUAUUCGGUAAAUAUAUUGUGAUCGUAAAUGUAAGGUCGCUAUCACAAUUUAUAUUUGAUAAUAUUUAUUGGUAAACCAGCUCACCCAUAUUUGGUAUAUUACCUUUACCAGCAUUAAUCAAUAUUAGUACUUUAGUAGUAGUCGAUAAACCCCCAUUAAUAAACCAUAUCUUCUAAUUGAGAAAACUUCAGCUAAUAUUAUUUAAUAAAAAACAAUGCCAUAUGAAUGUUGUAUAUACAUUUAAACUUUUAUAAAUAUCAUAUAGUAGUUAUUGGCAUGUAAGAAAUAGUCUAGAUAUUGGAUAAGUUUCAAAGAAAUCAACUCUAUAAACCAGAUUUGUGAACAGACAUAAGAGUUUGUCAAAGUCAACGAUAGAGACGGUUACAAAAUCUACCAAUCCGUGAAGAACACGUGAAAGAUGGAGCUGAAUUUAAGAAAGAUGAUCAUAAUAUUUGACCUUCAACCAAUAAAAACCAUAAUGAAAUACAUCACCAUCCGCUGGAGUAAACGGAUAAAAAGAAGGGUGAACUUUCCAACAAUAUCUCUGACUCUUAUUCAGCUUUCUAUAUAUACCACUCCCCCAUUAUUCCCACGUUAUAUCCUAUCUUCACUCAUCUUCAUUCGUAUUGUUCAAUCUUCUUCUUUAGAAAAACAAAAAAAAAUGGCAGGAGAAAAAGGUUUCAUUGGAUCAAUAGAUCAAGGAACGACCAGCACCAGAUUCAUCAUUUAUGAUCACGAUGCUCGUGCCGUUGCAUCCCAUCAAGUCGAGUUUACUCAGUUCUAUCCUGAAGCUGGGUAAUCCCUCUCUCUCUCUCUCUCUCUGGAUCUGUAUCACCUACUUGUUGACUUUUUUUUAUUACAUAUAUUUGUAUUUUUUUUUAACUUUAGUGGUUUUUUUUUUUUUGGACAACUUUAACUUUAGUGGUUAUAUAUGUGAUUACUGUGAGAAGUAGGUGAGACUUUUUUUUGGUCGAUGAUCCACAUCUUGCCUUAUUGGACACUGUAUAUUUAGUUAUCUUUGAAGGUAGACUGUAUGAUCAAAAGUGUAUAGUGAGUUCACUGUGACAUUCUUGGGCGAUCUGUAAUAUUUAGUUAUCUUUGAAGCUCUUUGUUUAGUGUUUGAUGCAUACAUUCAUAUUAUUUAUUGACACUAAUAUUUGUAAAUGAAGAUGGGUGGAACACGAUCCAAUGGAGAUACUCGAAAGUGUGAAAGUGUGCAUUGCAAAAGCUCUUGACAAAGCCACAGCCGAUGGACACAACGUGGAUGGUGGCUUGAAGGCCAUUGGGCUUACGGAUCAAAGAGAGACGACCGUCGUUUGGAGCAAAUCCACUGGACUUCCUCUUCACAAAGCUAUCGUCUGGAUGGAUGCUCGCACCAGUUCCAUCUGCAGGUAACAUUACAUACAUAAUUUCUCUUUCUUGUUUUGUUUUCUUGAAUCAUUUGUCUUAAAAAUCCUCUAUGCUUAGAGAGUUGGUUUCUGAUGAGAUUUUUUUUUUUCUUUUUGUGAUGAUAUUCACAGGAGACUAGAGAAGGAACUAUCAGGAGGAAGAUCCCAUUUUGUGGAGUCUUGUGGAUUGCCCAUAAGCACAUACUUCUCUGCCAUGAAGCUUCUCUGGCUGAUGGAGAAUGUAGAUGCUGUUAAAGACGCUAUCAAGAAAGGAGAUGCCAUCUUUGGCACAAUCGACACAUGGCUGAUCUGGAACAUGACCGGCGGUGUGAAUGGAGGUCUACACGUCACUGAUGUCACCAACGCUUCUCGUACAAUGCUCAUGAACCUCAAAACCCUGAGCUGGGACGAGGACACUCUCAAGACUCUAGCCAUUCCCGCUGAAAUCUUGCCCAAGAUUGUAAGCAACUCGGAGGUCAUUGGAGAAAUCUGCAAAGGCUGGCCCAUUCCUGGUAUCAAGAUCGCUGGAUGUCUUGGCGACCAGCACGCUGCAAUGUUAGGACAAGCUUGCAAAAAAGGCGAAGCUAAGAGUACUUACGGCACUGGCGCUUUCAUUCUUCUCAACACAGGAGAAGUCCCCAUCAAGUCAGGUCAUGGACUUCUAACCACACUGUCUUACAAGCUUGGGCCUCAAGCACAGACAAACUAUGCUCUAGAGGGUUCCAUUGCUAUAGCUGGAGCUGCUGUUCAAUGGCUAAGAGACAGCCUUGGGAUAAUUAAAAGUGCAAGUGAAAUUGAAGAUUUGGCGGCUAUGGUAGAAUCAACGGGAGGAGUGUACUUUGUGCCGGCAUUCAACGGUUUGUUUGCGCCUUGGUGGAGAGAAGACGCUCGUGGUGUUUGCAUUGGAAUAACGAGAUUCACAAACAAGUCUCACAUUGCAAGGGCUGUGCUGGAGAGCAUGUGUUUCCAAGUGAAAGAUGUGCUAGACUCUAUGAACAAAGACGCCGGUGAAAAGGGCUCUCUAAAUAAUGAGAAAGGGGAGUUCUUGCUUAGAGUUGAUGGUGGCGCCACCGCCAACAACCUUCUUAUGCAGAUUCAGGUAAUGAUUAUAUGAUGAUGAUUGUAGUUUUUUGAACAUUAAGUCUCAUUUGUCCUUUUGAAACAUGGGCAGGCUGAUUUGAUGGGAACUCCGGUGGUGAGGCCAGUGGACAUAGAGACAACAGCACUAGGAGCAGCCUAUGCAGCUGGACUAGCCGUUGGAUUCUGGAAGGAAGAAGACAUAUUCGAGUCAGGAGAGAAGUCAAAGAACUCCAAAGUAUUCAGACCGGCUAUGGAAGAAGCAACCAGGAAGAAGAAAGUGGAGUCAUGGUGCAAAGCGGUUGAGAGAACAUUUGAUCUUGCUGAUCUUUCUCUUUAAAACUUUGAAUUAUUGAUUUCCUUUUAUCCCACAAUGUCAUUUCUUAUUUACCACAGUGGUGCUCUGUCGUUUAAGUCACAUUAUGUCAUUUCUUAUAUAUAUUAUGUGUUCUCUAAGUUGCUGCAAGUUGAGAUCAGACAAGGUUUGUGGCAGCCAGUAUUUCAGUUGAAUGUGUCAUUGAGCCAACAUAUUGCAAAUACAGUAAUAGAAAAUUAUAAACAGAAAACAUGUCUUUUCCGGUUGAACUUUGAUUAUAGCCUUUUUGCUUUGAGGUUCUUUAGGACAAGGCCCUUGUCGCUAAGCGGAUGAAAGCAUCGAUAAGGUUGAGCCAUGCUUGUCUAGGAGAAGAUUCAAAACACAGAAACAAGAGAAAACCAGCAGACACAGACACACAAGUCACCGUGAGACUCCAGUAGAAGCCAACCAUAUCAAUCACAUUGUCUUAUCAUAUGAGUUCUACGUUGUUGUUGUUGUUUCUUUUUCAUCUAUAUUAUUAAAAAAGAGAAGUACCCAUUUGAAAAUGUCUUUACUUCAUUAAUUAAACUUCCUAUUUUUUAUUUGUUUUUUUCAGUUACAUUGAUGAAAUAUCCUUAAAUGAAUUUAAAUUACCUAUUUUAUUUCUUGUCUUUUUAGUUACAUUAAUGAAAUAUCCUUAAAUGAAUUUAAACUACCUAUUUUAUUGAUUGUCUUUUUCAGUUACAUUAAUGAAAUAUCUUUAAAUGAAUUUGGACGUAAAGUCAUUUAAAUAACCAAAAAAACUCAUAAGUUAUCUUUACGUGCAUAAUUUUAAUAAUGGAAAUUUUUUAAAACGUGCAUCAUUAAAAUGUUAUCUAAAACUUGCAGCACUAAUAUAUAACAUGCAUCAAUAAAACUAGAUUUUAACCCACAUAAUCGUACGGGUAUUUAAAAAUUAUUAUUUAUUCAAAAAAUAUUUAAGAAUUGAUAUGUUUUUUAAAAAAAUUUAUGGUAUUUGCUCAUAUCGGUAGUAUAACUUUAAACAAAAUUUUAGCAUAAUAUAACUCAUUUGUCGUUUGCUAAAUUUAUGGAUUUUAUUUAUAAAUUUUAUUAUUUAAUUAUAAUAUUUUCAUUUUAUAUUUGAAAGAUGAAUGAAUAUUUCUUUCUAACAAUAUUUUUUGUAUAUAUAUAUAUUUUUUUAAAAAUCAAUUUAAAUUGUUAUUGUCAUUGAAUAUAAUUAUUUUUGACAUAAUUUUAGUUUUCGUUUACAUCAAAACUAAUCAUAUUUUAGGAUAAUNNNNNNNNNNNNNNNNNNNNNNNNNNNNNNNNNNNNNNNNNNNNNNNNNNNNNNNNNNNNNNNNNNNNNNNNNNNNNNNNNNNNNNNNNNNNNNNNNNNNUUUAAUAAAUAUUUAAAACUUUGAAUUUGUUUUUUUUUUCCAGGUUUGGGGUUGAUAACUGCCUUGCAACAGAAGUAACCGAGACGAUUAAAGGUUACUUCUCCAUGGCACAUCCAAACUGGAGUAAGACGCCUCACUACGUCAGAAAGACGUGGUUCAAAAUUUACGCUGUAAGUUUCUAUUAAUUAAUUAUAUAUAUAUUAACUUUUUCAUGAUUUAUAUAUAUACUCUCUAAAAAACUAAUUGUUAAUUUAUUUUUUCCAACAGCAAAAAUAUAAUUGGGCCUUGGGGAUCACUGAGAGGGUGAGGAAGAAGUUUAACGCGAAAGCGAAAGUUCGCUUGUUGGACACGGUCUCCAACUGGAAGGGUGACUGGAUCGUGAAGGGGUAUGAGCGUGGCAAACCCGCUGAGCUCACCACGGAUGUGUGGGAUGGCCUCAUCAUGCCAACUGGAUAUCAUCAAAGACUGACAAUAGAAUAGAUUUUAUCAAUGACUAAUUCUACGUUAGUCAAACUAUUUAAAUUAAUGUUCAUUGGCUUUACUAUCUAUAACCUUAUCUCUACUGUCGUCACCACGUUGUCCUAGAUAAUCACGAAACUCUAUAUUAUUAUUAUUAUUAUAUCUUACAUUUUCCUUUUCAACCAUUUAGAUUAUUCUAGUCUUCUAGUCUUGAGCGUGUUCUCGUAGGUUUUAACUCUUAUUUUGGUUUUUCUUCAGUUAAAGGUUUUAGAAUGCGGCUUAAAAUAUACAUUCCCCUCUCAAAAAAGUUAUUAAUUUUAUUGACUUUCUCGUUUCUACUGCAUAUUUUUAAUUUCAUCAAUUUCAAAAGAUUUUUUCUUUUUUAUUUCAAAAGAUUUUCUCAAAAAUCAAUUUCAAAUAUUUUUCUUUUUGUUAUUGUGCAUUAUAAUAUUAACAUUGUGCAAGUUCUCAUACAGUUCUACAUGAACUAGAUAAUAACUAAAAUGUGUGUUCAGUAAAUUCGACUGAUAGUUUAAUAUUUUCUCAGUAUGAUUUAAGAAUGAUGCAAAACAUAUAUAUCUCGAAUUGGUGAUUUUUAUUAGUUCUACACAUUAAAUUUCCCGAACUCAUUAAACUUUGCAUUUCUUUCUUAUGAAAAUAACUUCAAAAUAUAUACUAUUAUAUGCGGUUGAGUAAAAACUGAGAUGCAAGAUUCUCAAUGCCUAUUUAUAAAAAUUAGAAAAAAAGAUUCUCAACACCUACAAAUCCACCAGGAAUAUUAGUGAUUCAGACUUAAAAUAAACAAAUAUCUAGUGGACUAAAUAAAACAUUAAUAAAUAAGUGUACUGUUCCAUCGUCAUUUGAAUACAUUAGUGCGAUUAAUAAUAAUAAAAACUUAAAGGAAAAGAGUAGAAAACACCUUUUUAAAUAUUCCCUAAAAUGGCUUGUUAAUUCCAUCACCCAAAUCUCUCUAGCACAGUGUUCCCUUUUGAUAUUGUGGAGGACACCUAAAUCACAAUACCUCUUUUUCUUGAAUAUUCUGAUGACUUGGUUCUACCAAUAUGUGCACACUGUAAUUAUAUAUAUUCUCAUAUCAGCAUAUGUUGUGUUUUAUAUUGACUGGAUUCAAGCUUCCAAAAGGAAAUCGGAUGUGAUCGAAAACAAAGAACACCAAGGAUCAUAUGUUCUAAGAGAGCGAAAGAAAUUAUCACAUAUGUUGAGAUGAAACAUAUGCCUACCCUUUUGAUUUUAAGGCAUUGUCUUCAGGCCCCUUCUCAUAUCAGUUAAUUUUAAGGGCCCAAAUUUACAGUUUAUGACACAAAUAAAAUGAUAAUAGUCACGGGAAAAUAUGCUUUUUGUUAACCAAACCUUCAUUUAUAGUCUUUUUUUUUUUUAAUGUUUUAUAGUCUCGUUUGUUGUUAUGAGCUUUAACUUCCACUUUUAAUUAAUGUUGAAAACUUUUUUUCUAUGUAGAAUUUGGUUUUGUUAAUAACAAAACAUAUAAUGCUUUCCAUUAAAAGAUUUUAUAAUUUUUUCAUAAAAUAAUUUCAAAUUAUGAAAUAACAAAAACCCAGUUUUUAUUUGUAAACUUAUAUUAGAUUAUUAUUAUUAUACUAAUAUUACUAUAUUACUAUUAUUUGUUAUUAUUAUUGAAAAUAAGAUGAAUUAUUUUUGCCGUAGGCCCCGAUUGUUGUAAACACGGCACUGCACAUACGUUGAGAUGAAACUAGUUUAUAAAUCGUUUACGAAAAGUAAUUAUUUAUAGAUCAUUACCUUUACAUGCAAGCAUAAUCAUUUGAUCUUGCUUUAAUUCCAACUCCGUGAAAGACCAUAUCAGUGUAAGUAUACCGUGUAAAAUAAUGAUGGGAUAAGUAGUUUUUCGAUAAGUAGUUAGACAUUCUAGAAUAUGUGGUUAAAUUCUUCGUUACAGAUCCAAUUAGUUACUUAGAUGUAAUAGCAUAGCAUGUGCGUGUAUCGCAGUUGGGACCAUAUCCAUAACAAAUCGAUUGGGAAAAUAUGAAAUACUGAAGCUUACUACCUUCUCUAUACUAAAUUCGCAGAAUGAUUCUCAACUUUGUCAUUAGAAAAUCUUUUUAAUAAACAUUGGAUUAACUUAGACAAAUAAAUACGAGUCUGGUUAAUGUUUAGAGUGUUACAUAAGAGUAUUACAAAGUAUCAAUAUUGUUCAUUUGAGUUAAGCCAUUGAUCAUCCAUUCAUCGCAAAUCUUAGAAGACAAACACAGCCAGUAGCACACGCAGGGCAAACUUUUAGAGGGGUCAAUUUCAUCAAUCACAUAUAUUAUAGAGGUCAAUUAACUAGAACUUGCGGCAUUUAUCCAGUUUUUAAAGAAUUAAACAAGUAUAUCUUUUAUAAGAAAAUUCACCUAGGUCAACUGACCGGCCAACGAGCGGGCUCCGCCACUGAACACAACAGUGCUAUUAAUUUCGGAUUUUUGUUUACAAUGUCACAGUUAAGAUGUAGCUAACAUCAACGUGAGCCCGACAGUUAAAAAAUGAGGAAACUCGUUGAAUGGAUUGGCAAAUUUACUGUCGAUCUUGGAAGUCCUCUCGCCUCUAAAAGAUAGUCAUUUUUGUCUUCCGACACCUAGAGAAAGCCUUGAAAGUAGCAACCAAUUCGGUUUCCACAAAACGUGUCUGGUACAAUGAAAAUUACGAAAAAUUAAAGUGAAAGGAAAGUUGAGAACCAAUUCAGAAAAGUACCUGGCACAACAUUAACGCCCCGCACUAAGUUACCAUUUAAUUUACUUAUGGAUACGCCUUAUUAAUUUACUAUUUUUGUCAUUAUUUACUCCACGUUGAUCACAGUUACCAUUUAAUGAUUUACUCUUUUCUUUUUUGAAAAUGUUUAAUGAUUUACUCUUACUGCUUCCGUGCUGCUUUUUUUGCCAACGCGAUUGAGUAAAUUUCUUAUAUAUACACGCGAGCUUACACCACUUUCGCUUUCGAAAGUCAGUAGCAAUUAUCAAAAAAAAUAGACAUAUUAUUGAUUUCUUUUUUGUAAAAGAAACAUUUUUUGGCUAAAACAAAAGAAACAUUAUUGAUUUAUAGUGUUAAAAAUAUUACGUAAACAUCUUUUAUACAACCUUCUAUCAAGUUUCCAUAAAAUCUUUACCCAAAAAUAAUACGAUACGCACGAACAAAAUUUAACGUGAUAUAAAGUUAUAGUAGUGGGUUUAGUUGAAUCAACAGGUAGGAACUUCCUUUAGCAAAUCUUGUAAAACUUUGAUGCGGUAAAGAUACCAGUCCCAUCACAGGCUGGACGGAAAUAUCAUUUGGGUUCUUCAACAAUUUUCCUAUUUAUAAAGUGGAUAAUCACAUCUAUUAAGUUAGAAACUUUAUUCCAGCUAAACGUCUGCUUGUGUUCUAUAGAUUUUCACGAGUUCCUUUUUCAUGUGAUUAUCUUUAUUUUUAAAGCUAUAGAAUUUUAAGGACAUCUACUACUAUUAGAAAUUACAUUAAUAACAUAGUUAAUUCUAAAGUUAUAUUAAGAUAAUUCAAAAUCUCAAGAAUAUAUUGAUAGUAUAGCAUGCAGAUUAACCAAUCCCUUAAAACUUCGCUUUUUGGGUGCAAAUGUUAAAACUUAGUUACAAGCACUGUAACACCACCGAACCGUUUUAGACAUCCGUCAGUCAGUCGGGCAACAAUCAAACAAGAACAUGCACGAACGAUAUUUCUCUGCCAAGUCUGGAAGUGUUACGACGGAUUGAGAAUAGAUUUUUCAAGUCACAAACAUAAUCUGUAAUCCAGAAUAUCCAUUCAAAACUCGUUUCCUCUAAUCUUCGGCCUGAGGCUUUGCAACCCGUACCGAAUCAUAGAGUUGUGUUAGGUUGGACUAACCUAAUAUCAGAUUCAACACGUCACGACUAUAAAACAUACUUUAUUUCAUAUAUAUAUUUAACAUGAAGUUCAAAAGUCCAAAAUAUUAUACAUAGGCCGGGUCCAUGGACGCAACCAAAAGUAAAACAUACAUCUUGAAAACGAGUCUUUAGCAAAAGAUGUCCAAUCUACACCAGCUCCUACAGUUCCGCGAACGCUAUGGUCAUUUCUACUAGUCACCUGCAAAAGGAUGUGAGGAGUGAGUGAACUAGUUUCAUUCAGUGAACCAGGGUUCCGUAUCUAGCAUAUACAGCUACUUGUCAUUCUGUGUCGUCAUGCAUGCUUCCGGUCGCAUGCGUGGCGACACACGGGCGUCCACAUGCCCUGUUGCAUGCCUCCUUUACAUGCCAGGAGACACCACCACGACCACAUGGCUCUCAGCAUGUCUGGGGUUCAUGCGUCGCGACACACGGGCCACUGGAUGUCAGCUCGCAUGCGCUGUUCGCAGAUACGGCGACACCUCGUGCUUCUACUUGUCAAGCUGCAUGAAACACUCCUUCCCACGGAGACACGUCGUGCUUCGUAGACAAAUAGCUUGCUAAGUGAUUGACACCACGUUCUGAUCCCUUGCGUUGAGACACCUCGAGCUUCUCAGUCGAUUUGUGUGAUUUCGACUUUUCCGGCAUAUUUUUGGUCCGUGAUCGAUCCCGAAUAUUUUUCCGUUCCCAAUCUGAUGAGCUGAAUAUUUUUAAUAAACUCCAGACUAACUUUAACCUUGAGGAUAAAUAUUUCUCGAGCCUUCGGCUUUCCCGAAAAAUUCCAUAAUACAUAAAUUAGGGGUUUUUUUUUUUAAAGACGGGGUAUUACAAGCACUGCUGAAACUAGCUAAAAGUAUGAGCAUUAACAAAACAGAACUAGCUACAAGUAACUAGAUUUUAGUUAACAGUUUUUGUUGUAGAUCAACAAAUUUUACGUUUCAAGUAAAUGUAUUUAAUAAAACUUUAAAAUGUCAAUUUUACGUCUACGUCAACUUGUGUUCUAUAUAUUGAAGUUCUUGGUGUCAAGGUUUGGCUAUGGGUGACAAUUCCGAGCGGUUGGCGCCUUAAUCAAAUUAAUUUUUUAGCGUUAAACUAAAUAUACUGGUACAUUUAGAAAGAUAAAAAUCAUUUUCAUUUUGAAAAAAAACAAUCAAUUUUUUCUAUUUUUUUAUUUUAUUUUAAAUAGUUGGUGGUAUGUGACUAUGUGUGGCUUUGAGCUGUAUGUUAGCAGACCCUAGAAGACCUUUGGGAUUGUUUACCCGUACAUUGUCUAUAGAGUUUUCGGACCGUCUGCGAUUUGACCGUACAUUCUGAUUCUUUAGUUAUUAAUCAGAAUAAAUAUAACUAAAUCCACACACACUGCAGUCAAGUACAUGAUAAAUGGUCUUUAGUCCUAAAAUAUGUAUUUAUUCUUAACCUAAGAUCAAACUGACUAAUUUAUCAUUCAUUAAAGAGAAAAAUGGUAAUUAUAUCUCAUUCCUCAGAUCUAUAAAAUAAAUAAUUAUUUAAAUAAAUUAUUUCAAAAUUUUGAAAACAAAUUCAAAAUUUUAUUCUGAGAGAUGGUUUUUCCAAAAGUUUAGAAGAUCUUUACCAAUGUGUAUGAUAUAUUUCUGAAUAUGAAUUAAAUCUAUAAUUAGGAAAACAAUACUAAUAUAUAUAACAUCUUCCUAAAUUUUGGAAAAAAAGUGAUAAAUAUAUAUAAUAUCUUCAUAAGAUUUAGGAAAACUUUCAUAAAUAUAUAUUUAAAUAUACUUUCUUAAAUAUAUAUUUAUGAAUACUUUCGUAAAUGAAUGUAUAAUUAUGAAUAUCUUACUAAAUUUUAAUUACAUUAUAUUUACGAAGAUAUUCUUGAAUGUUUAUAACACUUUCUACAGUUUAUAAAAAUAUUCAUGUAUUCUUUCUAUAAUUUUGGAAAACCUUCAUAAAUAUGUAUCUAGUCUUCAUGAAUUUGAAUUAUAUUUUAAUUUAGAAAAAUAUUCAUAAAUAUGUAUAACAUUGUCCUGAAAGUUUUAAAAAUAUAUUAUUAAAUAUAUAUAACAUAUUCCUAAAAUUUAGGAAAUAUUUUAAAAAUGUUCUUUAUAAAGUUAUUCUUAAAUGUUUAUUUAUGAAAACCUUUUAUGCAUAUAUAUUUAUAAAGAUACCACAAAAUUUGAAUUAGAGGUAUAUAUAGGAGCACAUUUCUGAAUUGUUCCCACUGCAUAACAUAUGCCUAAAAUUUAAGAAUACAUUCAUUAAUAUGUAUAACAUAUUCAUAAAGGACAAAAUUAACAUGAUAAAUAAUUUAUAAAUGUUUAAGAAUUAUUUAUAAAAGUUUAUUAAAUCAAACCACCCCCUAAAUAUUAAACCCAUAACAAUCAUGCUAAAUAAUUAAAAUGCCCUAAGUUGGCUAUUAAUUUUCAAAAAUACAUUAGCAUUUGGGUUUAGGAUUUAGUGAUUAUUGUUUAGGGUUUUGUAUUUAGGAGGUGGGUUGGAUUUAUAAACGUCUAUAAAUAAUUUUUAAACAUUUAUAAAUAAUUUAAUAGGAAUUAUUAUUUUUUCAUCACAAGCUUAGUGUAUUUAUGAAACUGGUUAUCAUUUAAAGUUAAAUUUGAAAAGUGGUAGUCAACUUAUUGUAAAGCUAAUUGAUCAAAAUAAACUAAAUUGGGUAGCAAUUUUCAAAAAUACACUCAGAAAAAAUUACCUUAAUAAUACCUUUGCAAUAAUCACUAAACCAUAAACCCAAAUGUUAUGGUAUUUUUGAUUUAUUGUGUUUUUGAAAAGUGGUUAUCAACUUAACGUAUUUCAAUCAAUUUCUAAAUAUGUAUAAUAUCUUUCUAAAACUUUGGAAGAAAUUUCUAAAUAUUUAUAAUAUAUUAUAAAAUUUGGGAAAACUUUAUUAAUGUUGCAUAAAUGAAUAACAAAGUUUCUAAGUAUAUUUUCUACAAAAUAUUUAUUAAUAUUUCGAAAGAUGUCAUACACAUUUAGACAGACCUUUCUAAAUAAACAAGUGAUUCAUGAAGUUUAGUUACACAUUCAAGAAGGAUUUCCUAUAUUAGUAAAAAAAGUUAGAAAAUUUUAAGAGGAAAAUAUUUGUGCAAUAGAAAAUUUAUUUUUGAUUUUAAUAUUUUCAAAUUUUUAAUAUUUAGUAAAUAAUUAUGUAAGGUUAUAAUUAUCUUUCUACUCAUUAAUGAAUACUAAUUUUGAGAUUUUUGUCCUUGAUUGAUAGUUUUGAAAUAUAAACAUGUUUUAGUGAUAAUUAGGAGAAAUUUUUUUUUUUUUGUAAGCUAAUAAUUAGGAGAAUUGCCUAUAUAUAUAUAUAUAUAUAUACAUGUCCCUUUCUUUCUUUUUUUCUCGAACGACCUGUGUAUAUGCAUUUAGAACCUUUAUUUCCUAACGAUGGAAACCAUAGAAAUUGGAUUACCAUGUGGCUCGUGGAAGAUGAGCCACCAAUUAACACUACUUGUAUAUGCAAUAAUUUGAGGCGAAUUUAUGCGCCUAUGACGUUAUAUUUAGUUCAAUUUAUGAAUAUAUCAUCUAAAUCUGUAAUAUCAUUCCAUAAUUGUCAUACCACUUUACAAUAAUCUCUACACUAUUGACAUUCAACUUUAUUAAUACAUAAGUGAAAUUGCUGUUUCACCCACUAAUAUUGUUAUCAACUCAUACCACUGUUUCAGAAUUGCUUAAGAAGUUGUUUACCGCUAGUCACUAUUUCUUUGUCAUAAUGAAUUUCUAGGGAACUAGAAUAUAUUUGUGGUAGAGCAAAUAAUUAAACGUUCUAAGUGAUCGGCUAUGAGACAAUUUUAUUGGGUUAUACGUUUUAAACGAUUUUCCAUUGACAUAAUAAAACAACAAUUAUUAACUCCAGAAGAAGAUGGGACACUUGAGUUGAUAAAGGGCUGGAAGAUGUGAGAGACUGAGAGUACACAUAUGGAGUUGAUCAAAACAUUAUGAAGUAUCAGUCGAACACAAAUGAUGAUAUAGAGCGCUACUUGAAGACUCUUAAUAUCCGAUGAUUACAGUCUUGAUCCGUGAUGAAAUUUCGUUUAAUUUACAUAAGUGGAACGUUUGAUCCCAAAAAAGAUGUAUAUAAGUGGAACGAUCCAUAAUAAUCCAAAAUUUAGUGUAGAAAUGAUGUGUAUGUUGAAAGGAUUACUGUAACUGACUAUUUGUAUUGUUAAAAUGUAAUUGUACCCAAAACCUUCUAAUUAGCCAAAUAAUCUUGGUUACGUUUGCAACGGAUUGUUCUCAAUUAGUAAAGAUGGUUUCGGAACCAGAAGAAUGAUCAGCUUUUGCAAGCUAUAUAUUUAGAAGAUAUCAAGACCUUGAAAGGAAGUUUUUUUUCAGAUCAGAGAUCAUUUAUGUAUCAAGGACGUGAAACUCAAAGGCGAAUAGCCUAGCAUGCAGUGUCAGAAAAGCAACGUCUUUCGUUGUUCACAUGGAUACAGAUCUUUCGAUUUGGUUUACAGAGUCAGUAUUAGUUUGUAUAAGUUGAUGACACUAAAAAAAUCUUAGGAUGAUAUACAUUUUGAAAAUUAAUUUUAUAUAUGAUAAGGUUAGAGCAAGUAUACGAAAACAAAUUAUAAUAAUAUAAAAUUCUGAUUGGUGACUGUUUGAUAAAAACUGGAAAAAAAAAAUUCAUUUGAGAAGAAUACAAAAUAUUAAUUUUUGUUUUAUUGGUUCUUUAUCAAGUUUUGAGAGAGUUUUAUUUUUCAUUAGUUCAUCAAUAUAUAAUUAAAAGAAAAGAUGAAACUCAUAUAUCAAAACACCCAUACAUCAAAAACUUGACAAAAUCCUAACUUAAUUAGUAUAUAAUAUUUUGUGUGAAAAAGCAAUAUAUAAUUUGAAGAGCAUAAAUUUACCUUUUAAAAUUUUCGAGUACUGCAGUGAAUAGGAUGACAUCUACUUUCUGCAUCUUUUAAGAAAUAUUUCCAUUCCUUUUGUUAUUUGGAUAGGGUCAAGGACUCAAGGCCAUUUGAUCCCAUCUAAGGAAUAUUCUCUGCAGCUGAUACCAUUUACAAAGCAAGAUGCCGAUUGUUUUGGGGAAAAGAAAAUCUUUUUCGUAGUUUAUGUUUGCUAUUACCUCUAAAGUGGUGAUGUGUGCAUCAUCGGAAACAAUUGCCAUCCAAAGAGAAACUCCAAGGGCCAUCAUUGAUCUUUGUUUGUAAUCAUUUUUCUUACCCAUUUUGGCUCUCAUUUAAAUCGAGUUUGAAAGUAUAUCUUUAUUAUUGAUAGUUAUUAAUCCACUGAGUGAUUUAAAUAAAUUCCACACUAGACGACUUAGACGAAGUAGCUUACCCGUACUGAUGUUUUUGAUUGGAUAGGAGGGAUCACCUACACUGAACGAUGGAUCCCAAUGGUUGAAUAGGCAAUUUGCAAAUGAGAAAGAAAAAAAUUAGUUGCGUAAUUCAUGAAUGAGAACAAAAUUUUGAACAAUCAUGAAGCGUCGCCAAUUUACUCAUUACGGAAAUAGAUUAAUGCCGCCUAAUUCAUCCGGUUUGGGAACCAUGUGUGUCAAAUUCUUACUUUUAUCACAAAAUGUAAAUAUAACCAGUUCUUCCAUUUUAAGUAUGACUAAAACAAGCAUGAAACUUAUGCUUGCAUAUUCGUCCAUAGGUCAUAUUGGAUAUAGUAUAUUAUGGGGUUAACUGAUACGUUAGAUAUGACGAAGAAUAAUAAUAACGUCGUAACUAUUAUUAACAUAAAAUAAAACAGAAUUUUUCGUGACAUUAUAAAAACAAAGAUAGUAAAGUAGCAAGAAGAAACCAAAGAUAUUAUUUUAUUAAUCAACAAAGCAGAAAACAUUUUAUUGGUAUAUAAUCCUUAGUUCUUACUGUUUGUUUCUAUGUCGAAAGUGAAAAGUUAGCGAUUCUCCUCUUUUAGGGUUUAGGAGUCCAUCUUAUAGGCCAUUAUUUUCGAAAUCUAUGUUAGAUCUUUCUAUAUCUUGAAAUAUAAAAAAGUCUUAUGUUAUGCAGAGGUUUUCUAUUUUACUCGAAGGCUUGAAAUCUUUUAGCUGGAGAAGACAUCCUACUCUAGAAAGAAGGAUUUGCUUCCUGUAAUAAAAUCCCAACAAUGUACCUGUCAUGUCCCUGUUCCUGGAACUUGACAUGGGACAUAGACGUUUUAACAGAAACGGGACUGCUUUGGUUCAGAUCAUGAGAAUUGAUCAUGAACAGGCUGUAAUGAAGUGAAUGAUCAGGAUGGAUCAUGAGAAAACCAAAUCUAGGUCUGGAAAUAGACCAAGGGACUUAGUAGGAUUGAAUAAGAUGAAGAGAGCAAGCUGGACGAGUGAUGAGACAGCUGGACAAUGCGAGAAUGAAGCUCGGUCAGCUGGGCGAAGCUCGGACAAGCUCAGUGUAGCUCACAUCAAGUUUAGCCAGCUCAGCUAGCUGGACUACUAGCUCACUCAGCUGGGUCAGCUGGGAAUCAGCUCAACUUAGCUGGAUGGAGUGUUGGAAGCUCGGAUCAGUGUGACAGUUCUGGGCGGUUACCGGGCCGGUUGGUUGGCCAAGGAUGGCUAUGGCCCGGUGGGCUCUUCUGGUCAGGCCAUGGGCAUGGGCAAUCCGUGUGGGCUUGUUUUGGACAUGUCCAGGAGUGGUUUGACAGUUCCAGCACGUCUGGUAACUGCCAUAGGCGAAUGGGUGCAAUAUGUACCAUUGAUUAAAUCAAUGGACAGAAAUGAAACCGAAGGGAUGCAAUGGUUAGAAAAGUAACCACCCCUUCUCCUAUAUAAGGAAGGCAAGUCCGCGCCUUUGCAGGCACGCCAGGGCUUCCUUCUACACCCUGAAACACAAAGAAAACCUGAGAAAAGGAGAGAGAGAGUCGGAUUGCUCCAUCCAAUAUCAAGAGUGGUGUGAAGGCAGCAAAGAGGCAGUUUUGUGGGCAAUCACAAGGGGAGUUGAGAACGACUCUUUGAUGAUUAGUCAUCUCACCAUCCGUCUGAGUAUGCUCGGCAUGUUGGGCGAAGCUCGGACAAGCUCAGUGUAGCUCACAUCAAGUUUAGCCAGCUCAGCUAGCUGGACUACUAGCUCACUCAGCUGGGUCAGCUGGGAAUCAGCUCAACUUAGCUGGAUGGAGUGUUGGAAGCUCGGAUCAGUGUGACAGUUCUGGGCGGUUACCGGGCCGGUUGGUUGGCCAAGGAUGGCUAUGGCCCGGUGGGCUCUUCUGGUCAGGCCAUGGGCAUGGGCAAUCCGUGUGGGCUUGUUUUGGACAUGUCCAGGAGUGGUUUGACAGUUCCAGCACGUCUGGUAACUGCCAUAGGCGAAUGGGUGCAAUAUGUACCAUUGGACCUUUUUGGAUGGUUCGGACCAGGUAUUAAUAUGGUCAAGAAUAGUAACUCCCGUUGCAUGCACAUCUCCGGUGGCAGGUUGUAUGGAGUAAGAAAGACUGGCCACAAUGAAUAUUGUCUCCCUGACAUUCCGAACGGACUAAAUCCAUCUGUGCAUAAUCCGAGAUACACAUUCCGGAUAUUGCUAGCGAAAUCUGGAUGUACUUUGUUGAAAUGUUUCCAGGCUCUUGCAUCUGAUGGAUGAGUCAUCUCACCAUCCGUCUGAGUAUGCUCGGCAUGCCAUCUCAUCUUUCCAGCAGUCUGCUCUGAUUGGUACAAUCUUUUCAAUCUGUCUGUAAUUGGUAGGUACCACAUCCUUUGGUACGGUACCCUAUUACGUCUCCGUCCUUGCAGCUUGAAUCGUGGCUUCUUGUCCACCCCUUCUCCUAUAUAAGGAAGGCAAGUCCGCGCCUUUGCAGGCACGCCAGGGCUUCCUUCUACACCCUGAAACACAAAGAAAACCUGAGAAAAGGAGAGAGAGAGUCGGAUUGCUCCAUCCAAUAUCAAGAGUGGUGUGAAGGCAGCAAAGAGGCAGUUUUGUGGGCAAUCACAAGGGGAGUUGAGAACGACUCUUUGAUGAUUAGUCAUCUCACCAUCCGUCUGAGUAUGCUCGGCAUGUUAUCUCAUCUUUCCAGCAGUCUGCUCUGAUUGGUACAAUCUUUUCAAUCUGUCUGUAAUUGGUAGGUACCACAUCCUUUGGUACGGUACCCUAUUACGUCUCCGUCCUUGCAGCUUGAAUCGUGGCUUCUUGUAGAAUCGGCAUUCUUCUAACUUCUCAUCAUCUCCCUAGUAGAUCAUGCAGUUGUCGAUGCAAACAUCUAUCAUCUCCGAAGGCAACCCAAGACUAUAAACUAGUUUCUGAAUCUCAUAAUAAGAAUCAGCAGACACAUUGUCUUCCGGCAAAUACUCUUUAAACAAGUCUGUCCAUUCAUUCAUGCAACUUUCAGGUAGAUGGUGAUCAGUUUUAAUAUUCAUCAUUCUAGCAGCCAACGACAAUUUAGAGAGACCUUCUCUACAACCACUGUAAAGUGGCUGAUUCGCCGCGUUUAACAUUUCAUAAAACUUUUUUGCAUCUAUAUUAGGUUCUUCAUCUUCAUCAUGAGCUACGAAUGCAUCAGCUACCAUAUCAUGAACCCUAUCAUAAUCUACCAUCUCCUCCUGAUGGUAACUAUGUUCAUUAUGCAAAUGAUGAUCAACCGGUUCUUCCUGGAAAUUGCUAUUACUACUACUAGCUUCAUUCUGAUCAUAAUUAUAACCUUCUCCAUGUUGAAACCAGAUAUAGUAAUUUGGCGUGAAACCUCUAUUUAUUAAAUGCUUCCAAACAUUUUCACGGUUUGCCAAUUUCGAAUUGUUGCAUUUCCGAAAAGGACAGAACAUCUUACCACUUUCUUUGGCGAGCGGUGUCGAAUCUGCUUGAUGCAUAAAUGUCUCCAGCCCCGCAAGGUAUUCUUUCGUCACUCUCCCGUUAGCAUCUCUAUGCAUAUACAUCCACUUCCACAACUCGAAAAUAUUUCCUGAGCCCGCCAUUUUUUUUUUCACGGUUUUUUUUUGGUGUGUUUAAAAUGAUGUUCAAACUACCAUAUUUAUAGGAAACUUUCGAAUCUAGUAGUUGUAAUUUUCCUAGGAACUUACGACGAAAAUUAGUUAGGUGGCCGAAAAAAAUUCGUGUUACAACUUCAAAGUUGGUGGAUUCAAAAUUUCCUCGCUAAGUAGACGUAAAUUAUUUCCUCGUAAUGAACACGCUAAUUUUACGUGGAAUUUAUGAGAAAAGCGUAUUUCCUCGUAAAAGCCACGUCACUUUACACCGACUUUACGAUGAAACGGUUUCGUCGUUACUUUACGAGGAAAUAACGCUUUUUCCACGUAAUUUCCCCGUAAACUCGACGUAAUUUUUGGAGGAUUACUUUUCUUCGUUAAUUUUCCUCGCUAAGCUUGUGUUUUCUUGCAGUGAUCUUUCCAUCAUUUAUUGCAAGGUUUGGAUUUCCAAGAUAGCAGGGUUAUCCGUGGAAGUGUUUUUAUUUUCUCACAGAAUUUAUCUUGAUGAUUUGUCUCUGUAAGGCUUCAGAUGGACUUGUAAGUCAGUGUCGACCUUAGCAGCAAAGGAUAUGCUCACUUCCGGUCAUGUAAUCCUGGUUAUCCCCUUUAUUACAGCGCCAAACUAAUUAAAAUAAAAUAAAACAAGAUUUUUCGUGACACUAGAGAAACAAGAAGUGAAGCAGUAAAGUAGAGAAAAGAUCAUAGAUGGUAUUUUAUUGAUCAACAGAGCAUGAGUACGAAGUAAAGGCAUAUAAACAAGUUCUACGUGCCUACUUUUAUGUCAAAAGUGAAAAGUUUAUGAUCUCCCUCUUCAUGGUUUAGGAGUCCAUUUUAUAGGUUAUUAUUGUCGAAAUCUAAGUGAGAUCCUUCCAUAUCUUGAUAUAUGAAAUAUUUUUAUAAUUAUUAUUUUUUUCAUUUAUCUCGGAGAUAAGAGGAAAACAUGAUCUAAUUAAAAUCUAAAAAUUGUUUAGCGGGAGAACAAAAUCGGCAUCAUACUCUUUUUUUUGGUAAGAAUAUGGGAGAAUGACUCCCAAUUUAUUUAAAAAAGAAACCCAAACUUCAGCUUACAAGACGAGUUUGUCGUGGCCGCAACGGUCCAAUAACAUCCUCAUGAACUAAAACAGAGACUUUAAUCGGUGCCACAACAAAACUAUGAAAACCAAACGGAAGAGAAAAUGCAAGGUUAGCCAAACCAUCAGCUAAGCGGUUUGCUUCCCUAUACACAUGAACAAAUCGGACUAGCCAGUCUCUUGUCAAGAAGCCAUGGCACAAGCGUACCAGGAAAGACAGCGGAUGAGUAUCCCCAAUCCCUAUCGUAAAAAACUCCAUCACCAUCAUAGAAUCGACCUCUACCUCCAGUCUUCUCACCCCUUUCUCCCAAACAACCACUAAACCAUAGUACACACCCCAUAACUCCGCUAAUGGUGCCGUACAACUACCUAUAUUAAUCGUAAAACCACCACACCACUCGCCUUCUCCGUUUCGCAGUGCUCCCCCGGCAGCCGCCGGCCCCGAGUUCCCAUGUGAUGCCCCGUCCGUGUUCAGUUUCAUCCAUCCCACCAUUAUCUCAACCAUAUGUCUUUCCUUUAUGUGAGCAUUCUCUGCUCUAUUCGCUGGUAUAACUCCCUUAGCCAAAUCACGUAAGAACUUGACUCUAUCUCUCCACAGUCGGGUAUCACCAAAUACAUUUCCACAUCUCCUCUUCCAUCCCCAUCACAGAGUCAAAGCGAAUAUAGUAGCCCACGGAAUACCACCACCUGCAUUGUUGUCAUACUAAAUAGGAGGAUUUGCUUCUUAGAUUAAAUAUCUUCAACAUUUAUUUUCUGAAAUAAAUUGAACUGAAUGUAUAAUUCAAUUUCAGUAAACCUUAGCGGGUAUUGAGAUUAUUUUUUUAGAGACACUACCAUGAUGUAGAAUGUGGAAUCCGCUCUCAUGUUUUAUUUCUUUAUCUUUUCUAGGUUUUUGCAGUUUUGAUUGCCAUGUUUUUGACAUGACUGAAGUGUUUGGCUAGGGUGAAACUUUAGCCUGCUUUCCUUUGAGCUAUUAGUAGUACAUAUCUUUCUUCUUCCUUUUAACAAUAGAGUACAUAUCUAAAACAAUGAAAAAGAACCAGUUUUACAGAAAAUUAUAAACGCUGAAAAGAUGAAAUAUUUUGUAUCUUCAUAUUACAAGUAUAAUUAAAUAAUAUGUAUAUUUAUAAUGGUAAAAAAAUUAUGUGGAUGAAUAUAUAUAUGAAUUUUUGGUCUGUUAUUGUUUUCUUCUUUCAUCACUGGGAAUAAUAUUCAACAUAUAUUACAAAAGGCAUUUGAUUAUUUGAAAUCAGUAUUUGAAAGAUUUAAAACAUUGAAUAUUUAAAUCAAUAGAUAGAUAGAUUAUCUGAUUAAUCUCACUAUCUCAGUAUUAGUGCGUGGUGUAAAGAAAUCACUGAUAGAUAGUUGAAAAUUUAUGCAUUUUAUCACAUCCGGUAUCGAUUUCUACUCAUGCCAUUAUUAGUGGAUUAUAAUAUUGAUUAAUUCACAAAUUUAACCUUUUUUUUUAACACACACAUAUAUAACCUAACCCUUAUAUAUUAAAAGAUAAGAAUUUGCAAUAAACGUGUUUACACACAUAUUGACACGUGUCUGCUUCACAAUAAUUUCAGCUUUAGAAAACUAUCGUGUUGGCCUCACAGUCAUUUAACUCUUAUAUAUUAAAAAAGAAGCAUUUGCAAUAAACGUGUUCACACACACAUUGACACGUGUCAGCUUCACAAUAAUUUCAGCUUUAGAAAACUAACGUGUCAGCCUCACAGUCAUUUAGCAAUUAAUGUGUUCACACACAAAUUUUCUUAACUGUAUCGCAAACAAUUUAAUGUGUUCAUACACUAUUUUUUUAAUCAGCUCAUUUUUGUUUUCGUAUUUUAACUUUUGUAUUCAUUGAAGUUCUCUCCGGGAAAAAACUGAAUAAUAUCAUUGUUGAAAUAAAUAAAUUACAAAAUCAUUAAGAUUCACAUCAACUAAUAUACCGGAAUGAGAAUGUUUUUAGAAAUUGAUAGUUUCGUAUCUUGCCGAACUUGGCUAUGGUUGUGGUUUAUGCAUGCAAAAGCAACAAAUAAUUGUGAUUGGUUAUGAAUUAAGGAAACUGAGGUGAAAAAUUGCACACACAAAGUUGGAUCUUUAGUUUAGCCAAGUACGGUUUUUCAACAAAGUUUUCAUAUCAAACCAAGAAUUAGAAACAUAAUCAGGCUGUUAGAAAAAAUCAGAAAUCAUAAAAGCUUUAAAAGAAAAGAAAAUUCACGAAAUCAAUUGAAAAACAGAGUUCAUGUACCGAGUGAAGAGAUCACAUUAUUUUUACACAGCUCUAAUCCAUUUCACUCGAUUGUAUCGUGUUUUAUCAUAUUUACCAAGAACUUUUAUAAGAAAGUACAUGUUAUUUGUUAUAGACUACGUCGAUUUUUAGCAUGUCAAAAAAUAUUUAUAUUUAUGACACGCCCAACCAUUUUAUUGGUAUUCUUAAAGUAUGAUCUAAUAAUUAUGUAUGUAAAAUAAACCUAACAUAUUAGUUUUACAUUUAUUUAUUUUUCUUUCUAUUUGUAGAAGAAAGUAAGUAUCGGUAAAAUAUUUGGAUCCGAAUAACCGAAUCGAACUUGAUUUCAAAGUAAUACUAAACACAAAUUAAAACUGAUUUAGUACUCAAACGGAUCUAAAAUUUUAAUAUCCGGAUAACAAGACCCGAAUCCAAUCAAAACUGAAAUAUUUUGGAUACCGAAAAUAUCUAAAACACAAUUACAUACAUAAAUAUAUUAGUUAUUUUAAAUUUUAUAUCUAUUAGAUAUUCAUUAAUAUGAAAAUAUCUAAAAUAACAAAAUAUGUUCAAAACAUUGAAUAUAUUAUUUUUUUUCUCCAUCUAAAUAUGUAAAUUGAACUAUUUUUUAUGUAAAUUUAAGUAUUUAGUCUUAAAUUAUUCAAAAUUUUAUGUUUUAUAUUAUUUUUAUUUUCAGAUUUUGAGGAUUAAGUAUAUUUGGAUUUUUGUUAAAAAAUUUACAUAAUUAAAAUAGGUACCCGAACUCGAAUCUGAACCGAACCUGUAAUGAUUUGAACCAAAUCCAAUCCAAAUCAAAAUUUAUAAAUAUCCGAAUUAUAUUUAAAUUUUCUAACUCUAAAAAUCAAAAUCCAAAUAGAUCAACUGAAUCCGAACGGAUAUUUGAAUCAUCCGUUGAAAAAGUUAUACGACAAAUCUGUUAUUACAUGAUAAAAUAAAUAAUCUAAUCAAUUUUUUCGCUUUGCUCACGGCGCGGAUUAUUACCUAGGUAAAAGUAAAUCAGAUAGUCAAUAUGAGUUUUGUUCCAUACAAAAAGGUAUAGUGCUUCUUGUAAACUACAGUUCUUAUGAACUACACGUAUGGAUUACGGCAUACAUACAUCAAUCAAACAAAGAAUCAAAGUAAAAGAUAAGCUUAAUCAAGUUUUUCUGUUUUGUUGUUCCAUGUCACUGGUCAUGAAGAGACCACCUUUGCUUCCACGAGUUAUACCACCUCACAGGUCUCAUAACUAUUGAAUCACGGUUCACGACUCUAUACAAAUAUUUACCUAAGUUUGAGAAAAGUGAAGUAAAAUAGGACAGCCCGUUUGCCGUGGCGAGAUUCUUGAGUAUCCGUAAUUUAGCGCGUAAACUCGUGGGUAUCCGGUUUGAUUCCAAUCCGAACAAAUUCGAUGCACUUGCUUGUGGCCGCUUAGAUUCUUAGUCUUUGAUCCAGAUGCUUUAUCCGAUACAGUUUACUGGAAACUCCUGCCAAUGGAUAUGCACUCGCUCACCCUAGAAAAAUUGGAGCUUGGCCUCAAGACGAGUUGGCCUCGACACGGGUUGGCCUCGACACGGGCGCCAGCAAAAGAAGUUUUCAUCUUUAAAUCUAUUUUAUGAAAGCACGCGGCAAUAAUUAGUCAAUUUUAAAAUAAAACAUUUUACCAUAAGCUUGUUUAGUGUAGAGACGAGAGGGAAAGUGUAUAGUAUAAACUUCCCUUUUGACUCUUAGCUAUUGUUACACCUUUCAUUUUGACUCUCACCUAUCUAUAUACAUUACAAUUAUAAUUAGGGAGAAUUGGAAAAAAGAGACAUCUUCAACUUUUGUUUGUCUAAAUAAGACUUUUGAUAGUUUUGGUCAUUUUGGAAAUGUUUUACCCUUCUGUAAUGGAAAAAAUAGUAACAUAAGUUUUAAAAAUAUUAAAAAAUAUGUAAGCCAAUGGAAACAUUAGUAUGACUAUUUAUAUGUUUAAAUUUUAUUUUUUAAAAUAGUGGAAUCAUGUUUUAUUUUAUGUUCUAGCCCAGAUAUAAUAUUCAUUCUAGCCAUCUACUUAGUCUAGAAAUCGGAUAGUAAGUAUUACACACAGAUUUAUCCUAGGUAGAGAAUACAAAACUUUCUUCGAUAUUCUAUCCUAGCUAGAUUUCGUCAGACAAUAUUCUAACAAGAUAUCUUUAGUCUACUUAUAGCUUUAUUACAACUUCUAACCUCGACACUGUGAACUACCUUCUUUUUUAUAUGUGUCAUAACCUUUUCUGCCUUUUACGUUAUCAAAUGCGUAAGGAAGAAUAAACCUCCCACCCUCUCUUCAGCGCUCUGAUAUACGUACAUUACAUAUUAUAGGCAAAUCACGAAAAAUAUGGAAACUUCCAUAUUUCGAUAAAUAUCUUUCCUAAAUCUAAACUAAAUCUACCCUAAAUCUCUCUUAUCUAAACUAUAUCUUUCUCCUCCCAGUUAUUCGUCUCUCUCUCGUCUUAAUGGACCAUAUAUUUCUACUACAUCCUUUGGUUCCCAUACAACAAAAUACGAUAUGAUUAAAGAAGCAAUAUUGGUCGCCAUUAAGUUGACCCAAAAUUUUACCAAAAUAUGAUCUGCAAAGAGCCUGUCAGCAUUGAUACUAUGAAGUUGUUGAAGGCUUUGGUACAACAUUCUAUUGAAUUCAUAACUCCCCUCUGAUUCCAACAUAAAAGAUUCGUAAUGUCUAGUGACCUAGUAUAUGAUUAUUACAAUAUCUUAUAAUGAAUUUUAGGCUCAUACAAAGAAACCAAACAGACACACCAACAAUAAUAAAAGACACUGACCCGAAGACUAUUCAUACAGCUUAUUAAGACAAAACAAUAAAAAACUAUAUGUUCUCCAUAACCGUAUGUGCUCCAUAACCGUGACCCUAUAUGUUCCAAUUACAGUAGACUCGUUGAGGUAUGAUGAAAUCUCAUGUGAGUGAGGAAACCGUCUGUUGGGUGCCAUAAGUAUAUGCUAUGAAUCAAUCAACCUUCCAUGAUCUGAAGUCCAGAUAUAGACCUCACUUUUUGACAAAUUCCCAAAGUCUUGAAUAGAUGGAGAAGACCAUCUAGCUUGAUCUUUAUAGUCAUCUUUGUUAGUAGCACCAUGCCCCCUCUGUUCUACUAAUAUCCCUCUUUUUGAUCCUUUGUUUUGCCCCCAUAUAAAGGUCUUGUAAACAAAAACAGAGUCCAUGUAUUCCAAAAACUUCGUUCUUUUACUUAGGUUAUCAAGAAGUGUUGGUUUAAAAACAGAAUCCAUGUAUUCCAGGGGUUGCAGAAUAUAUAUAUAUAUAUCCCUUAAACCAUUUGAUCCCUAAAAACAAUUCCUUAGAUCAUAUUCCAAAUCAAAUCCUACUUUGCACAAGUAAAGAGACACAAACCUUGACAACCUUGACACAAACCAUUAUUAACCGUAUCCCACUUAUACUCCCAUAACUCAAUCCCCUGCAGAUAGCAUCCUGAAGAUAUGCCCUUAGUGGCUUGGAUCCCGUUGUGUAUAUCCCUUUGAAAAAAUUCGAUUGUCCCAAUUCUCCGAGUACCAAAAUCUCCCCUCAAGAGAUUUAGACUUCUCCUGAUAUUCAUCUCUAAAUCGGACUGUUCCCUGAACAUCCGUGUGAUGAGAAAUCCAUGUCAAAACCUCCUUAAACCCUUCUCGAUCACCAAAACGAGGUUAGAGACGAAGAAAGGAUUGACGGAACACCGAUGAAGAACAAAGAUUAUCUCCAAGAACCCUAAAUCUCCAUGGAUGGAGAGAAGAACAACGACGGCUAUGACAAGAUAAAAAAUGUAUUAGACUAACCCAAUACCCUUUAACCGUGUUUUUUUUUACCUUUUGUUUUUACUUUUUUUAAAAAAAAAUUAAUUAAUAUUAAAUCAAUUACGGAAAUUAUAAUUUAUACUUAAAUUCAUAUUAAUUGGUUAAUUAUAAGGGUAUUAUGGUAUUAACAAGAAAUAAAAUCCUAUUUUCCUAAAAAAAAUUCAAAAAGUCUUAUUGAGACAAAUCUAAGUUGAAAGUGUUAUAAAUCAAUUGAUGGAUGUCCAUAACCGGCCCGGUCUAUAAUCGACCCAACACCUAGAGAGAGAGAGAGAGGCGGCCACAUGUAAGAAAAGAGGAGAGAGAGACGGUUUGGAGAAAAGGAAACUCUAUUUCCUUUUCCUUGUAAUUGUUAUCAUUCCAUAUUAUGUAUUAGUAGUUUUCCUAAUCCUAGUUAGUUUAGGUUUUGGAUACUUUCCUCUUUCUAUAUCUUGUAAUCCUUAUAUAAAGGAACACACUUUAUGAUUAAUGAAGACAGAAACAUUCAGCUCUAAAUCUAUUGUUUCACAACACGUUAUCAGCACGAAACUCUUAAACACCCUGAGCCAAAAACCGAAAACUCCUAGACCCUAAUCCUAGCCGGCGACCUUAAACCCUAACCCGACGAACCCUAAUCUGUUCUUGCAAGCGUUCCAGCUCAUGUUCAUCCGAUCAGCCCCAGCCCUAAGGCAUUUCUGAUACUAGACGAACUCAGCCUCAGCUCCAUCUAUUCUCAGCUUGCAUCCCGGACAGCUACAGCUCCCAUUCGCGACCUGAUAAGAAAGAGGCAGCUCGCGCCUCAUCACGCGUCCCGUUCCAGCUCGUUCCAGCUCGCGUCCGAUUGUCCAGCUCGAGGUUCUCUUGGUGGUCCGGUUCUACAAUCUUCAAAACCUAAAGGUAAUAUGAAUUCUGAAAACAUGAAAUCGAAUUUGGUUGUUUUGUAAAGAUUGAAACCCUAAAAGCCUAAUCUCUAAAAUGAAAGCCAUAGGACAAUAGAUCAAAAUAAAUGAGUAAAUCGAAGCUCUAAAAGUUUGAUGAGUAAAUCGAAGCUCUAUAAGUUCGAUCCAAACCCUAAAAAUCAAGAUUUGAUCCAUUGAUCAAUUAAAAUCCGAACGUUGAAGGUUUUGAAUCUCAAAAUUAAACUCCUUUGAUCUAAGAUCAAAUCAAAUUUCCAAAACCCUAAUCUGAAAAAAUUAAUUAAUAUUAAAUCAAUUACGGAAAUUAUAAUUUAUACUUAAAUUCAUAUUAAUUGGUUAAUUAUAAGGGUAUUAUGGUAUUAACAAGAAAUAAAAUCCUAUUUUCCUAAAAAAAAUUCAAAAAGUCUUAUUGAGACAAAUCUAAGUUGAAAGUGUUAUAAAUCAAUUGAUGGAUGUCCAUAACCGGCCCGGUCUAUAAUCGACCCAACACCUAGAGAGAGAGAGAGAGGCGGCCACAUGUAAGAAAAGAGGAGAGAGAGACGGUUUGGAGAAAAGGAAACUCUAUUUCCUUUUCCUUGUAAUUGUUAUCAUUCCAUAUUAUGUAUUAGUAGUUUUCCUAAUCCUAGUUAGUUUAGGUUUUGGAUACUUUCCUCUUUCUAUAUCUUGUAAUCCUUAUAUAAAGGAACACACUUUAUGAUUAAUGAAGACAGAAACAUUCAGCUCUAAAUCUAUUGUUUCACAACACGUUAUCAGCACGAAACUCUUAAACACCCUGAGCCAAAAACCGAAAACUCCUAGACCCUAAUCCUAGCCGGCGACCUUAAACCCUAACCCGACGAACCCUAAUCUGUUCUUGCAAGCGUUCCAGCUCAUGUUCAUCCGAUCAGCCCCAGCCCUAAGGCAUUUCUGAUACUAGACGAACUCAGCCUCAGCUCCAUCUAUUCUCAGCUUGCAUCCCGGACAGCUACAGCUCCCAUUCGCGACCUGAUAAGAAAGAGGCAGCUCGCGCCUCAUCACGCGUCCCGUUCCAGCUCGUUCCAGCUCGCGUCCGAUUGUCCAGCUCGAGGUUCUCUUGGUGGUCCGGUUCUACAAUCUUCAAAACCUAAAGGUAAUAUGAAUUCUGAAAACAUGAAAUCGAAUUUGGUUGUUUUGUAAAGAUUGAAACCCUAAAAGCCUAAUCUCUAAAAUGAAAGCCAUAGGACAAUAGAUCAAAAUAAAUGAGUAAAUCGAAGCUCUAAAAGUUUGAUGAGUAAAUCGAAGCUCUAUAAGUUCGAUCCAAACCCUAAAAAUCAAGAUUUGAUCCAUUGAUCAAUUAAAAUCCGAACGUUGAAGGUUUUGAAUCUCAAAAUUAAACUCCUUUGAUCUAAGAUCAAAUCAAAUUUCCAAAACCCUAAUCUGAAAAAAAAAAAAAAAUCGAUUUGUAUUGUUUGGAAUUUGAACAUUGAUUGAUCACCUAGAACUAUUGAUUAGGAUUGUUUGAACUUGAAUCUGAAUUUGUUUUGUUUAAACUAAAACCCUAAAUAACCUAGUCUAGAUUAUUUUGAAAUCGAAUUUCGAUUGUGGCCGUGUGGCCUUGAUACAUUCUAGGUAAAUUGUUCUAGAUCAUAACCUGUGGCCGUGUGGUCUUGCUGCAUUCAUAUCUAAACCUAACCACAACUGAUUGAUUGCAAUUACACUUAGAACUUAUUCUAGGAUUGGCAUUGAAUCAAAUCAAAUAGCCAUGUGGCUUGUUCUUUUGCUUGGCCGAGUGUUUGUGUGUUUUGAUUGCAUAAUGUAUGAACUGAUAGAAACCAUGUUAGGAUUGCAAUUACACCACAAAAUAAAUGCAUAAGAGUGAACCGAAUGCAUCCAUAGCCGUGUGGCUUAACUUGGCAGUGCGGCUUACUCAUUGGCCGUAAGGCAUAGAUCUUGGCCGUGUGGCAUUGUUUGAUUGUUUGAACCUAAAACCCUAAUCGUUUAAACUUAAAACUAUUACUAAAAGAUCUAAAAUAUUAAUCUAUGAUUUCAGAUGUCGAAAAUCAAUAACUUGGAUUUUGCUGCCAUGAAUCUCUCUGGAGACAAUUACCUUCAGUGGGCACUUGAUGCUAAGAUCAUCUUGAAAUCCAAGGGUCUCGGUGAAUGUAUCACCGAGAACAGUAAUCCUAACGAGAAAGAUCGUUACAGAGACAUCAUGAUCAUUCGUCAUCAUCUAGUUGAGAGUCUCAAGGAUCAAUAUCUAACCAUUGAGGAUCCACUAGAUCUUGGGAACGAAUUGAAAUCGAGAUAUGAUCACCAGAGAACGGUGAUCUUACCUAAGGCUCGAUCUGAUUGGAGAGAUCUAAGAAUCCAAGACUAUAAGUCUGUGGACGAGUACAACUCGGCCAUGUUUAAGAUCGUUUCAAAGUUGAAACUGUGUGGUGAAAGUAUUACGGAUGAGGAUACUUUGAGAAAGGUUUUAAGACCUAUGCUGAUCUUAUCUCUUGUCUAUUGCUUGCUGAGCAGAAUAAUGAAUUACUAAUGAGAAACAGUGAGAUGAGACCUGUUGGCUCAGCAGCACCACCUGAAGCACACACCACUGAGGACAAUAAAGAGUCCCAUUAUGUCCAAGGAAACGACUAUCAUGGCCGUGGUCGAGGAAGUAGAAACGGACGAGGCUGUGGCCGAAGUUCCUUUGGCCGCGGACGAGGAAAUCAAAAUGGACGAGAUCAUGGACGUGAUCGUGGCUCAUUUGGAAGAGGCCAUGGUCGCGGCCGUGGAUCUUCGUUCAAACCUCAGCACUCGACCAACUCAAGUAAAUCAGUGUGCCAUAGAUGUGGUAUAGGAAAUCAUUGGGCUAAGACUUGUAGGACUCCUAAGCAUCUUGUUGAUCUCUAUCAAGAGAGUUUGAAAGGGAAGAAUCAUGAAGCCCAUAUGGUUUAUCAAGACAAUGAAAAAGACUUCGAUCAUGACAAGGAAGAUCUUAUGGAUUAUGAAACUUCAGAUUGUCUCAAAGACUGAAGUGUGAUUUCGACAUUUGCAAUCUAAAUUCUAUGUUUUGGUGUUUUUCAUUUCCAUGUUGUCAUUUCUAUGAACUUGAAAACUUAAUAAGAAAUGAAAUGACUUUAUAAAUGAAGUAUCUAAGUAGCAUCCUUUUGAAUCUUGUUUAGAAAUGAACGAAAAACAAGGAUGUACUCGUUGUGGACAGUGGGUCAAGCCACAAGAUUUUAAAAGAUAAAAGAUACUUCAUAAACCUAACUCUGAAAAACGCCACCAUUUCCACCAUUGUGGGUAUUGCUAGUCUCAUAGAGGGUCACGGCCAGGCUAACAUCCUGUUGCCUAUGGGUACACAUCUUGAGAUAUCAGAUGCCUUGUAUUCACCCAAUUCUAAGAGAAGUCAAUUAAGCUUUAAAGACAUUCGUAUGAAUGGAUUUCAUAUUGAAACCAAGGGCGAAGGAAACAAAGAAUCUCUUCAAAUCUUUGAAAUCGUCCAUGACAAUAAGAAAGUCUUAGAAUCCAUACCCGCACUAUCUACUGGUCUUUACCAUACUAAAGUCAGUAUGAUCGAGGCCAAUGCUACUUUUAAUAAAGAGGCAAUCGACAAUUUCACUCUAUGGCAUGACCGGCUUGGCCAUCCCGGUUCGACCAUGAUGCGUAAACUGAUCAUGAACUCAAACGGCCAUUCCCUUAAAGAGAAACGAAUUGUCCCUAAGCACCUAUCGUGUGUUGCUUGUUCCCAUGGGAAACUCAUUUCUAGGCCAUCACCAGUUAAAGUCACUAAAGAGACUAUAAACUUUCUGGAAAGAAUUCAAGGAGACAUCUGUGGACCAAUUCACCCACUUUGUGAGACAUUUCGAUAUUUCAUGGUCCUCAUUGAUGCGUCCACUAGAUGGUCGCAUGUUUGUCUCCUGUCGACCAGAAACUUGGCAUUAGCCAGGUUGCUUGCUCAGAUAAUUCGAUUACGAGCUCAUUUUCCAGAUUUUCCUUUAAAGACUAUACGUCUUGAUAAUGCUGGUGAGUUCACUUCCCAAGCGUUUAAUGAUUACUGUAUGUCCAUGGGGGUAAGUGUGGAACACUCCGUGGCACAUGUACAUACACAGAACGGCUUGGCCGAAUCAUUUAUAAAACGCAUACAACUCAUAGCUCGACCAUUACUCAUGAGGUCGAGACUUCCGGUCUCAGCGUGGGGACAUCCGGUCCUUCAUGCUGCCGAGCUCAUACGCAUCAGGCCAUCAAGUGAAUCUUGGCCAUCCCGGUUCGACCAUGAUGCGUAAACUGAUCAUGAACUCAAACGGCCAUUCCCUUAAAGAGAAACGAAUUGUCCCUAAGCACCUAUCGUGUGUUGCUUGUUCCCAUGGGAAACUCAUUUCUAGGCCAUCACCAGUUAAAGUCACUAAAGAGACUAUAAACUUUCUGGAAAGAAUUCAAGGAGACAUCUGUGGACCAAUUCACCCACUUUGUGAGACAUUUCGAUAUUUCAUGGUCCUCAUUGAUGCGUCCACUAGAUGGUCGCAUGUUUGUCUCCUGUCGACCAGAAACUUGGCAUUAGCCAGGUUGCUUGCUCAGAUAAUUCGAUUACGAGCUCAUUUUCCAGAUUUUCCUUUAAAGACUAUACGUCUUGAUAAUGCUGGUGAGUUCACUUCCCAAGCGUUUUCAGAUUCCUUUGUUGACCCGAAUAGAGUGACAAAGUCAUAUAUACCAGCUGCUAAUGCACCAAUAAGAAUUGAUGUUCAAGAGGGACACAAUCAAGUUCCUACAGAGUCUAGCCAACGUGUGAAACGUGGUAGACCAAUAGGUUCCAAAGAUAAGAACCCUCGGAAAAUAAUGAAAGGUGCAACCGAGGUUCAUAAGACACCAGACACGGCCGCGCCCGAUCAAGCCCGUGAUGUGGCCGCGUCCGACCCGGCUUUAGACAUGGCCGGACCUGAUGCCACUGAUGUGGCCGGCCCUGAUGUACCAAAUAAUGUUGCUUGGGACGCCUUGCUUUAUGGUACUGAUGGGAUAGAUAAUAAUGAGAUCUCAAUAAAUUAUGUCUUGUCCGGGAAACAGUGGAACAGAAAACAUGUCGACAUGGAUGAUUUAUUUUCUUAUGAAGUAGCACUUGAACUUAUGGAUAAUGAGGAUCAAGAACCCACGUCUAUAUAUGCAUGCAUGCAAAGAUCAGAUUGGCUUAAAUGGAAAGAAGCCAUAAACGUGGAGUUAGAAUCACUGAGAAAAAGAGGUGUGUUUGGUCCAAUAAUCCGAACACCUCAUGAUAAUAAACCAGUGGGAUACAAAUGGGUCUUUGUGAGAAAGAUAAAUGAGAAAGGAGAAGUUGUGAGAUACAAAGCCCGACUUGUUGCACAAGGAUUCUCACAGAGACCAGGAAUAGAUUAUGAGGAGACAUACUCCCCUGUGGUGGAUGCUACGACCUUCAGAUUUCUAAUAAGUCUGGCCGUGAGAGAGGGUCUGAAUUUACGGUUAAUGGAUAUUGUAACCGCAUACCUUUAUGGUCCACUGGAUAAUGAAAUCUAUAUGAAAGUCCCAUAGGGUAUUGAAUUCAAAAACAAAGAGAGUUCUCGAGAACAACAUUGUAUUAAGUUGAAUAAAUCUCUUUAUGGACUGAAACAAUCUGGACGGAUGUGGUACAAUAGACUCAGUGAGUACCUAGUAAAAGAGGGAUAUAGAAAUGACUCUAUCAGUCCAUGUAUUUUCAUUAAGAAAUUCGAAAAUCAAGGGUUCGUGAUCAUAGCGGUAUAUGUUGAUGAUCUGAACAUCCUUGGAACCUCUGAAGAGAUUUCCCAAACGGUUGAAUACCUUAAGAAAGAAUUUGAGAUGAAAGAUCUCAGGAAAACAAAAUUCUGUUUGGGAUUACAACUUGAGUACAUAAAUGAUGAGAUCCUUGUGCAUCAGAAGGCAUACACAGAGAAAGUACUUAAGAGGUUUAAUAUGGCUGAUUGCCAUCCACUGACCAGUCCCAUGGUCGUGAGAUCCCUUGGCCUGGACAUGAUCCCUUUCGUCCCAAGAUGGACGAUGAGGAUGUCCUUGGUCCUGAAAUGCCUUAUCUCAGUGCCAUAGGAGCUUUAAUGUACUUGGCAACUCGCACACGGCCUGAUAUAGCCUUUGCCGUGAAUCUACUGUCCAGGUUCAGCUCAUGUCCGACCCUAAGGCACUGGAACGGGAUCAAACAUGUUAUUCGUUACCUGCAAGGAACGAAGGACUUGGGUUUGUUUUAUACUAACCAUAAUAAGGAUGGUUUAGUUGGCUCUGUUGAUGCUGGUUAUCUAUCAGAUCCACAUCAAGCUCGAUCACAAACAUGAUAUGUCUUUACACAUGGAGGUACGGCCAUAUCAUGGCGUUCCAUGAAAUAGACCAUCGCGGCCACAUCAUCCAAUCAUUCGGAAAUACUAGCCAUUCAUGAGGCCAGCCGCGAGGUCGUUUGGUUGAGGUCGAUGACCCAACAUAUCAGAUCAGAUUGUGGGAUGGUCGAGUGCAAAGAGCCGACUGUUAUACAGGUUAUCAGCACGAUAGUUUCAAAACUCUCUGAGCCAAAAUCGCAAAACCCUUAAACCCUAAACUAGCCGGCGAUCCAUCUAACCCUAAUCUGAUCGCACCUAAACCCUAACCCGAUCAUGUAACUCUCAUAAAACUGUAGUGUUAUUGUGCAAAUCCUACAUAAAGAGAAAAAAGGAAAUUCAUCUUCUUGGGUUGUUGGUUUAUAUUGUACCUAAACCCAUUGUGUUCCUUUUUUGUAACUGAAAUUUUCAAUUUGGAGUAUAUUUCACCUUUUGCCACCUUCAAGGCUUCAUUAUUACUACUUCAUUGUUUUGGAUCUUUCAGUCAUAUCUCACACAAGAAGAAUUGUAUUGUUAUUUGUUUCAAAAUAAAACAUAAAAUGUUAUAAUUAAUCUAGAAGAAUAAUUAUUUUUGAUGGUUUUCUUUUUUUUGUCAAGUGUAUUAGAAAUUUAGAACCGAGUUGAGUUAUACAUGUAAUUAAUAAAUACUUUUUAAAAUUCCAAAAAUGCAUUAUGUUACCUUACUCGUAGUUAUAAAUAAGCCUCUUUAGCUAUUACAUCGGCUUCACGUACAAUUUUCCUCACAAAUACAAAAGCUAAAAUCAGGAUGAGCUAGGCUGAUACUAUCUUUGGUGAGUAUAGCUACAGACUGGUUCUUUCAACCGUAAGAUAUAUCCUGAUGAAGAAAUUGUCUCCUACAACAGAUCAAACACACACAAGUUUAGUACAUUAAUUCUUCACGAGCUCCUGAUCUGCAGAUCUGAAUUUAAUAUUCGGAUUAUAAAACCUAUAACUAGUGUCUUAUUAAUAACGUUAGUCAGGUGUAGACCACCAUCAGUUCAGGACGCAAUCUGAUUGUAAAGCUGAUUUAUUGUUGCAAUAUAGUUUUCACAUUACAAAAAAAAAAGCACAAAAUGAUGAAUAUACACUUUUAUGUUUAGAGCAAUAAAAAUAAAUAAAAUAUGCAGAUUAAAAUUCUAAUAAAGAGAAAGAGAGAGAGUCCGGGCGGGGUAAACCCGGAAACCCGAAGAGUAACGCGGGUGGGCCUUAUCUUCAUCUUCCUCACCACACACACAACAAACACGCACACUCGUGGAUUUCAAACUUUGAGAGUAAUCUCAUCGGGACCUUUAUGAUCUCAUCGAACAUGCUUCUCCAUACGCUAUCGUCAUCGUCUCCACCCAUUCACCGCCUCUACCUCCACCAUUCUCAGAUUCUCCCUUCUUCUUCCUCUGUGUCUCUCAAGUUCCAUCCCAAAACGAUUUCUUUACAGGUAAACACUCCAACUUUCUCUCAAAGAAUCUGACUUUAUUGCAAUAUUAGAGAAUUCAAUUGGCUAAUCUUCCUCCAUGUUCUUUAAACGUGUGGAUGAAGGCAGAUACAUGGAAGGACUUUAGCUAUACGAUCUGCAGAACUUGCUGCUAGAGGGCUACCUUCUUUGAAGAAGCUGCCAAGCAAAGGAUCUACCUUUCUGCUGGGACAGAGCUUGUUGAUGGUCUCUGCUUAUCCAAACAUGGCAUCAGCGUCAGAGAGCGUGAAGCAUGAACCGGUUUACGAAGUUGGAGAGUUGUUUGAAUUAGGUAUUCAGCUUUCUUACUUGCUGUUGCUACUGGGUUUGCUCGGAGUUGGUACUUUCUAUGUGAUUCGUCAAGUACUUGUCCGCAGAGAGCUUGACCUCUCUGCCAAAGAGCUACAGGUAUUGAUUCUGAUCCCAAGUAUUAACCUUUGUGUUAGAAAUAGAAAAUUAGAUGAAAGGCCAGUAGAGAACUGAUGAAAUAAUAUUUGAUGUCUCUGAAUGUUUUUAGCAAACCAAUGUUAUUAGACUGAUUCAAGUAAGUAGCCAUGCUUAGACAGACUUUAAAACAUCUGAUCAAAACUGUUUUAUAUGGUUUUUGUGUUUGUCUGAAUAAUCUGAAGGAGCAAGUUAGGAGCGGGGAUGCAAGUGCAACAGAGCUCUUUGAGCUGGGUGCAGUGAUGCUGAGACGCAAAUUUUAUCCUGCAGCCAACAAGUUCUUGCUUCAAGCUAUCCAGAAAUGGGACGGUGACGAUCAAGAUCUUGCUCAGGUAAUAAUACAAAUUAAUUUACACACACAAGCACACACUGUUUCCAUCAAGUACAAAUGAUGAGUACAAUUCUCGAGACAGGUCUAUAACGCUCUUGGAGUGAGUUAUGUCCGAGAGGACAAACUGGACAAAGGAAUCGCUCAGUUUGAAAUGGCGGUGAAAAUUCAGCCUGGUUAUGUAACGGCUUGGAACAACCUUGGAGAUGCUUAUGAGAAGAAGAAGGAGCUGCCUUUGGCGUUGAAAGCGUUUGAAGAGGUUUUGUUGUUUGAUCCNNNNNNNNNNNNNNNNNNNNNNNNNNNNNNNNNNNNNNNNNNNNNNNNNNNNNNNNNNNNNNNNNNNNNNNNNNNNNNNNNNNNNNNNNNNNNNNNNNNNNNNNNNNNNNNNNNNNNNNNNNNNNNNNNNNNNNNNNNNNNNNNNNNNNNNNNNNNNNNNNNNNNNNNNNNNNNNNNNNNNNNNNNNNNNNNNNNNNNNNNNNNNNNNNNNNNNNNNNNNNNNNNNNNNNNNNNNNNNNNNNNNNNNNNNNNNNNNNNNNNNNNNNNNNNNNNNNNNNNNNNNNNNNNNNNNNNNNNNNNNNNNNNNNNNNNNNNNNNNNNNNNNNNNNNNNNNNNNNNNNNNNNNNNNNNNNNNNNNNNNNNNNNNNNNNNNNNNNNNNNNNNNNNNNNNNNNNNNNNNNNNNNNNNNNNNNNNNNNNNNNNNNNNNNNNNNNNNNNNNNNNNNNNNNNNNNNNNNNNNNNNNNNNNNNNNNNNNNNNNNNNNNNNNNNNNNNNNNNNNNNNNNNNNNNNNNNNNNNNNNNNNNNNNNNNNNNNNNNNNNNNNNNNNNNNNNNNNNNNNNNNNNNNNNNNNNNNNNNNNNNNNNNNNNNNNNNNNNNNNNNNNNNNNNNNNNNNNNNNNNNNNNNNNNNNNNNNNNNNNNNNNNNNNNNNNNNNNNNNNNNNNNNNNNNNNNNNNNNNNNNNNNNNNNNNNNNNNNNNNNNNNNNNNNNNNNNNNNNNNNNNNNNNNNNNNNNNNNNNNNNNNNNNNNNNNNNNNNNNNNNNNNNNNNNNNNNNNNNNNNNNNNNNNNNNNNNNNNNNNNNNNNNNNNNNNNNNNNNNNNNNNNNNNNNNNNNNNNNNNNNNNNNNNNNNNNNNNNNNNNNNNNNNNNNNNNNNNNNNNNNNNNNNNNNNNNNNNNNNNNNNNNNNNNNNNNNNNNNNNNNNNNNNNNNNNNNNNNNNNNNNNNNNNNNNNNNNNNNNNNNNNNNNNNNNNNNNNNNNNNNNNNNNNNNNNNNNNNNNNNNNNNNNNNNNNNNNNNNNNNNNNNNNNNNNNNNNNNNNNNNNNNNNNNNNNNNNNNNNNNNNNNNNNNNNNNNNNNNNNNNNNNNNNNNNNNNNNNNNNNNNNNNNNNNNNNNNNNNNNNNNNNNNNNNNNNNNNNNNNNNNNNNNNNNNNNNNNNNNNNNNNNNNNNNNNNNNNNNNNNNNNNNNNNNNNNNNNNNNNNNNNNNNNNNNNNNNNNNNNNNNNNNNNNNNNNNNNNNNNNNNNNNNNNNNNNNNNNNNNNNNNNNNNNNNNNNNNNNNNNNNNNNNNNNNNNNNNNNNNNNNNNNNNNNNNNNNNNNNNNNNNNNNNNNNNNNNNNNNNNNNNNNNNNNNNNNNNNNNNNNNNNNNNNNNNNNNNNNNNNNNNNNNNNNNNNNNNNNNNNNNNNNNNNNNNNNNNNNNNNNNNNNNNNNNNNNNNNNNNNNNNNNNNNNNNNNNNNNNNNNNNNNNNNNNNNNNNNNNNNNNNNNNNNNNNNNNNNNNNNNNNNNNNNNNNNNNNNNNNNNNNNNNNNNNNNNNNNNNNNNNNNNNNNNNNNNNNNNNNNNNNNNNNNNNNNNNNNNNNNNNNNNNNNNNNNNNNNNNNNNNNNNNNNNNNNNNNNNNNNNNNNNNNNNNNNNNNNNNNNNNNNNNNNNNNNNNNNNNNNNNNNNNNNNNNNNNNNNNNNNNNNNNNNNNNNNNNNNNNNNNNNNNNNNNNNNNNNNNNNNNNNNNNNNNNNNNNNNNNNNNNNNNNNNNNNNNNNNNNNNNNNNNNNNNNNNNNNNNNNNNNNNNNNNNNNNNNNNNNNNNNNNNNNNNNNNNNNNNNNNNNNNNNNNNNNNNNNNNNNNNNNNNNNNNNNNNNNNNNNNNNNNNNNNNNNNNNNNNNNNNNNNNNNNNNNNNNNNNNNNNNNNNNNNNNNNNNNNNNNNNNNNNNNNNNNNNNNNNNNNNNNNNNNNNNNNNNNNNNNNNNNNNNNNNNNNNNNNNNNNNNNNNNNNNNGAUAUAUGUUGGAUUUGAUUCCCCCACGAUUUUAAAGUAUCUUGAGCCAACUACGGGUAAUUUGUUUAAGGCCAGAUACGCGGAUUGUCAUUUUAAUGAAUCCGAACAUCCAACAUUAGGGGGAGAUAGCAGUAAAAUGGUAAAAGAAAUUUCAUGGAAUCAAACAUCCAUUUCUUGGCAAGAUCCUUGAACUCAAGAAUGUGAUCUAGAAGUUCAAAAGAUCAUUCAUUUACAAAAGCUAGCUAAUCAAUUGUCAGAUUCCUUUGUUGACCCGAAUAGAGUGACAAAGUCAUAUAUACCAGCUGCUAAUGCACCAAUAAGAAUUGAUGUUCAAGAGGGACACAAUCAAGUUCCUACAGAGUCUAGCCAACGUGUGAAACGUGGUAGACCAAUAGGUUCCAAAGAUAAGAACCCUCGGAAAAUAAUGAAAGGUGCAACCGAGGUUCAUAAGACACCAGACACGGCCGCGCCCGAUCAAGCCCGUGAUGUGGCCGCGUCCGACCCGGCUUUAGACAUGGCCGGACCUGAUGCCACUGAUGUGGCCGGCCCUGAUGUACCAAAUAAUGUUGCUUGGGACGCCUUGCUUUAUGGUACUGAUGGGAUAGAUAAUAAUGAGAUCUCAAUAAAUUAUGUCAUGUCUGGAAGGAAGUGGAACAGAAAACAUGUCGACAUGGAUGAUUUAUUUUCUUAUGAAGUAGCACUUGAACUUAUGGAUAAUGAGGAUCAAGAACCCACGUCUAUAUAUGCAUGCAUGCAAAGAUCAGAUUGGCUUAAAUGGAAAGAAGCCAUAAACGUGGAGUUAGAAUCACUGAGAAAAAGAGGUGUGUUUGGUCCAAUAAUCCGAACACCUCAUGAUAAUAAACCAGUGGGAUACAAAUGGGUCUUUGUGAGAAAGAUAAAUGAGAAAGGAGAAGUUGUGAGAUACAAAGCACGAAUUGUUGCACAAGGAUUCUCACAGAGACCAGGAAUAGAUUAUGAGGAGACAUACUCCCCUGUGGUGGAUGCUACGACCUUCAGAUUUCUAAUAAGUCUGGCCGUGAGAGAGGGUCUGAAUUUACGGUUAAUGGAUAUUGUAACCGCAUACCUUUAUGGUCCACUGGAUAAUGAAAUCUAUAUGAAAGUCCCAUAGGGUAUUGAAUUCAAAAACAAAGAGAGUUCUCGAGAACAACAUUGUAUUAAGUUGAAUAAAUCUCUUUAUGGACUGAAACAAUCUGGACGGAUGUGGUACAAUAGACUCAGUGAGUACCUAGUAAAAGAGGGAUAUAGAAAUGACUCUAUCAGUCCAUGUAUUUUCAUUAAGAAAUUCGAAAAUCAAGGGUUCGUGAUCAUAGCGGUAUAUGUUGAUGAUCUGAACAUCCUUGGAACCUCUGAAGAGAUUUCCCAAACGGCUGAAUACCUUAAGAAAGAAUUUGAGAGGAAAGAUCUCAGGAAGACAAAAUUCUGUUUGGGAUUACAACUUGAGUACAUAAAUGAUGAGAUCCUUGUGCAUCAGAAGGCAUACACAGAGAAAGUACUUAAGAGGUUUAAUAUGGCUGAUUGCCAUCCACUGACCAGUCCCAUGGUCGUGAGAUCCCUUGGCCUGGACAUGAUCCCUUUCGUCCCAAGAUGGACGAUGAGGAUGUCCUUGGUCCUGAAAUGCCUUAUCUCAGUGCCAUAGGAGCUUUAAUGUACUUGGCAACUCGCACACGGCCUGAUAUAGCCUUUGCCGUGAAUCUACUGUCCAGGUUCAGCUCAUGUCCGACCCUAAGGCACUGGAACGGGAUCAAACAUGUUAUUCGUUACCUGCAAGGAACGAAGGACUUGGGUUUGUUUUAUACUAACCAUAAUAAGGAUGGUUUAGUUGGCUCUGUUGAUGCUGGUUAUCUAUCAGAUCCACAUCAAGCUCGAUCACAAACAUGAUAUGUCUUUACACAUGGAGGUACGGCCAUAUCAUGGCGUUCCAUGAAAUAGACCAUCGCGGCCACAUCAUCCAAUCAUUCGGAAAUACUAGCCAUUCAUGAGGCCAGCCGCGAGGUCGUUUGGUUGAGGUCGAUGACCCAACAUAUUCGAUCAGAUUGUGGGAUGGUCGAGUGCAAAGAGCCAACCGUUAUCUUCGAGGACAAUGCGGCUUGCAUUGCUCAGCUCAAAGACGGUUAUAUCAAAGGGGACAGAACAAAACAUAUUUUGCCUAAGUUCUUCUUUACCCACGAUUUGCAAACGACCGGAGAGGUCAAAGUGGUACAAGUACGGUCCAGUGAAAAUUCGGCCGACUUGUUUACUAAAGCACUUCCUACCUGCACGUUCAGGAAGCUCACGCAUCAGAUUGGGAUGCGUAGGCUGAAAGACCUCCACUGAGGUUCGCAUCAGGGGGAGUAGUACAUGUUGUACUCUUUUUCCUUCAUCAUGGUUUUGUCCCACUGGGUUUUCCUGAUAAGGUUUUAAUGAGGCAACAUUAAGCGUAUUACAAUCCAUGUAUGGUUAUGGUAUCCAAGGGGGAGUGUUAUAAAUCAAUUGAUGGAUGUCCAUAACCGGUCCGGUCUAUAACCGGCCCAACACCUAGAGAGAGAGGGAGGCAGCCGCAUGUAAGAGAAGAGGAGAGAGAGACGGUUUGGAGAAAAUGAAACUUUAUUUCAUUUUCCUUGUAAUUGUUAUCUUUCCAUAUUAUGUAUUAAUAGUUUUCUUAAUCUUAGUUAGUUUAGGUUUUGGAUACUUUCCUUUUUCUAUAUCUUGUAAUCCUUAUAUAAAGGAACACACUUUAUGAUUAAUGAAAACAGAAACAUUCAGCUCUAAAUCUAUUGUUUAACAACAGAAAGUGUCUUUUUUUCCUAAUUUUCUCUAAUAAUUACUUCCCUUUAGAGCGAAAAUAAAAACGUGUGAUUAAUAUAAAUGAUAUGUUUUGAUCGAUGCUUACAAAAUCAAGACUAAAUGUGGACGCGGUGGUUUUCUUCUGUUCGUAUAUAUGUUUGUAUGUGCAUUUAUGUUAUAAUAAUGGGAUGAUUGGUUGAGUUUUAUCUUCCUUCCUACGUUAGUUUUAUUUAUUUUUAAAUCACUAAAUUUUACCAAUCAUGUUGUAGCUUUAUUUUUAAAAAUUAAAGUCUACAUCAAGUUUUUAUUUAAUUUUGAAUUUGAGUGUUUUUUAAUUAUUAAGAUAUUUAAAUAAUAGAAAUAUUAUUUACAUAUCACAUUUUAAAUUACAAUAAAUUUUGAUAAUUUAUUAAAAAAUAUUAAUAUAAAUUAUUUUAAUUAAUAUAAAAUAAUAAUUUUAUAUAUACAACAAAUAUUUUAUUUAAAAUAUCUGCAGCCUAUUGCUUACAGGUACAACAAAUUUAACUACAGCAAAAGUUUCUGCAGAAAAAAUCUACAGUAACAACUUUAGAGCUACAACCGAUUUAUCUACAGCUAAAUUUUUAAAGCCACACUCGAACCAAUCAUAUCGCACUUCCAGUCUUCCAGAGAAAUCCAUAACUUUUUUUGUAUUUUAUCAACUUUACAAUACGUAAACACAUAUAUGGAACUUUUUAGUAUUUUAACAGUUUGUUUUGCGUUUGCAAUUUCUAAAAAUAUUUAGUUGACGAAAAUAGAUAGUUUUCCUUAAUUAGAACAAGUAUUUCAACGGAGAAAGACAAAUAAAAGUUUAAAAAAUGUAUGCAUCUAAUAACAUAAUUAGAAAACGCAGCUCGGAUAUAUUUACAUUUACACUCAAUUAAAAUAAAACUGUAUUCAGUAAAAAAAAUAUACUCAUCUUGAAACAUAUAUAAACUGUUAUUUAAGCUUUAUAUAGUGCAAAAAUGUAUGCAGAAAUUGAUAAUCGAAAUCUGGGCUCGAUUAACAAAACAACCCUAUUGGAAUACAACCGUUUGGAUAAUGUGCUAGGAUUCAUAUAAUUAAAAGCUACGUGUAGGUGUUAUACAUAAUAUUACAUCAUAGAUCAUAUUAUAAAUCGAGAUUUACAUGUUUAAUGUAUUUAAAUAUCAUUUUCAAAAAGAAUGCAUACAAGAUAAAUUUAAAUAUUAUCCUUGUUGAAUGCAAUAGAAGUGUGUAUUUGUGUGUGGGGUUCGUGACGAGUUGCACUACUCACACCUUUCUUUAUAAUACCUUAAUACUAAUGAGUGCGUUAUAUUCAAAUCUAUAAAUAUAGGUGAGUGUAAUUAAGCUCGCAUAAUGGCCAAGCGAUUUAAUAUAAUAUAAUUUCCACCUCCAUUUUUCCCUUUCCAAUACUUUAAAUUUUUACAAAUCGCAUUAAAGUUAAAUCGUCUCGUAGCUGCAAAACCAUGUUUGUGAGAAAGAUAUAAAUCCAUUAAGUUAAUUAGUGCCAAAACCAAAAAGAGAAAACUACAUUUACCUUCCCUAUACGUCUUUCUCUCUAUAUAUACCAACUUUCUUCUUUGCCUCUAAAUGCCUCUGUUAAACAUUAAACCUCUCUCUCUUUCUUUCUCCUUCUUCACGUUUCACAAAAUCGACAUAUAUACUACUAAUUAAGUGGGAAGGGAUUAUAUGUGAAGAAGAUGGUGAAGUUCUCAAAGGAGUUAGAGGCACAACUCAUACCAGAGUGGAAAGAGGCCUUUGUUAACUAUUGUCAGCUAAAAAAACAAGUAAAAAAAAUCAAAAUAUCUCGUAAACCAAAACCCGCUUCUCUUUACCCCAUUCCUCAUGAUCCUGAUUUUGGCCGAUCUCUUUUCGACCCGGUUCGCAAAUUGGCUAGGACCUUCUCGGACAAACUAUUUUCCUCCUCAGAAAAACCAGAGAUUAUUCAGGUAAUUAUCAAUGCUCUAUAUUAAUUUAUCUUGAAAAAAGCAUGAUGCAUUCUCCUGUUUGUUUGAUUAAAUUCCGUGUGACUUUUGUAACCUCUUUUUAUUCAUCUGAUAAUUAAAACCCUUUAAACCAAAAAAAAAAGUAAUUAGAAUGAUAGUCUAAAUGCACAUUACGUAGAAGCUACUUAGUGAGACCAUAGGUCUUGAGUAUGUCGGAAAAUAUUGUAAAUUUAGCUGCAUUUACAUUACUCAUAUCUUUAGCUUAGCAAAUUCGGCAUAUGAUUUUUGAGAGAACGGAAAAGUACUGAUUUAACGAUUUAGUUUAUUUUGGUAAAGCGUCAUUUUUUCGUCUUAUGAAUGUUUCUAUGGAGUGUCGUGUCUGCUCACGUCUUUGUAUUUCCCAUUCCCAUUCUUUUCGCGUCUUUGCUUACGCGUUAGAAUCACCGGUUAGUUCUGCUUUGUCUACAUAUUGCCCAUGAGAAAUCUGCUUUUUACUCUUAUUAAAAGAAAUUAUUUGCUUUUAACAAAUAUGUAUAUUAAUCUUUUCUGAUUGAGAUAUGCAAAUAAUACAUAUUUGAUACGAUUUAGUCGAAUUUCAAUAUGUUAAGUCGUAUAGCGCAAGUUGGGAAACUUUCUGAAGUCUUUUUGUGUAUCUAAUACGUAAUAUUUACAUAUUAUGUGUAUGUCUAUUGAGGAAAACUAUCAUUAAACACAUGAUUGAGACCAUUUAGUUCAUUUCUUAACCUAGGAACCUACAUGCUUCCUAUAUCUAGAAAAUUCCUAUAGGGUUAAUUAACUCUAAAAUCUGUAAUAUAUUUUUUUUGCGGAAAUAAUUGCCAACUUAUUACACUUUGUUACUCUACAUCUUUGCAUAUGUUAACCACUAAUUCCAAAAUAAGGUAUGUUUUUUCUUCAUACGCAUCACGAAAACCAAGAAGCGAAAAACGGUUGUGAAGAUUGUGAAUAUCUCACGAAACCAUCGUGACAAAAACUAUAUAUAAAGCCAUAACAAACUCACAAGUCACCACCCUAAAAAACAUUCAAUUCAGUGACACGUAUAGGAAAAUACUAACAGAUAUAAAUAUGAUAUUUACAUGGUUUGUUGGACUAAAUUAAAUGAAAUUUAAUUCAUGUCAUUUUUCGCGGAUGCACAGGUAAGGAGAAGAAAAAGCUCAGAAGAUGGGGAUGACGUUGAGGAGAUUUAUCAAACUGAGCUUGUUCAGUUGUUUUCUGAAGAAGACGAGGUAUUAACUAAUUACAUUUUAUAUUAAUUUUCGUUGUUAUUAAUGUUACGAAUUCUUAUUUCUUACUUUGAAAAAGAAGCAAAAUUAAUAAACGGCCUAUAUAUAGUGGUUUCAUUCCUAGUCUAAUUUGCACAACACCCACUCCCUGAAUCCUAAUGAAAAUAGUCGAACUAUUAAACUACUUUUUAGCUUUUCUUACAAUUACAAUAUAAUUGUUUGAUAAGUGUUCGAAUGCUUUUUGUUAUUUGUUGCUUUAGGUUAAAGUGUUCUUCGCAAAAUUGGAUGAAGAGUUAAACAAAGUGAAUCAGUUUCACAAAUCCAAAGAGACAGAGUUUGUGGGAAGAGGAGAGAUUCUGAAGAAACAGUUGGACAUUCUUGCAGAACUAAAACAGAUCUUAAGUGUUCGGAAGAAGAGAAGCCUUUCUGGCUCUAAUUCACAACGCUCCUUCAGUUCUUCUGCUCGAAAUUCUGACUUCUCUACAGGUCAGUCUCCUUAUUUUUUUUUGAAACACUGUCAGUCUUCUUAUCUAGGCCUUUUUAACAAGUAGGUCGGGUUGAGGGUGGUUUAGUAAUUUCGGAAUGUUGACAUUGACUCUUAAAAGCUACUAUCAUUUUACAUAUCUGAACUAUGUCGUGGCAUGCAUCCAUUAGAAACCAUAAAAGUGCAUGUCCUAAAGGCUGAUUUACGUAGUGCGAUUAAUAAAAAGAAAGGUAGUUUAUUAAUAUAAUUACACGAUUUACGUUACUAAUUUUUUUUUAAAUCAACUAUAGUUCGUAUGUUUCGUUAUAUAAAAGAAUAGAAAUAUGCACUGUUGAAAUGACAACAUUUGUUAGACUUUUUGAAUAUUUUUGCAUGUGGAUAACAAAACUCAAAGCUGCUAAAAUAUUUGAGUUUUGAGAUUUUAUGUCGACAUAUAUAGUCAAUGGCCGAUAAGUACAUGAGAACACAAUUCGAUUCUACUAACAAACAAACAUAUCGUUUGUGAGAAAGAAAAUAAAAAUAGACCGACAACAAAUGUUGUUUACGUAUGGGCAAGAUCAACACACAUAAAAAAAAGAAAUUUUCUUAUCUUUAGAUACUGUGUCUUUUGUUAUUAGGUAACAAAAUACAAACAUGUUUUUUUCUUGGUUUUAGGGUCACCAGGAGAACUAAGUGAGACACAAAGUGAAACAUCAAGAACAGACGAAAUCAUAGAUGCAUUAGAGAGGAAUGGUGUGAGUUUCAUAAACUCUGCUACGAGGCACAAGACAAAAGGAGGCAAACCCAAAAUGUCUCUCCGCGUCGACAUUCCCGACGCCGUGGCCGGAGCUGACGGUGGUGGUGCAAGAUCCAUCGCUACGGCCACGUCGGUACUAUGGGAGGAGCUUGUUAACAACCCAAGAAGCGGCGGAGGAGAUUUCAUCAACCGGAAAAAGAUUCAGUGCGCAGAGAAGAUGAUACGUAAAGCCUUUGUUGAGCUCUACAAAGGUCUUGGCCUGUUGAAGACUUACAGGUAAAUUCAUUAUUCACUAAAUAUCUUCCUUUUAAAAAUAUAUUUUAUUUUCUAAUCGCAUGAUUAUAGUUCUUGUUUUGAUAUAUUAUAUGUUUUUUUGGCAGUUCAUUGAAUAUGAUAGCUUUUACAAAAAUAUUGAAGAAAUUCGACAAGGUAAAGAAGCUUUAUUAUAAUUGGACUAGUUACGAUGAAUCGAUGAUAAACAAAAAAAUAUUUGAGUAAAAAGAAGAUUAUAGUGCUUAAUGAUGGACUUUGAUUUAUGGACCAAUAGGUUUCUGGUCAGCAAGCAUCAUCAAGUUAUCUAAAGGUCGUCAAGAGAUCGCAGUUUACCAGCUCUGACAAGGUAUUAUAUGACUGAAAAUAAAAGGAGAUCUAUAUAUUUUGUAAUGUUAUAGUAAAUCAUUUUAUAAAAAAGACUAGAAAAUAAUUGGUGGUUAUGAUUAAAAUAAAAACAAGGUGGUAAGACUGAUGGACGAAGUGGAGUCCAUAUUCACAAAGCACUUCGCAAACAAUGACAGGAAAAAGGCCAUGAAGUUCUUGAGACCCCACCAGCAGAAAGAUUCUCACAUGGUCACUUUCUUUGUUGGUAUUGUUUUAUAUUUUCUCUGUUUUUUCACCUCUUUUAUUAUUAUUAUUAUUAUUAUUAUUAUUAUUAUUAUUAUUAUUAUUAUUAUAACAUUCCACCAUGAAUUCUUGUGACAAACUGAAAUGUUUUUUUUUUCUUUUGCAGGAUUAUUUACGGGUUGCUUUGUCUCAUUGUUUAGUAUUUACAUAAUACUGGCCCAUCUUUCUGGAAUCUUCACCUCUGGUGCUCAAGUUUCAUAUUUAGAGACUGUGUAUCCUGUUUUCAGGUAUUUUAUUUAUAAUUAUUAAUUUUUUUUUAAAGAACACAGAGUUUUACUACUAAAAGUAACUAGACAGAAGAGCUCAAUAGAAAAAUUGUUUAAUUAUUUUGAUUAUCUGAUUUUUUUCGUAAUGCAGCGUUUUUGCGUUGCUGAGUCUACACAUGUUCAUGUAUGGAUGCAAUCUGUUUAUGUGGAAGAGCACGAGGAUAAACUACACCUUUAUCUUCGAGUUCGCACCAAGCACAGCGUUGCGUUACCGAGACGCGUUUCUAAUGGGAACCACGUUUAUGACAUCAGUCGUGGCCGCUAUGGUUAUACAUCUCAUCCUCCGCGCCGCCGGUUUCUCCGCCAAUGAAGUCGACACCAUUCCAGGCAUCCUCCUCUUGGUAAAUCAUUUAGUUAGUUAAUAUAUCGCAUAGCGGGUUCCAACCGCGAUAGCAAUUCAAAACGCUGAUUCAUGUUGGUGUGUGCAGAUCUUCAUUUGUGUCUUGAUAUGCCCUUUCGACACAUUUUAUCGUCCUACAAGAUUCUGCUUCAUUCGCAUCUUACGGAACAUCGUUUGCUCGCCUUUCUACAAGGUAACAGUUAGAACUGUUUUGGUUACUUGUAGCUCAAAAAAAUCUGUUGAAAUUUAUUUAUAAAAAUGUUUUGUUGUACAAAAACAGGUUUUGAUGGUCGAUUUUUUUAUGGCUGAUCAACUUACUAGCCAGGUAAUUAACUAUCUUAAGUUCUUAACUUCAACUGAAGAUACAUAAUUUUAGUUCAAAAUUAACCAAUCAUAUUUUUUAUUAUUUAUAUUCAAUUCAGAUUCCAUUGCUUAGACAUAUUGAGUCAACUGCGUGUUACUUCAUGGCUCAAAGCUUUCGAACACACGAAUAUAAUACCUGCAAAAACGGAAGAAUCUACAGAGAACUUGCUUACUUGAUCUCUUUUUCACCUUACUUCUGGCGUGCCAUGCAAGUAAGUUCCCUUCAGGUUUUAUUCUCUUUAUGAUCAAAGCCCCCUUCAAAUGAACUUUCAAUUAACAAUUAAUUUACAGUGCAUAAGGAGAUGGUGGGACGAAUCAAACACCGAUCACUUAGUCAACAUGGGGAAGUACGUUUCGGCGAUGGUUGCUGCCGGAGUCCGCAUAACCUACGCAAGAGAAAGCACCACCGGGUGGUUAGCCAUGGUGCUUGUGAGCUCGGUCGUGGCUACGCUUUACCAGUUAUACUGGGACUUUGUCAAAGAUUGGGGUCUUUUGAACCCUAAAUCCAAAAACGCAUGGCUUAGGGACGAUCUAGUUCUCAAGAACAAGAACAUCUACUAUCUCUCCAUUGUAAGUCGAACCACAUAAUUGUUUAACGUGUCUCACAAGUUAUGAUAAUUUACUAAAUGCUGGUGUAUUUAUUAUUCAGGCGUUAAAUUUGGUAUUGCGAGUUGCUUGGAUCGAGACAAUAGUAAGAUUCAGGGUCAAUCCUGUUCAGUCUCAUUUGUUAGAUUUCUUAUUGGCAUCACUUGAAGUCAUUCGUCGAGGCCAUUGGAACUUUUACAGGUAAAAAAAGCUUCACCUAGGUUUAAAGAUUUGUCUAAUAAACUUGAUUUUUGGAUGUUAUUAAGAAUGAAAUUUAUUAAACUGUUGUUAUUACAGAGUGGAGAAUGAGCAUUUGAACAACGUAGGCCACUUUAGGGCAGUGAAGACCGUACCAUUACCGUUCCGUGACAUGGAUUCAGACGAUUAAGCAAAGUUAAUAAUAAAUUGGAGGGUCUAGUCUCGAACCAGGUUCCAGGAAGCAUCUCGGAGAAACCUUUUGGGGAAGAUCCUGAAAUUGCUUAACCAUUUUAUCCUUAAAACAAACAGAACAGGGGACUACUGGAUUCUUGAUUUUAUAAAACUUUCCAAGUGCAAAUACAAUUUAACUUCCAAGUUCGUAUAUUAAUUUUCUGUAAAUUUUGAUUUGAGGUUUAUGUUCAACUCUUCUUUUCUUUUCAAAUAAAAAUGUCACUAUUUGCUAUGCUCAAGAAACACACAACUUCUUUAAGUUCUACUUUUGAUGAAACCUUAACCACAAACCGAAGGAAAAUGUCACUAAACAUUACGUUAUCAUCUAUAUAUAUGUUUUUAUAACCAUGUACAUUUAACGUCAAAACUCACCUCAAUGUACAAAUCACUUUAGCUAUAAUAGAUUUGGGUACCCUGAACCGAUGCAGCCGAACCAAACUGAAUAAGUACAAAUACUCGAACAGUUUCUAUAUUAUAUUAUACCCCUAAAUAUUUGAACCAAAGCACCAAUAGUCAGCAUAUUAUGGUACUAAUGACCAAGAAGACUCUGGGGUUUGGCAAUGUCACAUGUCCAAAAAUCACUAGAAAGCCAAGGCUUUUUUUAAUCUCUGGUUUUCGAUUUGAGGUAUGUAAAAACUGUAUAAAACACUAGAACAUGUGUUUAGCAAAAGAUUUCCAUAACAUAGCAUAAGUGGUAUGUUAUGUUGGCUUCUUCCUCUCUGGGCCAACCUAAGAUUUCAAAUUCGUCUAAGAGAGACUCUGGCCUUUGGCUUGCAUUGUCGGGAAACGAGGCAAAUAUCUCAAAAGUAACCAUCUUUAAGUGCAAAGAAAAACAGCAAAAUCAUGUCUAGAUGAUUCAAAAUAUAGAGUGACAACAAAAGAUGAGGGGACAAUCUUAUACGAGGGCUAAAACAGAUGGAAUCAAGAUCCUAAACGAAAUAGAAAACUUGUAACAAUAAAGACGAGAACAAUAGCUUAGAAAAGAGAUGUCCCCUUGCCCUUCUUGUCUCCCCCGAUCUCAAAAUGCUUGCACCUCUGAAGAAACAAGGAAACAAAAACCGACAGUGUAAGAGCAACUACAGACUAACAAGGAACGGUGAAUGAAGAAGAUAGUUAGUUUUACCUUGAUUGAGUGCUGCGAAAAGUGCUUGCAAGUUUGGCACUGAAGCCUGAGGACAAUCUUCUUCGUGGUCUUAGCCUGUUAAAUAACAUUACAAGAAUAUCAGUAUUCAAAUGGAUCUUGAAUCUGAAAGUGGAGGUACCAAGGAGAGAAAGAUCACCUUCUUGUGGAAGACGGGCUUGGUCUGACCACCAUAACCAGAUUGCUUACGGUCAUAACGACGCUUUCCUUGAGCGGCGAGACUGUCUUUACCCUUUUUGUAUUGGGUAACCUUGUGCAAUGUGUGCUUCUUGCAUUCCUUGUUCUUGCAGUACGUCUUCUUUGUCUUUGGAAUGUUCACCUAACCAACAUAAUCUCAGUUUAACUAACUAGCAUUUCAAAAUCAAAAUGACUCAACAAAGAGUGUGUGUAUUUAUCAAAAUUCAUGAGCAGUAACUAGUAAGCACUACAUGUCGACAAAAGUGUUUGGUCAGAGACAGAAAACUCAAAGUAUAGAUCUGUAAUCAAUCACAGGACUCAAUAGAAUCGAUCAACAAGUUCAACGAAUGAUAAAUCAAGUCCAAAAAUACAGAAUCAAGUCGAAAGAAAUACCAUUUUCGCUACUCUGAUCUCUCUCUCGGGUGAAGAUUGUGUGCCGUCGUCCGCGAACGAAACGCUGCUUACAGAAAACUGAAUUUAUAGUAAAGCUUUUUAGAUACCCUAAAUAUGUUAAAACGGGCCUUCGUUUAAGGCCCAUAUUUUGUAUAAUAACUUCGGCCUUUGCACAGAGUGUCUAGUUGUCAUAAGGAUAAUUAAGAGUUUGCUGGUAUCUUUACAAUUGAUGAUAAAUAAUUAUUAAUGAGAAAUUUGGAAAAAGAGAACAAAUUAACUAAACUAUUGUCCCUUUAGUACAAAACCAAUUUUUUCCACUUUUUGACUUGCACUGCCCUUUUUGUUAAUAAAAAUUCAUAUCAUUAUAUUUACAAUGCAAAAAAAUUUUAAAAAUAUAAAACAUGCACUAGUUAAGCAUGUGCAUAUAUGAAAAAUAUUUUUGGAUUCAAAAAAAUAUUGGAAUGUUAAGUUCAAAAAUGGGAUAAAAGAGUUAGAUUGUCAGAUCUACCAUCUACUGAGAUUUAGAAAAUGCAAUCUAGGUAAGACACAUUGAUCUACCAUCCGUAGAGUGCGUUAUACACUGCGAACACAAUGAUGUACCAAUGAAGAAUGCAUAAUACACCAGAAACAUAUACAUCUAGUGUGGAAGAAAAAGAAAUAUACAGUUCCUUCUAUGUUCUGUAUUUUUGGUAGAUCAUAGGACAUACUAAAUAUUCUUAUAUCUGUUUUGAGAGAACAUACAUUCUACGAUGUCUUCUUUUAUCUAUAAACACAGUAUUCUCUAUCUAUGUGUUCAUCUCUUUUCUAACAUCGGUCGAAUGUAUGUUCUACAAGAUUUUUAAACAAAAUCCAAAAAUUAAGGAAAAAACGGUUAUGAAAAUAUUCCCUAAAUCUAUUAAAUCUUUUUUAUUUCCUUUUUAAAAUAAUAUUGCCUAAAUGUAAGUCUUCAUCGUUACCACGUUGAUUUUGGAUUUGUAUCGUAGGGCUUCUUCUUUUCCUAGUUGGGGGCUUCAUCUUUUCCUAGUUUUUCCAAGCUUUUGUCUCCCUAACAUAAGAAGAUGCACAUCUAUGCUUCUUCUAGUUUGUGGAAAUCGUCCAAAAGAAGUGGAUGGAGAUUUCUUGUUGAUGAAGUAAAAGGAGGUAGAUUACUUACUUUGGACACAAGCAAAACCUUCGACAACCUAAGAGUUAUGGUUUGUGAAGACUUUGGAAUCGAUGUAAACAUGGUCAAUAUCGAGCUGAGUUACUUAUCUUCUGAUUUGGUCAUUGGCAUCGACUCAGCACCUGUUUUCAUCACCAAUGAUCGGCAACUCAAAAUAUUUCUUACCUAUGUGAAGAACAAAGCUUCGACGCGGUUAUGUGUGUGUAUUCGAUUUAGGGCCGAGACAAGCAAUAUCAAAGUCGAUUUGAAUUUGAAUGAAGAAGCUACUGAGUCGCCUAACAGUCAGGAAGAGCCUAUGUCGUUUGAAGUUUCAGAAGAAGAUGUUGUUGUGGAUGAAAGUGAUGAUGAUUGCAACCGUGAGAAAGAUAUGAUCAAUGGAAAGUCAGUUCGUUUUUCUCUCGUUGAUGUUGUGAAGAAGGGUCAACAUUUUACUACAAAAAACGCUUUGAAGGCAACAAUGGAAAUAUGUGCAAUGAAACAUAAUUUCGACUACAAGGUUGGCAAAUCGGAUAAAACAGUUUGGUACGUUCGUUGCACGGAUGAUGAUUGCGGCUGGCGUGUUCGCGCAGAGGGAUUAACAGGUUCUUCAUAUUUUACCACCAAAAAUAUGUACCUGUUCAUUCAUGUUCUCCAUCAUCAAGGAACCACUCAGUUCGGACAGCUUCAUCAAAAACAGUUGGUAGUCUCAUUAUGCAUAAGUACGAAAGUGUCAAGGAAGAGCCGAAACCUAAUGAUAUCAUCCAGUUUAUGCGGAAUGAUCAUGGAGUUGAAAUAUCCUACUCUUUAGCUUGGGAUGCACGUGAGUAUGCAGUUAAUGCUGUGAGAGGCAUUCCGAAGAAGGGUGAUAAUACAGAGAUACACUAGCCUCACCCUGUCCACAUACGUCCACUUGUUACAGACUUCAAGAUGCUCAGUCCUUAUACUCAAUAAGCUGAUCUUCCUGUUCUGCUUCAACACCCUGCUCCAAAAUCCCUUAUCAUCCUCCCAAUCUUCAAAGUCUAUGUCAGGUUCAUCCUUGAACUUGAGUCUAGUCACAGCAUAAAAUUCUUACUGUGAAAACCUAAGAGGCCUCCUUGCAAAUACAAACCACAGCUCGUGAAGCUUGGAAACCUUGAGCUGCUUGCAUAUGAAGCUGAGAAUAAUUUUCCCAGAGUAUAGGAGCUUGUUAUGUAAAUAAUUUACAUAACAUAUAAUCUUUGUUUCUUUUAAAAAUGAUGAUAAACUACCUUUAAUUUAUGCAAUAUUAAUGAACAAUUUUAGUUCUACCACACGAGCUCUUUCCAUAACACUCAGUCAAUAGUUUGAUGGUUUAGACGAUUACUUUUUUCUUUUUAAAGUGUUUUCAGAUCAAUCUACAAAACUCACAGCUAUUUAACAUUAACUAUUAAUAACUUUCUUUCACUUUUCAUGUUUAUGUUUAUUAAUGGUACUCAGUUAAUUUAUUUUAAAAAUAAUCAAACACGUUUCAUAUAUAUUAAACAUUAUCAUAUAAUAAAUUUAUUACAUAACAUGAAUAAACAAACAAAGAAUAUCAUAUUUUUAUAAAAAAAACGACAUAUAUAUAUAUAUUUCUUCUAUAAUGAUUAAUAAAUGUGUUUUGAAGUAAAAGAUGAACUUAUUUAUUUUGGAUUCUUCUUAAUCGAGUUAAAAGGAUAUCUUCAUGCUUUUGGCUAUAAACAUAGAUGAUAAUAAUAGUUGAAAGUUUGAAAUGAAUUGGAUAAUACUAAUGUACAUAAUUUAUUUUAGCAAAAUAUAAUAGUAAGUAAAAACUAAGGACUACUUUACUAUUAAGAAAGUUUGUCUUUGUAAAAUAAAGAUAAGAAUAUUAUAUGUUCAAAUUUGAUGCAAUAUUGUUCAUUACUUCAUUUUAAAACAAGAAAUGAACUAGAGUUGAAGCAAACUUUACUUCAAAAUGAAAAAUAAAGUAGGUUUGGGAUGGUUUAAAAGCACUUCCAUCCUUUAGAAUGGAAAAGAAUUUCUCACAAUUAGUUAAUUAAAAACGAUAAGAUUAAUGAGAGAAAGUGAUAUUGUAUUAUGUAUAGAGAUAAUAUCAUAAUUCUUUAAGAAACCCAACAUAAAAAUGACAUAACUUUCACUGGUUUAAAUUUUAAGAAAAAAAAUAAAGUUUGAAUCAUAUAACAAAAUGGUGUUAAGAUAUUUGCAUGAAAUGAUUGAGAACCUCUAGUGGGACGGGUUCUUAGCCAAUGAAUCAGUUUUAAUCACACGAAUUUGGAAAACUUGAAAAGUACGAAGUACCCAAACAUAUUUCAAGAAAGUGAAAAAAAAAUCAAUGGAAAUGGACAAAAGAUGGUGGUGUUACAUAAAUAGAGCAUGGAAAAACAUACUCUUAUUUGGAGUAAAGACAGAGCCGUGCGAGCAUUAAAACCAUACGUAAGUGAGAGAAAAAAAUAUGCCUUCAUUCAUAAAAAUGUCUUAUAAAGAGUCAAUUCAAAAAAAAAACACUGCUUAAUAAUUCUUAAACAUAAUUUGUCGUCCUUUCUUCUCUAAGAACUCAUUGACUAAACUUUCAAAAUCAAUGUUCCUUUAAAGUUCUAUCUCGAUAGAUAAAAUAGCCAAAUCACUCAAUCUUUCUUGUGACAUAGUCGAACGAAGAUAAGAUUUUAUUAACUUCAACUUCGAAAAAAUCCUCCCAGUAGAUGCAACCGAAGCAGGGAUGAUCAACAAUAUUCGAUAAGCAAUCCAUGAAUUUGGAUUGAACACUUUGCAAAAAGUCUAGCACUUCAGUAGGCUUCUUAACUCUUUCUGGUAAAGCUUCUCUUAUAAUUUUAAGUUCAGCAAAAAGAUCACUACCAACAAUAUCUGAAUGAUCACCAUGAGUUAGAGAAUCUUCAAGAUUGGCACAGGAAACCAUCAAACUAUCAUCACUUGCUGACUGCAGUUUCUUCAAAUCAAACAAAAAUCCAAAUAUUUUUUUCAUACUUCUCGAAAUGCUCAAUCUUCUCUGAAUGAAGUAAUCAACUCUAAAUUUCUCUUCGGGUGAUAAUGUCACACUCCCCUCUACAUUCUCUGAACUCUCGCCAUAUUUUAUUUUUCUUUUGAUUACCCGCUUUCCUUGCUUGGGGAACACAGCCUCAAUCUCCAUAGACUCUGCAAGUAUUUUAGCCUCUGAAUUUGCUUUCUCAAAACCUGAAUCUCUAUAUUUUUGAAAAUAAGAAACCAGCCCCUUAAGUUGAGCAAUAGAAACAUCAAUAUCCAUGUCUUCUGACUGCAAACUCUUACUCACAAAGUUGACAACAGAUAAAAGAUUGUACCAAAUAACCAGGGAAACCAAGAACUCAAAACUUCCAAUUCCAUGUGUUUCACUUGUUGCAAGACAUCCAGCUUUGCUCUAAUCUUGAGGAUCAACACUAUUUUCAGCAAUGUAAACUAAAGCGUUCAUGAUUUUAGGAGCUUGAAACCGUAUCGCCUUAACACUUUCAACAUGGCUCUCCCAACGAGUAUUCGACAAAGACUUAAGUGUUAGACCAUCUACAUGAUCUUCAAAGAUUUUCCAGCGCUUAUUUGAAGCUGAAAAAAAGUUAUAAGUACACUGGAUGAUUCCAAAAAACGAGAUCCCCUUUGAAGAAGUCCUUGCCAUAUCACAUAGUGCAAGAUUCAAACUAUGAACUACAUGGUGUAUAAAACGCUUUGGGAUUAAUCUCAAGAAAUCUUUUUUGUACUCCUUUAUGCUUUCCCUUCAUAUUAGAGCCAUUGUCAUAACCUUGUCCUCUCACAUCAUCAAUUUUCAAAUCAAAAGCAACCAAUACAUCUUGCAGCUCACGAAAAAGCCUUUCUCCAUAUGUAUCAUCAACUUUCAGAAACAUUAAAAAAAAAUUCUUCAACCUUAACUGAAGCUGUUGACACAUCUACACACCAUAUAACAACAGUCAUUUGUUCGUGAUGACUUAUAUCUGGAGUGCAGUCAAGAAUAACAGAGAAAAAUUUUGCACUUUGAAUUUUCUUGAUGAUCAUACCUUUGAUCUCAUUGCCCAACAAAGCUAUUAACUCAUUCUGAAUUCUGCCACUGAGAUAAUGAGUACGAGAUUCACGUUCUUUAAAUCUCCUAAGAUGUUCGAUCAUCACAGGAUCAAAAUCAGCAAUCAUCUCGAUAAAGCUUAAGAAAGUCCCACAACCUUCUUCUCCAAUCUUUUUGUUGCUUCCACGAAAUGCUAAAUUUUGUUUAGCAAGAGUUUUCACUACAGAAAUUAUCCUAAGCAGCACUUGUCUCCAAUGGAUUUUCUCUUUGUUGAUUUCAUCUUGAGCAUAUUUGUCAAUGGUUUGAUUCUUUUGCAGCCUGAGAUCUAGUUCUGCCCACUGCUUCAUAAAUAAUAUAUGUUCACGACCAGAUUCAUGUUCUUUAAGCCUUUUCAAUACAUUUCUCCAAUUGCUGAACCCCACAGAUGCCAAUUGACUACUGUCACUCUUACUGAACAAUUUGCAGCAGAAACAAAAGAUUUUGUUUAUUUUCUUUGAAUAAAGUAGCCAACGCCGAUCUUGUUUUUUCCCAUCACCCAAUUGUCUUGUAUAAUGCAAAUGAGAGAAAUGUCUCUUAACACCAUCCUUGGGAAAGUUGUAAUCUAUUGGCAAUCUUUUCGCAGGACCUUGUACAACCAUAAAAUCUCUCCACUCAGUCCAUCCUUUUUUUAUGUUGUCCCAAUUUCCAGGAUCAUACAUAUCUAUGUAUCCACAAGGCUCCUCGAGAUUACCACUCUUUUCACUUCCAUUCUUAUCCCCAUCAUCUUUUUCUUUCACCUCUUCCUCAUUCACAACAUUCAUAUUCUCAUCUACUUUAUCUUCUCUAGACGUAGCAUGUUGUUCUUGUUCAUCAUUAUUCUCUACAAAGGUAUCAAGAGUUUCAGAUUUUUUGAAAUACCUUAAUAAACCAUUUUUUUGAGAUUUUGCUUCCUCACCUUUUUUGUUCUUCUUUUUUCUGUUGUCUGCUCCACACGGCUGAUGUCUUUUGUUCGAUGACAUCGUUCUAUCAACAUAUAAAAUUCUGAUUGUUAUUCACUGUUUCACAAAAUAGAUCAAAAUAGAUAUUGAUAGGUAGUACUUUUACCUUAGUUUGAAUUGUAAGAGAGAAAGUGAGAUAAAGCUAAUUUGUUAAUAUAAUAAUCUGAAAUCUUAAACUUCAAAAAUCAGAACUGCAGGUUUGUGUGUGAGAAGAAGACGUGAGCAGAAGUCGGAAGGGACAGAAGACGUCGUGAAGUUGGGUUUGUUACCCUAAUUUUUGUAAAAUUACAUGAAUAAACUUUUUAAGUAAAUUUAACUUUAAUUAGUGAACUAUUAAUGUAUUAAUGAAUGUCUUUAUGUGUUGUGGCCCAUAUCUAGCCUACUGAUAAUAUUAUAGUUUAAAACUCAAGCCCAUAUAAAAUAUAUAUUAGUACUUAUGAUUGGUAAUAUUAACUAAACAUAUGCUAUUAAGUGUUUUUUUUUUAAAUGAUGCCCUAAGCCAAUGUUUCUUUUGGUCUCAAGGUCGCACGGCUCUGGGUGUACCUCCACGAAGAAGAAACUAGAGCAAGGGAAAGGUGUGUAAAAGCCUACACAAGUAUAUGCUGGAGCAAAUGAAUAUUUGUGGUGACAGCAUGUAACAGCUGGGAUUAAUCUCAAGAAAUCUUUUUUGUACUCCUUUAUGCUUUCCCUUCAUAUUAGAGCCAUUGUCAUAACCUUGUCCUCUCACAUCAUCAAUUUUCAAAUCAAAAGCAACCAAUACAUCUUGCAGCUCACGAAAAAGCCUUUCUCCAUAUGUAUCAUCAACUUUCAGAAACAUUAAAAAAAAAUUCUUCAACCUUAACUGAAGCUGUUGACACAUCUACACACCAUAUAACAACAGUCAUUUGUUCGUGAUGACUUAUAUCUGGAAUGCAGUCAAGAAUAACAGAGAAAAAUUUUGCACUUUGAAUUUUCUUGAUGAUCAUACCUUUGAUCUCAUUGCCCAACAAAUCUAUUAACUCAUUCUGAAUUCUGCCACUGAGAUAAUGAGUACGAGAUUCACGUUCUUUAAAUCUCCUAAGAUGUUCGAUCAUCACAGGAUCAAAAUCAGCAAUCAUCUCGAUAAAGCUUAAGAAAGUCCCACAACCUUCUUCUCCAAUCUUUUUGUUGCUUCCACGAAAUGCUAAAUUUUGUUUAGCAAGAGUUUUCACUACAGAAAUUAUCCUAAGCAGCACUUGUCUCCAAUGGAUUUUCUCUUUGUUGAUUUCAUCUUGAGCAUAUUUGUCAAUGGUUUGAUUCUUUUGCAGCCUGAGAUCUAGUUCUGCCCACUGCUUCAUAAAUAAUAUAUGUUCACGACCAGAUUCAUGUUCUUUAAGCCUUUUCAAUACAUUUCUCCAAUUGCUGAACCCCACAGAUGCCAAUUGACUACUGUCACUCUUACUGAACAAUUUGCAGCAGAAACAAAAGAUUUUGUUUAUUUUCUUUGAAUAAAGUAGCCAACGCCGAUCUUGUUUUUUCCCAUCACCCAAUUGUCUUGUAUAAUGCAAAUGAGAGAAAUGUCUCUUAACACCAUCCUUGGGAAAGUUGUAAUCUAUUGGCAAUCUUUUCGCAGGACCUUGUACAACCAUAAAAUCUCUCCACUCAGUCCAUCCUUUUUUUAUGUUGUCCCAAUUUCCAGGAUCAUACAUAUCUAUGUAUCCACAAGGCUCCUCGAGAUUACCACUCUUUUCACUUCCAUUCUUAUCCCCAUCAUCUUUUUCUUUCACCUCUUCCUCAUUCACAACAUUCAUAUUCUCAUCUACUUUAUCUUCUCUAGACGUAGCAUGUUGUUCUUGUUCAUCAUUAUUCUCUACAAAGGUAUCAAGAGUUUCAGAUUUUUUGAAAUACCUUAAUAAACCAUUUUUUUGAGAUUUUGCUUCCUCACCUUUUUUGUUCUUCUUUUUUCUGUUGUCUGCUCCACACGGCUGAUGUCUUUUGUUCGAUGACAUCGUUCUAUCAACAUAUAAAAUUCUGAUUGUUAUUCACUGUUUCACAAAAUAGAUCAAAAUAGAUAUUGAUAGGUAGUACUUUUACCUUAGUUUGAAUUGUAAGAGAGAAAGUGAGAUAAAGCUAAUUUGUUAAUAUAAUAAUCUGAAAUCUUAAACUUCAAAAAUCAGAACUGCAGGUUUGUGUGUGAGAAGAAGACGUGAGCAGAAGUCGGAAGGGACAGAAGACGUCGUGAAGUUGGGUUUGUUACCCUAAUUUUUGUAAAAUUACAUGAAUAAACUUUUUAAGUAAAUUUAACUUUAAUUAGUGAACUAUUAAUGUAUUAAUGAAUGUCUUUAUGUGUUGUGGCCCAUAUUUAGCCUACUGAUAAUAUUAUAGUUUAAAACUCAAGCCCAUAUAAAAUAUAUAUUAGUACUUAUGAUUGGUAAUAUUAACUAAACAUAUGCUAUUAAGUGUUUUUUUUUUAAAAAUGAUGCCCUAAGCCCAUGUUUCUUUUGGUCUCAAGGUCGCACGGCUCUGAGUAAAGAUAGUUUUGUUGUUGUACAUGAAAAAAAAAAUAUAUUGAUGAGUGUAAGGAAUGUGCGUUGAAAUCUCUCCUCCUACAUAUAUGAACAAUGGAGUGCAUGAAGAUGUACAAACAACUAGAUGUAAUGUUUGCAACAAAACACUUUUGAAUUAAUGAAUAUGAUGUUUAGACCUACAUACACAUUUAAUUUAUUUUUUUUUCUCUGGGUGAUUUCCAUAAGUAUAAAAGUUCGGGAAAAUGGGUUUUUAAUUCCUCAAGUAUGUGUAAUCAGCAUUUUUAAUAUUCAACUAUUACUUGCACAUAUUUAUUCCUCAAGUAAAUGCUGACAGUAUAAAUCAGACUCGAAAAAGUCAGUCGUUAAUUCUUGUGACGGAAACGUUAGUUCUAACAGAAAAAAUGAGUUUCCUUUCUUGAAACCCAGAAAUCUUUAAACUGAUUCCCAGAUGAUUUCGGGAGAAAAGAGGCGUAUUCUGACAAAAAUUAGAAACUUCCAGCAAUUGAGAGUGAAGAGCAUGGUUUUAUUCUCCAGCUAACAACAAAUCUCCUUUGAACUUUGCUCAUUGUCACCAUUGAAGUUAUCAAGAGUGAACAUUAACCGCUGCAGAGCUACCACAUUUGUCAGAUGAAGUUGCAGUCUAGGAGAUUAUAUGGGUUCUUUUUGCUCUGUUUCAUGGUAGUCUUUUUAAAAUUUAUUUUGGUAUCUUUAUGGUUCAAUAUAUAUUGAUGAGAUUGAAUUGUACAGAAGAGGAAACAUAUCAAAUUCUCCAUUUAAGUGACCUCUUUAUUCAAUGUUCUUUUGUAAUAAAAACAUACACAUCAGUUCUUACCUUAACAAAAGUCUCAAUUUUACAUUGAUCCUCAUAGGUAAACGAGAGAUCUUGAUUUAUCAAUUCAGUUGGGCUUGGCUUGAUUGACCGGUUUGCUAAGCAUAGUUGUGCAGCCAACUUUACGUGUGGAGCUCGAGGCAAUCUUGUAAUGGUUUGCCAUAGCCGAGAAGCUUAGAUGGAUGAGCUCAACGGAUGUUAAAAUCGACCACUCCACUUUUGUCAAGAGACGAUUACGUGAACGUCCUUUACAUCGUAGCCUUUUUUUUUCCUUGUUGACACUUGAACACUUGAAUGAGCAACGAUCAUAGGAGAUUUGUUGUGUACCUGAACAAAAAAUCAUUUUCUUCAUUCUCCAGAUGUGUCUAGUUCACGCCGGACUCCUCGAAAUCAUACGAAGAAUCAAUGAAGAAUCAAUUUUAGGGAUUUAUAGUUUUCAAAAGACAAAAACCAAUUUUUUUAACGACAACUAACUUUUCCGUGAAAAGGUUAACGGUUGACUUUUUUUAGUAUGAUUCAGCGUGGUCAACAUUUAGGCAAGGAAUAAAUAUGCACAAGUAGUAGUUGGAUAUUAAAAGUGUUGAAUACAAAUACUCGAGGAAUUAAAAGUUCAUUUUGCCAUAAAAGUUCCUACCAUUAUUUUACCAUCCAACAUAUUCCUUGUACUAUGAACAUUCAGGGGGACAACUUAACAAGUAGUCAAAGUCUUUUUCAACAGGAUAUAUGUUGGGUUUGAACCGUUUUAGUUUUAUGUAUAGUAAUUUUUGUUGGCAAAGAGAAAUCACACAAAUCUCUAAAGGUGAAACUAAAUUCAAUUGUUAAAAUUUUAUAGUGAAUGCUGAUUCUAGCUUAAUGCAUACUAUAUCUAAACUAUUAAAACAGAAGUACAAAAAAAAAAUAACUCUUAGUUUUCCUUAAAAAUUACAACUUAUGCCAUUUGGAUUAAACUCAAUGUUUUGCUUAUUUUUAAACAGACAAACACGUUUGGUUAAUUAUUAUACCGUCAAUGUUUGCUUAAUUAUUAUACCGUGUAAUUACAAAACCAUUACUAACCCACGUCCUACCAUUUUCCUACAUAUCGUUCGGUACAAUAACUAAAAUAUUGACGUUUUCACUUAUUACGAAACCAUACAAUUAUUCUUCAUUACUAAACUUCUACAUUACAAAACAAUAAAAAAAAUUGCUGCUUACCUACAUACCUUUGUAUAUCAUUUAUAAAACAUCGACCUGUAUUAUGAUACUAAGUUCGUUCAUCGCAUCAGAUAUCCAGUUUUGCGUCUGCAAAAUCAAAACGAGUGUAUUAGCUAUAUACAAAUAUAGUGGAAAAAAAGCUAUAUACAAAUAUAUGUCAUAGAUUAAGAUCAUAAUUUAUAUCAAUAUUAUUAUAAAUCAUGUUAUUCAACAUCAAUAAUAACUUAAACAAUACCAAUUUUUCAUAAUAUAUUUUUAAAUUCAAACUCAAAACCAAUCAUUUAUUAUUUUCCUAAAAGAAAUUACUUACCUUACACAUUCUAUUCCUAUCUUUAAGCAAUCAUCAUAAUAAAUACAAAAUCCUUUUUUGGUUUAUAAUCUUGCAAAUCAUGUAAAACAUUUAUUAUUUACCUAGAAGAUAUUACCUUCCACUAUCUAUUCAUAUAUUUAAGCAUUCAUCUUAACAAAUAUCAUAUCAAUCAGCUAGCACGAAAUCUUUCUUUUCGCUUAAUCUUGUAGAUCACGUAAAAUAUCUUAAUUUUCUAAUUAUCUAUUCAUUUAUUACGUUAAGUAACUAACAAACGAAUUAAACUUAGAAUAAAAUCGUAUUGGAUAUUCGCUAUUUAAUACUAAAAAUCACAACUAACAAAAUCUUAGAUAUUAAUAUGCUAUUUAGGCCUAGACGUUCGGAUUUUCGGGUCGGGUUUGGGCCGGUUCCUUUCGGAUCUGGGUCCUUUGGGUCCUAAACAUAUAGGCCCAAUAGGUAUUUAGAAAUUUUGGUUCAGGUCGGUUGUUCUUGGGUCCGGAUCGGUUCGGGUCUAUAAUUAAAAUACUCAUAAAAUACUGUACUUUUUCGGGUUCAUUUCGGGUCCGGAUCGGGUUCGGGUAUUUAGGAUAUGAAAAGGACAUGACAUAUCCAACUCCAUAACAUUUUGUCGAUAUUUAUCAUAUAUAUCUAAAAUUUUACAAAAUAACUUAAAAUGAAAUUAUUAAUAAUUAAAAUAAAACAUUUUUAAACUCUAAAUUUUACAUUUUAAAGCUUCACAUUAAUUAAAAAAUGUUACAAAAUAAUAACAAAUGUUGUUAACAAAAGAUAUUUCAACUAAAUCAUAAAAUAAUAUAUAUAUAAUAGAACACAAAAAGCAUAGUUUUGGAUAUACAUGUUUUUAAGUCGGGUACAAAUCGGUUCUUAUCGGAUCGGGUCUAUUCGGAUCGGGUUUUUUCGGGUCCGUGCCUAUUUGGGUUGGUUCCCUUCGGUUCCGGUACUUUCGGGUAACAUAAAUUUAGAUCCAAAAGGUACUUAUGAAUUUUCAGUUCGGUUUUGGGUCGAAUAUUUUUGGAUAGGUUCUGGUUCGGGUUUUCGGGUCCAGGUUAAAAUGCCCAGACCUAUUGCGAUUUACUCUAACCUUUCCUAACUAGCUAUAUAUACCUCUUCUCCAAUAACCUAAACGCCAUAUCAUUCAACGCAAAUCCUCCAAAAAUGUCAACUAUGACUACUUUUCAUCCUCUCACAAAACUCAUGCCUUAUAAAAAUAACUGGUGAGUUUAAGUUAAGUGCUUACAUUCUUAGAGGGUGAACAUCGCUUUUAGAGAUACCUUUGAGAUGGUUUUUAACAGACCAAUGGAUAAACCAAUAUUUCUGAAUGUUUAUUGUGUUAUAAGAGGUUAUUGCUUUAACAAUCUAAACUAAUAUUUCCUUUGUUUUCUUUUGCUCUCUAGGGAAACAAAAUCCAAGCAUGUUGCAAAAGAACACACAUGUACCAUGUUCAGCGUGCUAUACCAAUUAGAAAAAUGGGGAGUAAUUGAAAAUGUUCAAAUGAAUGCAGCUGGUGGCAGGUCAGAAGUAUUUCAGUUUAUUUCUCGGAAAAUAACAUUAUAUGGGCUUUAAUUUGUGAUUCAGGAUACACCAAUGUCAGAAAUCAAUAACAUAUAAAACAAGCACAUGAAUGUUUUUACAACAAACAAAACAUAUAAUUACAUCAAACAUACACCCGCGCGGACGCGUGGAUCAAAAAAUAGUAUACAGUUAAGAAACAAAUGAUUUCAAAAGAACACUAUUAUAAUGACCCAAGUAAAUGAAGCCCAUGCUUCUGACCACAAUUUAUUAAAUACUAAAAUGGCCACAAUCUUACGAAACUUUCAAUGGUCUAGUGGUUAGUCAUUCACCAAGGCUAUGUUAGAGGCUGGAGUUUGAAUCCCCUAGGCUGUGAAUAUUUUUUGUUUUUCAUUUUUUUAGCCAUUUUUCUAUUUUGGACUUAUGGCCUUAAAAAAUCUAGGACCGGGUCUGAUUAUAUAUAUGCUAGCUUUAUAGAGAUAUUAGGAAAACAAGGCUGCAAUUGUAUGGAAAGAGGUAUUUUCCUCAAGAUUUCACAUAAUACAAUAUUAUAUGGUACCACUUUUAUUGCUAUGUGUAUUUUGUUAAGUAUGUUUUUUUUUGUUAUUUAAUCUAAUUACCUUUUUAAUACACUGCAUUUUUGUUUGAUCUCAACAAAACAUUUUAACAACAAUUUAGCAUAAGCCUAAGCAUAUUUAUUCAGAACCGAAGAACUGAACCAUACCGAACCGAAAUAACCAAAAAUGAAACCGAACUGAAUUUCAUAAAUAUCUGGACGGGUCCUAUAUCUCUAAAACCGAGAAAUCAAAACUGAAUCGGAACUAAACCGAGAAAAAUAUCAAUUAUACUUAGUUUUUAAAUAACUAGAUAUCCUAAAAUAAUAUUUAUAAACUAAAUUACCUAAAUUACCCGAAUAUUUUUACCCAAAAUAUUUAUAAUUAUUAAAAUUGCCCGACGUUUUUAUCUGAACAAUCCGAACUACCCGAUAUUUAACCUGAAAAAAAUCUGAAUUAUCCAACGUUUUUACUUGUAUUAUCUGAAAUUACCAAAAAAACUAGAACCGAACUGGAACAUGAUUGGACUGAAUUUUUUUGAAUAUUAACCGGUUUUCAACUUUGUUACGAAACCAAAAACCAAAAUAAUCCAACAUAAUUUUGUAUAUAAGUUUGGUUUAAUAUAUUAAAAGCUGUGGUUACGUUUACUAAGAAAAAAAAUCAUAAUGCAACAAACAACCGAAAUCUCAUAGAAGUCAGACUCAAGUCUAUACUAAUCAAAUAGCUAAAUACAACCUAAAAACACAAUACAAAGGUUGGAGUAUAUAUUUGACCGAAGUCAUUAAGCAAAGCAUAUGUUAGACAUCUCUUAUUCGUAAUCACCAAUGAGUUCUCUCUCGACGUAAAUCGGUUUGAUAAAAAACUGGUCUUGUUAUGCAAAGACCUCUCCAAAAAGAUGGACUGAAAAGACAAAAGUGGGUAGAUUAUGAGAAGAAAAACAAAACCACCACUAUAGUCUAAACUUGAAGAAAAAAACUCCCAUUUUCUCAUCUCUCAUCUUCCUGUAGAACUUUCAAGACCUCCCACAGAAGGAAAAACCGCACGAACCGACCUAUCUGUUUCUUUUGUCUUUGCAGGCCCAAUAGACGAUCCUCCUCCUCCUCCUGUUGUUCCUUUUGACUUCUUCUGCCUCGACUGUUUCGGUCCCACAGACUGAUCAUUCUGUUGAGGUAAGUCUAACCCUGAACCUGACUCCGACCCUGAACCCGUGCUCUGCUCUCUCUGUUUACCCGUGCUACGUCUUGAUGGCCUUGUUGAACCUCCUACCCUUGAUGGAAACUCUGCAGGUGAGUUAUUUGUGCCUGUGGAUGCUUUACGCCUCCCCUUGUUCCUUUGCUUCUCCCUGGGUUUCUUGUUGGAACUUCCUUUAGCCUCAGCCGUCGGAGACUUAUAAUCAUGCAUCUACAGAUUCCCAUGAAAGAUAUGAGUUCAUCUACAACCAAAAUAUGUAGUGUAAGGUACUAUUUACCCAGCUUGGGGUCGUAGCAGAGGGCCCUUCCCAUCCUAUAUGAGCAACAUGUUUCACAUCGGUCGGUUUUCCAAUCUGCAUCUCUGGUUCCUUAUCAUCCUCUGCAUGCAGCAGUUUUUGUAACUUUUUAAAAUCUGAAUUCAUGAUGACUAUACAUAGACAUGUAUUAAUAAACUGAUAAGUGAACUCACCGAAGAUGCGAGCAAUGUACCUCAAUCCUUUUAAUAGACCCUUCAUUGGUGAGGCAGCUUCAACUUGCAAAUGCAUACCUAACUUGCAUGUCAAGCAAUCAAAAACCUUUUUUCAUAAAUCGUUUUUAAGAGAUUCUUCUUAUUUCUCUUACAGUUAUGUAUUCAUGUAAUAAGUAAGGUUGUGAUAUGCAGAGGGGGAAGGUGUGAAUUGUUUUUGGGUGAAUCCUACUUGAAAUAAAACCCCUAAGAAAUCGAUAAAAUGAGCUUACAUUGUUAUGGGAGAAGAUAAAACCCUAUUACCAAAGGAACGGAAUCAUAUAGAUUUCGAAGAUCUGUAACUCCGCUCCUGCAAAUGUAAGAGGAAUAUAUAAACAAAUAAGAACAAUAGCAAAAUAAAACAUUCUUUGCGUUAAGAAGAAAAAUAACAAGAUAAGUUUAAAGAAAACAAAUUACCUGGCUACAACUUGUAAAACGAUAUGUUCUUUCCAAAAUGUUUCAGGAGAAAAUCAAAAGGCUUUUCUCUACUUCUUUUGUUAUUUUCUUGGUUCGUAUUGUGUUAUGGGUCGCGAAUAGAAGAGAUAGGUAACGUAAUGAAAAAAAAAUAAAAAUCUCAAGAUGUGUCCUCUUUCUUUGAGCACAAGGAGCUCUUUUUUUUUUCUUUCCUGUCUAUUUCUACAUAUGGCUACUAAACAUGGCGGAUGAUUAUUGGAUGUAAAAGUUGUAAGUCAACGGAUAACCAGAAGAUUUUCCCUUAUUUGGUGGUUUCUAUAUUAAGGUUCUCUGAGUCAUCUUAUGGUCGUUUUUUACUGGCAAACGCGGGAGAUACGGCUAUUUGCUUUUUAGGGAAAGCUUAAUUAAUAAGAUCUAGGAAGUUGAUCGAAACUUCCACUAACUUCUAGUAAAUACUUCCACAAAAAUAAUAAAAUCUAGCAUGUAAGCCUUUUUACAUAUCUACAUAUAAUUUUCUUCCUUUAAUAUUAUCACUUUUGUAGUACCACGAUAUCUCAUUCGCAAACAUGCUAGAAGUUAAGCCAACAUAACAUUAAUUGUUCAAACCUUGAACAAAAGAAGACAAAUUCGGGGGAAAACAAUAGAUUUUGUUUUUGUCAUCAACAAAAAUCUAGUUACUCCUAAGCAGUGCGCCGCCGUCGUUAUAUUUGUUGCCUUUGUUUUGAAAGUAGUCUUUACUCUCUAAUCAUCAACAAUAUCCCACCUAAGAGAACAGUCUGUUGGAACUAUUUUUGAACAUUAUGAAUAAGGUAUUCAUAUGACAAAAAUGAAGUUUUAUUUGAAUGAGAAAUGAAGGUCUAAUGUGUGUGAUUUGAAAAUCUUGUAUAAAGUAGCAAAUUCAUACAUUAGAUAUUUGAUCUUGGAUUUGGGUUUUGAUUGGUUAGUUGGACUUCAUGUUCAUUAACUUAAAUCAAAUAUAUGUUGAAAAUAAUCAUCUAAAAUUGUGUGGUUUUGAUGGCAAAAAUAAUAUCUGUAAUGAUAUGUAUAUUUGCUAAAAAAGUGUUUGGAAAAGAUCUAAAACAUACAAGUUAGAUUUAUUAAUUAACUUGAGAGAACUAUGAAAAUAGUUGUAUGUAAAAUGUGAAUUUCUAAGAAAGAAAUACAUUUUCUGAAAUUGCUUUUUAUUCAUUUAAAUCUAAAAGAGUUGUAGAUCAAUUUUCUAAACUCUUAAGAGAUGUUAAAUGUAAUUAAAUAUGCAUAUUCUUAAGUUAUCUCAAGAAAUGUGGGGGAAACUUUGCUUACCAUAUAAAGUCAUUGGCAAGAGGUCAAAUGAACUUAGUGAUAGUUAUCACAAUAUGAUUUUAUUUUUUAAAAGAAAAGAAAAAAAAACUAGUGUCAUGCACUGAGUUUUGUGUACAAUGAUUAAUUGUAUCUUAAAAAAAAAGAUGACAAAAAUCAUUAGACAAUUGAUCUCGACUAAUCUCAAGAGAUUAUUUUCACUAUGAUGACAACCUAGGAUCCUUUAAUUAAAGGUGUGUCAUGAUAUCAAGUUGUUAUAUCAUCUAAAGGAAUGGGUACGUAGCCUGUGAAUUAAGAUGAGGUUUGGCGGUAACUCUACCUAACUGACUGGAGAUCCCAAGAAAUAGGUUCAAGGAGACAACUAAGUCAAAUUAAAUCUGCCCAAUUUCGGUCUAUACUCUUCCUAUGAUGAUUAAACAGUGCUACAUAUAAGAAAUAUAGGAUAAGCAUUAGCUUUUAAUGAUUUGUGUCCAUUGUUUUGAGAUAUGAAUGGAGUAGUACAUGAUACUCCUCUAAACAAAACUAAUGGCAAAUCACCUUGUGAGUGUGAAAUGGGACCGUUUCUAGGAGAAUGAAGGAAAUGCUAUAUUCUCCAAGUUCACUCAUGAUUAACCAGGACUGUUCACGGCCAAAAUGAACACAAUAGAGAACCUAGUUCUGUGAAAGAAUGAAGCUGUGUUAUAGCUAUUGUCUAGAUUUACACCAAAGCCCGGGAGGUUCAAGACAUCAUGGCCACCUCCUGGCCGAGUAAAUCCGAUAGCUAUUAACAAUGACUGGUUCAAGGCUGAAAAAUUGCUACCAACUCAUCAUGCAGUGGAUUUUUCGUUUGUACUCUCAAAAGUCCUAAGGUCGAGUCUUGUCUAGAAAGUCAAGUCUGUCGAGUCGUCUAGUGUCUAGAGUCAUUUCUAUUCAUGUGGGGGAUUGUUGGAGCUAUUUUUUGAACAUUAUGAAUAAGGUAUUCAUAUGACAAAAAUGAAGUUUUAUUUGAAUGAGAAAUGAAGGUAUAAUGUGUGUGAUUUGAGAAUCUUGUAUAAAGUAGCAAAUACAUACAUUAGAUAUUUGAUCUUGGAUUUGGGUUUUGAUUUGUUAGUUGGACUUCAUGUUCAUUAACUUAAAUCAAAUAUAUGUUGAUCUUUUAUAUUGAUAAAAUAUAAAAAAUAAAUUCAUUUUAAAGUAUAUUAUUUAGUUUGAAUUGGUCAAACAAAAAAAAAAUUUUACUCUUUAAUUUUUUGGUCAAAAUGUGGAAUAAAUUCACAUAAUAAUUGACAAUAAUUAAAGACUCCAUUAGUGCACCAUGGAGGUUUCAUUUUUUGUGUUGAAAAAUGAAACUUGUGCUUCUCAUGAUUUUUCUAUAAAAGGGCUUGCUAGCAUUAUAGAAAAGAUAUACAUUCAUACAAUCAAAGAAACAAUUCUCCCACUCAUAAUAGUUAUGCUAGUAUUUUAUUUUAUUUUGAGUCUGAGAGUACAUCACAAAAAUAGGGUCGAUAGAUUCUGUUUUUCCGGUGAUGGUAAACAGAAACAAUGCUGCAGUUGUAUCAUGGGAAUCUGAGCGCCAUGAAACCGUCACACUACGGGGCGUUUAAAGAUUUAAGGAAAGAGAUUAACUAUCUUGACUCUACAAUUCUUCUUUAUUUUUAUAUUUCGGUAUUGUAAUUUUAAUUUAUGUUUUUAUUAUUUUUUACAAAUAUCAGUUGUCCUAUAGUAGUAAAAUAAGGUUCCUACAGAGUCGUGGUCACAUCACGCGACCAAGGGCAAUCCCAAUAUAGUGUAAUGAUAUGUUGAAGAGAAGAUCCCAUCUCGAAAGUUUUGUUGUGGAAUCCUCUCUCCAGGACAAUCCUACCAAUAUCAAUUUUUUUUGUCUAUAUAUUGAUUAUUGAAAAUCUGAGUACACCAGUAAUCUAGCAUAAUACACUACAAUCAGUGUUAAUUCAUGAUUACAUACUAAACACCAUUGCAUAUUGAUUUUAAUAUCAAUUUCAUAUCUAUACUAUUAAAACAAGAUUAUGCCCUUAAUUUUUAAGUUAUUUACAAAAGAAUGUCAUCAUAUCUUUUAGAAUUGUUUAAUUAUUUUCACGAACAAUAUAUCUAUACUAUUAAAGCAAAAUUCUGCCAAUAACUUUUGGAGAUAAUUACAAUGGAAUGCCAUUAGAGAAUAUUCUGAAAUUCAAAAAAAGUAAACUAAAACAAUACAUAGUUAACGCCAACUAUUUCAAUCGAUGUAUGUUAAAGCGUUUUCCUAUAUCAACAACCUAUGUGACUAGAAACUAGAAGCAAUAAAAAUAUAUACAUUCUCUUUCUAAUAAAUUUAUUAAGUUUGGGGAAAAAAAUUCUACGAUUCUUUUCUAAAUAAAAUAUUACUAGGUUUCUUCCUCCACCAUGUGCAGUAAAAAAAAUUUAAAAUAUUUUUUAACAGAUAAAUAUAAAUUAUAUUUUAAAAUAUUUUUUUAAUAUUUUAAAUUUUCUUUUUCGUAUCAAUAUUUUAAUAUAAAUUUGUUUUAAUUAAACAUAAAAAUUAUAUUUAAGAAUGUGCAUGUAUAUAUUUGAAAUUAUAAUCUUAGAUAGAUUUUUCUAUCUAUUUAUUUUAAUUAAAAAUAUUAAAUAAAUUUGUAAAAGUUACACAAUUACCAAAAAUUAAAAGUAAACAAUAUUUAUAAAAAUUUUAGAUAUAUAAGAAAAUAAUGAUUUUACGAUUAAAUUUUUAUAAUCUUCUAAAAAAAAUGUAUACAUUAAUGAAAAAUUUAAUAAUAAAAUUGUAUAAUUUAAAAAUAUAUAAUUAAAUUAUAUUUCAAAAUUAUAAUGUUAUAUUUGAAUAUAUUUAUUUUAAGGGAAAAUUACAUAUUUACCACUUUCAUGCUACCACUUUUCAUUUUUACCACCAAUGUAGGGACAUUUUCAAAAAUAUUUUUUUCAUUAAGAGGCAAAAGACUCUUAUGCCAUUGUUCUUUACAUAUACUAAUGGCAAAUCACCUUGUGAGUGUGAAAUGGGACCGUUUCUAGGAGAAUGAAGGAAAUGCUAUAUUCUCCAAGUUCACUCAUGAUUAACCAGGACUGUUCACGGCCAAAAUGAACACAAUAGAGAACCUAGUUCUGUGAAAGAAUGAAGCUGUGUUAUAGCUAUUGUCUAGAUUUACACCAAAGCCCGGGAGGUUCAAGACAUCAUGGCCACCUCCUGGCCGAGUAAAUCCGAUAGCUAUUAACAAUGACUGGUUCAAGGCUGAAAAAUUGCUACCAACUCAUCAUGCAGUGGAUUUUUCGUUUGUACUCUCAAAAGUCCUAAGGUCGAGUCUUGUCUAGAAAGUCAAGUCUGUCGAGUCGUCUAGUGUCUAGAGUCAUUUCUAUUCAUGUGGGGGAUUGUUGGAGCUAUUUUUUGAACAUUAUGAAUAAGGUAUUCAUAUGACAAAAAUGAAGUUUUAUUUGAAUGAGAAAUGAAGGUAUAAUGUGUGUGAUUUGAGAAUCUUGUAUAAAGUAGCAAAUACAUACAUUAGAUAUUUGAUCUUGGAUUUGGGUUUUGAUUUGUUAGUUGGACUUCAUGUUCAUUAACUUAAAUCAAAUAUAUGUUGAUCUUUUAUAUUGAUAAAAUAUAAAAAAUCAUUUUAAAGUAUAUUAUUUAGUUUGAAUUGUUCAAACAAAAAAAUAAUUUUACUCUUUAAUUUUGGAUCAAAAUGUGGAACAAAUUCACAUAAUAAUUGACAAGAAUUAAAGACUCCAUUAGUGCACCAUGGAGGUUUCAUUUUUUGUGUUGAAAAAUGAAACGUGUGCUUCUCAUGAUUUUUCUAUAAAAGGGCUUGCUAGCAUUAUAGAAAAGAUAUACAUUCAUACAAUCAAAGAAACAAUUUUCCCACUCAUAAUAGUUAUGCUAGUAUUUUAUUUUAUUUUGAGUCUGAGAGUACAUCACAAAAAUAGGGUCGAUAGAUUCUGUUUUUCCGGUGAUGGUAAACAGAAACAAUGCUGCAGUUGUAUCAUGGGAAUCUGAGCGCCAUGAAACCGUCACACUACGGGGCGUUUAAAGAUUUAAGGAAAGAGAUUAACUAUCUUGACUCUACAAUUCUUCUUUAUUUUUAUAUUUCGGUAUUGUAAUUUUAAUUUAUGUUUUUAUUAUUUUUUACAAAUAUCAGUUGUCCUAUAGUAGUAAAAUAAGGUUCCUACAGAGUCGUGGUCACAUCACGCGACCAAGGGCAAUCCCAAUAUAGUGUAAUGAUAUGUUGAAGAGAAGAUCCCAUCUCGAAAGUUUUGUUGUGGAAUCCUCUCUCCAGGACAAUCCUACCAAUAUCAAUUUUUUUUGUCUAUAUAUUGAUUAUUGAAAAUCUGAGUACACCAGUAAUCUAGCAUAAUACACUACAAUCAGUGUUAAUUCAUGAUUACAUACUAAACACCAUUGCAUAUUGAUUUUAAUAUCAAUUUCAUAUCUAUACUAUUAAAACAAGAUUAUGCCCUUAAUUUUUAAGUUAUUUACAAAAGAAUGUCAUCAUAUCUUUUAGAAUUGUUUAAUUAUUUUCACGAACAAUAUAUCUAUACUAUUAAAGCAAAAAUUUUUAUAAUUUUCUAAAAAAAUUGUAUACAUUUUUGAAAAUUUUAGUAAUAAAAUUGUAUAAUUUAAAAAUAUAUAAUUAAAUUAUAUUUCAAAAUUUAUAACGCCAUAUUUGAAUAUCUUUAUUUUAAUGAUGAUUUAUGAGUUAUUCCUAUAUUCUAAAAAAAAAUCAAAAAUAUAAAUUGACAUUAAAUGUAAUAUAUGAGUUAUCACCAUAUUUUAAAAAGUUUAUCAAAAAUAUAAAUUAUCAUUAAAUGCAAUUUUCCAUGUCUUAUUAAGCUAUAAGACAUGUCAUCAAUUUCAGUAGUCAUGUCAUAUUUGUUUUGUGAAAUUGAUUGUAGAAAAAAUGGACAUGUGGCAAAAUCACUUCUCAAAUAUAGUCUAUAAAUUUGAUUUAAUUAAACAUAAAAAUUAUAUUUAAGAAUAUGCAUGUAUAUAUUUUAAAUUAUAAUCUUAGAUAGAUUUUUCUAUCUAUUUAUUUUAAUUAAAUAUAUUAAAUAAAUUUGUAAAAGUUGCAUAAUUACCAAAACUUAAAAUUAAACAAUAUUUAUAAAAUUUAUAGAUAUAUAAGAAAAUAAUGAUUUUACAAUUAAAUUUUUAUAAAAAAUUGUACACAUUUUUGAAAAUUUUAGUAAUAAUAUUAUAUAAACUAAAAAUAUAUAAUUAAAUUAUAUUUCGAAACUUAUAAUGUCAUAUUUGAAUAUAUUUAUUUUAAUGAUGAUUUAUGAGUUAUUCCCAUAUUCUAAAAAAAGUUCCAAAAAUAUAAAUUGACAUUAAAUGUAAUAUAUGAGUUAUUACCAUAUUUUAAAAGGUUUACCGAAAAUAUAAAUUAACAUUAAAUGCAAUUGUUCAUGUCAUAUUAAGCUAUAAGACAUGUCAUCAAUUUCAGUAGCCAUGUCAUAUUUGUUUUGUGAAAUUGAUUGUAGAAAGGACAUGUGGCAAAAUCACUUCGCAAAUAUAGUUUAGGGGAUAACAUUGGUUUCUUUCUUUGCUAUAGGGAGGAGGUAGCUCUGAGUGGCUGAUGCGUGAGAGAUGGGAAAUGCAGACAGUUUCUAUUUUUGACUGAAGAAAAAAAGAGAAACUCUGGUUGCUUGAGUAUUAAGGUACUUGGUGUUUUCUAGGUCAUUAAAAGCCCAUCUUGGGGCGAAUUAGGGUUGAAGUUUGAUGAAACAUAGAAAUGAUAUUAGGAUAAAAAUAAGAUGUGGUGGUUGAGUGUAUUGAUCAGAGAGAUAAUCUCUCUUGCUUUUGUUAAAAUAUUUAGUGCAUAUCAUUCUCUAUGAUGAGUAGAUAGAUUAUUAUCUCAAUUCCACUACUGUUAUAAACGUAAGGAGUGAGAUUAAUUUUGUUCUUAGACAGUUUUGUUUUGACAGAAUUAACUGAGAUGGCAGCAACCAUCAUAGGUAGAAAUUUCCAAUAGAUAGUUAGGAAAUUUAAAAAGAUUUAAUAAUACCAAUAGUUUAGGAAUUUCCAAAACUAAUUGUGUAUAUUCCAAAGAAUAUAUUUUUCAUUAACUAACUUUAAUAUCUACUACCAAACUUUAGCAAAAACAAAAAACUUUAAGAUCGACCAACCUAAUCCUAUAAAUACAAUUAUAGCUACUGUAAGUUUUCUCAUCUUCAUUCCAAACAAAAACCGAAAAUGUCUUCUAUUAUACAAAUCACCUUUUUGAAAAAUGUGAAACCUUUCGAAAUAGGUUGUAAUGUUAAUCUUACAUAUGUGGAAGCAUUACAACUCCAUGUAUAGAGAUAUCAGAAACCUAUUACAGUAGAACCUCUAUAAAUUAAUACUCGAUAAAUUAAUACUCGAUAAAUUAAUAAUAUGUAUAAAUUAAUAAAUUUCGUCGCUCCCAGUUUGGACCGGUGUAAAUUCUCAUGUAAAUAUAUAGUCAUAUUUUUAAAAUUCUCAUGUAAAUAUAUAGUCAUAUUAAAAUCAUAAAUUAAUAAUCUAUCUCUAUAUAUUUUAUAUAAGUACAAACUAAACAUUAUAUUGUUGGUUUUACUAUUCACAAUGAAAAUACUUCCAUUUUUCUUAAUAUUUUAAUAUAUUUUGAAAAUAUUUAGCAAAAUAAUAUCGAAAACCACAUAACAAUUCUAUGAAACAUAAAAAUAUACACCAAAUAAGAUAAUAAAAUAAUAUGAAAGUCAAAUUUCUAAAAUUAAAUAAUUUAUAUACGGUAAAAUCAAGAAUUUUCUUAUUUUAUUAAUAAAAAAUUCAAAAAUAGAAAAAUCUAAAAACGGAAAAUUUUGUAAAUUAAUAUCUCUAUAAAUUAAUAAAAUUUUAAAGUCCCAACAUUAUUAAUUUAUAGAGGUCCUACUAUUUUGUAAACAAAAACAAUAAUUAAAAAACAUAAAAAAAUCAUCACAACGAUAUCAGCACAAUUCUAAAUGUCUUAUACACAAACAUAAAAUCUAUAAAAAAAAAAUACAGUUUACAAAUAUUUGUAUUUUUAAUAAAAUAAAAAUAUAUAAUUAAAUUAUAUUUCGAAACUUAUAAUGUCAUAUUUGAAUAUAUUUAUUUUAAUGAUGAUUUAUGAGUUAUUCCCAUAUUCUAAAAAAAGUUCCAAAAAUAUAAAUUGACAUUAAAUGUAAUAUAUGAGUUAUUACCAUAUUUUAAAAGGUUUACCGAAAAUAUAAAUUAACAUUAAAUGCAAUUGUUCAUGUCAUAUUAAGCUAUAAGACAUGUCAUCAAUUUCAGUAGCCAUGUCAUAUUUGUUUUGUGAAAUUGAUUGUAGAAAGGACAUGUGGCAAAAUCACUUCGCAAAUAUAGUUUAGGGGAUAACAUUGGUUUCUUUCUUUGCUAUAGGGAGGAGGUAGCUCUGAGUGGCUGAUGCGUGAGAGAUGGGAAAUGCAGACAGUUUCUAUUUUUGACUGAAGAAAAAAAGAGAAACUCUGGUUGCUUGAGUAUUAAGGUACUUGGUGUUUUCUAGGUCAUUAAAAGCCCAUCUUGGGGCGAAUUAGGGUUGAAGUUUGAUGAAACAUAGAAAUGAUAUUAGGAUAAAAAUAAGAUGUGGUGGUUGAGUGUAUUGAUCAGAGAGAUAAUCUCUCUUGCUUUUGUUAAAAUAUUUAGUGCAUAUCAUUCUCUAUGAUGAGUAGAUAGAUUAUUAUCUCAAUUCCACUACUGUUAUAAACGUAAGGAGUGAGAUUAAUUUUGUUCUUAGACAGUUUUGUUUUGACAGAAUUAACUGAGAUGGCAGCAACCAUCAUAGGUAGAAAUUUCCAAUAGAUAGUUAGGAAAUUUAAAAAGAUUUAAUAAUACCAAUAGUUUAGGAAUUUCCAAAACUAAUUGUGUAUAUUCCAAAGAAUAUAUUUUUCAUUAACUAACUUUAAUAUCUACUACCAAACUUUAGCAAAAACAAAAAACUUUAAGAUCGACCAACCUAAUCCUAUAAAUACAAUUAUAGCUACUGUAAGUUUUCUCAUCUUCAUUCCAAACAAAAACCGAAAAUGUCUUCUAUUAUACAAAUCACCUUUUUGAAAAAUGUGAAACCUUUCGAAAUAGGUUGUAAUGUUAAUCUUACAUAUGUGGAAGCAUUACAACUCCAUGUAUAGAGAUAUCAGAAACCUAUUACAGUAGAACCUCUAUAAAUUAAUACUCGAUAAAUUAAUACUCGAUAAAUUAAUAAUAUGUAUAAAUUAAUAAAUUUCGUCGCUCCCAGUUUGGACCGGUGUAAAUUCUCAUGUAAAUAUAUAGUCAUAUUUUUAAAAUUCUCAUGUAAAUAUAUAGUCAUAUUAAAAUCAUAAAUUAAUAAUCUAUCUCUAUAUAUUUUAUAUAAGUACAAACUAAACAUUAUAUUGUUGGUUUUACUAUUCACAAUGAAAAUACUUCCAUUUUUCUUAAUAUUUUAAUAUAUUUUGAAAAUAUUUAGCAAAAUAAUAUCGAAAACCACAUAACAAUUCUAUGAAACAUAAAAAUAUACACCAAAUAAGAUAAUAAAAUAAUAUGAAAGUCAAAUUUCUAAAAUUAAAUAAUUUAUAUACGGUAAAAUCAAGAAUUUUCUUAUUUUAUUAAUAAAAAAUUCAAAAAUAGAAAAAUCUAAAAACGGAAAAUUUUGUAAAUUAAUAUCUCUAUAAAUUAAUAAAAUUUUAAAGUCCCAACAUUAUUAAUUUAUAGAGGUCCUACUAUUUUGUAAACAAAAACAAUAAUUAAAAAACAUAAAAAAAUCAUCACAACGAUAUCAGCACAAUUCUAAAUGUCUUAUACACAAACAUAAAAUCUAUAAAAAAAAAAUACAGUUUACAAAUAUUUGUAUUUUUAAUAAAAUCUUGAAAAGAAAACAAUCUCGCGCUUUGAUUAUGUCAAAAUCUAGUACACUAUUAAAUCAGAAUCCUUCCUAUGAUUAUGUCAUUUGUUUUAAAGUUAUUUAUAAUUUCAUGCCAUUUUUAGAUUUAUGAAUUACAUUAUUAAUUAUUUUCAAGCAAUAUCUACACGAACAUAUUAUACCAUUUAAUUAAUUUUAUUAAAGAAAUUACCCUUUCUAUACAGUACAUUUCAGUUUAAAAUUACAAAUACUAACUAUAUCUAAUUUGCCUUUUAUAUUAUAGAAACAUUUGUUUAGUUUCGAGAUAUUUUCAAAAUAUUUUUUUGUUUAUUUAAAAUAGGUUUACAAAUAGAAUAUAUUUACCAAAUAUUUUGUUAAUUCAAAAUAUGGUACAUGAUUUUCUUUGCUACAAAUACUAUAACUUGGGCAACACCCAACCUACUUUAAUACACGGUAGAAAUAAAAAAUAUCAUUUAAUAGUAUAGAUGAGUUUAUAACUUGGCCAACACCCAAUACAUUUUAUACACUGUAAGAAUAUAAAAUUAUUAUAUUGAUUUCUAUAGAAACUUCGUUCAUAAUAAUAUCUAUUUUAUAAAUAUAAAAAUAAUUGAUCAAACAUUAUUACUCUUUUUAGAAUUGGAAAAUUAGUUAGCAUAAAUCAUUAUUUGUAAUAUUAUUUAUAUUAUUUGGCUAAUGAUAUUAAUGUUUUCUUGAUUUUUAUUAUUUUAGAUCAAACUAAAAUAAAUAAAAUUAAAAAAUUAUUGAUCAAUAAAAUUAUAACAAUUUUUAAGACUUCACCGAUAAUCAAUACGUAAGAAAAAUCACUUAAGUAACUUCUCAUUUAAAAUAUCGGUGGAUUUAGAUUUGUUUAUAAAUGACUUAUAUGCUCUUAUAAACAAUUUUAAAAUGAUUUAUAGAUUGAUUUUGUAAGCGGCGAUAAAUAAUUAUUUUUUAUUAAUUCUUUAUAAAGUAUGUGUGGAAAUUAUAAUAUUUAAUAGUUAUUAUAAAAUAUAAAAAUAUAACUCGUUAUGUAAAAUACAAAAUUAUUAGAUUUAUUUUAGAUAAAAAAUUCGUUCAUUAUAUUAUAUAGUCUAUAAACAUUAAAAAUAAUUGAUCAAACAUUAUUAGUCUAGUUCGGCAAUUAGUUACCAUAAAUUAUUUAUAAUAUUUUUAGAUUAUUUGGUAAGUGAUAUUAAUUGGUUUUAGACUUACUUUAAUUUUUAGAUCUAAUUAAAAUAAAUCAAAUUAAAAUCAUCUACCAAUCAAAUUAUAAAAAUUUCUUAAGAUUUCACCGGUGAUCAACACAUAAGAAAAAAACCAAUUAAAUGACUUUUCAUUUAAUAUAUAAUUUAAAUUUGUUUAUUAAUAACCUAUAUGUUUUUAUAAAUUUUUUAAAAUGAUUUAUAAAUUGAUUUUGUAAGAGAUGAUAAAUAAUUUUUUUAAUUUUUAUUAAUGAUUUAUGAAGUAUGUGUGGACAUUAUCAGAUGUUAAUAGUUAUUAUAAAGAUACAUAAAACUAUAAUUCAUUAUGUAAAAUAUAAAUUUAUUAUACCUAUUUUACAUUAAAAAAUUCGUUUAUUAAAUUAUAUAGUUUAUAAAUUUUAAAAAUAACUGAUCAAACAUUAUUCUUUUUAUAAGUUUGAAAAUUAGUUACUAUAAGUUACUAUUUGUAAUAUUUUUAGAUUAUUUGGAAAAUGAUAUUAAUUGUCCAGGAAUUACGUUUAAUUUUUUGCUCUAAUUAAAAUUAAAAAAAAUUAUCGACCAAUCAAAUUAUAACAAUUUCUUAAGAUUUCACACGUGAUCGACACAUAAGCAAGAUUCACUUAACUAACUUCUCAUUUAAUAUAUAAAGGAUAAUUAGCAAAAGACUUUGGCUAAACAAGAUAAAUCUUAGUGCUUUAAUCCAAAAUUUUGUCUAGCCCAAGUAUCACUUUCCUUAAUACACCAAAGUGUUUACAAAUUUUUUAACUUUGUUUUAAUUUCUCUAUUUUAUACACAAGAGAAUUUUUACCUCAUAUUUCUAAUAUGGACAUGUUACAAGUAAUUUAUUAAAAUUUAACAAAACUAUAUUUCAAGAAUUAAUAUUGCUUUUAUAAAAUUGUGUCAUUACCAUCUUCUUUAUAAAUUAUAUAAUAUUAUUUUUCAAAACUUAUUUAUGAUGUCAAGAUUAUUGCAACAUAAUAAAUUUAUUAGAGAUAUUUAUAUUUUGACAAUAAUUUAGACAUUUCUAUUAUUUUAUAUCAUCACAUCAAAGAUUAAAGUAUAUAAAUAUUUACUUUAUGGGGGAUAGUUAAAUAAUUUAAUCUAUAUAUAAUUUUAUUACUCAAUGUAAGCAUAAUCCUAAUCAAGUUUCUAAAUUAAUGAACAUUUAAAAUUUUAUAAAUAAAAUUAGAAGCUAAUUUUUUUUAACUAAAACUAACAAAACUAAAAUUUAUUAAAUUCUAUUUAAAUAGAAAUAAAGUAGUAUAAAUUAUUGUUUUAAAAAUGAAAAAUAAUUUUAUUAAAUUAAACUAAUUUACAUAAAGUCAGAAUAUAUUAACCAAGUGGUAUUGGCCUAGUGGUAAAUGGACUUCUGCUGGAGCUUUCGCUCUGGGUUUGAUUCUCUUUGGCCACCCAUAGACGCUUUAAGUGACAAGAAAACUCGGAUUUAUGUGGGCAUUUAUGAUCACACCAAAGUUAUAAAAAAAAAACAGAAUAUAAAAUUAAACUAUAUAAGAACUAGAAAUAGUUUAUUUAUACUUUUUAAAAAUUAAUGAAAUUAUUAAAUGUAAUGUAAAUAUAUAUUUAUUUUAAAUAAAUAUCUUUUUGACAUUAUUAUUUCUGCACAUGACGCAAGAAACACUCUAGUAUAGUUAUUACAAUAUUUCCGAAAGUUUAAUUUUUCCAUUAACCAAUUUCAUCUUUUAUUAUUAUCCAAACUGAGAAUUAUACAUAACUAAACAAAAACAAUAUAUUUCAUAAAUAUAAAUAUAAUUUUUUUAAAAGAAACUGUCAAUUUCUUAAAGGAAUGUCAUAAGUAUAUACGUCUCGUUCAUGCACUUCGUGCCGUGCCACAAUAUAAAUAAAUGAAACCUUCGCUUAGGGCAGUAGAAAAUAUUUAAAGAUCAAGGCAUCAUUUAUUACUUCAGAGACAUGAUAUAAUUAUAAGAAUUUGAGUUUAUACAUUAAAACACUAUGAUAAUUAGGACUAAAAAGUUGAGCUUAUAAUGUAGAGUAACAAACAAUGUAGAUAAUUUUUAAUUGAUAAAGAAUUAGAGUAAUAAGAUGCGGGAGAUUAUAGUUUCAAAUGCGUUUUUUGAAGUAUUAAAAAACUAAGUUAAAAAUUGUAUCUUUAUUCAAUUAUGACAAAAAGAAAACAUUGAGUAAGUUGAUUAUUUUAUCUUAAAAAUAGUUAUAAAAUUGAAUGAUAAUUAAUAAUAUUUUUUUCAAAAAUAAAACUGUUAUAAAUUGAUAUUUUUGUAAGUUAUAGUAUUUCAUUUUUUUAUUCUCUAUUAUAAUAUGUAUUAUUAUUUUUAUUGAAAAUUUUCUAUUGUUCGCUUUGGGCAAUCAUUAAUGCUCGCACCGUUCUGAUGCACUUCCAUCAGAUUUGUCGUCGUCGUUAUUAUUUUUCUUGGUAAACCCAACGCAAACAAACACAAGCAGUAUGACGCACACUACAAUGCCAAGGAUUAACAAACAUGUCAACCAUACUUCCAUUGUAAAAAUAUCUAUAAGAGGUUUGUCUUUAGAAGGUGAAGCUGUCUCCUCUGUCAGAAUUUUCAGCCGGUACUUUCACCUGUAGGCACCAAAAUUUACAAGAUGGAAAUACAACAAUUUGUAUUGUUUGUAUUGGAUGUGUAUUUUCAGAAUGGGAUGAGCAUGGCUUUUUAUAGCCCUAUAAAAUAAUGUGUGCAUCUAAUAGCACCAAAUGGAGAUUACAUUUUGAUUCUCUCGUAAGGACAAUAUCAUCAGAUCUAUACUAUUAUUUGAAAAGUGAAUUUGCGUAUUUGUCAUGUUUUCUAUAAUUGUAGGAUAAUUCAUUAGUUUAGUUAAUAUUAAUAUUUAAAAUUGAAUUUUAAUAUAUAUAUUUAUCAUGAUAUUUAAAAUAUUAAUAGACAUUAUCAUAUUGUACUGAUAUAUACUAUAUUUUAAUAUAUAUAUAAUUAGGACAUUUAAUUAAUAAUAGAUAUUAACAAUAUCUACCAAUAAUAUCAUAAUUACGUUUAUCUUUUAUUUAGUUUAUGAUUUUAAUGAAUAAUAUUAUGCCCAAUUUCACUGAUUCUUAUAGGAAAUAUUGAUCCAAAUACAAAUUAUUACAAAAUUAAAAUUAAAUUAAAGGUAAAGCAUCAUUGAAAAUAUAUCAUAAAAUAUAAAUUAUAUACUUAUGUUAAAUAAUAUAUAUAUAUUUAAUGUUAAACAAUCAUAUUCCUAACCUAAAAUAAAUUAAUUUUUAUUUGUACAUGACGAAAAUCAAAAUCACAAAUGAAUUUAUGCUAAUAAUGAAUUUAGCCGUAAAAUCACAAACAUUAUCAAAUAAUAUAUCUAUAUAUAUAUAUAAAGCCAAAUAAUAAUAUUACAUAAAAAAAAUGAAAUUAAAUAAAAAUAUAUGGAAGAAUGAAAAACUGGGACUAAAACAUUAAAUAACACAAAUAAUUUACAAAUAAAAAUCAUAAUAUAAAUAUAAUCAAAGAGAAUACAGACAUAAUGUUUUGCAAUUUAUUUUUUUUGUGUUUGUCUCACUUGUUUUAAAUCUAAUUUAUAGAGAAUAUAAAAUGUUUGUUGGCUAUUGUUAUUUUGUUGAUGUUUUAUAGGUUUUGAUUGUUUAUAAUCCUUUCAGUGCCAUUGAAUUUUUUCCAGUCCACAAAUACAAUAAGUGCUUAAUUUUAAAUCUAAAUUUCCUAAUUUGAGCAUUACUACAUAUAAGGUUUUGAUCCAAAAUCAACAUCACAAAAUAUAAUAUGAAACAAAAUAACAUAAUUUAUUACACUGAUUACCAAUAUGAAUUUUGAAGAUUUAUAAUUUAUAAUAUUAAUUUAAAAUUUGUAUCUAAUUUAAUAAUUUAAUUGUUUUAUUAAAAUAAACACUAGAAAUAAAAUUAGGUAUAUAUAUAUUAAUCCAGACCAUCAACUAGUUUCCAUUACUCGAAGAUUCAGGCAAAACUUUAGUCAAAAAUGAGACCAAAGAGAUCUUACACUUUGUUAUUAAAUAUAAAUUAGCAAAAGAUUUUGGGCUAAACAAGAUAAAUCUUAGUGGUUUAAUCCAAAAUUUAGUCCAGUCCAAGUAUCUCUUUCCUUAAUACACCAAAGUGUUUACAAAAUUUUAACUUUGUAUUAAUUUAUACAUUUUAUUAACGAGAAUUUUUAUCUCAUAUUUCUUAUAUGGACAUUUUACAAAUAAUUCAUUUUAAGUUUAAAUAUAUAAAUAUAAGAUAAACGAAAUUGUUCAUUUUGAGUUAAUUUUACUUAAUUUAAAUAAACUAAAAAUUAAAAUAAAUAUUGUUAAGUCAAACAAUAUUUAUUUUAAUGAACAAUAAAAUUUAAAUCGAUAAAAUAAAAUUUAUAUUUAUAUCUAUAUAAAAAUUAUUUUGAAAGAUUUAUUUCUGCCGAAACCAACUUGUGUAACCAAAUUUCCACUGAUUCAAAGUGUCCUACAUAAAAGAUUCAAAGUGUCCUUAAACAAGAUUCAGAAUUCAAGAUAAGAUUCAAAAACAACAGAAAACGAUUCAAGUUCAUUCCUUAUGAUUCACUCGAGCAUCUCUGCUUUCACCAGUUACAAACUCCAAAUAAAGAACUUUGUUUUCAUCAUCUUCAUAACUUAAGAACGUUUGCCGAUUGCCAGGAUCUUCUUUGAGAUGUUGAAUUGAUGACUACAUUCUUAUACUAGUCAGCGAAUGUAAAACCUUCAUAGCCUUACUACAACUAUAAUCUGGGUGGUUCUCUAUCAGCUGAUUCCUGUGGGAAAGUAUCUCAUGACGUGAUUGGCUAUUGUCCCUAAUCACUUGUGCUACAGCUUGGAAAGUAGAGACAAUAACAUAGACAGGUCACUAUCAAAUAAUCAGUUUAAGAUGAUUCAAAGAUGAAAUUCAUACCUUUAUUUGUCUUUAGCAUCUCUCUAUUAGGAUUAACUCCAUAGAGUUGUUGGACGGCCAGCAUACAUUGUUUCUUCAUCGUCUAAAAUCAAAUCCGUGUUAUAUAUUAUGCACAUCCAUUGUCUUCUCACUUCUGAUUUUUUAAUUUGUAGUAGAAGAGAGACACCUAACCAAAAAGCAAUGCAAGAGAUCAGUUUCUUAAAGAGAAAAUAGAGAAGAAGCUCAAUGCACCAAAUCAGAGUCGAUUGAACUGUUUUGGAAAGAGAAAUACAAAGAAAUGCUCAGCAUAUGGGUUCACCUUAAUUUGUAAUAAAAGCUCAGCACUUAAAAUACACAUGAAUGCAUAUAUGAGAGUUAUUGAGAGCAAGGAGCGAUUGAGAAGAACUGAAACACUAUCGCAUUUUGAUCAGCUUCAGAUUAAUCAAGAUGAAAUUCAAAACCCAUAAUGAUAAGUACCUCUGUAGCUGUUGUGGAAGAAGGUAGUCAAGAUUGUUCGAGCGCGGUUCCUUCAGCUCUCACUUGAAUCUGAAGAUCCUUAGCCGUAGAAUCGAGAUCCUUACGGAUACUCUUAUGUCGAACAUUUAGGGUUUCGAGAAAUGUGGGGUAGAUUUUAGGGAGGAGCAAUGUUGGAUAAUUCCAAUUAACUUGAGGAGCAAGUUAACUCAUUAAAGUGAAGUUUGAUGGGUUAAGGAAAAAGAAAAACAUAUCGAGCUUAGGAAUGUUUCCAUAUUAUUAUUAUGAAAAGAUGUAGUUUCGCCCUUAGGAAAAGAUGUAGUUUCGUCUUAUAUAAAGAGUUCUCAUGGAGAGAUGUUCCAUCAAGAGAAACACAUUGAGAGGUUUAGUUUUGAGAGAGUUUCUAAAUCUAAUAAGAAGAGAAGUUCUUAUAAUCUUUGUGUUUGUGCAACUUCAAUUGGUAUCAGAGCUCCAGGUUUCGAAGAUCGUUUACAAGAGGAGUUGUAACUCGAUCAAAACAUGGGAGACGAUGAUAGUUCUCAAGCACGUGAUAAAGGUCUUGAGAUGAAGAAGGACAUACGAUGUCCGAUGCUAACAUCGACCAACUACACCGUAUGGUCGAUGCGAAUGAAAGUGAUGCUUCGUUUAUACGAAGUUUGGGAUACGAUUGAUCCAGGGAGUAACGAUGCAAAGAAGAACAAUAUGGCGAUUGCUCUAAUCUUUCAAUCAGUCCCGGAGGCGCUAAUACUUCAGAUUGGAGAACAUGAUACAUCGAAGAAGAUUUGGGAAGCUAUCAAAUCCCGUAACCUAGGUGCUGAUCGCGUGAGAGAAGCAAGGUUACAAACUUUAAUGUCUGAGUUCGACAAACUGAAGAUGACAGACACAGACACGGUGGAUGACUACGCAGGAAAACUUUCAGGCUUAGCAUCGAGAGCAGCCGCGUUAGGAGAGAUAAUGGAAGCAUCAAAGCUGGUAAAGAAGUUUCUGAAGGGACUUCCAAGAACGAAGUUCAUUCACAUCGUAGCUUCGUUAGAACAAGUGUUGGAUCUAAAUUCAACGGGAUUCGAAGACAUUGUUGGGAGAUUGAAGGCUUUCGAAGAACGCAUCAAAGAAGAAACCCAAGAUGAAGGUCAAUCGAAGCUCAUGUUUGGAAAGAAUGAUAUGCAAGGUAGUGGAAGCCAUAACAACUCGCGAGGAAGAGGCAGAGGUAGAGGUUAUGGUGGAAGAGGAAGAGGACAAGGAAGGUCUAAUGGUUCUGAUGGUCAUAACAAAGGAGGAGAAGCUUCAGACAAGACCAAGAAGGACUACUCUAAGGUUAGAUGUUGGCGAUGCGACAAGAUGGGGCACUUCGUGUCACAUUGUCCUACACGACCAAGAGAAGAAGCUAACCUAACGGAAACACAAGAAGCAGAUGCAUUAUAUAUGCAUGAAGUAGUAUUCCUCAACGAAGAGAGAGUGUUUCCUAAGAGGUUUGAUGAAUGCGAUGGAAAUACGAGUAUAUGGUACCUUGACAAUGGUGCAAGUAACCAUAUGACAGGCAAGAGAGAGUUCUUCUCAAACCUAGAUGAGAGCAUCAAAGGCAAAAUCAAAUUCGGUGAUGGAUCAAACGUCAAUAUUGUUAGGAAAGGUUCGAUCACGUUCAUCGGAAAAACAGGGGAGAGAAGAGCACUCAAAGAUAUCUACUACAUCCCAAGUCUUAAACACAAUAUCAUAAGUCUUGGACAAGCAACCGAGAUGGGUUGUGAGGUUAAUAUGAAAGAAGACUUACUGAUGCUGAAAGAUCCCCGUGGAAGGCUAUUAGUACAAGUCGCAAGGCAACCAAACCGAUUGUACAAGACGCCAAUGGAGGUUGAAUAUCCGAAGUGUCUUCAAAUACAAGAAACUGAUGUUACAUGGACGUGGCAUGCACGGCUAGGACAUGUGAACUUUGGAGUCAUGAAGAAUAUGGUAGACAAAGAGAUGGUAGUAGGGAUGCCUCAGGUGAUACACGAGAAAGAUGUGUGCAGCGCCUGCUUAGUUGGGAAGCAAACUCGGAAGUCUUUCCCGCCUAAAGCAAAGUAUCGAGCAUCACACGCAUUGGAGUUGGUACAUGGUGACUUGUGCGGUCCGAUAUCACCAUCAACACCAGCAAACAAUAGAUAUGUAUUUGUCUUAAUUGAUGAUUACUCAAGAUAUACGUGGACGAUGCUACUAAGAGAGAAGAGUGAAGCGUUCGAUCGGUUCAAAAAGUUCAAGGAGUACGUGGAGAAUCAAACGAAGCUACAACUCAAGACUUUUCGCACCGAUAGAGGAGGAGAGUUCACAUCUUCUGAGUUCAUUCGUUUUUGUGAAGAAAACGGUGUAACUAGACAUCUCACCGCACCGUAUACACCGCAACAAAACGGUGUGGUCGAGAGACGAAAUAGAACACUAAUGGAGAUGACUAGAAGUUUGAUGAAAGCUAUGAAGAUACCUAAUCAGCUAUGGGGAGAAGCAGUACGUCAUUCAACGUAUCUCAUAAACCGUAUUGCUACAUAGGCUUUGGAAAACAAGACUCCAUACGAAGGCUUGUAUGUUAUGAAACCGAACAUUGAGCAUCUAAGGAUUUUUGGAUGUGUAGCUUUCGUAAAAAUCAACGGUCCUCUUCUUAAGAAGCUAGAUGAUCGAUCAAGGAUGGUGAUCAACCUAGGCACAGAGCCCGGCUCAAAAGCUUACAGCCUCUAUGAUCCGGUUGCAAAGAAGAUAGUUGUUAGUAGAGAUGUAAUCUUUGACGAGAAGAAAAGUUGGGAUUGGUAUACACUAUCAACAAACGUGGACGAAGAACCAGGAUCAUCCAAGCUUCCUCAUAUCGAUGUUACAGAAGAAGGAGAUGGUGAUGAGCAUCAAGAUCACCAACACCAUGAAGAGCAAAACAAUAAUGAAGAAGAAGAAGCUGUAGACGCUGGUGAACAAGAGCAAGUAGCAGAGAACAACAAUGCAAACCAAGACCAGCAUGUAACAUCAAGAUAUGGCCGUAACAUCAGAAAACCGAAGCGGUUCGAUGAUUACAUCCUACUCGCUGAAGUUGAAGGUGGCAGACUCUUGCUCAUCAUCGAUGGUGAACCAGAAAGUUACAUCGAAGCUGCAGUGAUACAAGCUUGGAUUGAUGCAAUGAAGUCAGAGAUCGAAUCUAUCAUCAAAAACAAGACCUGGAAGCUCGUCAAGAAGCCGACAGGUGUGAAACCGAUAGGUUUGAAGUGGAUUUAUAAGAUGAAAAGGAAUGCAGAUGGAACGGUGAUCAAAUAUAAAGCAAGGUUAGUUGCAAAAGGCUACGUGCAACAACAAGGCAUAGACUUCGACGAAGUAUUUGCACCAGUUGCUCGUAUAGAAACCAUACGCCUACUCUUGGCGUUAGCAGCAACUAAUGGAUGGGAGAUCCACCACUUAGAUUUGAAAACUGCGUUACUGAACGGAGACUUAAAUGAGGAUGUAUACGUGACUCAACCAGAAGGCUUUGUGGAGAAAGGAAAGGAGGAUCAUGUGUACAAACUUAGCAAAGCACUAUACGGUUUGCGUCAAGCUCCGAGAGCUUGGAACAUCAAACUCGACCGUGUUCUCAAGGAGAUGGAGUUUACGAAGUGCACCAAGGAACCUGCGGUAUAUCAAAAGAAACAGAAGGGGGAGCUUCUGAUCAUAGCUAUAUACAUUGAUGACUUGUUUGUAACAGGGACUUCACUCAACGUUAUCAAGCAAUUCAAAGAUGAUAUGUCAAGAAGAUUUGAGAUGUCAGACCUCGGGAAGCUUACAUACUAUCUUGGUAUAGAAGUAACGCAAGGAGCUGAUGGCAUUCACAUCAAACAAGAAGGAUACGCGCAAGGUAUACUUGUCAAGACGAAGAUGGAGUCAUGUAACUAUACUCAUGUUCCGAUGCACACGAGUUUGAAAGUAUCAAAGGCAGAGGAGGAGCCUGAGAUUGAUGCAACAUCGUAUCGAAGCAUCAUAGGAUGCUUAAGGUAUCUUCUUCAUACACGACCGGACUUGGCGUUUUCGGUUGGUGUAUUAAGCAGAUAUAUGCAGAGUCCAAGAGAGAGUCAUGGAGAAGCAGUGAAGCAUCUAAUACGAUACAUAAAGGGCACUACAGAGUAUGGUCUCUUCUUCAAACGGGAUGGAACAACGGAGAUUACAGGUUACAGUGACAGCAGCCAUAACACUGACGUUGAUGAUGGAAGAAGCACUACAGGGUUUAUGUUCAACCUAGGAACAUCGCCGAUCACGUGAACAUCGUGCAAGCAACCCACAGUGGCACUCUCUUCAUGUGAGGCGGAGUUCAUGGCAGCUACGGAAGCUGCAAAACAAGAAAUAUGGUUAAAGGAGUUGAUGGUCCAGAUCAUGAACACAUAAGACAAGAAGGUCAUGUUGAAGAUUGACAACAAGUCAGCGAUAGCCCUCACCAAGAACCCGGUGUUUCACGGUAGAAGGAAACACAUACUCUCGAAGUACCAUUUCAUUCGAGAAUGUGUGGAGUUCGACUUGAUCGAAGUGAAGCACGUACCUGGAGUGGAGCAGAAGGCAGACAUACUCACUAAACCAUUAGCAAGGACAAGUUCGAAGCAAUGCGCAAGUUCAUCGGAGUUCAGAAGAUUAACAUACCCGAGAUUCGAGUUGGAAUUAAGGGGAAGAAUGUUGCAUAAUUCCAAUUAACUUGAGCAGCAAGUUAACUCAUUAAAGUGAAGUUUGAUGGGCUAAGGAAAAAAAAAAACAUAUCGAGCUUAGGAAUGUUUUCAUAUUAUUAUUAGGAAAAGAUGUAGCUUCGCCCUUAGGAAAAGAUGUAGAUUCGUCCUAUAUAAAGAGUUUUCAUGGAGAGAUGUUCCAUCAAGAAAAACACAUUGAGAGGUUUAGUUUGAGAGAGUUUCUAAAUCUAAUAAGAAUAGAAGUUCUUAUAAUCUUUGUGUUUGUUCAACUUCAAGCAAUAGCUGGAUAACCCAUACACCGAAAAUGAUUCACUUUUUUUUUUUUGCUAACUGAUUAAAAAAAUCAUGUUAAAAUAUCGAUAGUAAACUAUUAUUUUGUUUAAUUUAUGUCAAAAGUUUUCCAUAUAAUAUAAUUCACAAAAUAUAAGAAUACAUAAAUUAAUUUAAAAUUAAUAAUUUCGUACAUAAAUAAUGAAUUCUAUGAAGUAUUGAAUUUUAUGAAAUAUUAUAUACCAAUAAAAAAAUUUUAAGUUGGCGAAUUUUUUUUUUUGCAACUUUAAUAUUACCUAAAUUUUAAGACUUCAAUUAUUUUUAUGUUUUUUGAAGUGUUGUAACUGUUGAAUUUAUAUGGCAUAUAAACCAAACUGAAAGCUAUACAAAUUUGAAAAAUAUGACAUAUUAUUUUAUUAUAAAAUAUUUGUUUUUUUUAAUGUAUUAAUAUAUACAAAUAUAUUAAAUGGUUAGAUUUAUAAAGAAAUACUAUAAAAGGUCUAUACAGUUAAACUGACAAAUAACUUAUGUAACAUUUCCUUUUUGUUGAUUUAGUAUCUAACUAUGAGCAAUUAACACAUAUAUACAGUACAAGCAAUUAAAAACAUUCGAUUACUAAUUAUGAUCUGUUACAAAUUAAGAAAACAGAGUGCAAGUUCCUUUUAAAAAAGGAUUCAAAUUGUAUCAGAUUUUAAUAUUUUUUUGUGCUUAGGCCCAUGGCUGUAGUACGCAUCCGAUUUUUUGAAUUUUCAAUAUACUGUAUUAGCUUUGUCGCCAAAAAGAAAGAAAGAAAAGAUCUCGUUCCUCGUGGAGAUGCCACGAACACCGGCCAAAAAGCAGAUAUCACAAUUUCCACAGAGUUUCUCAGAGAUUUUGAAGGAGAUUUUAUUCGAAAGUUUAUAUAUAAAAUGGAGGCAGAUAGUGCUACCAAAUUAUAAAACAAUUUCUCCUUGAAUGCCACGUUUUUGUUGACCACUAACCAAUAAAAAAUAUUACAUUACACAUUUGGUAGACACACGAUCAAACUAUAUCUAUGAACAGAGGGGAAAUCAAAUAACAUAAGAAGGUUACAGAGAAGAAGAGUAACUAAACAAAAAAAAUGGAGAUAUGGCUACUCAUCUUGGUCUCUCUCUCCGUAUCUGUGCUCCUCUUUCGCCGACGUAAAUCCUCCUCCCUUCCGCAGCUACCUCCUGACCCCAACUUCCUCCCCUUUCUCGGAACACUCCGGUGGCUCCGACAAGGCUUUACUGGUCUCAACAUCUAUCUCCGUUCCGUCCACCACCGUCUCGGACCAAUCAUCUCCCUCCGCGUCAGUUCCCGUCCCGCUAUCUUCGUCGCCAACGGCUCCCUCGCUCACCAAGCUCUCGUCUUAAACGGCGCCGUUUUCGCCGAUCGCCCACCCGCGGCUCCAACCAGCAAAAUCACUUCCAGCAAUCAACACGUCAUCACUUCUGGGAUUUACGGAGCCACGUGGCGGACUCUCCGCCGAAACCUCACGUCCGAGAUUCUCCAUCCGUCACGUGUGAGAUCAUACUCCCACGCCCGUCGCUGGGUUCUCGAGAUUCUCUCUGAUCGAUUCCGUAAGCACGGAAGCGAAGAACCGAUCGUUGUCGUCGAUCAUUUUCACUACGCGAUGUUCGCGCUUCUCGCUCUUAUGUGUUUCGGAGAUAAGCUUAAUGAGGAACAAAUCAAAGAGGUUGGAUACGUUCAGAGACGAAUGCUUCUUAACUUCUCUAGAUUCAAUAUCCUGAAUCUCUUCCCUAAGCUAACCAUACUGAUUUACAAAAGCAAAUGGGAAGAGUUUCUCCAGAUCCGGAGAGAGCAAGAAGAUGUUUUGCUUCCACUGAUCCGUGCUCGGAGGAAGAUCAUUGAAGAAGAAAGGAAAGAAGAAAACAAGGACUACGUGCAAUCGUACGUAGACACUCUUCUCCAUCUAGAGCUUCCAGAUGAGAAGAGGAAGCUAAACGAGAACGAAAUCGUCAGCUUAUGCUCAGAAUUCCUCAACGGUGGGACGGACACAACAGCGACAACGUUGCAAUGGAUCAUGGCCAAUUUGGUGAAAAAUCCCGAAAUCCAAGAGAGGCUAUACCAAGAGAUCAAAGGCGUUACCGGAGAAGAAGCGAAGGAGAUCGAGGAGGAAGAGGCACACAGGAUGCCUUAUCUGAAGGCCGUGGUACUGGAGGGUCUCCGGAGGCAUCCUCCUGGGCAUAUGGUGCUCCCACACAGCGUCACAGAGGACACUGUGUUGGGAGGGUACAAGAUACCCAAGAAAGGGACGGUUAAUUUCAUGGUAGCGGAGAUAGGGAGAGAUCCUGCGGUUUGGGAUGAGCCAAUGGCGUUUAAGCCGGAGAGAUUCUUGGGAGAAGAAUCGGUGGAUAUAACCGGAAGUCGAGGGAUCAAGAUGAUGCCGUUUGGAGCGGGGAGGAGGAUCUGUCCAGGAAUCGGGCUAGCGAUGCUGCACUUGGAGUACUACGUGGCGAAUAUGGUGAGGGAGUUUGAGUGGAAAGAAGUCAAAGGUUGUGAAGUUGACUUGGCGGAGAAGGUGGAGUUCACUGUCGUUAUGAAGCAUCCACUUAAGGCUCGUGCUGUGCCCAGGUGAAGUUCAGACACUGGAGUUUCCGAGACGUUGAUUUGGGAAGUGAUCUGAAGUUGAGCUUAUCUUAGUUUAAUUUUUCCUAUAAAAGGUGUUUGAAUCUCAUCAUCUUUUGAACUUGAGGUCCCCCACAAUCAAAGCUCCAAUAAGAGGAAACAAAUAAAAUUAAAUUUGAAACUAUCUUUUGGGCGGUAACAUAUUUUUGGUGGUUAAAUAAAAAAGGUUUUAUUAAAAUCAAAUAUCCUAAAAUUAUGGAAAACACAUUCAAAUAGCAUUAAAAUUAUUUUUUAUCCCAAAAUAGUACACAAAGAAAAACACACCAAAAUAACUCACUAAAAUGUCAAAUUACAAAUAUACUUUUAUUUAUAGCUAAAUUAUUUCAGUUUAGUGAUUGCAUGCUGAGGAUAAUUGAUCCAGUCAUUACUCCUGCUUGCGAGCAGGACGUCGGCGUUUGAUUCAUGCCUAGACGAAUUCCAGCUUCAGAGCCAGAUUCGUUCAUGCUUCCAAGUAAAAUGAAAAACUUCUAUUAAAUUGAGAUAUUUAUAUAUUUCACGAUUUAGAGGAAUCUAACCCAAUUCAAAAUUUUGACUAACGGUAAUCUAUAGAAAGGAGACUCCAAGAAAAAAUAAUCAACUAUUCAAAAUUUUGACUAUAGAGUUAGACAAUUAGAAAUAUGGUUCUUUAUCUAAUACGUUGUAGUCUCGGUUCUAAAGAUCAAUAAAAAAAUAUUUUUGAUCCUUGUGUCUAUUUGUUACUACUAACUUCUUGUUUCUAUAGUGUCGUAAAGAAUUCUGCACAAAUUUACCCUACCAAUUUGGUGCUAUAAGGAAGGAUAACCAGAUCUAAACGAUAAGGCAAGGUGAGUAUCAAAUGUUUUUCACUCCAGCUGAAAUUGAGUUACGAGCCCAACUCACAAUCAUGCCAAGACUUACCUUUAAUUUCCAGAUUUAAUUAAGAUCAAAAUUAUAAAUAAUCAACCAAUCAAAUUAUAAAAAUUUCUUAAGAUUUCAUCAGUGAUCAACAGGUACUUUUGAUUUAAUAUAUAAUAAAGGGAUAAUUAGCAAAAGACUUUGGGCUAAACAAGAUAAAUCUUAGUGGUUUAAUCCUAAAUUUAGUCCAGCCCAAGUAUAUAUUUACUUAAUACACCAAAGUGUUUACAAAUUUUUUAACUUUGUUUUAAUUUCUCUAUUUUAUACACGAGAGAAUGUUUACCUCAUAUUUCUAAUAUGGACAUUUUACAAACAAUAUAUUGUAAUAUAUUUUGACAAAAUUAUAUUUCAUGAAUAUAAUAUUGCUUUUAUAAAAUUGUGUGAUUACCAUCUUCUUUAUAAAUAAUAUAAUAUUAUUUUCAAAAGUUAUUACAUGAUGUCAAGAUUAUUGUAACAUAAUAAAUUUAUUAGAGAUAUUUAUAUUUAUACUGUUUAUAUCAUCACAUCAAAGAUUAAAGUAUAUAAAUAUUUACUUUUUUGGGGAUAGUUAAAUAAUUAAAUCUAUAAGUUUUUUACUCAAUGUACGCAUAAGCCUAAUAAAGUUUCCAAAUUACUGAACAUAUUUAAAAUUUUAUAAAUAAAAAUCAGAACAUAAUUUUUAACUAAAAACUAACAAAACUAGAAUUUAUUAAAUUCUAUUUUUUUUAAGGAAAUGAAAUAGUAUUAAUUAUUGUUCCAAAAAUGAAAAAUAAUUUUAUUAAAUAAAACUAAUUUACAUAGAAUCAUAAUAUAAAAUUAAGCUAAAUAAAAAAUAGAAAUAGCUACUUUAUACUUUCUUAAAAAUAAAUGAAUUUAAAAUUAAAUGUAAUGUAAAUAUUUUUUUAUUUUUAAAAAACAUCUUUUAGACAUUAUUAUUUCUGCACAUGAUACAAGAAAGAAGGGCUUUUUGCAAAAUUGACCUACAACUUAAAGUCAAACACAAAACUAACCUCUUUUUUUUUUGAAAAUUGGUUUUGCCCUAUUCACCCCACAAGUUCAUAUAAUUUACGAAAAUGCCAUCAAAUUUUUUUUUUUUUUUUCGAAAAUGACAUCUUUACUUUCUCACCCUCAUCAUCUUCAAGUAAUUACAAGAUUGCCAUUGUCAUCAAUACCACAACCACCAUGAACAACCAAUUUGAAGCUCUUAAUGCUCCCAAAAUCGAUUUACCUUUCUUCUUUUUCCAUUCUUGUGAACUAAACACAACUUAUCUCUCACUUUCUCUCCACAAUGAGCUAAAAAAACUCAAGAUUUUGAUUCUAAAAUUUUUAUGGUUCAUAGAGUCAUAGAAGCUAACGAUUCUGGGUGGGUGACUUUCGUUUGUGAUUCUGUGUGCUUGGAGAAGCCUUAUGUAUGCUAAGGAACUUAUCUCACCAAUUUAAAGUAUGACAUCGAGUUUUUUUCUAGAUCUGUUCGUCAGACGACUUACUUAGGGAAGUCGUCUGGCUGUAGACGACUUACCUGGAAGUCGUCUGGCUGUAGACGACUUACCUGGAAGUCGUCUGGUCAACGCAAAGGUUAUUUUUGCAAUUGACUUUGAAAUCUGUAACCUGAGACGACUGAAAGUUAAGUCUUCUACUAUUGUUUGGUUUCAAAAAAAUUUCCAAAGAACCUAGACGACUUACAUUUCAGCCGUCAUAGGUUAGUUUUGCAUUUGACUGGAUAAUUACAGAAGUUUGACUUCCCCAGACGACUUACAUUUCAGUCGUCUGUCGAAAAUUAAAAUAAUAAUAUUUUUUUAAAAGUAAACGACUUACAAUUAAGUAGUCAUAGGUUAGUUUUGCAAUUGAAAAAAAAACUUCAAGAUUUAAUUAUACACAGACGACUUAUAAUUCAGUCGUCCACCAGACGACUUACUUGUAAGUUGUCGAGGAUUUUUUUCCGAGAUUCUGGUCAAACCUCGUAAAUCCUGGACGACUUACAUUUCAGUCGUCUCGUGAACGACUGAAUUAUAAGUCGUCUGUAUAUAAUUAAAUCUUGAAGUUUUUUUUUUUCAAUUGCAAAACUAACCUAUGACGACUUAACUGUAAGUCGUCUACUUUUAAAAAAAUAUUAUUAUUUUAAUUUUCACUAGACGACUAAAAUGUAAGUCGUCCAGAAAAGUCAAACUUCUGAAAUAAUCCGGUCAAAUGCAAAACUAACCUAUGACGGCUGAAAUGUAAGUCGUCUAGCUUUUUUAGAGUUUUUUUUAACCAAACAAUAGUAGACGACUUAUUUUUCAGUCGUCCGAAAUAACAGAUUUCAAAGUCAAUUGCAAAAAUAACCUCUGCGUUGACCAGACAACGUAUAGUUUAGUCGUCUGGACAACUUAGAUUGAAGUCGUCCGCGUCUUCUCCGCUAGUUUUUAAGUCUUCUACGUUAGUUUUUGAAUAACUUGUAUUUUUAAGAGUGAUAAGUAACUUCAAGAUAUGUAAAACUCAUAUUUACAAAAUAUGUUCUCUCCCUUAGUUUUACUAAAUUUGACUAAGUUUUUCAAUGCAAACUUAUAAAAAAUAUGAUAUGCUUUGACUAGUUACUAUUGUUUGUUUCCAUCUCUUAAGUAUUAUUGUUAUAGACAAUAAUGAUGACUAUUGUUAUGAGUUGGAAGAAUGGUUAAAUGCUUCUUAAAAUGUUGUAUCAAUAUGAAGCUACCAACAUUCUUGUUUAUUAAGAUGAGAAAAGGCCAUUGGAGUUUAUUAUUGCAUAUGAGAGAUCCAAAGAUAAGAAAAAGGCUACUGAAGUCUAUUAUUUCAUUGAUUUGUAAAUGUGUAAACACAUUGUUAGCACAUUUAAUACAUCUUGGAAAACAUUAUUACUGAUUUUACAAAAAAUUCACAACUAAAAGAGUAGACAUGCAAUUCACAAAACAGACCACAAACAAAACUAUUAUAGAUCAUUCCUCUACAAAGAGAAGCUUGGAUUCCACUUGAGUAGACAAGACCAGGCGACUUCUAAGAAGUCCAGACGACUUCCAGGAAGUUCAGACGACUUUGUCAGAAGACUUUUAGGAAGUUCAGACGACUUCCACACGACUUUACAGGAAGUCCAGACGACUUUUAGGAAGUCCAGACGACUUUCAGACGACUUCCAGACGACUUCCAGACGACUUCCAGACGACUUCCAGACGACUUCUAGACGACUUCCAGAUGACUAACAAGUAAGUCGUCCCAGAAGUCUUCCAGAUCUGAAAAACCUGCAUAUUAAAUCCAGAUCUGAAAAACUUGCAUAUUCAAAAACGUUCAAAUGGCUUAAAAACAGAAAAAAUGAGUGGAAGAUUAGAUAAAUCUACCUUUACAGAACACACAAAAUUACAUAUCUAAAAAUAAUAGAUCUACCUUUAAAUUAGUGGAAGAUAAGUACCAUCUAAUUAAAAACCUGCAAAAAAGAUAGAUUAGUAAGAAAGACAUGAGACAAAACUAAAAAAUUCAUAUAAAGUUUGGUGUUUUCAAGUCAAAGAGAUUAGAGUGGGUUUGGAGAGUUUUAGUUUGAGAAAAAAGUAAGAACUUUAUACAACAAGAAGUUACCAAAUGAAGAAAAAUCAGACAUAAGAACUUACCAAAACGCUCAGAAAAAUCCAGACGACUUCCUGGAAGUCCAGACGACUUUGUCAGAAGACUUCCAAGAAGUCCAGACGACUUCCAGACGACUUCCAGACGACUAACAAGUAUGUCGUCUCAGAAGUCUUCCAGAUCUGAAAAACCUGCAUAUCAAAUCCAGAUCUGAAAAACCUGCAUAUCCAAAAACGUUCAAAUGACUUAAAAAUAGAGAAAAUGAGUAGAAGAUUAGAUAAAUCUACAUUUAUAGAACACACAAAAAAUAUAUAUCUAAAAUUAAUAGAUCUACCUUUAAAUUAGUGGAAGAUGAGUACCAUUUGAUUAAAAACCUGCAAAAGAGAUAGAUUAGUAAGAAAUACAUGAGACAAAACUGAAAAAUUCAUAUAAAGUUUGGUGUUUUCAAGUCAAAGAGAUUAGAGAGAGGUUGGAGAGUUUUAGAAUGAUGAACAUUACAUUUUUGUUGCAGGCAUUUGAGAGGAGGAGAGAGAAUGUGUAAAUUUUUCUUUAUAUAAGGAGACAAAAAAUCCAAUUAGGUUAAAUAUUUUUGACUCAGACGACUUUCUAGAUGACUUACAUUUCAGUCGUCUGUUGAAGAAAUUAAAACAGACGACUUAAAUGUAAGUCGUCCAGAAGAGUUUAAUAUUUUUAGUGGGAAAUUAAAUAUUUUUAGCGGGAAACUAAAAUAGAAGACUUUCCAGACGACUUACAAGUAAGUCGUCUGGUUUAAAUUAUUUAAGCGGGAAAAUAAUUUUUUAAAAAAAAAUUAGGCGGGAAUAUUUGGACGACUUACAUGUAAGUCGUCUGUUUUAAUUUCUUCACCAGACGACUGAAAUGUAAGUCGUCCGAGUAAAAUGAUCCGGUUAGGUUAAAACGUACAUUGGUAAUAUUAAAGGUUCGGUACGAUGUGGACGACUGAAAUAUACGUCGUCCGGGUAAAUUAUUCAACAGACGACUGAAAUAUAAGUCGUCCACACCCUAAACAUAACCCCUAAACUUAAUUAUCUAAUUAAACACUUCAUAAAACCAAAUCAAACUUGAAAAGUGUUUACUAUACACAGAAAUAAACACAUAUAGGUGAAAACUAAUUUUUGAAAAAAACAUUUUAGUUUUCCAAAAUCUAACCCUAACAAUACAUACAAUACUACAACAUAUGUUUGCCAAACUCCUAAACCAAAGUAUUUCAUGAUUCACUACUUCCACUCAUCUAUCUUCAAAACAAAUCAAUUUUAUCAUAUCUUAAUUUAUAUCACUUAAAACUGUUUAUAAUUACUUGAUUUUUAUUUUUCACGCAUCAAAAUAUUUUUUUACAAAAUUUAUAAAUUAUUUUUAAAAUAAACUUGUACCAGACGACUUACACUUCAGUCGUCCAGACGACUUCCAACAUCUCAGACGACUCAGACGAUUUACUGGAGGUAUAUUCGUAAAAAUGGCUUCUGUUUUUUUGUUUGGUCACAAGGAGUUGAGCUGUAAUUUCACUAGGCUUUUAGGUUAGUUUUGCAUUUGAUUCAAGUUUAGGUAUAGGUUUGGGAUUAAAAUCAAGUUGUGGGUUAGUUUUGGAUCGUUUUAUAGGAUUCUUUCUUAUUUCGUCUAUGUCUUAGGGUUAAAAUCAAAAAAUAUUGAUUGUUUUCGCGAUGUUUCCUUACGUUUUCGAUAAAACCCUCUUGUAAAAGUAUUUUAACAAUGCUUUCGGUGAUGUUAGUCGAUCCUAUCCGAACUGUUCCUUUUCUAUUCAUGUCAGCAUUUCGUAUAGAGGUUAUUAUAUCAGCAAUAGUGUCUUUCCCCAUGAUAAGUUAAAAUUCCUUAAUUGUUCUAUAAUUUUGAUAUAAUCAACAUGUUAUUUUUCUUUUAUUUAUAUAAAAAUAGAGACGAAUUAUAUAUUAAUAUAUGAAUUCAAUUAUUAAUAUAUAAAAUUAUUAAGGGUAUAUGCGUGAUACACAAUCUAUUAAUUAUAAUUAAUUUGAUUUCAAUACCAUAUUUUUAAUCCUAUCCUAUAUUAACUAUCGAUAUUUAGGUCUUAUAAUACUUCAGGAGCUAAUGAAACUAUUUUAGUAAAGUUUAAUUGUCUCAAUUCCCGUGGGAUCGCCCCAAAAACGCGAGUUCCUUUUGGAUUUCCUUCUUGAUCAAUGACAACUGCGGCAUUGUCGUCAUAUCGUAUUAUCGUCCCAUUCUUACGUUUGAGUUCUUUACAAGUACGUACAAUUACAGCUCUGACCACUUCUGAUCUUUCUAGAGUAGUAUUUGGGAUUGCUUCCUUGAUUACAGCAACAAUAACGUCACCAAUAUGAGCAUAGCGGCGAUUACUAGCUCCUAUUAUUCGAAUACACAUCAAUUUUCGAGCCCCGCUGUUGUCUGCUACAUUCAAAUAGGUUUGUGGUUGAAUCAUAUUUUUGUAUCUCUUCUUUUAGUGCAAAGGACGAAGUAAAAAAAAUAUUGUUUGUCAAAAAAAAACUUAUAAUCUUUUUAUCCUUAAAUGUUAUUUAGCUUUUUCAUUCUAUAUUCCUAUUCAGAAAUAAUGAAUUGGGUUUUUAUAGGCAUUUUUGAUGCCGCGAUUGAAAUAGCUUUUCUGGCUAUAUUUUCUGGUACACCACCCAUUUCAUAAAGGAUUUUACCUGGUUUAACCACAGCUACCUAGUACUCUGGGGAUCCUUUCCCAGAACCCAUACGCGUUUCCGCGGGUCUUACUGUAACUGGCUUGUCUGGAAAUAUACGUACCCAAAUUUUUCCACCACGUCGUAUAUUUCGUGUCAUUGCUCGUCGCCCUGCUUCUAUUUGUCUAGAUGUAAUCCAAGCGGGUUCAAGUGUUUGAAGAGCAUAUCUGCCAAAACAAAUACGAUUCCCACGAGAGGAUAUUCCUUUUAGUCUUCCUCGAUGUUGUUUACGAAAUUUGGUUCUUUUUGGGUUAUAGUUGAUGGGUUUUUUCUACCAUCUCUACUGCAGAACUGGACGUGAGAGUUUCUUCUCAUCCAGCUCCUCGCGAAUAAAAGGAUUAAUUAAGAUAUAGAUGUAGUUAAUGAUUAAUCCUAUUAAUCAUGGUAUUUUUUUUUAUUUCAUCUUAUCUCUUCUAAAUUUGUGUAUGUCUUUUUUGAAAUAGAAUCAAAGAUCAAUUUUAUUUCGAUUUAUUUAAAAAUAACGUAAUAUCAUCAUUACAAAUGUAAUUUUUAUUAGAGUUAGGAUAUUAUAACAAAUCCUUAUUUUAUUUUUUUCAUUGUUUUUUUCAUCUUUUAUUACUGUUUUUAUUUGAAAAAAAAAACCAAUUUUUCGCCGGCGAAUAUUUACUCUUUCAAUAUCUAUUUAAGUUUGCUGUUUAUCCCCCGAGGUCUCAGAAUCAAAAUAAGAAAUCAGAAUAGAUAAUAAAGUUUCUGGUUUAUUCCGCCAUCCUGUCCAAUGAAUUACUAAGAUUUCUUGUUCACUAGAAUCCUAUAUAUUCAUGGGUUCCGUCGUUCCCAUCGCUUCUUGAUUAAUCAUUAGGCCUGAAUUCUACAAUGGAGCUUUUACAUGAAAUUUUGAAUUUCUUUUUUUUUUUUAGGCAAUUUUCUCAGUUUUUAUUGGCUCAAGGCUCUUAAUUUUUUGUUUUCGGAACAGAUUUAUCUAAUUAUUAUGAAUGAAUCUGUAUUGAUGCUUUAUUACAUUGCUUUUCUUACAGUGACCUCAUAGAUUUUCCAAAUUGGAAUCAUAUAUCAUUAAUAUUCAAUUUUUUCGCUCUUUCUUUCAUCCUUCCAUUUAUCCGCAUACUUUUUGAUUACCUUUCAUAACUUAAUAAUCAUCUUUCUUUAUUCUUUUUUUUUAGUCAGUUGCUCCAAUGAUAUGAUCAGCCUAUCAUAUCUUGACUAAUUUUUUGGAUCCAGAUAAUGCGAAGCAAUGAGUUGCUUAGGUUAUUUAUUAAUGCUGUAGUUAUUAGUUGGUAAGUUCUUUUUUUUUAUCGUAAUCUAACCCUAAACCAACGAGUCACACACUAAGCAUAGCAAUUAUAUCAAAGGAGUUUUGAUGGAAAUGUUUAUUCAACCUUAUAGAAUUGCUUAUUUUUUUUUCUUAAACAUAAAAAAGAAGACUACAAGUUUUUAUUUUUAUUUCUUUAUAGUGUUAUACUACAUAGUUUUCGUUUUUUAUCAUUGGAUAAAAUGUAGAGACAAAUAAAGUUUUUUUAUUCUUCGUCUACGAAUAUCCAAAUUUUUAUUCCUAAAACCCCAUAAAUAGUUCGAACUGUAUAGGAACAAUAAUCAAUUUUAGCUUCAAUUGUUUGUAAAGGAACUCUGCCUUCUCUGAUCCAUUCAACACGUGCAAUUUCUUUUCCGUCGAUACGUCCUGCAAUUUGUACUUGAAUUCCUUUUGUAUUCGCCUGUUCAGUUAAUUCAAUAGCUUUUUUCAUUGCUUUUCGAAAAGAAACGCGAUUUUUUAAUUGGCCAGCUAUAAAUUCUGCAAGAAUAUUAGGAUGCCCAUACGGAUUGGAAAUUCGGGUAAUAGCAAUGUUGAGUUUUCUAUUGACACAAUUAAGUUCUUUUUGAACAUUCAUCUGUAAUUCUUCGAUUCUUCGGGGUUUAUCUUCAAUUAAUAAUUUAGGAAAUCCCAUAUAGAUUAUGAUCUGAAUGAGAUCGAUUCUUUUUUGAAUUUCGAUACGUGCAAUUCCCUCCAUACCAGAGGAUAUUCUUAUAUUUUUUUGGACAUAAUUUUUAAUACAAUCUCGUAUUUUUUUAUCUUCUUCUAAACCUUCAGAAUACUUUUUUGGUUGUGCAAACCAAAUAGAAUGAUGACUUUGGGUUGUACCAAGUCUGAAACCAAGUGGAUUUAUUUUUUGUCCCAUGGGCCUCCACUACUAUAUGUAUCGUAACAUGUUAGAUUUAUGUUUUCAUUGCUGCAUCCAGGUUUUUUUAAAUACAUUAAAUAUUCUUCAUAUUGUUGAUAUAAGGAUAUAUCUUCCAAUACGAUAGUUAUAUGACAAGUCGAUCUUUUUAUUGGGUAACUCCGUCCUCGUGCCCGAGGUUUUAAUUUUUUCACCGUAUUUCCUUGAUUCACUUCAGCUUUACUAAUGACUAAAUUGGUUUCUUUGAAACCCUUAUUGUGACUAGCAUUUGCUGCUGCAGAAUAAACUAAUUUAAAAAUGGGAUAACAUCCUCGAUACGGCAUAAGUUCUAAUAUCAUAAGUGCUUCUUCGUAGGAACGUCCACGGAUCUGAUCAAUAACUCUCCGUGCUUUGUGGGCAGACAUAGAUAUAUAUUGCCCUAAAGCAUAUACGGAAGUAUAUGAUUUCUUCUUUUUCUUCUUUAUCAUAAGGUUUACCUCUCACUAAAAAAAAAAAUUAUAUUCAUUAUUCAUUUUUUUGAAUUCAUUUAAUUAACGACGAGAUCUAUUAUCAUUUUUCGCGUGUCCUCUAAAAUUUAUAGUAGGUGAAAAUUCUCCCAAUUUAUGUCCUACCAUAAGGUCGAUUAUAUAAACGGGUAAGUGUUCCCUUCCAUUAUGUAUAGCGAUAGUAUGGCCAAUCAUUGUGGGUAUAAUAGUAGUGCUGCGUUUUUAUUUUAGACAAUACAAACAAGAUAUGAUGUAUAGUAGAGUAGGGGCGGAUGUAGCCAAGUGGAUUAAGGCAGUGGAUUGUGAAUUCACCAUCGCGGGUUCAAUUCCCGUCGUUCGCCCGUGAUGCCCGGGACCAAGUUAUUAUGAUUUCUUUUUCCGCCUUUGUAUUAAGCUUCUCUAUUUUUCUUAAUAAAUGCUUUGCUACAAAAGGAUUUUUUUUUAGUGAACGUGUCACAGUUAAUUAACUCCUUCGUAGUGGCUCCGUUCCAUGCCUCAUUUCAUAGGGAACCUCAAAGCGGCUCUAUUUCAUUAUAUUCCAUCCAUAUCCCAAUUCCAUUCAUUUAAUAUCCCUUUGGUGUCAUUGACAUAAGAGAUGUCGUUUCUAGUCUAUCUCUUUCUAUUUCUAUAUAUGGAAAGUUGCAAAAUCAUCAUAUAAUAAUCCAGAAAUUGAAAUAGAAAAGAAAAAAGGGAGGUUUGUGAUGGUUUUUCAAUCUUUUAUACUAGGUAAUCUAGUAUCCUUAUGCAUGAAGAUAAUCAAUUCGGUCGUUGUGGUCGGACUCUAUUAUGGAUUUCUGACCACAUUCUCCAUAGGGCCCUCUUAUCUCUUCCUUCUCCGAGCUCGGGUUAUGGACGAAGGAGAAGAAGGAACCGAGAAGAAAGUAUCAGCAACAACUGGUUUUAUUGCGGGACAGCUCAUGAUGUUCAUAUCGAUCUAUUAUGCGCCUCUGCAUUUAGCAUUGGGUAGACCUCAUACAAUAACUGUCCUAGCUCUACCGUAUCUUUUGUUUCAUUUCUUCUGGAACAAUCACAAACACUUUUUUGAUUAUGGAUCUACUACCAGAAAUGAAAUGCGUAAUCUUCGCAUUCAAUGUGUAUUCAUGAAUAAUUUCAUUUUUCAAUUAUUCAACCAUUUCAUUUUACCAAGUUCAAUGUUAGCCAGAUUAGUCAACAUUUAUAUGUUUCGAUGCAACAACAAGAUGUUAUUUGUAACAAGUAGUUUUGUUGGUUGGUUAAUUGGUCACAUUUUAUUCAUGAAAUGGGUUGGAUUGGUAUUAGUCUGGAUACAGCAAAAUAAUUCUAUUAGGUCUAAUGUACUUAUUAGAUCUAAUAAGUAUAAGUUCCUUGUGUCAGAAUUGAGAAAUUCUAUGACUCGAAUCUUUAGUAUUAUCUUAUUUAUUACCUGUGUCUACUAUUUAGGCAGAAUACCAUCACCCAUUUUUACUAAGAAACUAAAAGGAACCUCAGAAACGGGUGGGACUAAACAGGACCAAGAGGUAUCCACCAAAGAAGCUCCUUUUCCUUGUCUUUUUUCGGAAGAAAGGGAGGAUCUGGACAAACUCGAUGAAAUGGAAGAAAUCGGAGUGAAUGGAAAAGACAAAAUUAAUAAGGAUGGUGAAUUCCACGUUCGAACAUACUAUAACUAUAAAACAGUUUCUGAAAAUCGAGAUGGAAAUAAAGAAAAUUCUAAUUUAGAAUUUUUCAAAAUAAAAAAAAAAGAGGAUCGUUAAAAAAAUCAAUACAUAGCAAAAAUACAAGAACAGAUAAGAAGAGAUGCGACUUCCACCUAUAUAUUUUGUUACUUCUCCUACAAAGAAACUUGUAAUACCUACUCCAUUUGUAAUUCCAUCAAUGAUUCGUUUAUCAAAAAAAUUCGUUUGUUUUGCUAAUUUUCUUAUACUUUCAGUUAAAGAUUUUUUAAAAAAAGUAUCUAUGUAACCACGAUUAUAUGACCAAUUAUAUACAAAAUUGAUUGGUUUUUCCCACCUAAUUCUUUUAGAACUCCACUUUUGAAAUGAAUUAAGUAAAGUGAAAUUUAAUCUAGAUGAAUAAAAAGGCUUAUAUAAACAGUAUGCUAUAAAUAUUCCAAACAAAGCUAUACUGACUGAAAAAAUUGCAUUUUUCAAAAACUCAUACCAAUCUACAAAAUUUUCUGAAUUGGUAUGCAAAAGGUUUAUCGACGGCGUUAAUAAUUUUGAUAAUAUAUCAAAGUCUAUUCCUUCUUGAUUGAAAGGAAUUCCUAUGGCUCCAAUAAACAAAGUAAAUAAAAGCAAUACAAGCAUAGGAAAUAGAAUAGUAUUGUCUGAUUCAUGGGGAUAAUAGAAAGUUCUUGUAUUAAGUCCAAAAUUUUCAACAGUAAUAAAAGUUUGAUUUCUUACAUUAUUACUAAUUUUAUAUGUUUUAUUGCCAAAAAAAGAAGCUCUUUUCGUAUUAUUCAUUGUUAAUAAUGGUACUAACCCAAAAUUCCUAUUAAGUUUUUUAUCUUCUUCUUUACCCCAUAAAGAAAUUGAAUAGAAGGAGCGACUUUUUUUUCCACUAUAAUUUAUAAAAUAAGUGUUUAAAUGGCCUUCAAAAGUAAGUAAAUAAAUCCGAAACAUAUAAAAUGCGGUUAAUCCCGCUGUUGAACAAGCUAUUAUUGCAAAAAUUGGCGAAAAUAACAAACUAUCAUUAAGAAUUUCAUCUUUAGACCAAAAACAAGCAAGGGGGGGAAUACCACAAAGUGAGAGUGUUCCUACUAAAAAGGCAGUUUUUGUAAUCGGCACAUGUUUUGUCAAACCACCCAUAAGAAUCAUAUUCUGACUUUUAUCAGGAGAAUAGCCAACUAUAGCUUCCAUUGAAUGAAUAAUGGAUCCAGAUCCUAAAAACAACAAAGCUUUCGAAUAAGCAUGAGUAAUCAAAUGAAAUAAAGCGGAUCUAUAAGACCCCAUACCUAGAGCUAACAUCAUAUAACCCAGUUGAGACAUUGUAGAAUAGGCUAAACCUCUCUUAAUAUCUUUUUGAGCAAGAGCUAAAGUGGCUCCUAAGAGUACUGUUAUUAUACCUAUCAAAGAUAUUAUAUACAUUAUAGAAGGGAUAACUAUAAAAAGAGGAAGAAGACGAGCUACAAGAAAAAUUCCCGCUGCUACCAUAGUAGCAGCAUGUAUAAGAGCCGAAAUAGGAGUAGGGCCCUCCAUGGCAUCCGGCAACCAUACAUGAAGAGGAAAUUGUGCAGAUUUAGCAAUAGGACCCACAAAUAAUAGAAAUGCACACAAAGUAAGGAAUAAGAGAUUUAUUCUAUUAUUUAAUAUUAAAUUAUUGAAUAUUUCGAACAAAUCUUGAAAUUCGAAACUGCCAGCUAUCCAAUAAAGACCUAAAAUUCCUAAUAAUAAACCAAAAUCCCCUACACGAUUGGUUACAAAAGCUUUUUGACAGGCAUUCGCUGCAAUAGGUCGUGUGAACCAAAAACCUAUUAAUAAAUACGAACACAUUCCAACUAAUUCCCAAAAAAAAUAAACUUGGAUCAAAUUAGAACUAGUAACUAAUCCUAACAUUGAAGUAUUAAAAAAACCCAUAUAAGCAAAAAACCUCAGAUAUCCUUGAUCAUGAGACAUAUAAUUAUCACUAUAAAUCAGAACCAAAAUUCCAACAGUUGUAAUUAAUAUUGACAUAAUAGAAGUAAGUGGAUCAAUAAAGUAACCGAACUCAAAAGAAAAUGCAUUAUUUAUGGUCCAAGACCAUACAUUUUGAUGAAUGCAACUUAGAAAAAUUUGUUGAAUAGAUAGAUAGAGCGAAAAGAUCAUAACUAUACUUAACAAAAAAAUACUCAGAAACGUCCACAUACGUCGAAGGUUUUUUGUUGCUGUCGGAAAAAGUAGAAGUCCAGCUCCGAGUAAAAUAGGUACUGGAAGUGGAAUGAAAGGGAUGAUCCAUGAAUAUUGAUAUGUAUGUUCCAUAAAAUAAAAAACCCUUUUUAUUUUAUUCUUAAAUUUAUUAUUUCUUAUUCACUGGUUUGUAUAUAUAUAUAUAUUUUUUCAAAGGGGAUAAUAAAAAAGCGCAUUUUUUCAAACUUAAAUAGAAUUUUUUUCGAAUUAGUAUAAUCCUUCAUAAACCUUUGAAAAGAAAUAUAUUCAAAUCAAAAAAUUAUAAAUUAUUAACUAAUAUUACUAAGUUACUGUAAAAAAAACGAUUUGUCUUUUUUUUUUUUUUUACUACUAAAAAAAAUUUUGAUUUUAUGCAGAUACAGAAAAAGUGAAUUAUAAUUCCGUAUUACAAUAAUUUAUAUACAUAUAUUAAGAAUAGAACAAAGAUUUACACGACAAAAAAAUACUUAAUAUUAAGUAUAAAAAUAAAAAAAAGUUAUUUGGGUUUGAUUAUUU